rnacentral:lncRNA from 1 species
CGAAACCAAGCCCCUCGUUUACAGAUCGUUCUGCUUCAAGCCACACGCUCUCAUUCAGCUCAAGAAAGCGGCAAGAAUUGCAACCCAGAAUGGCUCUUCCGUAGUCCCGACGACCUUCGAAAUCAUAUCGGCGCUCGUGUGGAUCUUGCGAACCAAAGCUCUCGGAAUUGGUCCUCACGAGACGACGAAGCUUCUCACUGCAGUUGACGGCCGCCCCAAGUUUGACCCCCCGCUGCCGAGUGGCUACUUCGGGAACGGCAUCGCUUUGUCCUGCGCUGAGUGCAGCGCCGGCGAAUUGACCCGCAAGCCCUUCUCGUUCGCUGUCCAGACCGUGCACAAGGCCCUCGCAUCCGUCACCGAGAGUUACAUAAGGUCGGCCAUCGACCACAUCGAGCUGAACAGGGUCCUUGUUGAUCUCAAGGGCAACGCUUGCGGCAUCAGCAAAUGGAGCCAACUCCCUUUGUACAAUAUGGAUUUCGGGUUCGGGAGGCCAUUCCAGGUGGCGCCGGCAACGGUCCCUGACAACGUCAUCUUUGUCGCUCCCCAGAGCAGGGAGAGUGAUGACUUGGUUGUGUCCUUGGGGCUUACUAGCAACGCCAUGGAUGUUUUCUCGAAGUUGAUUCAGCAUGAGCUCACGCUGAAAAGCAAGUUCUAGUCUCAUCCAUGGAUAUGAGUAUAUGAAGCUUAGUUUUCAAGCCCCUGGUUUUAAGUAGGACUAGCACAGUGGUGUUGCGCUGCUUGUGCCUAUUGUUUUAUAUGAUAUGCUUCCAUCAAUAAAGUGAUGUACUUUCCAAAAAAGGGAAUCUUAUAGAUACAAAUGUCAAUUUAUGAAAGAGCACCCAUUGCAUACACUAGUAAUGUGAGAAAAAGUUCUAGGCAUGUAGUUUUGUACACCAUUGAUCGGAUAUUAAGAGUAAAUUAAGGGCAUAUGAGGCCAUUUGUGUGAGAAAAUAUUAACUGCACAAGUUGUGGAAAGAAAAGAAAGUGAAAAAAAGAAAAUAAAAAAGAAGGGAGAAACGGCAAAGAAGAAGAGAAAUGGAGGUGCGAGUCUGCAAGAGGAGAGAGACAAGGAGAGAAAAAUUUGACAAAUGGGCCAUUUGUGGACAUGUCACUUAAUAGAUGGGCGUGCUAGCACAACUUGUGUAGCUAAUAUUUUUCCUUAAUUUUGAGUAAGACUAGCAUAGUGACGUUGCGCUCCUCAUGCCUAUUGUAUCAUAUGACAUGCUUCCAUCAAUGAAGUGAUGUACUUUCUUUAAAAAAAAGAAAAGAAAAGGAAUCUUAUAGAUACGAUGUUAAUUUAUGAAAGAGUGGUCAUACCAUAUAGUACAGUAAGAAAGUUUUACACAAGUAGUUUUGUAUACCAUUAAUAUGAUAUCAUGACAAAAUUAAGGGCAAAUAGAUAGUUUGUGUAAAUUUUUUCUUUACACAGGUGGUGUGCGUGCUAUUUUUUUUGGGUGAAAUAAUGGGUUUGUGUUAAGUGUUUGGUAAAGUGCCAUUUUCACUAUCUACAUAUCUUUAGCAUCAGGAAGAGUAUUGUUGGGUUGUCAUCACCCAUUUUGGGUAUUCAUUAAUAUACAAGUGUGAGCGUACCAUAGAGAAAAAUUCCCUAUCGGGUAAUUGAAGAGGGAUUGAGCAGUUAAUAAAUUUACUAGACUUAUGAUUUAUUGAUUUAAACUCUUAAAUAAAGGUGAUUUACUAAUAUGAUGUUGAUGGAUCCAUAUUCUUGAAAAUCUACUCUCCAAGAUAAGUUUUAUUCUUUCCAAGAGUUUUAGAAUUUUGAGAACCAAAGAGAUAUAGCUACAAUUGUCCAUGUGCUGCUAUUGAACAAAAGGUCCAAUAUUCAUAUUGUAGGGAAUGCUUCCAUUAUUCCCAAAAUAAGUAAUUUUCAUGAUUAAAUACCCUGCAAAGCAUGAAUUGCAUUAUAUAUGUUUAAUGAGGGACUAACAUUAAUUCCUCGUUGUGAAUUUUCGAUUUUAUAAAACCAGGAGUAAAAGUGGAACUGGUUCUUCAAAGUCAAUUUCUCCUUUUAAUGCAUCUUGUAUUAAAUAGAUAAAUACAUUGAACCCAUAUUGCAUGAAGACUUGUCGACACUCGCACACAUAAAAAUAGCAUGCUCUAAUUGUUUUAUUAAACUGUCCAUGCUUCAACUGUUGAAAUUCUACAAGUGUGUGUCUUUCACUUUUUUGGAUUUGAUGUACACAUUUUAAUAUGACAUUUUGUUAGGGUUAAUUAGGAUAUUUCUUUUGAUUAUCCUCAUCUCUCAAGAUAGCGCUUAUAUUUCAUUUUGAUUAUGCAUAUCUUUGAUUGUUAUUUUAUUUUAGAUAGUCAUUUAAUAAAGCCUAUCUUAUGUUCUCUUCUUCUACACACAUUAAAAUACAUAGAAAUUUAACAAUUAUUUCUUCGCAUUUUUUAUAUUUCAAGUUAUACGAAAUGUGAUGAUGAUAAUGACUUUUGUAAUAUUUUAAUAAGUUUUAUGAAAUUUCUUUUUUCUUUUUCUUUUUUCUUUUUCCUUUGUAGGAUUUCCAGCCAGCAAGAUAACUUGGGCCCUAGCAACGGUUAUUGACUCUUACUGGCAAUAGGCAAAGGCUUUGUUCUCUCUCUUGGAUUUAGGCGAGGGCCCACAAUGCCCUUGCCCUCAGGCUAAGAGCGGAAACAUAUAAUAAAAAAGACAAAUAAGGGGUUUUAAAUAGUUUGAACUCAAAAAAAUCUUCCUUUGAUACCAUGUAUGGUGUUGUGAGACUUUUUUUGUAGUGUUAUUUUAGAAUGAAUCACUUAAAUCUCCAACUUAGAAAGCCACAAAUAUUAGGGGCAUGCAAUUAGACCUAUUCAACCUUGGAACCAGCUCCUCUCUCUCUCUCUCUCUCUCUCUCUCUCUCUCUCUCUCUCUCUCUCUCUCUCUCUCUCUCUCUCACACACACACACACAUGUAUUUGACACAAUGCAUAUUGUAUAUCUAAUAAAAUAAAACAAAAAAAAAGGACAUUCCAAAGUCGAUCAGUUUAGUAUCUGGUUUCAAAAUUGGGAACUGAUUCCAAUAAGAUAGUUUCCAAAUUACUAGACUGGAAGUUACUCACUCUAUAACCAAUCACCUUAAUGCACACACACGCACACACACACAUAUAUAUACACACACUAAAAAAGACACCAUCAUGGUCCAGUCCCUUUGCAUCUCAAUAGAUGUUUUCAAUGACAAAUGUUGAUACCUAAAAUUUCUAUUAAAGGGCUUCAUAUUUUUGUAACCAAACGAGGGCAAUCAUUGGUUGAAUUUGACCAAACAAAUGAUAGAGUAAUUUUAGCCACAAUAUGUAUUGUUGGUCAUCAAGGGGAUUUGAUUGUGAUCAGCACAUGAAAAGCAAGAAUUUUUUGCUAUUUUGGUUAUGCUUUUUUCACUCCUUUGGCUUAAAGACUCCAUUUUAUUAGUGUAUUGACGACAUUACCUCUUAUUUGGUGCACCAUUUAGCAUGUUUCAAUUAAACUUUACCAAAGAAAGUAGUUCCCCUCUUUUUGUUGGUCAAGUGAAGUCAAUCCUUUUGUUUUAUUUCUUUUUUUUUUCUUUGCGGUCCCCCUUUCCUUCUUACUCACUUCUCUCUGUUCUCUUUCAUACAGUGGAUCCUCUUGGUGUCUACCAACAACGAUACCAUUCGGUAGAGCAUUGCCAAUCAAGGGCUGGUUGAAGGUUUUCUCGUCUUGGUGGAGUCGUAGUGCUAUGGAAAAGAGGGAGAUGAAAUUGAGUUUGGUGGGUAGAACCUAGUCAAUAUGCAAGGGAGCACAUGUUUGAUCCUUCAACCUGACAAAAAAGGGUAUGGGUGAUGUUCUCAUUACUGCAAAAGCAAGCAGAUCUUGUGCCGACAUUUCUUCAGCAUUCACAAAUACAAGGUUCUCGCUAAUUGCUCCAACGGUGAGUAUUUGACCGUCAUCACUAAAGUCAACUAAGUUAUUGGAGCCUCCAGUGUUAUGGGUGAGAAAUGCAAGGCUGUAGUUGCUCAGUAAGGAAUACCAUUAUUCAUUUGUCUUUUAGCAAAGGAAGUGCCACAUUAUAUAUGCUCAGAGAUUGGACGAGGACCCACAUAAGAGGACGUCGGAGAGAGUUCACUAAGAAUACAUAUUAUAGACCAGAAAAGAAAUUAUGGGCAAUGCACAAGAGACACUCAUGACCAGAAAGCACCAACCCAAAUAUUUUAAUUUUUAUCACCAUCUUUGAUUCACAAAGGCCACCAUCAAGUCAUUUCUAUUCCUAUUGAUUUUUUGAGUUAUUCGUCUGUUCAGAUUUUUCCUCUCUCAUUUUGUCUGUUGGUUUCUUGGGUCUUUGAACCGUUUAAAGCCUAUUCGCCUCUAUCUAUACGUAGCUUGGUGGUUGCCUUGCCAUUAUCAUCACUAGAUCUUUAAGUUUGCACACCACUGCAGGACAAGCCAUUGAUAUCAAUCCGUGGUUUUGCUGUAGAAAAAGGUUACAUUUUGUCUUGAAUUAUUUUCGAUCAAGUAAGUUGGACAUCAAGAGCAUCCUUGCCUUUAGACGCAAAGGCGUGGAAAGAAGAGAAUUGUCUGUAAUGGAAAAGAUAAAAAAAGAAAGCAAAAGAAAACAGAGAGACGUCAAUUUGACUUAGUGGGCCACACAAGGAUAAUGUGAUCAAAGUAUUGUAAAAGGGAGUUUUUGAACUGAAGGAUGGUUGAAAAGAGCACCAUCCAUUUAAAAUAAUAGGAUAGUGAAGUUUUAACCAAGAAAUUAAGUGGAAAUUAUAAAUCCAAUUUCAGCCACUUUAGCAGAGCAACUUUCAGAACUGAAUUGAUAUAUCCCAUUAUUUCUCCCUCUUAUAGGAGACGGAGAUCACGAUUUUUCUGGAAAAGAGAGGGCUAAAAAUCCGUGAGUUUUAGGGCAUAAACAGAGGAAGUCUUCUGCAGAAUAAAAAGGCGGGGACACGCACUCACGGGGGAUUACCGCAUAAAAAGAGAGCGUAGAGAAAAGGUGGGAGCACGGUACUGAUGGAUACAUGUUUAACCCGAAGAUACUGGCUGCAUCAUUCACGUCGUCAUUAUUAUGGAUCUAUCUUGUUAAAAUGUAUGAAGGAGUUGUGUUAGAGAGAAGUCCCACAUCGGAGAAUUGGUUUGGUAUAGAGCGGUUAAUAUAUCAUAAUUGGCCCAUAACUCAUUGAUUUGAGUUUUUGAAGAAAAGUACAUUGAAUAAUUGGUAUGGUGUGGGGAUGUUAGCGUACUCUAGUCAACUCAUAACAAUUCAAACUUGGGCUUUUUCUUGGUAAUCUCUCCUGCUGAAGUAUCUUUGCUGCGCACUCCCAACAUAUUGUCUCAAGUCACUAUGUUGCCUGGCUGUUCUUGAUUUUGAUAGCCCAGACAGACAGCAGUUCCUCAGCGACAAGGCAUUGUUGAUUUGUUCCCUCUUAAUCCUCAGCGAUAACGCAAUUUGUCCAGGUGUGGAUACUUAGGCUCUAUUGAUUUGGCAGAAAAUAAAAUCACUUAGGCACUGCAUCACAUAUGAGCAUAUCUCUAUUUAUUUUGCAGAAAAUGAAACCAUUUAGGCUCUAAAUCACAUGCAAGGCAUAUCUAGAAAAUUUAUGAAUACUUAAGUACUCAAACCUGGACAACACGUAUGGAAAAUUGCAGACAAGGAAGUGGUUGCCUGAAUAACCGCGCAGGGGAAUCAACAGUCUCGAAGUGGUCGAUGCCUCCAAGAGGAUGGCAGCGAUUCGUUGUCUUGAUCAAAUUCAAAUUGACCCACACAGCUUUGCUGUGAGGACAAGGACUAAGAGGGAACAGAUCGGUGUAGGUGACGACGAUGCCUUGUCGCCGAGGAACUGCUUUAUGGGCUGUCAAACUCGGGAACAGCCCAGGCAACGUAGUGGGUUGAGAUAGAUCAAUCUAACCGCGUGUAUCCCUGAUCUUUUAGAGUGUUUUACUUGAUAAAAGAUGAAUGAUUUGAAAAAUAUAUAUAUAUUUUAAAAAUGAUCAUUUAUAUCGAUUACAAAAAUGAGUAACAAAAAGAAUGAUUCCAUUUUUUACGUAAAUAUUUGUAUAUGAAUUUUUGUUGAUGAUGAAAAAAUAUUUCAUUAACUUAUUAUUUCAAGGGAUAAAAGCGAUUAUUUUUAGAAAAAUAUUUUCCAAAUUGUUUAAUUUCCAUGAAACAAAUGGAGUCCUAUUGUGGUGAGCAUAGUCCUUAAUUUAUGCCCUGAAAUUUAGGGAUGAGCAUGGUCCUGAUCCAGCUUGAGAAGUGAGCUAGUCGGUUCUCAGUUUCCAAAAUGGAAACCAGAAAUAACUAGUCCGAUUCUCAAUUUUGCAAAAGGAAUUGGACCGAACCAAUAUGCCUUAAUUUUCCCUUUUUUUUGGUGUAAUUUUUCUUCUUCCUAUGUUCUAAACUGGAGCCGUGUAAGUGUGUAUGUUCGUACAGCAGUAUCCACAACUCCUUUGCGGGCUCCGUAGCAAGAAAUGAUAUAUUCUGUUAAAGAUAUCACUUCUCAUUUUAUAAUGCAAUUUUUCCGAGGGAGAAGGUUGGAUAUUCACCAGCUUGCACUAAAUUUGGUAGAAGAACAGCCCAAGUGCCAAAACUUGGCACGGAGGGACACUUAAGUGCUAUAACUUCGGAAAUGCGCAAUUAAGUGUCAGUUUCGGAGUAAAGUGGAACACUUAAGUAUCACUCCGGUAAAAAUCCGGCCAAAUUGCUGACAUGGCAAUUUUCCGAGGUGCAAAACGGUGUCGUUUUGCUCGCUAACGUGGCCACAAAUUGCAAAAACGACGUCGUUUUGUGUUUAAUGUGUAAAUAAUUAAUAUAAAAAUUACCUAAAUUAAAUUUAAACUUAAUUUUAUUUAAAAUAUUAUAAAAACUUUAAAAAUUUAAUAUUAAAAACCUAAAAAAUAAAAAGCUUAAAAUUAAAAAACCUAAAACUAAAAAACCUAAAAUUAAAAAAAAAGGGGGGAGUCGAAGGGGGCGGCUGAGGGUUGAGCCCUCGUCACUGCCGCCUCCUUGUCGUCGCCAGGAAGGGUCGGCGACGGAGGGGGGAGGGUCGGCCGAGGUCAUUGGCCCCCGGCCGACUGGCGGCGAGGGCCGCGAGCCCUUGUCGGAUCGUGGUGAGGGCUCGCAAGCCCUCGCCGUCGGUCGGCUAAGGGCUGGUGACCCCAGCUGACCCUCCCCACUCCGACGCCGGCCCUUCCCGGCGGCGGCGUGUGGCAUCCCAAAAUUCAUGGCGACCUCCAAAUAUAUUAAGGUCUAUGAAUAGGUGAUGGAAGUUCCAUCAAGUUAUAUUGUAGCCAUUUGAUUCAUAAUUUGCAACGAGAUUUAUGGCCAAGCUUUUAAUGGAUAAUUAUUUGAUAGGGAAGAAAAUUCUAUCAUUGGACAUGUGUUUUAUAAAUUGGGAUUUAUGGAUUUAUGAUUACAAGUUUUAUGGCCAUAUGAAAUUAUAAUUCGAUAUUUAUAUAAGAGAGAAUUAAGGUAAAUUAUUAAAAGUAAACAUGGACUCAAUUAAGAAAAUUUUUGGCCAUUUAAGUUUGGACUUUAGGCCCAAGAGUGUUGAGCCUAAAGUGGACCAAAAGGCCGGCCCAUGAAGCCCCAUUGGGCUUUCGACCAAGCUGGCCCCAAGCCCAGCCGGAUGAAGCCCUCUUGCAUGGAAAAAUGCCAAGUGUCCUUUCCUAGUAGCCAAGUGUAGCAAGCCAUGCAUAAUCCAAUGAUGGCUAAUGAUGAAGGGAAGGAAAUUAGAGGGGAAGAAGGGGGCAGAUUAAGUGAGAAAGGGAGAGAGAGAGAGAGAGAGAGAGAGAGAGGGGUUUGCACGAGAGAAAGAGAAAGGGAGAGAGUGGUCGUCUGAGAGAAAGAAAGGAAGAGAGAAAGAGAUCAUGCGUGCAAGAGGAAGGAGGAGGUCCGUUCACUGUCGUUCGUUCGCCGCUUUGCCCGCCAUUUUGUCACUGUUCAUGCUUAUAUUCGAGGCAAGUAGAAUCCUAAAAAUUACCCUUUGCUUGCUGUGAUGUGUGUGUAGAAAAUGGUGAAUUUUGGUUGUGGUGGAAGUGAUGAAAUUUCGGAGCUUUGGGGAGAGAUUUGUUGGCCUAGCAUGCUGUUUCUGGAAAAGCCAGUCCGACCUUUCAUGAAUUUGUGAGCUGAAUGCGACCUUUUAGUUGGAAUCUCGUUUUGAUCUCUUCAUGAAAGUUGUAGAGAACAUCUUGAGGAAUAACAUACUAAAAUUUGAGAUAAAAUGGAUAAAUAGUUCUUGGUGAAACGAUUUUCCUCUGGAGAAAUUAGAUCUGGAAUUUGUUGUGCUGACCUUCAGUGAUUUCGUCGACUGUAGAGUAGUCUUCUUGUGGAAUCUCACUUUUAUUCCUUAAUGAAAGAUGUAGAGAACUUCUUGAGGUAAAAAAUAUCAAAAAAUUAGAGGAUAUGAGCAAAAAUAGGUCGGUGAAAUCGUUGUCCAUUGAAGAAACUGGAUCUGGAAAGUGCUACUUCGACCUAGUAUGAUUCUGUGAUUUUUAUAAAAUCAUCCACCUAAAUUUUGAUCUUGUGCUCUUAAUGAAAGUUGUAAGUAAUAUUCUGAGGAAUAACAUACCGAAAAAUUUAGAAGAAACAGACAUAUGUAGGUCAGUAAAACGAGUUUCCUUUGAAAGAAGAUAAUCUGGAAAAACAACACCAAGAACAGGAGGAAUUAAUCGCUUAUAUCUAUUAAUCUAGAACGAGUUGGGUUUCAAUUUCUUCAAGAGAUAUUUAACUUUAGGACUUGUCUAUAACAUCAAAAUUUCAGAAUUUUUGGAGUUCAUUUGGAUAUUUAAUUUAAAUUACUUUCGAAACUGUGCAAGUUGAAGUGUUGAAAUGUUGAAAACUGUAAUGCAUGGACCAUACUGUUUUGUGUGAGACUCUUUUGGUAUGAUGUUUUCCAUAAGAUAUCUGCCUUUAGGUCUAAUCUAUAAUGUGUCAAGUUUUCAGAAUUUAUUAAUACUGUUUACUAAUUUUUCUAGAGUUUUAACUAAAGGAGUGUAUUCUGUUUUAUCCGAAAAUCGAUGCGCUUUCAAAAAUAAAUGGAUUUUUCCAUGAGAUGUAAUACUUUGAGCGGUUGAUUUUGCUGCAUAUGUGAUGAUAUAUGGCAUGUUAUAUGGCAUCAAAAGCUGGUUGAGACUCUUGAUAUUGAUGCAUCAAAUGCCAUGUUGAAAUUGGGAUGUGUGAAUAUAAAUUGAGAUAAUAACAAGACCAUCGGAGGUGUGAGCCGACGAUGCCUUGGGAGUUUUGAGAUGCCCGGAGUGUGUGUGCCGGAUGUCCUUGGGAGUUUCGGGAUGCCGGGAGGUAUGUGCUGGAGGUUCCUUGCGAUACCAGGUUGGAUGCAAGCGAUAAAUUGUGGGAUGCAAACACUGGUCCCUAGAAAAGAUAAAAAUUGAGAUUGUAUCAUACGCAUGGAUGUGUACAUAUGGCAUAGUGAUAUAUGCAUGACUACUUGAUGAUAAGUGCAUGAUGAUAAAUGCACAUUGCAUGAUAAUAUAUGCAUGGCUGCAAGGUAAGGUAUGCUUCAAUGCAUGAAUGAUAUGUGUUUUAUUCCUGAUACCUUGAUUGUUCUAUUUGAUACGCUGUGUAGUUUGGCGGAUCUUUACUGCUGAGUAGUUGUACUCACCCCUUUUGGGGAUUAAGAUUUCAAAUUAGAAAGAUGCCUCUUUCAACAGUUGUGCGUGGUACCUUCUAUGGUAUACAUACUGAUGUUGAGGUGGAGUGCAUCGAGCAUUCCUGUAUUAGUAUACUUAGUCUGGAGUAUGUCCGAGUUCGAGUAUUGGUGAUGUAUGACGUGGGUUCAGCUAAUGGCCCUAUCAUCCAAGAGUUUUUGUACGUUCACAUUCGACGCAAUGGGGUGAUGCUAGGGAUGUUACCGCCGCUGCCGCCCGAUGCACCGGGUUGGGUGUGAUGGCACAUAGGACUGGUGGGAGUUGACGUUUUCUUUUUGGGGAUAGCCGACACUUGUCGAUGGAGGGAUGUACAUGUUUCAUAUAGGGUUGAGUUCUCUUUUGGGUAUAGCCAAGUAUAGUUAAAAUCUUGGCCUUUUUGUUGUAUCGACCCGAAAUGUCCAUCAUAAAAAUAUAAAUAAAGGUGAAUUGGUUUUAUCUUUCUUCUGGUGCGUAGUUGGUGUGCAUUGCAUUAUUGUUAUUGGAGGGAGAGAUGGUGAGACUUGUUUAUGCUUCCGCUGAUGAACUGCACACUGAGACCUUUACAAAAAGAAAAAGAAAGAAUGGAAAGGUAUUCUAUUGAUCAACCUCUAUGAAUCAUGGUUUCACUUAAAUUUAAAAGUUACCUUAUUGGUAUGGAGUGGGAUGAGUGUCAAGUAAUCUGUGGCAACCCUAACGGAUUGGGGGCUGUCGAGGGGUGCCACACGGUGGGGAGGCGGCGGCGGUGAGGGCUUAGCCCCUCAACCGCCCCCUUCGGCUCCCCUCCCCCCCCCCCCCCUUAAUAUUAAAAAAAUUUUAAAUAAAAAAAGUUUAAAUUUAAUUUAAUUAAUUUUAUAUUAAUUAUUUACACAUCAAACACAAAACAACAUCGUUUUUACAAUUUGUCACCAUGUAAGAGAGCAAAACGACCCCCUUUUGCACCCAACUCCCCGGAAAAUUGCCACAUUGGCAAUUUGGCCGAAGUAGCACUUAAGUGUUCCACUUUACUCCAAAACUGGCACUUAAGUAUACCUUUCCGAAGUUAUGGCAUUUAAGUAUCCCUCCGUGCCAAGUUUUGGCACUCCAGGUGUCCCAAACUCCAGUAUAUUUAGGUUGACACGAAAUUGAAAUCUUACCUAAUCUCUUUAUAAUGUCUUGAAAUUUAAAUACAUAUUUUUAUAUUCAUUUGUGAAGAGAAAAUCAUAUAAAUAGAAGUAAAAAAAUAACUGGUAUAUUGCGAAAACAUUUAAAUAUUUGGGCCAAAUUUUUGUGGCGGUACCCGCCCCCACACUUGCUUUAACUCUUAUUGGCGGGCAAUAGCCAUUCUCUCGGCCGUAUAUUAACUUAGAAUCUAACAAAAGCGAGUCGAACUAGACCGCAACUCAGACCACAAUUAGCACGAUGUAGUCACCUUGUUGUAUUCAUCUGUCUAGAGAUGAUUAGUUUUAAGGUGCGUCGAUUCUCACCCUGAAAUCUGGAACUCAGUUUGUGGAACCGAAAACUGGCCCAUCCGAUCCAAUUCAGUUCUUAGGUCGGUCCAGGAACCGGUGAUUUCUUCUCUUUUUAUUUUGGUUUCUUCUAUUCCCAACAAGUGGGAGUUUCCCAACAAUAAAAGGAAAAAGUUAUUUACAGUCGGUCCCAAUCCAACCUGACCGAUCAGUUUAAUUUUCAAGUGCAACUGGUUCUUGGUUUCACAAUCAAAGAACCGACCCUACCUGGUUUGGUUCCUAAUUCUAGAGUGGGAAUUAACUCAUCUUGUACCCUGUACCCUUACUAAAACUGACGAAUUUUAACCGUCUCUUGUCCAGAAAAAUCCCCCCAUACUCGGGCAAAAUAUGCAGAAUAUUUCAAUUUUAUUCUGCUGAAAGUUGCUUUCCUAAAGUGGCUGAUAUUUGUAGUUGUAGUUUUUACUGAAUUUCUUGGCCAAAACUCCACUUUCCUAUUUUUUGAAUAGCUGAUUUUUUUUUGCUUAUCAUGUGCUCAUCACGAUCAAAUCCCUUAGACGGCCGGCAAUACAUAUUGCAAAUAAAAUUGCUCUUUUAUCCCUCAUUUGGUUGGCCGCACUCGACCAAUGAUUCUCCUAGUUACGAAUAUGUGAAGUCGGUGUCAACAGCUGUCAUCAACCAAAAACCCAAGGAGUCGCCGUUAUCGCGUCUCUCUCCAUCCCAUACGCUGCCCAGGUGGUUCCGGAAUCGGACAGUCCAUACGAUUGUUCCUUAGUGACGAGGGGCGGUCGUCCCCUAUGCCGGUCUGUUCGCUCCAAGUCCUAGUCCUCACCAAAAAGCUGUGUCCAUCCGUCUGAAUCUGUAUCAAGACAACCAGUUGCUACCAUCCUCCUGGAGACAUGGCCCGCAUCAAGAUUGUCGAUUCGCUUGCACGGUCGUUCAGGCAACCGACUUGUUGAGUGCAGUUUGUCAUACGUGUUGUCCAGAUUUGGAUACUUAAUGAUUCGUGAAAUUUUCUCGAUAUGUCUGCGUGUGAUGUUGGGCCUAAAAUGGCUGCAUUUUGAUAUGUGAAAUCUCUUGGAUGCUUCAGUGGUCCUAAAGUGUUUUUGAUACCCAUUUGAGUAGUGAUGUUGAUAUUCAGAAUUCAGAUCACGUGCAUAUACAAAAUUUUUAUUGACCGUCAAUCAUUGCUGUGCCUAAUUUUGCGCUUAAUUUUGUUUUUCCUCCUGUUUUGAUUGUCUGAGGUGAAAGUAGGAAAAACAGAGGGUUUCGUUUUUCCUGUUUGGUUGUCAUUAGGAUGCAUUUCAUGUGAUAAAAAUAAGUACUCUUUUGCAUGCAUCUUUCUUUUAUUUAAAAAAAAACAAAAAACAAAAGAAAAACUGAACAUAAAAGUGCUUUAUUGCAUGUCAUUUGCUCAUGAUUGUUCAAUUGCAUAAUAGGAUGAACAUUGCCUUUUACAUUGACAAUGUUCCCUGGUUCGUGGAUUGCAUGUUUAUUUAUUAGAUACUCUGCAUAUUGGAAACUGCCUCUUGUAUUUUUGCAUAUCUAGAAAAUUUAUAUCUAUGCAUCUAACUGUAAUCCCAUUUGUACAUGUCUAGGAUUUUGCAUAUCUUGCAUAUUGGGAUAGGAUCUCGCAUUAUAUUUGUGCCAUGACUAUUGCCAUGUUAGAAUAACUAGGAUGUAUUUUGCAUGAAUAAUUGUAUUAGUGCAGAUCUAGGAUAUCUAGCGUGCAUUAUUUAAUAUCCAUAUUCGCACAUUUCUUUCCACAAUCACAUGUCAUAAAAUGAAAAUAUAAAAAAAUAUCAUAUCUUGCAUGCUAGUAAUUUUAGAUUGCAUCUUCAUUAACAAAAUCACAAAAAUAUGUCUAGGAGUGCAUUAGAGGAAUUUGAAUAUUCAUAUUAUACCAAUCGAUUCAUUCUCUUAGUAUUGCAUGGCGUUUUAGAUUGCAUUAUUUUAAAUUCAAUUUCCAUGUUUAAGGUUCAUUUCAGGAAAGCACUUUAUUUAUUAUAUUGAAUAACAUAGCAUAUCACAAUUGCAUAUUCACUUCCUUUUGUUACAUUCGUCUAAGCCUAUUUGUGUACUUUUAGACUUUCCAUUUACUGCUCACGGGGUUUAAAUCCCGAGGCGUAAUUAGAGGUGAUUGGUUUUCGGGUUGGGUCUAUUGCUAAAACUGGAAUUAGAAUCGGAUUGGUUUGUCCCAGUCCGAUUUAGGGUUUUGCCAAUUCCAUUUUUUUUUUCUUUUUACUCUUUACAAGGAAAGGAAAAAUUUAAAAGAAAUAACAUCGUAGUUUGGCUCAAUCUGGGUGGUUUCAUUUUACACUUAGAAUUGGAAACUGCUUAGAACCGCUCAGUUCUAUCUAGUCUAGUCCGGUUGUCAGGCUUGGUCCUAGGCAUAAGUAAUAACAAGGCCAUAAUUUUUGCCCAACACAGGUCAAGGUUUUGUCACAUGUGAAUAUGGCAGUUUAAACAAUGCAAACUAGAUAUCCUAGGUGUGCACUGAAUAGUCAUUCAUGCAAAAUCCAUCCUAAUUAUUCUAACAUGAUAAUAGUCAUGACACAAAUAUUAUGCGAAGUCCUAUCCCAAUAUGCAAGAUAUGCAAAAUCCUAGACAUGUACAAAUGGGAAUACAGUAAGAUACGUAGAUAUAAAUUUUCGAGAUAUGCAAAUACACAAUAAGCAGUUUCCAAUAUGCAGUAUCUUAUAAAUUUACAUGCAAUCCAUGAACCAAGAAACAUUGUCAAUGUAAAAAGCAAUGUUCAUCCUAACAUAAAAUUGAACAAUCAUUAACAAAGGACAAGCACGAAAUUUUCAGUUUUUCUAUUUAUUUAAAAUAAAAAAUGCAUGCAAAAGAUUUUUUUUUUUUUCAAAUGAGAUGCAUUCUAAAAUAACCAAACAGGAAAACGAAACCAUUUUCUUUUUUACUUUCACGUCAGACAAUCAAAACACAAAAAAAAAAGAAAAGGAAAUGAUAAAUUAAGCGCAAAAUUUGACAUAGCAAUGAUUGAAGGUCAAUAUAUUUUGAAUAUGCACGUCUUGGAAUUCUAAAUAUCGACAUCGCUACUCAAAUAACACUUGUAUAUCCACUUGAUAUCAAAUAGCAAAUAGGAGAACUAAAGCAUCUGUGGCACCCCUCGACACGGCCCCCGAUCCGUUAGGGUCGUCACAGUUCACUUACCUUUCACUUUCCCUAAUAACAUGUCACUCCGAUACCCUUUCAAUUGCAGCGGGUCCAUACAACCUAGGGGUUUACAUCUUUUAGAUCGGUCCCUUGCGCAAUUAAUAUUACGGAAGCACAUCCAACAACUCCAUUCCCUAUAUUCAGAAAACGAUGCACACCAACUAAACAUUUAUAAGUAAAAGCCGAACACUUUUAUUUACUUAAACAAAAUGGUCAUCAUUCAUCGGUACAUCAAAAUGUCAGUCUUCUAUACUCGGCUAUAUUUCAAAAGAUGACUGACAUCUCCUCCAACAGUCGUAUACUUAAAGUCCAUCGAUCAGUGUCAGCGUCCAAAAGUUCUUUUCUUUGCUAUCUUCCUCCUCGCGGUCAUAUCCAACAACUUGAUCCAUCUACCGAUGGCAAUGGCAGCAAAGGUAUCUUAUCUAGUCUAAAAUGUUAUUUCCCAAACGGGGUGAGUACAACUACCUAGUAGUAAAGAUCCACCAAACUACACAAUGCAACAAGCAAGACAAUCAAGAUAUCACGAGCAAAGCACAUAUCAUCCAUGCUAUCAAGCAUACAUCACUAUGCAGUCGUGCAUAUAUCACCAUGCAGUUAUGCAUAUCUCGCCAUGCCAUCAUGCAUAUACCACCAUGCAGUCAUGCAUAUCUCACCAUGACAUCGUGCAUAUAUCACCAUGAUUUGUAUCAUAUAUGCUAUCAAGCAUACAUCACCAUAAGAUCCAUUCACGCCUUCAUGAUUGCAUUUUCAAUAUCAAAUAGCAUCAAUUUACUUUCAUAAGCAGAUUAUGCAUCAUGCCAUAUGCAUACAUCCAUACACACGAUUUUAGUUCUUAUCUUUCACAAGGAUUUCAUCAUUUUUCAUCCAGGGACCAAUGUUUGCGUCCCACAAUUUAUCGCUCGCAUCCAACCGGCAUCGCGAGGAGCCUCCGGCACACACCUCCGAGCAUCCGGCACACACACUUCGGGCAUCUCGCAUCCCACCUGGCAUCACGAGGAAUCUCCGGGGCUCGCCAUGAAAAUGGUUACCCUUACCUUCCAGGCAUGCAUCAUAAUACAACCCCUCACCCUCCGGGCAUGUAUCAUAAUACAACCGGGCAUCCCGACACUCUCGGGGAAAACCUCUGGGCAUGUAUUCAUAAUACAACGGCAUCCAAAGGGCAUCGACUCAUUCGAACCUCUAAGCAUCCCGACUCCUGGGGUAUCGUCGGCUCACACCUUCGAUGAUAUCAUCAUUAUCACAAUUUAUAUUCACACAUGUAUCUCAAUUUCAACAUGGCAUUUGAUGCAACAAUAUCAAGGGUCUCAACUAGCUUUUGAUGCCAUAUAACAUGCCAUGUGUCAUCACCUAUGCAGCAAAAUCAACCACUCAAAGCAUUACAUCACAUGGAAAAAUUCAUUUAUUUUUUAAAACACAUCAAUUUUUGGAUAAAAACAGAAUACACUCCUUUAGUUAAAACUCUAGGAAAAUUAGUGAAUGGUAUAAAUAAAUUCUGAAAAAUUGACACAUUAUAGACGAGACCUAAAGGAAGAUAUCUCAUGAAAAACACCGUACCAAAAGAAUCUCACACAAAACAGUACGGUCCAUGCAUCACAUUCUUCAAAAUUUUAACACUUCAGCUUCCACAGUUUCGGAAGUAAUUUAAAUUAAAUAUACAAUUGAAUUCAGAAAAUUCUGAAAUUUUGAUAUGUUAUAGAAAAGUCCUAAGGGUAAAUAUCUCGUGAAGAAAUUAAAAUCCAAAUCGUUCUAAAUUAACAGAUAUAGAUGAUUAAUUCCCCCUGUUCUAGGUGUCGUUUUUCCAGAUUAUCUUUUUUCAAAGGAAACUCGUUUCACCAAUCUACAUAUGUCCGUUUCUUCUAAAUUUUUCAGUAUUUUAUACCAAAGAAUAUUAUCUAAAACUUUCAUUAAGGACACACGAUCAAAUUUUAACUGUAUGAUUUUAUAAAAAUCACAGAAUCAUACUAGGUCGAGGUAGUAUUUUCCCAGAUCCAGUUUCUUCAAAGGACAACGAUUUCACCAACCUAUUUUUGUUCAUUUCCUCUAAAAUUUUUAUAUUUUUUACCUUGAAAUGUACAAUACAACUUUCAUUAAAAACUCAAAGUGAGAUUUUCGCAAGAAAGCUACUUUACAGUCCACGAAAUCACUAAAGGUCAGUACAACAAAUUCCAGAUCUAAUCUCUCCAAAGGAAAAUCGUUUCACCAGGAAAUCCUUGUCCUUUUUGUCUCAAAUUUUAGUAUUUUAUCCCUCAAGAUGUUUUCUACAACUUUUAUGAAGAGAUUGAAGUGAGAUUCCAACUAAAAAGUCAUAUGCAGCUCACAAACUCGUAAAGGGUCGGACUGAUUUUUCCAGAAAACAGCAUGCUAGGCCAACAAAUUUUUCCCCAUAGCUUCGACCUUUCAUCACAUCUACCACAACCAAAAUUCACCAUCUUCUACACACACAUCACAGAAAGCAAAGGGUAGGUUUUAGGACUCUACUUGCCUCUAAUCCAAAGAAAACAUAGCAAGACAAUGGCGGGGCGAGGCGGGCUCGACGGCGGCGGCUAGGUGGAUGCACGGUGGGGCAAGCCUUCUUCUUCCUCUCUCGGCGUCAACCUCUCUCUCUCUCUCUCUCUCUCUCUCUCUCUCUCUCUCUCUCACUCACUCUCGGCACCUAGCUCCGACCACCCCCCUUCCCUUUUUCCUUUUGGUUGAAUAAAAAUCCUUGCAUGCUUCCACUUUUGCAUGGAGGGACACUUGUCCCUAAGAAGGAGACAAGUGUCUUCUUGUUGAAGACAUAUGGAGGAGGCCAUCCGGCUCAUCCCCCCUUUCCAUGCGGUCGACAUCCCAAUGGGCUUCAUGGGCCAGACCUUUUGGCCCACCUUAGGCCCAACUCUCUUGGGCCUAAAGUCCAAACUUAAAUGGCCCAUGUUUACUUUUAAUAAUCCAUCUUAAUCCCCACUUAAAUAAAUACCUAAUUGCAAAAUAAAAUGACCAAAAGACUUUGUGACAUUAAUCCAUAAAAAUCAAAUAUAUAAAGUGCAAACUUAAAUGGCCCAUGUUUACUUUUAAUAAUCCAUCUUAAUCCCCACUUAAAUAAAUACCUAAUUGCAAAAUAAAAUGGCCAAAAGACUUUGUGACAUUAAUCCAUAAAAAUCAAAUCUAUAAAGUGCAUAGUCAAGAACAAAUCUUCCUUACCAAAUUGUCCUAUAGCACCAACCUUGAUCAUCCAUUAACAUAAGAUAUAUUUCUAUCCAAACAAUUCUCCAUUAAAAUACUCGGCAUUAAUCUGUUACAAUUCUUUGGUCUAAAGGCCAUAACAUAAAUCAAUAACACUUCCAUCACCUAUUCAUGGUUUAUGGUAUAUCUAGGGGCUAUCAUGAAAUUUUGGGAUGCCACGGCAUCCAAUAGACUUCACGUGUCAAUAAGCACCUGCUUCGGCCCUACAUCACAAGUAGAUGUAUCAAGAAAAUACAUGAAUAAUUAAGUAUCCAAACUUGGACCACGCUUUGACCCAAAAAUAAAAAUAAAAAUGGACCACACGUUUGACAAAUUGCACACAAGAAAUUGGUAGCUUGAACAACCAAGGAAGCGAAUCAACAGUUCUGAUCUGUUGCUGUGUUAAUUACAUUUUCCCAUAAUGUUUUGGAUAAUCCUAUAUAUAUAUUUCGGUAAUCCUACAUGCAUACUCAUAUUUCUUGCACAGUCAUUCAAAGUUCUAUUCAUCCUUUCAACAACUUUGUUUACCAUGAUAUGUUGUGAACUAUUUGUGGCACCCCCGACUCGCCUGAGGUCACCACAGGUACCCUCUCUCUUUAUUUACUCAAUCUCAUAUAACUUUGACUAUAGAUAUAUUUUUUUUUUUUUGAAAACGGUCCCAGUGCAGCUUAUUAGCAGAAGCAUAAACAAGUCUCACCAUUUCUCCCUCCAAUAACCAUAAUGCAAUGCACACCCACUACGCACCAUAAGAAAAGAUAAAGCCGAUUCACUCUUAUUUAUAUUUUCAUGAUGGACAUCAAGGUCGAUACAACAAAAAGGCCAAGAUUCUUAACUAUACUUGGCUACCACCCAAAAGAGGACUCGACCCUACAUCGAACAUGUACAACCUUCCAUCAAACAAGUGUCGGUUAUCUCAAAAAAGUGUCAGCUCCCAACAGCUAUACACGCCAUCAUACCCAAUCCAGUGCAUUGGGUGGCGGCGGUGGUAACAUCCCUAACAUCGCUCCAUCAUGUCGGACAUGGACAGAUAAAAACUCCUAGAUAACCGGGCCAUCAGCUCAACCCACAUCAUACGUCACCAGAACAUAGACUCGAACAAAAACUAAACUAGGAGCACCGACAUAGACCUGCUCAAUAUACUCCACAUCCACAUCAAUAGGUAUGCCAUAGUAAGUACCGCGUGCAACUGGCAACAAAGGCAUCUUUCUAAUCUGAAAUGUUAAUCCCCAAAAGGGGUGAGUACAACCACUCAGCAGUAAAGAUCCACCAAACUACUCAAUGCAUCAAACAGAACAAUCAAGGCAUCAUAAACUGUGGCAUCCCAAAAUUCAAGUCAUCCUCUAGAGGAAUUAAAGCCAAUAAUUAGGUAAUGAAAAUUACCUAUGGUCUAUGUGUUGGCCAUUAGUUUUCUUAAGGCUAUGUGUUAUUGUGCUUGUGUUUAUGAAUUUUGAAUUUAGGAAUAUAGGAUAAAUUAAUAAUUUAUGCUUGGCCAUACACUUUAUAAAUUAAAUUUCUAUAAAUAAAAUACUACAAGAUUUUGGCCAUGUGGAAUUUAGUAAUUUAAUUCUUAAAAGAAAGAAUAAGAAAGGGGUAAAAUUGAUUUUUAAUUGGGUUGGGCCUUAGGCCCAUUGGCCGAAUCCUUGAUGGGCCAAGCAAGUCGGCCCAAUUAGGCCCACUAAAGGGGGCUGUCGACCAGCCCAUUUGCUGGCCCAAGAUAGGCCCAAGAAGAAGGCCCAUUAACCUUGCAUGUCCUCCAACACUUGUCCUCUCCUUUUUGCCACUUGUUCUCCUCAUGAGAACACUUGUCCCCCAUGCAAAGAGGGGAUACAUGCAAUAUAAAAGGGAAGGAAAGGAGAGAGAAUGGCUGGUUAGCCAUUCGGCCAAGAGAGAAAGAGAGAGAGAGAGAGAGAGAGAGAGAGAGAGAGAGAGAGAGAGAGAGAGAACCGUGCGAGAGAGAGAGAGGAAGAGGGUGCGGCCGAGAGAGGGAGGCCGAGAGAGGAAGGAGCUGUCGCCGUCCAUCCGCCGUGUUCAUCCGCCGUACGCCGUCAUUUGUUCAUCUUAGAGGCAAGUGGAGUCCUCUGAAUUCUCUUGCAUGCUUGUAUGUUGAUUGCAUGUUAGAUUUUAGGUGUUUUAAGUGAGAAAAACCGAGGCAAGGUUGGCUUGUUCUUAAGUCGUGUGACUGUUCUUGCUCAGAUUGUGUGAGUCAGUAACUUGUUUGAGCUUGCAUGUGUGUUUAGAGUCCGAUUUUGGCUUCGGUGUCUUCAUGAAAGUUGUAGCUAACAUCUUGUACUAUAACAUAAUGAGAUUUCGUGAAAAAUGAUGGAGCUUUUGGGGGUUAAAGCCUUGUUAUACGGAGACCCCAGAUCUGUGAUGUUUUCACUGACCUCUUGUUGGAUUCUUGGUUGCAUGUUGGUUUUUGAUGAAAAUAUGACUUCGGUGUCUUCAUGAAAGUUGUAGGUAACAUCGUAAAAUACAACAUACUCAAAUUUGAAGAGAAAUGAACAAGUAUAGCCUAGUAAAUCGGCUAGAUCUUGGAGAUGAUGAUUCUGGUGAUGUGUUCCGAGACACCCGCGACUUGAUGGACUUAAAUGGUGACCAUAAUUUGGUUAUUUGACCUAUAUCUCUUCAUGAAACUUUUAAAGGACGCCUUGAUGUAUAACAUAUCCAAAUUUCAGAGGAAACGAAAGAGAAUAGGUAGGUUAAAUCUCAAUAUUUCGGAGAUGUGUUUACUGGACGAUGUGGUAACGGAUCCAGAAGCUUCGUGAGGUUGUAUAAAAUAAUCUAAAAAGAAUCUGGCUUGAAAGUCUUCAUCAAAGUUGUUCGGAAAAUGUCUUGGAUAUUACUCUGUAAAAUUUCGUAAUUUUUGGAGGCCAUAUGGAUAUUUUAAUUGAAUUUAUUCGGAAACCGUGCAUUCUGGUUUCAUCCGAGAAGCAUAGGAUGUUUUGGGAAAAUUAUGAAAUUUUAUAAAAAUUCAAUUUGGCCAUGAAUUUUGCAAGUAAUUAUCAUCCUAUGGGUUUGUUUAAUAAUUUCUUGAAUAUUGAUAAUUAUGGGAGUUUAUAGUUAUUUUAAAAAAUAAUAAUAAAUAAAAUAAAUAAAUAAAAAGGAAUUAUUUCAUUGGCCAUAGAUUCCAUUUAAUUAAUCUAUGUUGCACAUGUGAUAAAUUCUUGAUAUGUCUAUGAUAUUGAAUUGAGUUGCACAUGUGAAUAAGGUUUUGGCAUAUGUAUGGCAAUUGAAUCAAUGCAUGUGUGAAUGUCAUGCCUAGUAUGAUUUGUUUGAUAUCAUGCCAUGUGCCAUGUUAAAAUGUGAAUAAAACACUAGUGAACAUGGAUGAUGGUAAAUGAGGAGAGGGUUGUGAUGUCGGAUGAUGCUCGGAAUGUAUAGAGAUACAUUGCCGAAAUUCCUCGGGAGUGUCGGGAUGCUCGGUGGUAUACGGUACGUAAUUCCAGGGGAGGCCUGGUGGUAUGUCAGUACAUAAUUCCGGAAGCCUUGUCGGAGGUCUUUGCUCGAAAGGAAUGCCUCUCGAUGCCAAAAUUGGGGUGCGAGAUGCCUGGCUAGAAGGGUAAAGGCCGGAAGCCCUGUCGGAGGUUUCUGCCCGAAGGGAAUGCCUCGUGAUACUAGUUGAGAUGCGAGAUGCCCGGAAUGUGGGGGGCUGGAAGCCCGGUGCCAUGGCAUGGCUGGAAUGCUGGGAACCCUGUCGGAGGUCUUUGCCCGAAGGGAUGAUGAAAUUGAUGAUAUGAGAAAUGGGUGAUGUGGUGAUCAAAUUUAAAGAUAAAGAUGAAAAUAAUUUCAUGGCAUGAUGAUAUGCAUGAUGACGAUGAUAUGUGAUGAGAUAUGACGAUCACCUAUGGUAUGAUAUGCAUGAUGAUAUGCAUGAUGGUGAUGAUGAUGAUAUGUGAUGUGAAAUAAUGAUGAUCACCCAUGAUAUUAUAUGCAUGAUGAUAUACAUGAUGAUAUACAUGAUGAUGAUGAUGAUGAUGAUGAUAUGUGAUGUGAUAUGAUGAUCACCCAUGAUAUGAUAUGCAUGAUGAUGAUGAUGAUGAUGAUGAUGAUAUGUGAUGUGAUGAUGUCAUGAUAAGGAUGACAUGUAUGAUAUAAUGAUGCCAUGAUGAUGAUUAUGAUGAUGACAUAUGAUGAUAUGAUAUGCAUGAUGAUAAGGCAUGAUGAUGCAUGAUAGUAUUGCGCAUGGCUGCAAGGUAAGUUACGCCUGCAAUGCAUGUAUGAUUUGCAUGAUGAAUUGAGUUGUUAUUGGAUUCCUUAUCUGCUGAGUGGUUGUACUCACCCCUUUUGGGGACCAACAUUUCAGAUUAGUAGAUGAAUUGAGCGGUUGGAUAUGACCGCGAGGAGAAGGAUAGCAAAGGAGGGAACUUUUGGACGCCGACACUUAUCGAUGGACUUUAAGUGUAUGACUAUUGGAAGAGACGUCAGUCAUCUUUUGAAGUAUAGCCUAGUAUAGAAAACUAUGGCAUUUUGAUAUACCGAUGAAUGAUGUCCAUCUGCUCUAUGUAAAUAAACGUGUUUGGUUUUAACUUAUAUAAGAUGUUUAGUAGGUAUGCAUCGAUUUCUAAAUGUAGGUAAGGGAAUUGUUGGAUAUGCUUCCGUUAUGUAAAUUGCACAAGGGACCGUUAAUAAAAUAUGUAAACCCCCAUGGUUGUAUGGACCCGCUGCAACUAAAAAUGGUAUCAGAGUGACAUGUUAGUAGGAAAAGUGAAUGGUAAGCGAACUGUGGCAACCCUAGCGGAUCGGGGGCCGGUCGAGGGGUGCCACAUAAACAAAGCACAUAUCAUUCAUGCAUCCAAGCAUACCUUACCUUGCAACCAUGCAUAUCAUCAAGCAACGUGCAUAAGUCACCAUGCACUUGUACUUACACAUGUAUCAUCAAGCAACCAUGCAUAUCAUCAUUAUGUAGCGUGUAUAUCCCACCAUGCACUCGUCAUUAAACAGUCAUGCAUAUACCAUUAUGCAACAUGCAUAUUCCACCAUGCACUCAUCAUUAAACAACCAUACAUGUAUCACCAUGCCAUAUGCACACAUCCAUGUGCGUGAUUCAAUUCUUGAUCUUUAUAUUUCAAAUAGAUCACAUCAUUUUCUUCCCAGGGACCAAUGUUUGCAUCCCACAAUUUAUCGCUCACAGCCCACCUGGCAUCGCGAGGAACCUCCGACACACACCUCUAGGCAUCCGGCACACACACUUCGGGCAUCUCGUACUCUCACUGGCAUCAUGAGGUAUCCCCUCGGCACACACCUCCGAGGCUUCCGGCACUCCCACACUCCGGGCAUACCGACACUCUCGGGGCAUUGUCGGCUCACACUUCGGACAGUCUUGUUACCGUCUCAAUUUACAUUUAUACAUGUAUCUCAAUUCUAACAUGGUAUUUGAUGCAACAAUAUCAAGGGUCUCAACCAACUUUUCAUGCCAUAUAACAUGCCAUAUGCCAUUACAUAUGCAGCAAAAUCAACCACUCAAAGUAUUUCAUCACAUGGAUAAAUUCAUUUAUUUUUCAAAACACAUCAAUUUUUCGAAUAAAUCAGAAUGCAUUCCUCUAAUUAAAACUCCAGAAAAUUUGUAAAUGGAACUAAUAAAUUCUGAAAGCUUGACAUAUUAUAGACGAGACCUAAAGGCAGAUAUCUUAUGAAUAACUCCAUACCGAAAGAAUCUCACACAAAACAGUAUGGUCCAGACAUCAUAGUUUUCAAACUUCAAUAUUUCAGCUUGCACAAUUUCGGGAGUAAUUUAAAUUAAAUAUCCAAAUAAACUCCAAAAAUUCUGAAAUUUUGACAUAGAAACCCAAAUCGUUCUAGGUUAAUAGACACAGACGAUUAUUUCCCCCUGUUCUCGGUGUCAUCUUUUCCCAGAUUAUCAUCUUUCAAAAGAAACUCAUUUUACCGACCUGCAUAUGUUCAUUUCUUCUAAAUUUUCAGUAUGUUAUUCCUCAGAAUAUUACCUACAACUUUCAUUAAGAACACAUGAUCAAAUUUUAACUGUAUGAUUUUAUAAAAAUCACAAAAGCAUACUAGGUCGAGCUAGCGUUUUUUCCAGAUCCAGUGUCUUCAAAGAACAACGAUUUCACCGACCUAUUUUUGUUCAUUUCCUCUAAAUUUUUUAUAUGUUAUACCUUAAGAAGUAAAAUAUAACUUUCAUUGAGAGAUUAAAGUGAGAUUUUCACAAGAAAGCUACUUUAUAGACCACGAAAUCACUAAAGGGCAGCACAACAAAUUCCAGAUCUAAUGUCUCCAAAGAAAAAUCAUUUCACUAACCAAUAAUUGUUCGUUUUGCCUCAAAUUUCAGUAUGUUGUUUCUCAAGGUGUUCUCUACAACUUUCAUGAAGAAAUCAAAACAAGAUUCCAACUAAAAAGUUGCAUGCAGCACACAAUAUUAGGGAUGGUCGGACUGGUCUUUCCAGAAACAGCAUGCUAGACCAACCAAUUUCUCCCCCUAACUUCAACUUUUCAUGACAUCUACCUCAACCAACAUUCACCAUCUUCUACACACACAUUACAGCAAUGUAAAGGGUAGGUUUUAGGACUCUACUUGCCUUAAACUCAAGCACAAAUAGUAACAAAGAUGGCGGGCAAAGCGGCGAACAGACGGCAGCAAGCUAGACAGACGAUCCUCCUCCUUCCUCUUGCAUGCCCGCUUCCUCCCUUUCCCUCUUCCUCUCUCUCGGUUUCCCUUUCUCUCUCGGACGACUCUCUCUCUCUCUCUCUCUCUCUCUCGGUCGAUUCCCCCUCAUCAAUCUGCCUCCCUCUCUUUAGUUUUCUUCCCCUACAAUCAUUUGCAAUCAUUUGAUUGCAUGAAGCCGCCCAGAGGAACCAAUGGGGGCAGUCACACUUGGCUUCUCCUCUAUGCCACUUGGCAACUUACAUGCAAGGCUUAUGGGCUUCAAUGCUGGGCCGGUCUUGGGCCUUCAUGGGCCGGUCGAAUAGGGGGCUGGCGUGGGCUAGUUGGACGGUCUUUGGGCCUAAAAAUCAGCCCACCCUCUCCUAUUCCCAUUCCAUUUAACCCUUACUUAAAUAAACAUCUAAUUUCAACUUAUAAGCCCACAAAAAUUUAUAAUUUAAAUCAAUAAAAUUCUACUUAUAAAGUGCACCACCAAGAAUAAGAUUUCUAUAUCAAUUUGCACCUUAAUAAAAUCCUUGGGUCACUUGUAGACACAUCUGCACCCAAACAAUUGCCCAUAAUGCUCAGCCUUAAAUUAUUUGAAAUUCAUUGAUUCAAUGGCUAAUACAAAAUCAAAAUGCACUUCCAUUACCUAAUCAUGGUUCAUGGUACUCCAGAGGUUGUCAUGAGAUUUUAGGAUGCCACACUAUUCUUGUCAUACAAUUCUUCACAAAACUACAUGUACUCCUCAAUAUCUUACUCACGACCAUUGUUGAACUUUAGAAAGUUGAUAUUCAAGCCAAUCUCAUUUUCGACUAAGUAGCAAACACAUCAAUUUUAUUUUUCAGAAAAUAACACACAUUUCUAGUUGAGUUUUCAAUGAAUGUGACGUAAUAGUAUGACCUUCUAAGGGAAUGCAUAGGGGCUGGCCCCCUAAACAUUUGUAAGUACCAGCUCUCAUCUUCCUUUUCUUGGCUUUCUUUCAAUUUUCAAAAUACUGACGUAUUUUUACUUACCAGAACACGAUCUUCACAUAGACCGAUACUUAUGUACUUCAAAUUAGACGGUUUUCUGUUUGAUGCUAACACUAUCAUCCCUUUUUUGCUUAUCUGUCCAAGCAUGCGGUGCAACAGUUUGGGACUAGCUUCUAAGUCAACAAGUGCUACUAUUACUCUGCUACUUUCAGUCAUCUAUAGUGUUCCCAACAUUGUUCUCUGAGUUACAACCAUAAGGCAUUUAAAAAUCUGCCACGAUCAGUCCCCAAAAAUGUGUAUCUUAUGUUGUCUAAUUGAACAAUAGAGAUCAGAUUUGUCUUAAGGCCAAGAACAAAUUUGAUAUUUUGCAACUCCCAUUGAUAAUCGUUCACAAUCUUUAUAUUAACAUUACAUUUGUCCACGGUAUCCAAAGCUUCAUCAUCACCAAGAUAAACCUGUCCAAAGUUUGUGGCAACAAAAUUAUACAUUUAUCCCCUGCAUGAAGUUGAUUGAAAUGGCGCACCCAAGUCUAGAAUCCAAGAUUUAAUUGGACUAUUGACAAUCAAUGUUAAGCAUCAUGGGCAAGUGUAUUUUUAAAGGUUGCAUUAACAAUUUUCUCCUAUUGAUUUCGAUACUCAGUUUUCUUUUUUGGGGCUCUACAAUCUUGUUUCAGAUGACCUUUCUUACCACAAUUCUAGUAAAUUACUUCACCAUGAGGUAUUGACUUGCUUCUCCUUGUGGAAUUCAAUCUACAAUAGUCCUAUUUAUGACCUCGUUGAUUGCUUCUCCCUUUGCCUUUACUACUUAAGUCAACACCUGAAUAUUCAUUCGAUUCUCUUCUAUGAAAAUCCUCGCUAAGGUGCAAUCUCCAUUCUCUUGAAACUUUAUGUUUUUUUAACCAAAGGAGCUGCUUAUCACAGUCACAGUAGCACUCCAACUUUCAAGUAGAGAAGAUAAUAAAAUCAAAGCUUUUACCUCAUCCCCUAAUAUGAUUGCCAAUAGACUCAUUUUAAUAGUGAUUUCCUUGAAUUUGUUGAUGUAAUUUGCCACGUAAACACCUUCGUCCAUCUUUAGAUAGAAACCCAAUGUAUCAAAUAUACCUUAGUUGAUGCAAAUGGCUUCUCAUACAUGUUGGACAAAGCCCUCAUCAAAUUUGUUGAUGCUUCUUGUUGGUGACAUUGAAGGCAACAUUCGCACCAAUGUAAGACAAAUCACACUUAGGGCUUGCCGAUCUAACAAUUCCUAAUCGUCUUGCUUGAUCGAACUUGAUUUCUUUUUUUUUUCUUUUUUUACAGAGGCUGAUGCAAGGUCCUCUAAUAUAGCAGAUGCUUGAUCUGCAUCUUCCAUGAACCAAUGUCCUUCCCAUGAAACCGAUUGAUUUUCACCUUCCAUUUGUCCAUCUUCAUCGACCCACUAUUUUGGUGAAUGAGGCUUUGAUACCAUACAAAUGCAAAACGUUGAAGAGAAAAAUAGAGAAGAAGACACGCACAUUUUUACGUGGAAAACCCUUUCAAAAUCAGAAAGGGAAAAUUACGGUACCACAUUGAACAAUCUCUUUACUAUCACUAUUAGUUUUAAAGCUAUAAGUUAAAACUACAACAUAUAUUAAUCCAAUAUACAACAGGAGUUUAGGGCUUACAAAGUUAUAGUAUGAGUUAUAUCUAUGCCAUUAAUAGAGUACGAAAUCUCUCUACUUUGAUAUUACUUUCCUCUUUCAAACUCCACAACUCUGUCAUGAUGGACCAGCCAUAAAAUUGAAUUUGGAGGAGUUAUAUGAUGCCCUCAAUCCCAACCCAAUAAGUCCAUUCUCGGCAGACAAUAUAAUGGUAAAUUGAGUGAACCCAUUUUCUAUAGGGGGUUAUCUUCAACCGCAAAAUUCAUUACAUCUAUGACAUUUGCAGUUGUGUUCCAUGUUUGUGCCUAAUUUUUGCAACGUCUACGUGUGUAUUUGUUGUGCUCAAGGAGUGACGACAAUAAAAGAACAAGUGUAUUUGUUGAUUAUGCUGAAAAGUUGAAAAUAGUUUAUUGGAACACGUUUAACUUAGUUGCCACAUCAUAUUUGAAAUAGACCAUUCACUGAUCGUCAUAUCCGUUCUAACAGAUUUGCCAAGUUGAAAAUACACUUUCACUCUGCUUCUGUUUCUCUGCAAUGCCAGUUCCCAUUGAAGCACCACCACCCUUGCUUCGCUACAACUACAGAGAUGCUCUCACCAAGUCCAUUUUCUUCUUUGAAGGCCAUAGACUCCCUCCUAGCCAGAUGGUCACUUGGAAAAGAGACUUCAGAUCUGGAAGGCAGAGGGAAGGUGGUCGCCAGUGGGUGCGGUGGCUACGGCUUGACGGUGGGCUCUAGGAUGAGGUUGCGGUGGGCUCAGAUCUGGCUCCUCUAUUUUUCCUAUUGAUUUUUAAGCUCGCAGUAGCUGCCUACUGCGGCUUCCCAUGGUCGUCCGGAUCUUGACUUUGCAGUCACGGCCAUGGAUGAGCCAGUCCUAGCUAGAUCUAAAGUGGCUGGAAGUGGAUUCUGCGUCAAAUUUGGACAGCUCCAUGCAUGGUGAGGAGUAUAAGGGAGGAGAAGAAAUGAAAUGGAAGAGGGGGGAUAACGGAGGAGAGAAGAAAUCUGAAAGUGAGCCCAACUUGGACAUGUGGCAAUAAGUAAAUGGUCUAUAUUAAAAAAGACGUGGCAGAUAUUUUGUCCACAAUAUUUUCUCCACAAAAAGCAAAGAAAAAAAAGAGACUUACCCCAUGAAAAUUGCAAUUCACGUAAUUUUUGUCAAUAAUCCAAAAUUUUAGAUGGGGCCCACGACCUUUAUUAUUCGCCCUGUCUUUUCCUUUUUAGGUUAGAUAUCGUUUGUCCUAUCGACCAAUUGAUGGCUAUUUUAGGGUACUGUACCAUCUGAUGCAGCUUUUAACAAACCCUAAUUUCGGAAUGCACAUUGACACUAAAGAGAGGGAAGGAGUAAAAUCUUGAGUUUGUUCAUUUCCCUAUAGGCCUAGGACAGAAAAUUGGGGUAUACUUUUGACAUUGCAUUAUUCCCAUGUAGUGUGAUUAACUAAAUGUAUCUUAGCUCUAUCUAGAAUUAGUGGAUUUCAUCAAUGAUAAUUGAAUUAUAGUAUAACCUCAAAUGAAGUCAUGGGGCUUUUUGUUGGUCAUCUAACGUAAAACUUUUAUUUUACUUCUUCCGAAUGGAUGCACUUUGAUUGGAGUUCCAUAAAUCCUCAAGGUAAAGGAUGAUGUGGUGACAUGGGGCAGUUGAAAAAUUUGGUGAUACUUCUGUCAAAUGUUUUACAAGUUUAAAUUGUUAGAUGAAGAAUUAUUUAAUAAAUUAAAUAUUCUAAUAGUCUCCUUCAUGCGUGAGAUUGACCAAAGACACAUAGCCCAAUUCCACUGCCAUUGCCAUGGGUAAUGAGUCAAUGACAACCUAUCCAUAAUGACCAAUAUCUACGUGUUUCACUUUUUAUCUGCUACAAAUAGUGCAAACUUCUCACUUCCACUACACUCUGUCCCUCUCCCCCCCUCCCUCCUUCCCCAUUCUGAGAGAAUUUCUCAAUCCCUUCAUUUUCAGAAUGUCUGCCAAAGUGCUGAUGAGCUGUGGCAUCUCCAUUACCUCCUUCCCAUCCAACCUCUCCUCUUCGAAGUCAAAAUUCGCCGAUGUAGUCUCACUUCGGAGCACCACCGUAAAUGCCUCAUCGUGCUUCUCCAUGUUGGGCAAGUGGAUGCCUGGUCAGCCCCAGCCACCCAACCCCAACAACCUAGCACCCAGGUAAAUCAAAUCUUAAUACUAAUAGCAACCCGUUCUAAGAGUAUUUUUGUGACAUCCAUAUUUUCAGGUUCGAAUUUUGAUUAAAUAAAUUGGGCAUUUCAUCGACGCGACUAUAGUGUUUUUGUCUGAGUUGGCUACUCACGAGAUAACUAGACUAGCCGGGUAAGCUAUUAAGGACUUUAAGGCAGAUAGACUUGAGAAUUCGACUAGAAAUCGAUUUCUCGACCGUGCUCAUCUUUAAAAGUCAUUACGACAUAGUUAAAAAUCAAAUUAAGAUUAGAGAUAGGUUGGUUUGACUAAGAUGAAUGACCGAUCAUGGGUGACUCCACUAAAUUGGAAAACUCUCGUCGACAGGCACUAAUUUGAUUUUACUGUCGUUUUGGUACCCUAUGUCCGUAUUUGAAUCAUCAAGAUUUUCACGACAAUCGAGAGUCGCCAAUGUGUCGAGUAGGUUCAUCGUGGUUCGAAGAAAAUCGACCACGGGUCAUUUGUCCUAAAACGUUAUGAAAACUACCCGAUAGCCUAGGUCACGCUAAAAGCGCGUCAGAGUAAAAUUAACCGUCAAUCGAGUCUGAUUUCAGAAAUUGAAGAUUUUGUGGUGUCACCAGCUAUUCUAAGAACCUCGACUUAGUCUCAGAAGAUUUUUAAAAGAUUCUGAGAUUUUUACGGAAAAUGAAUUCGAAUGCCGUGAAAAAUUAGCGGAAAUUCGGAGGGGCUCAAUUAAAGGAAAUUGGGACUUCCGAGCCAAGUCUUUGAGUGUCAAGGGCUUGCAGAAAAUUGUUCGGUAUUUUCUUUUAUUGAAAUUGGACCUUGAUUUGGAGAUUUGAGUGAGGAAUUGAAGUUAAUAUUGGUGAAAUUUGGAUUUAGGCAAAGGCUGCAAUUUUGGGCUUCAAUUUGGUUUAUUUGUGAAUAUUAAGGUUGGAAAGAAAUGGGGGACAUGCAAUAAAUGGGAUGGCUAAGGCUUGAUGAUUAUGGGGAUAAGGGCUUGACUUUUUGUUCCCCCUCUCCUCUCUUUCCUCUCUCGGACGCAUGCUUUUUCUCCACCUGCUUCUGCCGAUCUUUUCAUUUGCCUUCCCUUGAGCCAUCCCACUUUCUUCUUCACGUGCAGACUCAUCCCCCUCAAGCUUUCACCCCCACGCCCCCCAAUUUCUCUAGUUACUCUCUUCUUCAACCCGCGAGACUACAGCUCACGAACCGAGCGUGCUUCAGCCAUGAUUCCUUUUCACGCCGCCAGCUCAUGGUCAACAAACUAGCCAUAAAAUCCACCGAAGUUGCAUUUUUGACCACCGAAUCCUCUCCAUCUCUGCUUCGGUUUGCCAACGUCUGCUGCCACCGCAUCAAUCGAAGUAGCCUCAUCACCACAUGGCCUCAACCAGUAACUUCGGCCACCUGCCGCGUGCUCCAUCAACGUACAUCUCUGCCGAAUUCACCCUCUUCGAGCAGUCCACGUUUACCUCAGCUUCACCGACUUCUCCGCCAACUUGCUUCCACUUCGUGCAGCCCAUUCCACCGCCAGCAGCCGUCCACUUCCUUCGGUCUUCACUCCAGGUUGCCACGGUGUCGAGGUCCAUCGAAGCUUUAGUCAACCUUACAUCUUCUUAGGCGGUUUGUUGACCUAGCAAAUCCACCGAGCGGCCGCUUCUGCCAUCAUCUGCCGCGCGUGCCUUCAUCCACCGAGACUGCAGCCACUUCACGGUCAACAAACCAGCAUCGAAGACCACCACAAUUGACAGCCCUCAGCUCCACGCGGCCAGCGUCCAGCUGCCCGAAGACUCCAAUUGGUCGUCAAUUGUCGAGGCCCAACGACGGCCUUCGCUGCUCCUUCCUCACUCGGGCAGCACCGAACGAAGCAGCAAUCCACAAUUUCUUCUCCGCCAGCUCACCAUCGUCACCUGCAGUUCACGCAUUUCCUUGGCCCAAUAGAAUUCAGUCUUCGGGCCCAGCAAAGCCAGCAGAUUCCAGUGUCUUCGGCCCAUCUUUUUUACAGUGUGCAACCCAGCGUCUUCAGUCUUGGGCCUGUGUCUCCAGCCCACAAAUCUAGCAAUUUUGGCCAGCAAGUCCAGCGCAUUGCAACCUAGCGUUUGGCCCAUCCUUCAGCAGUAAUUUGGCCCAUGAUUUUAACAGUUUGUACAGCUCCUUGACGUCAGCCCAGUCCAGCAUGGCCCAGCAAGUCUAGCCCAUCUUAGGCCCGUGAAGCAAGUCAGCCCAAGUUCAGCCGCCAUCACGUCGCCGUCGCAGUUUCCGAUCUUCGCAUGUACAAGUGAGUUUUACUCACUAAUGCCUUCUUAAUUUUCUAAUUAUACUUAAAGGUUGAUUAUAUUUAGUUAAGUGCAAUUAGGUGGUUAGAUUAGAGUAUAUUAGUGAUUAUUAGAUAAUUGUGAUUCAUGUCAGUCAAUUGGAUUGUGCAAUUAGCGAGUAGGCAUGCAAUACUAUUUAUUGAAUGCUACUUGGGAUUUUUCCCAACCCUUAUCCGGUGUUAAUUAGGAAAUUCGGGCCUAAGUGGAAUUUUUAGGAAUUAAAUAUUAAUUUUGGAAAUUAAUUAUUUAAUUAUUUAAUUCCCGGAAAUUCAACUGGGAUGGCCAGUGACCGAGAUUUUAUGAUGAUGAUCGUGGUGUAGUCCGUUUAUUUAAUUGGGCUUUAUAUUGUGCUAACUUGAAUUUAUUGGAUUUACUUAUUUAAUUUUCGAAAUUAAUUAUUUAAUUAUUUAAUUAUUUAUUUCCCGGAAAUUCAACUGGGAUGUUCAGUGACCGGAGUUUUGUGCUGAUUGUUGUGGCACAAUUCAUUUAUUUAAUUGAGCUUUAUUUUGUGCUGAAUUGAAUUAUUUGUGAAAUUAAGAAUUAUUCUUUAAUGGAAUAAUCUUUGGUUAUUAAUUGAAAAAUAACUGGGCAUCGGUUGACAGCGCCAAAAAUAUUUUGGUGGACUACAAAUAAUGGUGGGAUUUGUGGAAAUGAAAUUAUAAUAUUUUAGCUAAAGCCGACCGUGUACCCACACACGAAUAGUUUAUCGAGAAUCAUAAAAAUGGUGAUUUGAUUAAAUGAUUAUUUCAGCAUACUAUAAGAAUAUGACUGACAGCUUCUGGUGAGCAUAUAUAUAUUAUUUUCGGCAUACUAUAAAGGUAUGGCUGGCAACUUCUGGUGAGCAUAUAUAUUAUUUUCGACAUACUAUAAAGGUAUGGCUGGCAACUUCUAAUGAGCAUAUAUUAUGUUCGGUAUACUAUAAAAGUAUGGCUGGCAGCUUCUUGUGAGCAUAUUAUUAUAUCGGAUCAGUAGAUCUAGCAGCUUCUGGUGAGCAUCGGGGGUAUAUUAUAUCAGCCUGUGGGCGAUAUGUCAGCUUAGCGAGAGUAGUAUACCAGUAUACUAUAUCAGCCUACGGGCGAUAUGUCAGAUUAGCGAUGGCAGUAUACCUUAACCCUAUUAACUUUUUAGUGCGAGUUAUACUAUAUAUAUAUCAACUUAGAGUGAGCAGUCCUGAACUAUGGUCGGACUUAUAGAUAAUAUUAAAUGUGCUGACCACGCAUAGGUCAUGAUGACAUGUAAUCUACUAGGUCGAUUGAUUAUUGGUUCAUUCUAAUGUUGUGAAUUGAUUGAUUGAAUGGAAAUGACCGUGAGUGGUCUUGUUGGCAUGUAAUCGACUAGGUCAAUUUGAUUGAUGCUUCGAUCAGUGAUGUGAUUGCUUGGAUGUCUAUUUAAUAUGUGCUAAUAUGCAGGUGGAAUCUGAGGCCAAGGUAAGUCCUCCGACUCAUGUUGUGCAUAGGCAGCCCUAAGGUAUAUUAGUUUACUAAUCGGGUCUUAGGGGGUAGAACUUAUUGAGACAUGGUCUCAAUGGUUAUUAAAUAACCAUUUCAGGACCCUGAUGAGGAGCUUGCAGAGGAGGAAUCUGAAGAGGAGAACCCUAAUGUGGAACCAGAUGAGAAGGAAGAUUUUGGAGAAGAAGAUAACCAUGAGGAGGAUCCUGAGUAUGACCUGGAUGAAGACUGAGUUCCCAUCUUGUUUUGUCAGACCUUGAUUAUAUGUGGAUAAGGAUUAGAUCAGACCCCUGAGAAUAGUAUUACAUUAUAUACUAUGAGGUGCUUGUAUAAAAGAGUAGUUGUGAAUUUUAGUAUGAAAAAUAUGGCCCUGCUUUUCUAUCCUAUCACUUUAUUGUCUGGGGAUUUAUAACUGCUUCCGCAUGUGCAUAUUAAAAUGAAAAGGGUCGGCGAUACGUCUUGGGAUAUUGCUUUCAAAAUCAACCAAAGGUAAGGGAUGUGCACGUGCCUGAGGAUCGGGGCAUGACAGUUUUAACAACAAUUGAUCUUCCCAAUGUAAUAGAAAGAUCGUUGAAAAAGGUAAUGAUGGUACAUCCAAAGGUUAUGUGUCUUAAGUUAGCAUUUGACUGAGAAGUUGGUCAAAUCCCGUUAAAAGUGCCAUCGACUAUGAAUAAAUAAAAAGUUUAGCACUGUCAAUAAGAAUCAAAGUUCAGCAACUUGAUUGCAAAGUCUAUGAUUGCGUUUAUUUUGUUAUAAAUCCACAUUUGAGAUAGCUUGUAUUGAUUAUAAAAAUAAAUGAACAAAAAAUAUUGUCAUUAUUAAUGAAAAUGUCUAGAUAUAGAUUGCUUUUAAUAAUGGAAACAUUUUGACUAAUUUUUCAAACUGAUAUAAUCAAUUAUUAAUCUUUUGAAAAUUAUUCAUUUUCGAAUAACUAUAUGUGAAAUUGACUCCCGUUUUGAUUCAAGUAAUUUGAUGAACUUUUUUCUCUUCUAGUAUUAUAUCUAAAUGAUUAGUAUGGAUAGACAGUAAACGUUGCAUGCGGUUAAUCUUUUCAAACUUAUAGAAUGAAAAGGUUUAGGAUAAAAUAACCUUAUUUACGACUUUGGUAUAAUUUACUGAUUUUUUUUUUUUGGCAAUGUUAUCCACAGGGUGGGUUCCAAAGUUCUCAAACAAACAUUUGAGCAUGAAAGCAAGGAUGGUACAUAGUGUGAACUUUGUGUAUCUUGUAUGUAACCCCCUGGAUCUCACAUUGUUUCACAUGACUUGCUUGAAUUUCAGGAAUUAUAAAAUAAAUUGUAGUCAAGCUAAAUCAUAAGAAACUAAAUUGCACUGGACAAUAUUUAUCAAAAAAAUUGUUCCAUAUACAUCAAGAGAUGAGGCUAAGGGGGAUUUCUACAAAAACACUAGAAGCCACAAACACUAAAUAUCCCACCUCCUAUCGAGUAUGUACAUAGAACGACAAAAACAAAACUCUCUCACACGUCGAGCGCUCCUCGGUCACCUUCUAAUUUGAAGAAAAGACAUAAUAAACAAGUAUGAGUUUUUAAAAUAAAAACUCAACAAGUGGGCGGUUAGUCCUAACUUGGAUUUGGCCAAUAGCACAACAAAUAGGUAAAUAAGCUAUCAAUUUACUGAAUCCACAGAAAUCUAGCUGUAACAAUCACCCAGGGGGGACAACACUCCUUCCUGAACCCCUCGCACCCAACAUGGCAUCACGAGGUCCACGAUCACCCAGGGGGAGAUGACACUCCACCCUGUACCCCUUGCACUUAACCUGGCAUCACGAGGUCCCCUAAGAAGUUAUUCAACCCUUCUCAGACCUCUGGAGAGAAUACCACUACUCCUCGUCACCCCUCUCCAAGCAUCCCAACACUUGGGGUCUCACCUUGGCUCUUUAGCCAACCACACAUUCACAAUUCCACCUUGUUGCAGCACCAACAACUUCAGUAUGUGAACAAUCACAAAUAGGUCUAAACAUACAUUAUUAGAUACUUCAAGGUAUAUAGGAACUCUCAUUAAAGGCGACACAAUGAGAGUCCAACAUUUGCUUGCAGAAAACUUAAAAACUACCGACGUGGAUAGAACUAGGUAAAGGCUACUAAGACACUAGACUCCAUGUGUGUCAUGAGAAAGAAGUACAAUAGACACAACAACUAUCACAGAUUCUCGGAUCAAAGCAGUCUAUGGACUAAAAUGAGUAGUUUUGAUCAUAGACAUAGAAAGUAUAUAUAACCUUAUUGGAAUGUUACGAAAUUUCAGUAUGUUAUAGAAGAGAUAUAUAUUAACAUUUUCUAUGGAGAAACCUAAGUCUAUAUCUCAAGUUUAAAAAGCAGUAAUUUGCUGUCUUCUUUCUAAAAUUCUGCAGUAACUUCCAGAUUUAGUAUCUACAGAAAAAAGAUCGUUUCACCACCCGAACCUUAUCCGUUUAUUCUAAAUUUUUGAUAUGUUAUUCAUAAAGAUGUGUUCUACAACUUUCAUGAAGAGUUUAAGGUCCAGUUCUUUUUAUAAAAUUUCAGAAAAUUCGUAGAAUCAUCGAAGGUUUUGUUGUUUUCUAAAGUACAGCUUACUAGUUCAAAGUAAACACUCUUGCCAACACAUUUUCUCAUUAAUCUUACUAUAACUAGAUGUCGAACCUAAUCCAAUGGAUGUUCUCUCAAGUAAACUUGUUCUUUUCCUUAUCUACAUCAUCAAAAUUUAAGGCGACACAAAAAAAAAAUGUUUUCCAUCUCUAAUUCUCUAAAACAGAAAGUAUUGCACCGUUUUUCUUCAUCUUUAGCUCAACUAAACCGUUAGUUUCUCUACCAAACAUUCUUGUAGUAUCUCAGCACUCUUCUACAACAUCUAAGGUAACUAUAGCAUGAUAAAAACCGCACUUCAUCAUGCAUAUGGGAAAUAAAGAAGAUGGAGGAGCAAGCCAAGCUCGCGGCCCCCUUCAAUGCCGCGUUCUCGCCAAUCCGCAUAGCAAAACAACCCAAAAUAGGUUGCGACUCCCUUCCCCCAAUCAACUAGAUAGCCCACACAGCAAACCCACAGCCUCUCGCCAUUGUGGCUUCAUCAACAAAGCAACCACAUCCCAGCUCCGAACAGAGCUUUAGUUCCCAAAUUUUCGCAUUCAACCCCAAACUCUACCUUGAUUUUCACAUGCGCAGCUAGGCACAACCUGUCACGCCCUGAACCCCGAGCGCGCGCACAUCCCACUACGGUCGAUCAAAAAUGCGACAUCCCAGGAUAUGUCGCCGACCCAUUCAUUUAUUUACGCAUGCGGAAGUGAAACAAAUCCCCUGACAACAUUUUAACUUGGGAUAGAAAAGCAGGCAAUCAAUCACAAUACCAAACACUCAUUUACAAACACAAAGGGUUUAAAUACAACACUAGACUUUCUACAAAAUAGACCAGCUCGACAAAAGGGGAACUAUCUUACAACCAACUAGCAGGACACGCUCUCCAACCCUUAUGACUUCACCUCUGCAACUCCUCAAGGCCAACCAAAGCUAUAUGGCCACUCCGUCCACCGGGGACCUGAAAUUUUAAUCCCACAACCGGGAUGAGAUGAUGUCUCAGUAAGUUCAACCCCCUAAACCCCUAUUAGAAAGAAAAUACACCCCGGGUGGCCUAGCCACAUCACACAGAAGACUUACCUCGCCUCAGCCUUCAUCUGCAGGUUAGCGCAAUUUAUAUAAUUCAACCACGUACAAUUAUGAUAACCAAACAACCAUGGCUCCAUCACAUUAUCAAAACAAUUUAACCACUUGGAUCGUCUCAGCGAUCAAUCGACGCGGUCGGUUACAUGUCAUUCCAACAAAUCAAUCAUUGCUCACAAUCACGGCCCUACUCAGCAAAAUUAGAAUCAGUGGCAUCACGGCCCCACUUGACGCGACCUUUAUCAAGUGGCAAUUCACGGCCCCACUGGGCGCGACCUCUAUCAGGUGGCAUAUCACGGCCCCACUAGGCGCGACCUCUAAUAGAUGGCAUAUCACGGUCCCACUGGGCGCGACCUCUAUCAGGUGGCAUAUCACGGCCCCACUGGGCGCGACCUCUAUCAGGUGGCAUAUCACGGCCCCACUGGGCGCGACCUCUAAUAGGUGGCAUAUCACGGCCAAUUGCCCAUCAAUUUCCACACUUAGAAUUUUAUAAAGAAUCCAUAUUUAUCACAAUCAGCACUCAAUCCGCCACAUCCAUUCAUCAAAUUCAAAUUCUAAAUGCACAACAGCGAUCGGCACGAAAUUCUGAGCAAAUAAGGUCCCAAUAAAAAUUUUCGGAAUUUAAUAGAUAAUUAAAUUUAUUCCGAAAAAUAAUUAAAUAAUAAUAUUCAUAGUUUUCGAAAUCCACACUCAAUUUAUAAUAUCCAAUCAUCAAUUUCAAAAUCCAACUACACAGCAGCGAUCGGCACGAAAUUCUGAGCAACCGGGGUUAAAAAUAAUUUUCCUGAUUUUUUUUUUAAAAAAAAUAUUUAAUAAUUUCGGAAUUAAUAUAAUAUUAUAAAUUUCCAGAAUUUCGAAGCAAUUAAAUAAUUCAAAAUUAAAACCCUAUUAUGUCACAUCAAGGCUUUAUAUUAAAAAUAAACAUACUUAACUUUAAACUAAACACACUUUAACUUAAUUAAACACCAUAAUCUAAUCAUCAACCAAAUAAACUAAUUUAACCAACUAAGCUUACUUAACUUAGGCUAAGCACACUUAGGGCAUCAUUAACCGUCUAAUCAAGAUUUAGUGAGUUAAACUCACCGGAUUAGCGAGACGAGCGGACCAAAACGAUGGGGACGACGCGAGGAUCGACUUUCCUCAAGGCGGGCCGAGCAUCCGGGCUCGGGAAGGCAGCCAAAACGGGCCAAACACCCACUGCCAUACCCAUUUUUCCAGAUUCUGCUUGGGGCCGAUGGAGGGCGGAUCCGGCGCCGGUUGAGGCAGCCAAGGACGGCGGAGGCAAGGCGAAGCUCCAGCGGGCUAAGGCGGGGCCGCACGGUGGCUCAUGGCGGCCGAUUCGCGGCCUUGGCUGGCCGAACAACCUCCCGGAGGCAAAGACAAGUGAGGACGACAACGGUGGCUGCUGACGCGAGCUGGGCGGAGCGGAGCGGAGGGACCGAACGGCGGCGAGCUGCGACGGCGAGGAGCUCCGGUUGGCGGUGUACGACGGCCAUGGCUACUCGGGCUUGCUGCUGGGCGUCCGACCAGAUCUGGAUUUUUCGAGCAGCAACCGGAGGGAGAGAAGAAAGGCGGAGCUGCACGCACUCGGGCGAGCGGAGCCGUGGGCGGCGGACGAACGGCGACGGCAAAGCCUCCGGCAGACGAGCGGGUGGCCGGCGAGCUGCUGGCGACGUCCAAGGAAGAAGAAGAAAACGUCCAUGGAGGAAUCGCACGGGAGAGGAAGAAGAGAGGGAGGAGAGAGAAGAAGGGAGGCCAAUUUAUUUUCCUUUUUCCCUUUUCUUUAAUCCAACAAAUUGGCCCACCACAUGACCUCAUGGGUGACAUCACACUCCACUCACCUAAUCCCCACAACCUUUUCCAAUGGUUGCAAAUUUCAUUUUCCGCCGAGGUCCAAUUCUUGUACACUAAUUUCUCCAAUUCCAUUCAAUUCUCUUCCAAUUGAGUCCAAUUGAAGUUCAUAAAAUUAAUCCAAUGUCACCACACUUCAAUUUACAUCUUCACUUGUCCAUAGAACCAACUUAAGCCCCAAAAGCACGACCAAAGACGAGUCUACUAUUUCUCGAGCCAAAUUAGCCAUUUUCGGAUUUAAUUUGCCAAAGAACUCUGAUUGCAUGAAAAAUCUUCCAAAGAUAAGUCAAUGAUCCUAAAAUGAUUUGUGACACACCCAGACUUCCAAUUUCUGAAUUCGAUCUCAAUUCCACGGUUAAUUUCACUUUGGCACGAUACUAGCGCGGCCCAACCUACCGGGUAGCCUUUAGAAAUUUUCACGCAUUUGACCUGUGGUUGAUCAUCUCAAGCCACAAUGUACAUCUUUGAAACAUUGGCGACUUUCGGUUGUCGGGGUAAUCUCAAGGUUUCAAAUACGAACACAGGGUACCCAAUCGAUAGAAAAGUCGGUCCAGUGUCGAUCGACAAGGAUUAUGCGAUCCGGUGGAAUCACCCAUACUCGAUCACAUGCCUUUGUCGAGUCGACCUAUCUCCGGUCUCUAAUCGAUUUUUAUUUGUGCCGUAAUGACCCUUGCAGAUUAGCUCGAUCAAAAGGUCGCUUCCUAGCCAAAUUCUCGAGUCUGAUGCAUAAGAAACUCUUAACAGCUUCGCCCGAUAGACUAGUUUCCACAUGAGUGGCCAACUCAAGGAAAAGAACUAUAUGCAUGCCAACGAAAUGCCCGUCUUAAUUUAUUGAAAAUAGAAUCGGAAAAUCGGGAUGUCACAACUCUUCCCCUCUUAUAAAAAUUUCGUCCUCGAAAUUUAAACCUUUACCAAUUCUUAAACAAGAAGGUGGGGUAUAAUCGGCUCAUAUAAUCUUCUCUUUCUCAGGUUGCUCUUUCUGUACUACUAUUGCUAGAUCACUGCUAUCUUGCCCAAACCACUUCGGAUCCAAAAUACUAAAGACUUGCCCACUUAAACUUCCAAAGUUCUUCAACCCAAAAUCUGCGAAGCUAAAUUGGCAAUUCUGAGCAGUCUCUCAACUGUCUUUGAUAAUUGCAACUGGAUCACUGAUUUCUGGCCCAACUCUGGACUUGCGAUUUUCUGAUCUCUGAUCUCAUCUCAACAGACUGAAAUCCUGUACACUUUACUCUACACUGAUUAAAAAGAAACUAUUUGACUGAUCUGCUGAAACUGGGAAUCCCUAGUCAAGAUCUAAUAUAACUCUGACACUGAUCUCGACAACUGCAAUCACUGACUACUGCACUGACCUUGGCCUGUGAUCUUUCUUUCCUUGACUUCAUCUCAGCAAUUGAAAUUCUGCAUUCUCUGCUAUGCACUGCUUAAGAAAGAACCAUCUGAAAGCUCUACCAACUUGGAACAUCUGAUCUAGAUUUGAAAUACAAUUCAUCCCCGACACUCCAUGCAAAUGAUUUAUAUGAUAUACACACACUUCGGUGUACCCACUUUGUGACAAGACAGAAUCUCCAAUUUCUGAAAUCGAAUUUAGAUUGGCGGUUAAUUUCACUCCGACACGCUUUUAGUGUGACAUAGGCCACUAGGUAGUUUUCGGAGCUUUUUAGGACAAACGACCCGUGGUCGAUUUUCUUCGAGCCACGAUAAACCCACUCGACACAUUGGCAACUCUCGAGGGUCGUGAAAAUCUCGAUGAUUCAAAUACGGACACAGGGUACCAAAACGACAGUAAAAUCAAAUUAGUAUUAGUUUAUGAGGGUUUUCCAAUUUAGUGGAAUCACCCACGAUCGGUCAUUCAUCUCAGUCGAACCGACUUAUCUCUGAUCUUAAUUCGAUUUUUAACUGUGCCGUAUUGAUCUCUAAAGAUGAGCACGGUCGAGAAGUCAAUUCCUGGUCGAAUUGUCAAGUCUAUUUUCCUUAAGUCCUUAAUAACUCACCCAACUAGUCUAGUUAUCUCGCAAGUGGCCAACUCAGAGAAAAACAUUGUAAUCGCGUCGAUGAAAUGCCCAAUUUAACCAAUCGAAAUCAGAGUCUGAAAAUCAACCCCUCUCUCAUUUGCAUUCUCUUAUAGAGUCUUUUGAAUUUCUAAAUAUGUCCACUGAAGCGCUUUGAUUCUGAUCUGUACUCUUGGCUCAAUUCUGAGGGUAAUCAUAAGAUUCAAAAGGUGGCAUAUUUUAGAUUUGAAAACUAAAUUUCAAACUUUCUCAAAUAAUAUUCAAUCCUUGAGUACCAACUGUGCAGCUAAGGACUCUUGACUCAAUGCAUCUGCGACUUUGCUCACAUUUCUAAAGUGAUACAAAAUAUCAUAGUCAUAAUCCUUAAGGAGUUCCAUCCAGUGACGCCGUCUCAUAUUCAACUCCCGAGGUCUCAACUGACAGGACGCAUAUGCAACAACUCUAUCAUGCUGUAUCAACACAUAACCCAAUCCCUUAAACGACGCAUCACGGUAGAUCUCAAACUUUCAGGACCAGAUGGAAUGGUCAGCACAGGUGCGGUAGUCAGCCUCUUCUUAGGCCUUUGAAAACUACGCUCACACUUAUCUAUCCACACGAACUUUUCUUACUUCCUCAGUAGUCGAAUCAACUGCAACGCCGACGCGGAAAACCCUUCCAUAAAACUUUUGUAAUAUCCUGUUAAUUCCCAUAAACUUCCAAUCUCUGUCACUGUAGUCAAUCUCGGCCAACUGUUCACUACUUCAAUAUUGGACAGGGUCUACGGAGAUUUCUUCGCCUGAAAUCACGUGACCUAGGAACGCAAUGCGAGUAAUCCAAAACUCACAUUUGCUAAACCUAUCGUAAAAUCCAAAAGUACUCAACGUCUGAAGUAUCAUCCCCUAAUGUCUCUCGUGCUCCUCAGCACUCUUUAAACACACUAGGAUAACUUCAAUGAACAUGAUCACAACUGAUUCAAGUACCCUUAAACAUUCUACUCAUAAGACCCAAACAAACAACUAAGGUGUUCAUCACACCACUCGGUAUUACAAUGAACUCAUAACUGCCGUAUCGAGUGCGUGAUGCUAACUUCAGUAUGUCCCUUUUUCCUGAUCCUCAACUAAUGGUACCUUGACCUCCAGUCGAUCUUGAGGAAUAUCGAUACACUAACACAACGAACCAGCUUUCUUCUUCAUGAACAGAACUAGUGCUCCCCAAGGUGAUACACUGGAUGUAUGAAUCCCCUAUUCAACACUUCAUGCAUCUACACCUUCAGUUCUUUUAACUCGGGUAACACCAUCCUGUAAAGAGCCUUAGGGACUAGCUCUGUUCUGGUUGCUGAUUCAAUCGCGAACUCUAUUUCUCUUUCUGACUGCAAACCUGACAAUUCUCUAGAAAAUACCUUAGCAAACUCCUGAACCACGAUUAUGUUCUCCAUAUUCGGCUCCUCAACUGAUGCAUUCAUUACAGUUGCCAAGUAGAUCCGACAACCAACAACCUGAACCAAGUCAUCUUCAAUGACGAAUAACAAGGAUCGAAGUUCCUCUUCGACUUUCAGUGAUUCAAAACAUUCGCACGUUAACUGAAUAAACUGAAUUACAUCACUACCACGAUUCAAAACAACAGAAAACUCCUUCAGCCAAACCUUUUUAUAAACGACUUCCAAGUCAUACUUAAGCAAACCCUUCAAGUACAACUAUAGUCAGAGACUCAUUUUCCUAUUACUUUAUUACAACAACGGAAACCCCACAACCUUCACUCAAAAUUUUGCUGUACUACUCUGAUAACAACAUAUCAAAAACAUUCUUCUUCUGAUUGAUGCAUGGUCACUCCCUUCAUGCUCCUCUAGCCAUCCUAGCGGCGUCCAAUCUGCAGUAACAGUGCUUACGCUCAACUGAACUUUCACAGACAGCUCUCAACAUGACGGCUGUGCUGGCCAUAUUCAAAUCAUGCUCACUUUUUACUUUGACACUAGGCUGACUCAUGCCUCCUUUCCACUGACUCGGCACACAAUCAGGGAGUCAUUUACCUCCUAUCAAGGAAUAUCAUGCACCCUUCUUUGCACUAGGGUCUGUUCCAAGUACCCCAUUAAAUGUCCCGAAGCAUGUUUCCUCUGUUCUGUCUCAUCAACGGCGAGGCAGAAACAGCUAUGGUUCCAUCCAUCUAUACGAGCCAUCUUUGAUCAAAUGGCUUUACUGGCGACACCUGUAACAAGUCCUUUCCCUCUUAUAGCACGAAACAAAUCCAUGUCUUUUCUUACAGACACAACACGCAUCGAUCGAAUUGAGCACUGACUUUCCAACUCUACUCUUCCGGUUGGGUGAAACAGGGCAUCUUUCUUCUAACAUCGGCCUUUCUCCCCAACCGAUUUUCAUCUCUGUCUAAACUGAACCUUGACUCAGAUAUGAAGACUUGAUCCUCGAUCACAACUCCAUAUUAGGCCUUAACAGGCACGGCAACAACAACAGUCACAACACUGGCAGCGGUAGACACAACGGCAACAGCAACGGCUCGAUCCUGAACUUACUGACCCAACAAGCUUCCAAGGAACGCUAGCGCUUGAACAAUCCCAUCAAACCUAGGAUCGCUCGGUGCUACUGCACUCUAAGUACCAGCCUAUAGCGGUACUCUCACACACAUGCUGGACUGACUGAGCCUGUGCUCUACCUCGGGUACCAACUCUUGUCAGCAUCUUACCCCGAGGUAUAGGUCCUACCGACCUUCACCAAGGAGUCCUCCACUCCUAGUCACUCAUCCUACAGGCUCUUUAUAGACACCUGUUUUUCCGAUUCCAACAUCAGGUUAGAAUUUGAGUGACCCCACAAACAAGCUACCAAGCAGUUAUCAACCACAUGCAUCAACAUAUUAAAAGCCUUCUCUACUAACUAUCCCAUGACUCAUCGCACCUUAUCACUCCAUACACAAACCAUGCUUUGAUACCACUUAAACGGGGAUGUCACGCCCCGAACCCCGAGCGCGCGCACAUCCCACUACGGUCGAUCAAAAAUGCGACAUCCCAGGAUAUGUCGCCGACCCAUUCGUUUAUUUACGCAUGCGGAAGCGAAACAAAUCCCCUGACAACAUUUAACUUAGGAUAGAAAAGUAGGCAAUCAAUCACAAUACCAAACACUCAUUUACAAACACAAAGGGUUUAAAUACAACACUGGACUUUCUACAAAAUAGACCAGCUCGACAAAAGGGGAACUAUCUUACAACCAACUAGCAGGACACGCUCUCCAACCCUUAUGACUUCACCUCUGCAACUCCUCAAGGCCAACCAAAGCUAUAUGGCCACUCCGUCCACCGGGGACCUGAAAUUUAAAUCCCACAACCGGGAUGAGAUGAUGUCUCAGCAAGUUCAACCCCUUAAACCCCUAUUAGAAAGAAAAUACACCCUGGGUGGCCUAGCCACAUCACACAGAAGACUUACCUCGCCUCAGCCUUCAUCUGCAGGUUAGCGCAAUUUAUAUAAUUCAACCACGUAUAAUUAUGAUAACCAAACAACCAUGGCUCCAUCACAUUAUCAAAACAAUUUAACCACUUGGAUCGUCUCAGCGAUCAAUUGACUCGGCCGAUUACAUGUCAUUCCAACAAAUCAAUCAUUGCUCACAAUCACGGCCCUACUCAGCAAAAUUAGAAUCAGUGGCAUCACGGCCCCACUCGACGCGACCUUUAUCAGGUGGCAAUUCACGGCCCCACUAGGCGCGACCUCUAUCAGGUGGCAUAUCACGGCCCCACUGGGCGCGACCUCUAUCAGGUGUCAUAUCACGGCCCCACUGGGCGCGACCUCUAAUAGGUGGCAUAUCACGGCCCCACUGGGCGCGACCUCUAUCAGGUGGCAUAUCACAGCCCCACUGAGCACGACCUCUAAUAGGUGGCAUAUCAUGGCCAAUCGCCCAUCAAUUUCCACACUUAGAACUUUAUAAAGAAUCCAUAUUUAUCACAAUCAGCACUCAAUCCGCCACAUCCAUUCAUCAAAUUCAAAUUCUAAAUGCACAACAGCGAUCGGCACGAAAUUCUGAGCAAAUAAGGUCCCAAUAAAAAUUUUCGGAAUUUAAUAGAUAAUUAAAUUUAUUCCGAAAAAUAAUUAAAUAAUAAUAUUCAUAGCUUUCAAAAUCCACACUCAAUUUAUAAUAUCCAAUCAUCAAUUUCAAAAUCCAACUACACAGCAGCGAUCGGCACGAAAUUCUGAGCAAAUAAGGUCCCAAUAAAAAUUUUCGGAAUUUAAUAGAUAAUUAAAUUUAUUCCGAAAAAUAAUUAAAUAAUAAUAUUCAUAGUUUUCGAAAUCCACACUCAAUUUAUAAUAUCCAAUCAUCAAUUUCAAAAUCCAACUACACAGCAGCGAUCGGCACGAAAUUCUGAGCAACCGGGGUUAAAAAUAAUUUUUCUGAUUUUUUUUUUAAAAAAAUAUUUAAUAAUUUCGGAAUUAAUAUAAUAUUAUAAAUUUCCAGAAUUUCGAAGCAAUUAAAUAAUUCAAAAUUAAAACCCUAUUAUGUCACAUCAAGGCUUUAUAUUAAAAAUAAACAUACUUAACUUUAAACUAAACACACUUUAACUUAAUUAAACACCAUAAUCUAAUCAUCAACCAAAUAAACUAAUUUAACCAACUAAGCUUACUUAACUUAGGCUAAGCACAGUUAGGGCAUCAUUAACCGUAUAAUCAAGAUUUAGUGAGUUAAACUCACCGGAUUAGCGAGACGAGCGGACCAAAACGAUGGGGACGACGCGAGGAUCGACUUUCCUCAAGGCGGGCCGAGCAUCCGGGCUCGGGAAGGCAGCCAAAACGGGCCAAACACCCGCUGCCAUACCCAUUUUUCCAGAUUCUGCUUGGGGCCGAUGGAGGGCGGAUCCGACGCCGGUUGAGGCGGCCAAGGGCGGCGGAGGCAAGGCGAAGCUCCAGCGGGCUAAGGCGGGGCCGCACGGUGGCUCAUGGCGGCCGAUUCGCGGCCUUGGCUGGCCGAACAACCUCCCGGAGGCAAAGACAAGUGAGGACGACAACGGUGGCUGCUGACGCGAGCUGGGCGGAGCGGAGCGGAGGGACCGAACGGCGGCGAGCUGCGACGGCGAGGAGCUCCGGCUGGCGAUGCACGACGGCCAUGGCUGCUCGGGCUUGUUGCUGGGCGUCCGACCAGAUCUGGAUUUUUCGAGCAGCAAACAGAGGGAGAGAAGAAAGGCGGAGCUGCACGCACGCGGGCGAGCGGAGCGGUGGGCGGCGGACGAACGGCGACGGCAAAGCCUCCGGCAGACGAACGGGUGGCCGGCGAGCUGCUGGCGACGUCCAAGGAAGAAGAAGAAAACGUCCAUGGAGGAAUCGCACGGGAGAGGAAGAAGAGAGGGAGGAGAGAGAAGAAGGGAGGCCAAUUUAUUUUCCUUUUUCCCUUUUCUUUAAUCCAACAAAUUGGCCCACCACAUGACCUCAUGGGUGACAUCACACUCCACUCACCCAAUCCCCCACAACCUUUUCCAAUGGUUGCAAAUUUCAUUUUCCGCCGAGGUCCAAUUCUUGUACACUAAUUUCUCCAAUUCCAUUCAAUUCUCUUCCAAUUGAGUCCAAUUGAAGUUCAUAAAAUUAUUCCAAUGUCACCACACUUCAAUUUACAUCUUCACUUGUCCAUAGAACCAACUUAAGCCCCAAAAGCACGACCAAAGACGAGUCUACUAUUUCUCGAGCCAAAUUAGCCAUUUUCGGAUUUAAUUUGCCAAAGAACUCUGAUUGCAUGAAAAAUCUUCCAAAGAUAAGUCAAUGAUCCUAAAAUGAUUUGUGACACACCCAGACUUCCAAUUUCUGAAUUCGAUCUCAAUUCCACGGUUAAUUUCACUUUGGCACGAUACUAGCGCGGCCCAACCUACCGGGUAGCCUUUAGAAAUUUUCACGCAUUUGACCUGUGGUUGAUCAUCUCAAGCCACAAUGUACAUCUUUGAAACAUUGGCGACUUUCGGUUGUCGGGGUAAUCUCAAGGUUUCAAAUACAAACACAGGGUACCCAAUCGAUAGAAAAGUCGGUCCAGUGUCGAUCGACAAGGAUUAUGCGAUCCGGUGGAAUCACCCAUACUCGAUCACAUGCCUUUGUCGAGUCGACCUAUCUCCGGUCUCUAAUCGAUUUUUAUUUGUGCCGUAAUGACCCUUGCAGAUUAGCUCGAUCAAAAGGUCGCUUCCUGGCCAAAUUCUCGAGUCUGAUGCAUUAGAAACUCUUAACAGCUUCACCCGAUAGACUAAUUUCCACAUGAGUGGCCAACUCGAGGAAAAGAACUAUAUGCGUGCCAACGAAAUGCCCGUCUUAAUUUAUUGAAAAUAGAAUCGGAAAAUCGGGAUGUCACACAACCAUUACACGAACCUAGAACCUUAAUCACUGCCCCACCUGCCUGGAUCUUUCACUAGCAGAAGAGGGAAGAAGCUAUCGGGCGAGUUGGGUCUUCGUGACCGGCGGCGGGAGCUCCAAAUGGGAUGGGGCAGUGGCAACUCUGCUGCUGAAUAGAGGCACAAGGCUACCAAGGCAAGGAUCAGUUCGAAUUUCAAGCGCAAGAAAUGAAAUAGAGGGAGAAAGCGAAGAGCGUUGUUCAAAAGGAAGGGCAACCACGUUUGUGAAGAACAGGGCUACUAAAGCUCAAUAUUUUCUUUUUGCAAGAAGGGAUAAAAGAAGAAUAAAAUGAAGGUGCAGCCACCCACCUCUUUUGCACUCCCACCUGGUGACCACGUGGGGGAAGGACAAAUUGUUUCUCCCCCCCCCCCCCCCCCCCCCCCCCCGCCCCCCCAAAAUGGUCGAAGCAAAGGAACGUCACAACCAGAAAACAUACCCAUCUCUCUCUCUCUCUCUCUCUCUCUCUCUCUCUCUCUAUAUAUAUAUAUAUAUAUAUAUAUAUAUAUAUUAUUUUUUAACCUAAGAAACUACCUUAGUCUCUAAUAUGCGUAAUGUAACUAAUGAGAAACGAAAUGAAGAAUUUGGGCGUCACGUUAUAUCUAACUGGAUUGACUCGUAGAUAUUUAUGAAUAUUAAUAUAUUCAUACGGGACUCUAACUUAAAAUAGUUUGUACGCAAUUAAGAAAUAAUAGAUAAUUAUUGACACAAAUAUUCAUAUAUGAUUUUUGCAUAAUCUUUUAAAAUUUGAAUAUUUUUAUUUUUGAUUUGACUGGAAAGUUAAAAAGUUAUUUUUGACUUUUGAUAAGUUUAGACAAUGAACCCCAAUCUCAAUUAACAUAUCGCUUAACUAAUAUAAUUCAAACUAAGAUUGUGUUUGUUUGGGAGAAAAUUUCAUGAAAAAGGAAUACUUUUCAAAUUUUAUUUUUCAAGAAAAUGGUUGAUUUUCCUUUAAUAUUUGGAUCUCAUUUGAAAAAUGAUUUCAAUCUCAUGAAAAAAUCAUUUUUAAAUAUGUUUUUAUUUUUUUUUCUCUUUCCUUCUUCCUCCUUCACUAGUUGCCAAGCCUCAACGACAACACAACAGGCCACUGGCACCAUCGCUAAGGCCCGACAAGGGUGGACCUAGCUAACCUCGAGCAAGGUAGAGCUCUAGCUUGUCGCAGCGAGGUUGAGCUUGCUAGCUUGGCAAGCUCAAGCCUUCUCCGAGGCUAGCCUUAUUGGCCUGCACUUGUGGCAUACUACUGAGGCCCAACGGUUGGUGAAGAAGAAAGAAAGAAAAGAAAAACAAAAACAAAGAAAGUAAAACAGAAAAAAAUAAUAAUAAAAUUGAAAAUUGAAUUUUUUAAAUAAAAUAUUAAAAUAUUAAAAAAAAUUCAAGAUGAACAACUAUGAAGAGUGUUUUCAUCUUCUUAGAUUUAUGAAUUCAAAUUUAAAUUUUGAUUUUUUAAAUUAAAAUAUUAAAAUAUUAAAAAGUUCAAGAUGAACAACUAUGAAAAGUGUUUUGAAUUUUGACAAACCUUAGCUAUUCCGUUUACUCCCUUGUCCCCUAUUACUUUCUACCAAUUUAAAUUCCACAAACUAAUCCAAAAUGAAGCAAACAAAAAAAAAAUGCUGUCCAAGCAUAAUUCCGAAUUUCACAUUUUAGUCUUCAAUAUCUUCAACAAAUUCCCAAAUUCGACGUCCAAUUUUAAUGAAGAAAAAACCCACAUAAUUUCUACAAGUCCCUUUCGUCAUGUAGCUCAAUUUGCAAGUCAAAAAUGUCUUCAAUUUUCGUUCAUUUUCCGAAACGCCCAAAUUGAUUUUUCAUAAAAAUCUUGUAAUCUUCGAAAAAUCUUUGGAGGAUGAGUCAACGUUCCCAAAAUAACUUGUGACACCACAGAUCCGUUCAUAUAGGUUGUUGUAAGUCCUCAAGUUCAGUAGUCUUAGCGGACUCCUCAGUUCCGGUCUGAGUCUAUCUCUGAACCUUCUAGCUUGGUCUACUAGAUUUUCGACCAAUCUAAGGGCAUACUACGACAGUUUAGUAAACUUCACUUCAUAUUGAUCCACUGUCAUUGAGCCUUAGCGAAGCAUUGAAAAUCUGCCAUCUUCAAUUCUCUAGCAAUCUCAAAAAAGUACUUACUAUUGAAGACCUUGAUGAAAGCGUUCCAUUCUGGAACCACACCUUUAGGAAAUACAGUUCCUCUAGUGACUUUCCAGCAUGUGCUUGCAAUCCCCUUCAGUUGGUAGACUGCAAGGACGACCUUCUCGACCUUGGUGCACAUUAGUAGUGCAAAGGCAUUCUCCAACUCCUGGAUCUAGAGGGCUGCAGCCUUGGGAUCUCCUGUAUUAGUGAACUUUGGUGAGUUCAACUUUAGAAACUGCUCUACUAGUUUAUGCAUUGGCCUCCCAGAGACCACGUUCCCAAGUGGAAUUUCAGUAGGCAUGGAGCAAGUGCGGCGGUGGCAGCAAUAACAACAGUAGCAUUGGCACAGCAGUAACAGCAGCUGUAGCCGCGGUAGUAAUUGCGGGAGCUUGAUUCUAGGCCCGUUGCCCUAUCUAUGCUCCCAUAGCCUCGAGCGCUUGCAUGAUCCCGUCAAUUCUGGGAUCACCAAGGGUUGUUACCCUAGCACUGACUAGAGCGAUGCUACUCCACUUGCGUUGGCCUCAACCUACACUCUACCACGGCUACCUCGAGUAUCAACCCUUGUCGGUGUCCUAACCCGAGUCACUGAGGAUAAGGUCCUUUGCCUAGGAGUUCUCGGCUCCUAAUCACUCAUGUUGUAGACUCUCUACAAAACCUGUUUCCAAUUCAAUACAAAAUUAGAAACUGAGUAAUCACCACAAACAAUUUACCAAACAACUAUCACUCACAUGCAUUAGCAUAAAAUAGAGGUUAUUCCUACUAACUAUCCCAAGAACCCAUCACACCUUAUCACUCCAAAUAUAGACUUCACUCCAAUACCAUAAAAAGGGGAUGUCACACCCCGAACUCCGAGUGCGUGCCCAUCCCCCUCUAUUCAAUAACAAUUUGUGACUUCCCAAGACGAGUCGUCGACCCUUUUCAAGUUUAUUGCACAUGCGGAAGCAAAAACAAAUCCUCUGACAGUAAUCAUCUCGGGAUAGAAAAGUAGGACAACAGAUUCAAAACAAACAUGCUUUAUAUUCACAUAGAGUCAUGUACAAGAUCUAUGACCAAAAGAUUACAACAGUCUAGCCCUUCAAAAAGAAGCGGUCCUAACUGACCUACACUUUAAGUCACCUCCUCUCAGCUCUAGAUCCACCACUCGACAAUCCUGAAAAUUGAGCCCACGACGGGGUGAGAUAUAAAUCUUAGCGAGUUCAUACUCUAAACCCCGAUUAUAAGAGAAAUAUGCCCAGAAGUGUCCUAAUCACACAAUUAUACAAUCAAGAGAAUGAGACUUACCUUGCCUUAGUUCCGUCCUGCACGUCAGCAUAGUUCAUAUCUCAAAUGCAUAUAACCAUUGAAACACCUCAUCAACUCAAUCACCCAAGCGUUUCAAUUGUUAAUACUUGCCCCUUAAGGAUACCACUUAAUCUCAAGUUCAGUGUCUACUGGCCUAACCGGGUAUCACCUCAUUGCCAUUGAGCAAGACCACAUCUAUAUCUUAAUAGACGGCUUUCCCAAAGGGACGUGGGUCUAGAAUCUACUGCGACCCAAGUCACCUACUCUUUAAUUCAAUGUCUUUCUAGUGUAGCCAGACGUCAUCUCACCACCAUCAAGCACAGCGUCCAUAUAUUAAUAGACGGCUUCCCUGAAGGAGUGUAGGUCCAAAAUCUACUGCGACCCGCGAUCCAAAGAAUUGAUAUCCCAAAUAGAGCAAUGUCUGGCUUAAAAGCUCGAGACUAGUUCUCUUAACCGACACAUGAUCACUCAAUUGCAGAAAUUAACCACACCAUUGCAAUCAGCAAGAAAUUCCAAUCACUGGCUAUUCUAGUCUAAUUUUCGGAAAAAUAAUUAAUUAAUUUCUAAAAUUAAUUAAAUAAUGCAAUUUAAUUUCUAAAAAUAUCAACCUAGGCCAAAAUCACUAAAUUAAAUACUGAUUCGGACUCGGAAAAUUUCCAAACCUACUAGAUAAAUAGCACAUCCUAUCUAGGUCUUAAUUAAUUAAAUCUAACCACCUAACAUGCACAAUUAACUAAUUAUAUCGCUAAUUUAAUCUAACUAACCUCCUAAUUCCUAAUUAAAUUAAAGUAAACACCCCUUAGACGUCAUUAGCCUACUAAGAAGGGUUAGUGCAUAAACUUAUCGGUUAAUUGCGAAAACCGGUUCACCACGACGACGGCAUGACGACGGUCGAAAUCUGAAUUUUUGGCGAUGUCAACAGACUCUCGGCCUAGGCCUAAACUUGACCCAAAAAAUUUAAGCUCAAACUGAGAUUUGUUAUUGAAACGAUCCGAGCUUCGCUAGAUUGAACUAGCCUUGAAUGGGCUGUCCUCUCGAGCUUGUGAUUUUGUUGGGCUUCACUGGACUAGGCUGACUUCAAGUGGCUAAGCUACAAUUCACGCAGGCUUGGAGACUGCUGGAUUGAGCCAGUUUUGGCCUGACUUGCGUUGAAGAAGCUGGGCUGAAUGUUGCUGGAUUUGCUGGCCCAAAUCAUGGGCUGCUGCUGCUUGCAUGGCUAAGGACGCUGGGUGAAGACACAAGCAAGAGAGAGAGCAGGUUGCUUUGUGGGCUGGCGUGCUAACGAAGGAUUGAGCAGCUACUUCGUGGAGACGAGACCACGUGAGGAGUCCAUAAUCGAAGGCGUUGCUGGUUUGUGUGUUGACCGAAGGUGACGACGCUGAAGACAUGUGGUGCUAUCAAAAGGGCGACUAGAUUAUUGGGUAAACUCGGUGGGUUGCAAAGAAAGAGAGAUUGAGGGGAUGAAAGCAAGAUAGAGACAGCGAAGGGUUAGAUAAGGGAGGUGGACGCCAAUGCUUGUCAGAAGGAGAGGAAGUCGUGCAAGGAAAGCCAAGAAGGGGGCCCAAUUUUGACAAAUCUUAGCCAUUCCAUUUACUCCCUUGUCCCCUAUUACUUUCUACCAAUUUAAAUUCCACAAACUAAUACAAAAUGAAGCCAAAAAAACGUUGUCCAAGCAUAAUUUCAAAUUUCACAUUUUAGUCUUCAAUUUCUUCAACAAAUUCCCAACUUUGACGUCCAAUUUUGAUGAAAAAAAGCCCACAUAAUUUCUACAAGUCCCCUUCGUCAUGUAGCUCGAUUUGCAACUGGAAAAUCUCUUCAGUUCCGCCAAUCCAAAUUUUCGUUCAUUUUCUGAAACGUCUGAAUCAAUUUUUCGUAAAAAUCUCGGAAUCUUUGAAAAAUCUUCGGAGGAUGAGUCGACGUUCCUAAAAUAGCUUGUGAAACCACAGAACUUUCAAUUUCUGAAAUCGGGUCCAAAUUCGCGGUUAUUUUCAAUCCGGUGCACUUUUAGCGUGACCUAGUCUAUUGGGUAACUUUUAGGAAUUUUUGGUGCAAUUGACCCGUGAUCGAUUUAUUUCAAGUCACAAUGUACAUCUCCGACAUAUUGGCACCUCUCAGUCGUCGUGAAAAUUUCAAGGUUUAUAUUAGAAACAUAGGGUACCAAAAACAUCAGAAAAUAAAUUUAGUACCGAUCAAUGAGAAUUUUGCAAUUAAGUGGAAUCACCGCCACUUUGAUCACAUAUCUCAAUCGAAUCAACCUAUUUCUGAUCUCUGAUUGAUUAUAACAGUAUUGUAAUGACUUUUGGGCAGACUAACACGGUCGAACAAUCGAUUCCUAGUCGAAUUCUCAAGUCUAUUGCAUUUAGAUUCCUUAAUUGCUUCUCUAGAUAGUCUAGUUAUCUCGUGAGUAAUCAGCUCAGAGAAUAGCACUAUCGGCACGUCGACGAAAUGUCCGAUUUAUUUAAUCGAAAACAAAUCCUGAAAAUUCAGGCUGUCACAUUUUCUCCAUUUAUGGAUCUAGCGAGGCUUAACAACUUAUGCGUCGGGGAAUUUCUUACCUAUACCGGGUCCAUUGGGUGGAGUCUAUGUCAGUGGUUGAUCGUCUAAGCCCCAUAUGCAACAUUAAUGUGAGACUCACAUGAACAACUAUAGGAAUGGACCCAAUCUAAACAUGAACAGACACUACCUUGAGGAAGCUAUUCUUUGGCGACAGCAUAAAAUGUAUAAAUUCCCAAAUCUCUGCCUUCUUUGCGCUUUUGCACUUUGGAUUUACCUUGCAAUUAAUAAGGGCCCUAGGCUUAGUUUAAGUUGUGUUGUUAAUGGGGGAUUAUGAAAAAGUUCUUGAGGAGAUAUGGCUAUACUUUCCCGAAUUCGAUGCUUCCAAAGGUCACAGGUAAUUCAGCCUGGACAACUAGAAAAGAGUAACCACGAGGUCAGAAUGUUACGGAGCAUAAGCUCAUUGGUCAUUUUCAUCUCAACCUUUCUAAAAUGUGGAGACAACUCCACUUUUCAGGUGUUGAUACUCAAUAAAGGUGCUUUCGAGAUAGAUUGUUCCUCAAGCAAUGGCCAAAUAUCAAACCUUGAGGAUCGAUUUUUUUAACAAGAAAGGGAUGAUGUUGUCGAACUUGAAGAUUUAAAGGGUUUCUUGCAAUGUUGAUUGCUUUUACCCUAUUCUAGUGAAGUAUCUGAUUGCUUAUCACUCACUCAUCAUGAGAAUUUGAUGGUAAUGAAUGUAGUCUUAUUAGUCAUGUUUUUGUCUUUAUCGGUGCCUUUUCUUCGUUCUUUCCGAUUUCUUGAAUUCUUUUAUACUAGCAUUUCGAAUGUUGAUAUAUACGGUAAUAUUUGGGAAGUGCAAAUUGUAAUUAAUUGGUGGGGUAACUAGCUCUAACGUGAAGGGGAUAUAAAAUUAUUUCAUCAAUUUUAUUUUUCUGAUUUCCAUGGAAAUACUAACUACUAGUGUAUGCUAAAUCAUUAUAUACUGGGUUAAUUCCAAAAAGAAACACCAACUUUAGGUCGAUGGACAAAUCUGACCUAAACUUUUGUUUGUCUUGUUAAAAAGUACCAACUUUAGAUCGAUGGACAAAUUUGGCCCAAACUUUUUUUUUGUCUCAUAAAAAAGCACCAACUUUAGGGCGAGUGACAAUUUUGGCCUAAUUUUUUUUUUAAAUCACCAACUUUCACUUAAAUUCUAAAUAUGGCCCCCUUUUACUUAGACUCAUUGAUUGUCUUUACUUGCUGGCUAACACCAUCUAUUGUCUUUUUGUUUGAGCCCCAACUUGAAGAAUAACAGUGAAACUGUGUCGUCUCCUAUACUUCACUAGCAAGUAAAAAAAUCUCCCGAUUGAAUUUCUUUAGCUAGACUUUAUUGUUUUGUCGUAAUAUAAAGCUGUGGUUCACCGCCUAUUAAAAGAAACCAUGGAUGAGAUCCACCAAUCUCAAGGCUAGGACAUUUUCUCUUGAAAUAAGGUUAACUUCAAAUAAAAAGUUGGUAGGAUUUAAAUUUUGGAUAGGAGUGAAAGUUUGUUAUUUUUUAUGAGACAAAAUAAAAAUAGGGCAAGAAUUGUCACUUAACCUAAAAUUGACGCUUUUUUACAAGACAAAAAAAAAAAGUUCAUGCCAUAUCUGUCAUUCAACCUAAAGUUUGUAUUUUUUCAUGAGACAAAAAAAAGUUUUGGCUAGAUUUGUCUAUAAAGUUGAUGUUUUUUUUUUUAAAAAGGAAUUAGCUCCUUCAUACUAGGUCAAUGCUCAGUAAUUUCUGUAAAUGGAAUCACCACAAUUUGAAACUUUUCACAGACAAGCCUCAAUCGACAAAGAAUUGGAACCCACCGAAGCCGCCAACCUUCAAAAAUAAUGACAGCAGAGCUUUUUUUGAAGGUGAUACAGUUGGAGCUAUAUUGGAAAAUUCUUCGCAACGAAACGGGAGCUCUAAUGGAUGGCUCUACUACGAAAGUUCCAGCAUUGUCGGCGUUUUAGACGGAAGCCAUUCCCCUGCUCGAAGCUUUGAAACGUUUUCAGUCAACGAGAGAGGGUGUUGGAGCACGGGUCUGACUGGGAAGAGGAAGAGCUGGUCAACGUAGUACUGAUAAAGACAGCUCUAAUAGAGAAAGCCUAGCUAUCUUUGGCCCAAUUUUACUUUCUCUCCUUGGCCCAUUGUCACCGGUCCGCAAACAAAAUGGCUGCUUGGGUCGUGAAAAUCUAACGUAAGAAUGCUCUCCCUCCCUCUUGGGUGGCCCAUCCCUCCAAUCUUCGUGGAAUUAUUUAUGUUUGGAUGCCCCUUUUUUGGGCUUUUGUUUAAAGAACCCCUGGGUUUUAAUUCAUGGCAUGUCUUCAAAUUUGAAAGCUUGCCUCGUAUAUUAGUUUGUCUUAAGCUCGAAUUGAUCGACGGUCAACACACAAGUUCAAAAUUACAUGGAAAGUAGAUGAUCAAGCAAGUCUUAAGAGCUAGGAUCCGGAGAAAUUGGACAAUUCAAAUUGAGGUUGUUCACGCAAUUUGACUUGAAAAACUAGACAACUGAAAUUGGACCAGUAAGUGAAUGGAAAAAUUUAUUUAACUGGAUUUUCAUCCCUAUCCUGUUGGGGAAAAGACAAAUAAUUAGUGUUUGAGUCUUUUCCAACUACUCCACACCACACCAACCAAGUUGUCGAAUAAGUGUUUCUUUAUAACUCAGUAUCUAUAUGAUUGAUUUUCGAUUGAAAUAGCCUCGUAAGCAUGAUCAUUUCUCCAAUCUAAUGAAGUAAAAUAACCUUCACUCCAAGAUGCCUCCUCCAAUAAAAGGAGAAUAUCCCAUCGACUCAAUAUGAAAGCAACAUAAUGACUAUAUAACUAAAUAAGUUAGCCAACUCUUUUCAUUUAUAAUAAUUAAGUUACCAUUCUUGUCUUGGUUGAGGUGGCCGACAAUGGUGUUUUUCAUUUUUCAUUUUUUAUUUUUUAGAUUGGCCAGUUUCGACUUGUAGCAAUGUGCUACCAAGUUUUCAGCUUCCUAAGGAAUUGAUUUUGUGUUAAGGUAAGGCCUUAACUAAUAUUAGGUCACCGACCUCCUUCGUCCACACCCAAGGAAGUCACUGGUAUUUUUGUUUGAUUAGUCUAUAAAAUUUUUAAAUUUCUCACUAUUUCUUUUAAUAAGCAAUAGUUGUGCUCUUUUCUAGUAUUAAGUAAAUAAAUAACAAUUGAAAAUGUAAAUAAAUUUGCUAAAGAAAACCGAUAUAUGCAACUUUUAGGCCGUAUCAUAGGUCUCUUGGUAUUCACGCCUCAACUUUUGUCCCCCCUUGAUCAUUAAAAGAAGCGGACUAAAACGGAGAUUUUUUUUUCUUCAUCGUAGCUUAUUAACAUGAAAAUUGAACAUCACCUCCCACGGUGGCGCAGCCGGCUUUGGGCUCUCUCCCCCUCACGAAGGGGAGGGGUUCGAAUCCCAGAGGCGUCGUGUUCGCGCGACUCAAACGAGGUUGGGUCUGUGGUGGCGGCUCAAUCCACCCCGGAUUUACGUCUAGGCUGUUGGCCGACGGCAGUUCUCGGGUCAUAAAAAAGAAAAAGAAAACAUGAAAAUUGAACAUGCACUUCCUUUUUGGUUAAAUUUGCUUAUUAGUCAAAAAUAAACUCUCAUGUGUCAUGUAAGCCACCCGAGAGUGUCUCAAUUAGCAAAGAUUAUUGAAUCAUUCCAAAGCAUGAGAGAACAAUGUGACCUUAUCGUAUCUUUUCCCUUCACUUAACCUAUAAAAAGCGAAAGGAGUAAUAAAAUGUUUCCUACAUCUAUAUCACUUACCUUCUCUUUGUGUGUAUCUGCACCACAGUAGCAUUAAGAUAUAGCAAAUACGUGAUUGGCUCUAUUUAAAAUAUCGCAAUGGACGGUUCACAUCCACAUCAAUCACAUGCAAAUUAAUCACCAAAACAAGCAAAACUAACCAUUUAACCAGAGAUUCUUCUUUUUUAAGCAAUUCUGCAAAACACAACAUACAUUCAUUCGUUAUGAUUAAAAAAAAAAAUCAUGUUUACGUGUCAUCUCUAUAUUGCAAUUAUUGAACAAUAGUAAUAUGAUAAUGUUAUGUUAACAUUGAUAUUUUCAAAAUGGCACAUAGUCCAAAUGACAUUAUUCUUUCGAAUAAAAAGUUAUGCUUAAUUAAUCCCAUGAUUGAUAAUGCUGGUUGGGGAGUCGGAGAAGUCUAGCUUAGGAACCGAAGAUCCCCGUUAGAAUCCCACAAAUGCAUGCAAAUUGUCUCAAUUAACAAAGAUUUUUGAAUAAUUUCAAAUCAUGAGAGAAUAUGUGACCUUAUCACUUGCCACGUCAAAUAAUUUCGUACUUGUCUCUUUGUCCUUCCCCUAAUUUAUAAAAUAACGAAACGCGUAAUCGAAUAUCCCCUUAUAUCUAUAUCACUUAUAUACACUUUGUGUGUAUUCGCACCGCAAUAUCAUUAAGAUAUAACAUAUAUGCGAUUGGCUCUAUUUGAAAUAUCUCAAUGGGGGUUGCCAUCCAUGUCAAUCAUAUGCUAAUCAACCACCAAAAGAAGCAAAACCUACCAUUUAUCUGGAGAUUAUCUUUUCUUAAGAAACUCUACAAAAUGCGACACACACUUAAUCUAUAUGAUAAAAAGAAAAAAAAAUCAUGUUUAUGUGGCAUCACUGUCUUGCAAUUAUUGAACAAUGGUAAAAUGAUAAUAUUAUGUUAAUAUAGUCAUUUUCAAAAUGAUGCAGAAUGCAAAUGGCAAUUACUUUAAAAUAAAAAUUAUGCUUAAUUAAUCCCGGAAUUGAUAAUGUUGGUUGGGGAGUAGGAGAUUUCCAGCUAAAAUACUAGAAAUCCAACCUUAGAAUCCCACAAAUGCAUGCAAACUGCUCUAGAUUAGAGCCACCUACAUGGACCGAAGGCUUAAUAUAUAUAUAGGUGUCCACACCUAUGCUCCUAGAUAAUACAAUAAUAUAUAUAUAUAUGCUUACUUUAGGAGAAUCCGAAUUUUAUACACUAAUUAUUUUAGUAUAUACUUAUUCCUCAUAAACUAGGUAGUUUUUUUUAUGCAAAAGGUCCUUAUCAACUAAAUUACAAAGAGUACAUCCCCCAUGACUUUAAUUAGUGAUAACACUUUUGUUUGUCAGAAAUUAGACAUAACCUUUUCUAAUACUCCUCCUAAUAAAUAUAUAUUUAGGACUAAUUUGACUUUCUAAUCUAAAAACUAUGGUUGGUAAAAAAUUACAUAACCUCAUUUCCUUCUAAACUGAGUCAGUUUUUUUAAAACAACCCCUCUCAUGUGCAAGCCAAAUUAGGAGUAGCACGUGAAAUUUGACAACUAAGAGUGGACUCACUCAUGAAAGGGGCAAGUAAAACUUGGCUAUGAUACCAUGUUAGAAAAUCCAAUCUAAAAAUAAAUAAAGAGUAUAUAAACUUCAUCAUCAUGUGAUGCAGGAUAUUUCAACACAUGCCAACCAAGGAUAGAGACAGAGCCCCUCUAAUGCAUUUGUAGCUCCUAAUGAGCUUCACCAAUCAUGAUAUGUCAAAAUGCCUAUGAGUUGCUCUUUGCUUUUCCUCAAUAUAUUCCUUGAUGAAUCCACCUAGAAUACUCUACACGCGUACAUGUGUGAAUGACCCAAAUGUGAAUUUGCUUAAGUGGAAUGAGAAAUCUGAGGAUAAAUGCCAAGUGAGCUUUGCUGAGCUGGUUUUUCAUCAUUUUACUCCUCCAAGGCCUCUCACUACCCAUGAAAAAGCUUAGAGAAUUUGAGUCGGAAUAACCCUUUUUCAAAAUGGCAAUUUGGCAAUUUCUUGUUAUGAAAGAAAGGAAAUUGUAGAGCCCUUAUCUCCAUUCAUCACUGGCAUACGUCAAAUAUGAAACGACAUGACGUGUUAUUUUCAUUGAAGUGUUUGUGGCUAACCAACCAUCCUAAUGAUUGGGUAUUGAAACUCGAUAAAAUGGAAAUUAGAGCUGUAAUUGUAAUAUAACCUUUAUAUUUGUGUGUGUCGGUUUAGAUUAUUGAUGAGUGCAUUUACCUUGGAACAAUCUACUUAUCUAAUGGCUCCAUCAAUUUGUCUUUUGACCCCCUUUUUUGAGAUGAAAAUCAAAUGUGGUCUUCUUAAAAUGUCAUUUAAGUGGCUACUGUUUAAAAUGUCCUCCACACAAGCAUACACUCAAGAGUACUAAUAGGACUUACCUUUAUUUCAAAAGAACAAGUCUGCCUUUUCCAUUUUCUCCCUCUCGUCUAUUGUCCUCGAUCUUUUUCUUAUUUACUGUAAACACUUCAAUAUUUGAUAAGAGAUUUCCAUUUGAAUCUUCUCACCUACUCUUCCGAUUUAGAAAAUCUGUCUAUAUAAUUUCUUUUUUUUUUAUCUAAAUAGCAUGGCCUAUGAAACACACACUCAAAAAAUUAUGCUUCAGAGACUGGAGCAUAAGUAUGUUCUGAAAUAUCAUAUUACAUUUAUGCUUUCAUCAAACUUUAGCUGUACUUUUUCCAGGAUAUCAUGUCCGAAUCUCCAGUUCUCAAAUUCUUCAUCUUUGAAUUAUCAUUAUUCCGUAUAAGAGAUCAUUUCCACAACUUAAUUUGGUAUGAGAUUUGAUUUAGAUGAAUUCAUAUGUUGGUGAACUUAAAAUUUCUUUAUUCAAAUGGUUAUAGACAAUGGUUUUGAGACAUUAAAAGUUAUUUUUGUUGUUGUAGCUAAUUGGAUAUUCUGCGUUUAUAAUGCUAUAAAAUUUGGAAGACUAUUGAGUGAGAGUUUCGCUUUGAGCUUUUUUAAUUAUAUUUGUUUCACUGCAUCUCUAUAGUAUUUUUUUUUCUUUUAAGAACAAUAGUUGUUGCUAAGGUGGUUAAUACUGCUACCUAGAGAGAAGUGAACAGGUGACUACAAAUAAUUAAAGCAGAAUUAAAAACAACGGAGUUCAAUAUCACGAAUGAACAAUGUUUAAAGAAGAGCUACGCACUAAUCAAAUAGAAUAAAUGGGGGAUUAAAGGAUAGAGAAAAUGCACACAACAAUUAUAGUAGUUCGACUUAUAGUAAGUCUACGUCCACUCUCUCAUGUUAACAAUCUAAUGGCUAUAUUUCACUAGAAAAUCAAUAAGAGGUUACAAGGUGUGAGUUCUCUAAAAAAUGUGUGUUCAUAUCUCACACAACCAUUGCAAAUAAUAUCCUCUCACAGAUUUACGGUUACAGCUCACAGAGAUAAGUAUGUGAAUGUUGAGGCUCUCUUUAAACUUUGGAAUUGUAGAUUUCGGAUCUUGUGUGUUCCUUCAUCACCACGAUCUCCUUUUGUACUCCUUGAUUUCUAAGUUAACCGUUGGACGAUACUCCUUGAUUGAUGCUUGGAUUGCAAGCUUAGAGUCUCCCUUGAUUCUACUGCCCAUACGACAGAGGUUAGGCUUUCAUAAGUAGAGUUUUUCGUUAGGAAAGAACAUCUCAUCUCUAGAAGAUUGUCAUAAGAAUCACAAAUCCUUCAGAUGGAAGGAUUACGUUGAUAAAUACUUUCUGGAUAGAUAAACAAUCAAUUCAAAUUAGGAUGGAAAUUUGAGCUCAUUUCUAGCCGUUGCGCUUCAUAUAAUCCAAACUGAUUAUGAAGAUCUGAAUAUUCCUUGUAAUAUCUGAAUAUGUAUGUUGUCUCAAUCUUACUCACACAAACUUUACUGUUGUCCUCAUGUAACUGAUACAACAAUGUCGUUGACGUGGAGAUUCAGAACUCCUUGAAUAGAUGAAUAAAUCUCUGAUUUCGAUGAUGUGAAGAAUAAAAUCUAAAUCAAGUUGCUUGAAGAAUAUCACCUAUAAAUUUUAUCAUCAAAAUCAUUAAAAUACUUAUAAAAGGUUUUUUCAUUCGUCAAAACAUAUUAGAAAUUUUUCUCAACAAUUAGCUGCAUGCAUAAAAAUACACAGAGUAAAUAAAAAAAUAAAAAAAAAUGAUGAAAUUAUAAACAUUGACAUUUUUCUCUAAUUAGUGAAGUUUGUCUCGCAAUUCAAGGCAUUUUCCUUUAAAAAAAGCUUCAAAAUUUAUAUAUAUUCAAAUAAUUUGAUGAGAACGAAAUAUCUUCUUUUUUUUUUUUUAUCAAGGAAUAGAAAAGGAAAAGGAAAAAGAAAAGGAAAAGGAAAGAAAAAAAGAGAAUAAAAAAAAAAAAAAAGAGUCCUUGCCAUACCAAACCUAACCUAAAGGUGAACAAGGGUCAACACAAUAUGACUUUUAUUAUAUAAUCACAAGAUUCUUCUGCUCUCCUCCAUUCAUUACUUGUCAACUUUUGUGGAUUUGAUACAACACGUUUUUCUCUUUCUUGAAUCGACCAUGGGGAGGAAAAAAACAUAUUAGACCCUUUUCCCUAAAGAUGGACACGCGGUCUUGUCAAAAUAUGAAAGAAUCGAUCAAUCACUCGGUGAAUUUGUAUUGCUCAUAUCUAAUUAUACAGUAAAAAAGCUGAAGUUAUGCUUCAAUACUGUGCACAACUUUUUAAUUUGACCAUAAGCGAUAUCCAUGCAGGGAGAGCAAUCCAACUACGCUAGCCCGUGCAACAGACGCUCCACAGCCAAAGCAUUUGGCAUCGCUGUAAGAAGCACUGCUGUAGUAGUUGAAUCCCCUAGUCGCGGUGUUGGAUCUCAAAUCGGUUAGGACUUGAUCCAGAGCUUGUGCGUAAGUGUCUACGUACCGCAUUCGUUGCAUAUCUUGUUCAUAAGCGUCACUAGGUCACUCCUUACGAGACUCAGACCUCGGAGAAGCCCCAUGAACAUCAGUGGGAGUGUACGUGAUUUGGACAUGGUCAUCAUCCUAGAGCCCUUUUUCCUCCCUUUCGGUGCUCUUUGGUUUACUGCAAGGAAACACACGAUUGAGUUUGGCUAUAGAAAGGGUUCGUCUGCAUAGCGCACUCCGUCAAUUAUUUUUUGUUCUUAGGCUAAGUUAGUCCCCAUUUUAGUCAUUUAUGACAUCACAUGGAUUGUUUUUUUGAUAACUUGCACAGCUGCUUCCGUGAAUUAUUCGCCCAUCAUUGUAAUAUAUGUUGGCCGUCCUUGCAAACACUAAUCUCAUAAUUUUCAAUGAAAAUUUCCCCCCACCCCUCUCUCUCUCUCUCUCUCUCUCUCUCUCUCUCUCUCUCUCUCUCUCUCUCUCUCUCUCUCUCUCUCUCUCUCUCUCUCUCUCUCUCUCUCUCUCUCUCUCUCUCUAUGCAUAAAAAAUUGAAAAUUGGGAUCCUCUAAAUUUACGAAAUAAAUUCACAUUAUCAUAAAUGACCCACUUCAAUUUUUUCUUGUCCUCUUUCUCCUCCUACUUUACACAGAGGUAUCUGCCUCACAUACAAGUCUAACUUAUAUUUAUAUACGUAACAUUGUAAAUUUUAGUUCAUGUAAUUAAUGGAGUCCAUGAUAUUAUAUAACCCGAGUUAUAUAACUUGGAUUGUAUCAAAAAUAAAAUAAAAAGAAAAAAAAAAUGAAGCCCAAAAAGCCAGAUUGAUCCAUCCAAACUAGCACAAUAAUUUUGGGCUCGAAUAGUAUUGGGCCGGCCCACUAGGCCUCAAAUUAUCCUUAAGUUUGGGACCCCAAUGAUUACUAAACAGGUUCAAUUCAUAAAUUGGAAAUUUUUUGUGUGUGUAGCCUCCUAUGUCAAUUCCCUUUCACGCCAAUUGAGGGCUCGACCUUUCUCAUUCUCCUCUCUUACAUGCGGGCUAAAAUCUGACCGCCGUUGAGCCAUUGUCCCACUGCCGUCAAGCCCCACUUAUGUGGCCAUCAAGCCCCACCACUCACCAUCUUCCCUCUAUCCAAUACAUCUCAUUUACUCCGUCAGUUCCUCUUAUGCUUACUCACGUCUUGGUCUCUCUCAUGCGCACCCACUCUCUACCUAUAGAAAGCAAGUUCUUAGGGUGCAUUUGGCAAUUUGUCAAAUAGUGUCUUACUUUAUUCUUUUGUUCUCAAGAAUAGAUUUGGAAUAGAAAUUCGUUUAAUAAUUUUUUUGUUCCUAUGAAAAAAUUUAUUCCCAGGAAUAAAUAUGGAACGUAAAUUUGUUUGAUAAUUUUUUUGUUCAUAUGAAAAAAUUUAUUCUCAGAAAUAGAUUUGGAACAGAAUUGAGGAUUAAAUAAAAGUUAUUUCUUAUUCUCAAGAACAAUUUCAAAAUCAAGUCAAUCCAAAUUUCUUUUUAUCUUUUCUCUUCUUCUUUUCUUCUUAUUCUUCUUCCUUCUCUCUUUUUCUUCCACUAUUGCCGCAGGUCACUGGCGAAUAAUUGGGUGAGGUUCAACGAGUUUGCCAGAGGCUCGCCUAGCCACUGGCAAGCCUUGGCCUCGCCUAAGCCUCCCAAGCCAUCGGUGAGCCUUGCUCGGCCGAGCUAGCAAGGCUCAGCCAAGCCAUGGCUGAAUGAGGCUCGACCUCACCUAGAUCUUGUGAGGUUGGGUUCGCCUAGCUAUCAGCAAAGCUUGAUCUCACCGGGCCACCGUGAGGUCAGCCUCACCCUCGCAGCCAAGGCUCGACCGAGCCUCGCUGGUGCGACCUCACCAGGGCUGGCGAUGCUCCAGCAAGGUUGGCAACCCUUGUCUAGUUAGUCGCUAGUCAUCACAAGGCUGGUGAUUAGCCAAAGCUGGAAGAAGAAGAGGAAGAAAAGAAGAAAAAAAAUAGAAAGUAAUAAAAUUAUUAAAAAAAUUAAAAUAAAAUAAUUUGGAUUAGAAAUUUUAAGAAGAGUAUCACACACAAUUUUAUUCCGAGAAUAGAAAUUUUGGACAAUCACCAAGCAUCUUAAAAUGCUUAGGAAUUGUUCCUAGAAGUAGAGUAAAAAAGAAUUAUUUCUAAUGAAAAAUUACUCUUGGGAACAUAAUGGUUACCAAUUACACCCUUACUAGCCUAUUUUGAUGUCUUAAGGUUUUUUAUUUUCAUACACACUAUUUGAAUUUUUUUAUUUUUAAAUUUCAAAUGAUAGAUAGUUCGUUGUUAAAAAGAUGCAAUUACCCUUUCUAUUUUUUUUAAUUAAUGCUUUAUUAGUUACGUUUAGUUAUGGUGAGUAGUGGAGAGUGGCCGGUAAUGACGAUUUGCACUUUUAAGUGCUAAACGAUGAAAAUUGCCCUUGAAUUCUUCUAAACUAUAAUCCAAGUUAUAAUCAUAAUUUGGUUAAAGGUAAUUUAGAUCAAGAAAUCAAAAGAGGAACCUCUCCCCCUAAACGAAUUUGAUAAUCUUAUUUUAUAAACCAUAUUCAAUAAUACCUUAUGUUCAAAUGAAAAUUUAUGUAGAGUGCUCAUCGAACCAAGAGAAUUAUUACCUAGACUGAGUGCAUGCUUAUUCCUCUCACAAUGGGCAUAUAUGAAGGCCUACUAAGAGUGAAACUAAGUCAAAUUAUUCAUGAGGUAGUUGAAGGUUGGGUUGACCAUUAUUUGAGAAAUUAUAUCCAAUCAAGCUCUAACUCGAGUUACUUGAGUAUCUUGCAAAUAGAAAGCGGGGACUUGCCAAUACUCAACUCAAUAAACUUUGUAAACCUAAUUCAAAAAAUUUAAUUGUCAUAAAAUUAUACAUAGACAUCCUCAUCCACACACAAGUUCAUAAAGUAAAUCAAUUUUCUGUUCAGAUCAAGCUCCAGCAUGAAAUUAGUACUUUGUCCUUUAUAAUAUUUAACAUAUACUUCCUAUUGUUAAAGGAAAGUGCUAUUUUUAUAUCUGAUAAACUUAAAUUCCUAAGAAAUACUUUUUCUUUUUUCAAUUUUCCUAGGUCUAUAAUUGGAAAAUUAAUCCAAUUUCAUUUUCGAUUAUGAAUAUAUAUCAUCAACAUAAAUUAAAAAAAAAAUUGCGAUAAAUGAAUUUCCUCUCCUAAAAGUAAAUAGGGAAUAAUAAAAAAAAUCAACAAUUGUUAACAUUUGAGAAAUUUAAAAGGGAGGAAGAAGAAGGAGAAUAUCCGUUAGGUUUUCAAUUUCUUGCGUUUCGAGCAUUCGGUCACUCUUGCUUCUUCUCGAUCUCACGCAUUCUCUCUCUCUCUCUCUCUCUCUCUCUCUCUCUCUCUCUCUCUCUCUCUCUCUCUCUCUCUCUCUCUCUCUCAACCCUCGAGGCGAGCUGCACCACCGUUUCAUGGCCUCCGACCACCGCCACCACAUCCAUGCCGCUGGGCCACCUCGGCAUUCGGCUGCAGCGCCGCCCCUCUCUCCGCCUCCUCUGAAAACCCCCCAAAACCCUAGGUCUCUCGCUUCGGUUCUCUGGGAUUCCUUGAAGAUGGACGAGGACCACGAGAUGGAGAGGUUCAGGAUGGACAAUGAUUAUGACGACAGGUGGUGGAUCGACGGGGAAGUGGAGGAAGAAUAGGGACCUCCUAGGUAAGGCUGAUCUGUCGAAACCCGUGAAUUUCAUGUCCACUAGCACGGUCAUGCCGAACAGAGAGAUUGACAAGAACUCGAAGAUAGAGAAUGAGGAUGAAGUAUCUGCUGUCGUGGAUGAGGAUAGGCCGGGCUUGCGGGUCCUAAGAAGAACCAACAAAGGAUUGUGACAUUCAUAGAAGCAAAGUUGCGUCCUAAGAAUAUGGGUGUGGGUUUCAACAACUUACAAGGAAACUCUUGUAAAGGCACCUAUUGUCUCAUUGGGGCUAUAGGAAAAGAAGCCAUUACCUGGCGUGCCCAGUAAGGAGAAGCUUUGGUCGAAGCAAGUGAAGAAGGCGAUGCUGAAAAACAAAGCUAAGUACAUUACAGCGGAAGAGCUAUUGGCGAAGAAGCAAGAACGGGGCGUUGAAGUUGUGCAAAAGGUACUGAACAUGCGUGGACCUCAGGUUAGGGUAUUAGCAAAUUUGGAGAAACUGAAUGUUGGAGAAAUCCUCAUGAAGUGUUUUGAAGUUGACAAAACGUCUCCAUCAGUCUAAUCUGAAGGUCUGCAGACUCUGUUGGUUAAAGUCUAAAGACUUCCGGACAGCCAGACUCAAGACUCAAAGUCUAUCCUCAUUAACAGUCUCUAAUCUGUUGAAAAAGGGUUAUCCAGAACUGGAUGUUUUGUUCAGGAUUUAUCCUUAUCAUCUGGAGAAGAUCUCGUGGCUGGAGAAGACGUAACAGAAUCCUUGAUUGAUCAAGAUUGAUUCAAUGAUUGAAGAUUCGUUGAUUGUCUAAAUUUUAUUGGAAGGUUCUAUUUAUAGAAACCGAGAUCCUGAUUGUAUGGGCGAACAGGAUUGAUGGGCUAUCAACACGUUCCUUUAAUAGCUCGAACAAUCUUCCUAAUUGAUUCCGUCCAACGGGUAGAUUGGAGGAAUUCCUUUGGUAAGUGCCAACGGGUAUGAUGUCAUAAAUGAGUAUAUAAGGAAGACGUUCUUAGUUGUUCAAGAAGUGCUCGAUAGAAAAAUUCCAAAGUCUGAAGCUCCUAUUUGUUUAGACAAUUCCUUUGAGCGAAUACUUGUAUACAAAAGAGAGUCUAUAUUUGUGAGAAACCUUGAGAAGGUGUGGUAGAACAUCUACACUGUGGAAUCAAGGCAAAGCUGUGCUGUAACUUCUCUUUUGAUCAUAGUGAAAUCUAGCCGGUGGGCUGUCAGUGCGGAAGAGUGGACGUAGGCUUGGAAUAAGCCGAACCACUAUAAAUCCUGUGUUCAAUUCUCUCUUUCUCUCUCUAUACCUCGAUCGUAUUUCAUUUUGUUAAGAAUUGUUUCCGUAUUUCGACAAAUUGUUUGUGCGCCUAUUCACCCCCCCUCUAGGUGUUUAUACUAGCUAUCUCAAUUAGUAUCAGAGCCUGUGUACUCACUUUGUUUGAAGUGUUUUACUUCAGAGUUAAAGAUCCAUGGCUAGUAUGCUAGCACCAGGGCUGAUGGAAGGGCAAAGCAAUACCAGACCACCCUACUUUGAUGGAAAGGAUUACAACAUCUGGAAAAACAAGAUGAAAGCUUUCCUACGAUCAAAGGAUCCUCUGGAAUGGGACGUUGUAGAAAAAGGAAUUACUCCUACAUCUGCAUCAGUCUCUGAAAGAGGGAAGGAAACUGAUGAGACCAGCAGAAUGACUCAGGAAGAGAUAAACAAGAGACAAGCACUCGAUGCAAAAGUAAUUUACUCUUUAUAUUGUGCUUUGUCACCAACUGAAUAUAAUAGAAUAUCUUCUUGUGUUACAGCAAAAGAAGUUUGGGACAGAUUGCAUAUCACCUAUGAAGGAACAGACCGAGUGAAGGAAACAAGAAUCAAUAUUCUUCUCGGUCAAUACGAAGCCUUCAAAAUGAAACCAGGAGAAUCUAUAACUGACAUAUUUAGCCGUUUUACAGAUAUUGUCAAUGGUCUUGAAAAUCAAGGUCAAAAAAUUUCUGAUCCCAUGAAGGUAAACAAGCUACUGCGUGGACUUUCCAAGGAUUGGAAUCACAUAAAGACUUCGAUAAGAGACACGCAAAGAAUUAUGCCACAAUCUGUAGAUGAGCUGAUUGGAACUCUUCAGUCUUAUGAAGUGGAACGGAUCAAUGAAGACGAAGAUCCAAAAGGUAAGAAAUCCAUUGCAUUAAAAUCAAAUGAUGAUUCUGAUGAUACAGAUUCUGAAGAUGAUAUGGACGAUGAGGAGCUUGCUCUCAUAAUAAGAAGAUUCAGAAAACUGAAUAGAAAAGGAAGAAGGUUCAACUCAAAGAAACAAAGCUUUCAAAGACAGUAGACCAAGUCUGUUGAUGAUGAAGAACCGAACAAAGAUGUAGUCUGCUUUGAAUGUAAGAAAAAGGGACACAUCAGACCCAACUGUCCUCUUCUGAAGAAGAAGAGGAGAAAAGCUAAAAAUUUCGAAAAGCUCUCAAAGCUGAAACCUGGAGUGAUACUGAGUGUGAAGAAAGUGAUAAUGAAUAUGCUAAUCUAUGUCUGAUGGCACAAUCAGACUCAGACUCUGGAUCAGAUUCUGGAUCAGACUCAGACUCUGGAUCAGAUUCUGGAUCAGACUCAGACAGUGAACUUGAGGUCUCCGUCAAGAAACAGGUAAAGUGGUAUCUUGACAGCAGAUGCUCAAGACACAUGACAGGAGACUCAAAUUGCUUUAUAAAGCUUGCUCAAGUAAAUGGUGGAAAAGUUUCAUUUGGAGGAAACAUCAAAGGAAGUAUUGUGGGAUUUGGAACCGUGAAAAUUGGAACUCUCACAAUAAGUAAUGUUUCCUUAGUGGAAAGACUCAAUUACAAUCUUCUCAGCAUUAGUCAAUUGUGUGAUACUGGUUUCAAGAUCUUCUUUCAAGAAAGAACAUGUUCUGGAAUCAGUAAAGACUCUACUCAGUGUUUCAUGGGUCGAAGACAUGGAAAUAUCUAUCUUCUGGAUGUGAAACCAAAUGAAUCGCAAUGUCUUAUCUCAAUUCAAGACGAAGCAAGCUUAUGGCACAAAAAGCUUUGUCAUGUCAACAUGAAGCAAUUAGCCAAAAUCUCAUCAAAGUAGCUUGUUCGAGGUCUACCCAAACUGCCAUACCAAAAGACUGAUUCAUGCACUCCAUGUAUUCUGGGAAAGCAGGUAAGAAAUUCAUUUAAGCCAAUAAAUCAUGUCUCUACCAAUCAUGUAUUACAGCUGCUACAUAUGGAUCUCUUCGGACCAACCAGAACUCAGAGUAUUGGGGGUAAGAAGUAUUGCCUAGUAAUUGUUGAUGAUUACUCCCGUUUUACUUGGGUAUAUUUCCUUGCAAGUAAGUUUGAAACCUUUUCGUAUUUUGAAAAAUUUGCUAUAAAGGUUCAAAAUGAAAAAGGAUGUGUUAUCUCUAGUAUAAUAACAGAUCACGGAGGUGAAUUUGAAAAUCAAGAUUUUACAAAAUUCUGUGAUGAAUCUGGCUUUAAGCAUGUGUUCUCCUCUCCAUAUACUCCUCAGCAAAAUGGAGUUGUGGAAAGAAAGAACAGAUCUCUUCAAGAAAUGGCUAGAACUCUUUUAAUUGAAAGUAAAAUUUCUUCUCGAUUUUGGGCUGAAGCUGUUUCAACAGCAUGCUAUAUCAUCAAUAGAGUCUUCUUAAGAUAUAUUCUUCAGAAAACCCCUUAUGAGUUAUUUAAAGAAAAGAAGCCUAUUGUUUCAUACUUUCAUGUAUUUGGUUGUAAAUGUUUUAUAUUGAAAAAUGCAAAAGAUCGAGUUGGUAAGUUUGAAGAAAGAUCAUAUGAAGGUAUCUUCCUUGGAUAUUCUACAUCAAGCAAAGCUUACAGAGUCUAUAACAAGAAGAGCCAGUCUGUGGAGGAGUCAAUGAAUGUCAAAUUUCAAGACUCAACGCAAGAUGAAUCAAGUCAGACUCAUCAAGAAGAGUCUGAACCUGCUCCAAACCCUUCAAAGUCUUCAUCUCAAGAAGCAUCUCAGACUCUGGAAAACCAGCAUCAGGGUGUUAGUGAAGAUCCAAGUAAAGAAAGAGAUCAUCAAUCAGACAAAUCAUCAAGUAACUGGAAGCAGAAGUCCAGUCAUCCCAAAGAUCUUAUAAUUGGCGAAAUUAAUGAAGGAAUUCGCACCAGAUCCAAAAUGCGAGAAUAGUCUAGUGAUGUGGCACUCGUUUCUGAAAUUGAACCAAAGAGCAUAGAAGAAGCUUUAUCUGAUGAAAGCUGGAUUGAAGCUAUGCAAGAAGAGCAGACAGUUCAGCAUUAAUGAUGUCUGGGAAUUGACAUCCAAACCAAAAGGUAAAACUGUUAUUGGAGCUAAAUGGGUGUUCAGAAACAAGAUGAACGAGAAAGGAAAAGUCGUACGAAAUAAAGCAAAACUCGUGGCCAAGGGAUAUACGCAAGAAGAAGGAAUAGACUAUGAUGAGACUUACGCUCCAGUAGCAAGGUUAGAAGCUAUUCGACUAUUAAUUGCGUUUGCUUGUUAUAAGAAUUUCAGGUUAUUCCAAAUGGACGUCAAAAGCGCCUUUCUAAAUGGAUUUAUCCAUGAGGAAGUUUAUGUGGAACAACCACCAGGGUUUGAAGACCCAAAAAAGCCAGACUCAGUCUUCAGACUGAAAAAGGCUUUGUAUGGUUUAAAGCAAGCACCUCGGGCUUGGUACGACAGAUUAAGUAAGUUCUUAAUACAAAAUGGUUUUGUCAAAGGUAAAGUAGAUACGACUUUAUUUAUCAAGAAGGAAAACAAAAGUUUCUUGCUUGUUCAAAUAUAUGUGGAUGAUAUUAUUUUUGGAUCCACUAAUGAAAGUCUGUGCAAGAAAUUUUCUAAGUCUAUGCAGGAUGAGUUUGAAAUGAGUAUGAUGGGAGAAUUAACAUUCUUUCUUGGUCUUCAAGUAAAACAAUUGAAGGAAUGAACUUUUAUUUAUCAAGAAAAAUAUGUUAAUGAUCUUGUCAAAAGGUUUGGACUGGAAAAGUGCGAAAAGACCGACAUACCAAUAUCAAGUUCUUUAAAGAUAGACAAAGAUGAAGAAGGGAAGAAAGUUGAUCAAAAGCUGUAUAGGAGUAUCAUCGGAUCUCUUCUUUAUCUUACUGCCUCUAGACCUGACAUUUUGUUGAGUGUUUGCAUCUGUGCUAGGUUUCAAUCAGAUCCUAGAGAAUCUCAUCUCAGUGCUGCAAAACGCAUCAUUAAAUAUGUUGCUUCAUCAUCAAGCAUCGGUCUUUGGUAUCCUAAGAAGGGAGACUUUAAUCUUCUGGGAUAUUCAGACGCAGAUCUGGCCGGUUGCAGAGUUGAUAGAAAGAGCACUUCAGGAACUUGCCAGUUGCUUGGAAGCAGGACAAUGUCUUGGUUUUCAAGGAAACAAAGCACUGUGUCUCUUUCAACAACAGAAGCAGAGUAUGUAGCUCUUGGAAGCUGCUGUUCGCAAAUUCUAUGGAUAAAACAACAGCUAAGAGACUUUGAAAUUGAAGACUCAUGCACGGAGAUUAAUUGCGACAACAUCAGCGCUAUCAACCUUACCAAAAAUCCAAUUCUACAUUCAAGAGCAAAGCAUAUAGAAAUUCGACAUCACUUUAUUAGAGACCAUGUUCAAAAUGGAGAUGUUUCAAUUCAGUUUGUUGACUCAAAGGAUCAACUAGCGGUUAUAUUCACAAAGCCUUUGGAGAAAAAUCAAUUUGAAUCUAUACGCUCCAGACUCAACAUUUUGAGGUAUGAGGAUAUCAAAGUCUAAAGACUUUCAGACUCAGGCUUACAAGACUUUAUCUACAGUCUUGGCUCGACCGUCAGACUGUAAGUCUUUCUCUCUCUAAUUUAUUCUUGAAAAUGUACGAUCGUCAGACUGUGUUUUAAUUAUUGCUAUAUUUAAUCGACGCAAAUAUUGCAUCGUUUCAUUUUCAAAAAGGAAGUUAUUUUUUAAAUGACUAUUUUUGCGGAAAACGACAGUAAUUUUGAAAAUGCAUCUUUUUAUUUCCUUUGUGACGGUUUGUUUAUCUUUCUUUUUAACCGAUCGGGCACUGUCGAUUCCUCUUCACUUUACUCUCAAAAACCCUAGAAAGCAUCGAUCCUCCAUUCCCGUUUGGUUUCUUUGUUUAAUCUUCAAAAAGUUGUCAUCUUUCCUGGGAAAGUCACGCAAGGAAUCUUCCAAAAACUGAGAAAGAUGUCAUCUUCAAGAAAGUCGUCGAGAAUCGCAAGCAGGGGACCACGGCAAAUGAGUGAAGGGCCUACGCACUUCGAUCUUACUGAGGAGGAAGAGAAUCCAGAACAGCAAGCGAGCCCACAACAUUCUCAGCAGCGUCACUCUCCACCAUCUAGUCCUAAAGGCGUUGAUCAUCAACAACAGGAAGAAAUCAUCGAGGAUGCAGACCCCUUAAGAGUUCAAAAGCCCACUUUUAUUUACAAGCUAUAUCGUGCCUUAAAAGGAACUCGUACUCCUUUAAACUAUGUUGAUGACUUCCUUAAAGACAAAGGAUAUGGGAACGAAUAUAUCUUUCUGCGAAAAAUUGAAAGUUUGGGAAUCGCUCGUAAAGGGGUGGCUGAGGAAACCCUUGCGAAUAUCCCAAGUGAUCCUCGUGACUGGGGGCCAAAUCCUGUAGAUGGGAAUGAAGAUGACAAUCUGUUCAGUCUAUUUCAACCGAAAAUGGGUAUUGCGGCUGAAAUUCAAGGAAAAAGGGGAGAUUUGUUCAUAUCAAAGGAACAAAAGGAUCUGUACUCGAAAUUGCUAAAGCGUGGGGUAAUAAACCCUAGGAGUGUGGACUUUGAUUUUUUGGAUGCUGUGAAAGUGAACUUGAGGGAAAAGUUCAGUUUUCUUCAACUUGAAAAGUAUUGCUCUAACUCAACUGAGGCUUAUGCUGAAUUGACUGCUUAUUUCUAUUCAAAUCUUAGCUUUUUGGAUGCGAAUAGAUUCUCUUUCAGCGUUAAAGAUCAGGACUAUGUUGUGGAUAUGGACAUGCUGGCAGAUGUGUUAGAAGUUGAGAGAGGCAAAUAUCAUCCAAUCAAAGUUUCCAUUGCUCAGGCCACACUUGAACUGGUGAAGGACAGGAGAACAGAUGAGAAGAUCACCUACUCAAGGAUGAAUGCAUUCAACAUCUUGCUUCACAAGAUUGUGAUUAACUGCCUUCGACCGAAAUUGACUUCCAAAAUUGAUGUUUCAAGCUCUGAGGCAAAGUUGAUGUAUGCCAUCCUCUGUGGAAAGAAGUUUUCUCUCCCUCAUACUGUCAUGUUUCACAUGUAUAGAGCAGUGAUGAAGGACAGAGGUCAACUCCCUUACCCAAGCCUUGUUACGAAGUUAUUCAGACAUCUGAAUAUUCAGCCUCCGCAAAUCUUUUGUGUUCGAUCAUGCGAUCAUAUGGUGGUAGGACUGAAAAUGGUGACCAAAAUGCGUCUGAAGGAACUGAGCAAGGAAUUGGAGAAAUUCAAGGAGAAGACUCCUGCCAAAUCUCAUCAACUCUCUUCUGCUGCUAAGAGAAAAGGGAAGGAGCCCAUGGCUGCUCCAUCAAAGAGAAGAAGAGCUCUCCUCGUUGAGGAUAAGAUGAUGACGAAGACAUCACCAUCUCUGCAAUGGCUCUAAAGAAUUUAAGUCAUCCUGUUCCACAGAAAGAAUCGGAACAAAUAACGAAAGAAGCAGAGGAGAAGGAAGAAGAAGAAAGAGAAGAAGAGCAAGAAGCAGAGGAAGAAAGACCUUAAGAAGAAAGAAGAGAAGAAGGAGAACCUGAGGAAAUCUCUUCUCCACCUGUAGGCAUGGAAACAAGGGGAGAUCAAGAGAAAGGAGUGACGUCUUCAUAUCCUUAUGCAAGUGAAGGAGUCAGUCGCUCGCCUGCAGACCCAGAGAACGUUUAUGCAUCUCAAUUUCCAGAGGAAGGUCAUGAAGCUUCAUCGCCAAACCUGCGAGAUUAUGCUGAUCUACCGUCAUCUGCAUUUACUCCAUUAGAUCGAGCCGAAGCAAGUACUCAGACUGAUAAUGGAGCAGAUUUUCGCAGAAUCAUGGAUAUUCUCUUGGAAAUGAAAGGUCAAAUUUAUGCCUUGGGAUGCGAAGUUCAAAGCUUGAAGAAUGAAAGUCAAGCUUCUUCAUGUUCAUUGAAUGAUAAGAUGCAAGCCCUCUCUAUUCAGAAUCAGGCCAAUGCCAAGAGUGAGGAAGUUGCACAGCUGAAGGAAGACUUUAAAAGGCUGGAAGGCAUCGUUCAGUCUAUGGAAGAUUUCCAGCUUGUCCGCGUUCCCAAGCAAUCUUGACUUCAUCUCAUCCUUUUUAAUGAUGACAAAAAGGGGGAGAGAUGCAUGAUUUGAUCAAACUUUCAAUCAUUAAACUUUUAACUGUUUGUUGGAUUGUGUUGUUAUUUAACUGGAUGGUGUUGUUGUUUAACUGUUUUUGACAGACUUUGACUUUGUUUUGUGUCUGGAUGAGAACUGAACUAGACUUGGACUUGACUGCUUCUAUUCACAAGUAUUGAUAUCUUAUGGAUGGUUUUAUUAUAUACUAGACUAACCUAUUUUCUAUGAUUGCAGAUUCUAGUGUUAAUCUUUUAGCCAUUCAUCUCUAUUAUAAGAUAUGCAUAUGUGUUUGAGAAAUGUUUUGCAGGUCAAAGUUAUCCAAAUCUGCAGGAAGGUUUUGUCACCAUCAAAAAGGGGGAGAUUGUUGGAGAAAUCCUCAUGAAGUGUUUUGAAGUUGACAAAACGUCUCCAUCAGUCUAGUCUGAAGGUCUGCAGACUCUGUUGGUUAAAGUCUGAAGACUUCCGGACAGCCAGACUCAAGACUCAAAGUCUAUCCUCAUUGACAGUCUCUAAUCCGUUGAAAAAGGGUUAUCCAGAACUGGAUGUUUUGUUUAGGAUUUAUCCUUAUCAUCUGGAGAAGAUCUCGUGGCUGGAGAAGACGUAACAGAAUCCUUGAUUGAUCAAGAUUGAUUCAAUGAUUGAAGAUUCGUUGAUUGUCUAAAUAUUAUUGGAAGGUUCUAUUUAUGGAAACCGAGAUCCUGAUUGUAUGGGCAAACAGGAUUGAUGGGCUAUCAACACGUUCCUUUAAUAGCUCGAACAAUCUUCCUAAUUGAUUCCGUCCAACGGGUAGAUUAGAGGAAUUUCUUUGGUAAGUGCCAACGGGUAUGAUGGCAUAAAGGAGUAUAUAAGGAAGACGUUCUUAGUUGUUCAAGAAGUGCGCGAUAGAAAAAUUCCAAAGUCUGAAGCUCCUAUUUGUUUAGACAAUUCCUUUGAGCGAAUACUUAUAUACAAAAGAGAGUCUAUAUUUGUGAGAAACCUUGAGAAUGUGUGGUAGAACAUCUACACUGUGGAAUCAAGGCAAAGCUGUGCUGUAACUUCUCUUUUGAUCAUAGUGAAAUCCAGCCGGUGGGCUAUCAGUGCGGAAGAGUGGACGUAGGCUUGGAAUAAGCCGAACCACUAUAAAUCCUGUGUUCAAUUCUCUCUCUCUCUAUACCUCGAUCGUAUUUCAUUUUGUUAAGAAUUGUUUCCGUAUUUCGACAAAUUGUUUGUGCGCCUAUUCACCCCCCCUCUAGGUGUUUAUACUAGCUAUCUCACUGAACACGUAAGAGAAGGCGAGGGAGAGUGAUGUUCCUAUGCCGGAGCUCCAGGACUAUAUGAGGUUGAUUGUGGACCUGGCUGAGUUGGAUAGUCAGUAGAUCGAUGGAGACCUGAGGAAUGAGAAGGAGAUAGCUCUGGGCUUGCAAGAGGAAAAUGAGAAGCUGCAAGCUGAGGCAGAACUCCAUAACAAACAAUUGAAUAAUCUAGCAACUAAAUUGUGCACAUGGAACAAUGGAAGCACAAUCACAGUAGAGUCUGAUUAUGUUAGUUUGUACCCCCACCUGAUGAUGACAAAUUGCGCUAAGUUAGCAGCAUGCGAUUGGGGAGGGGCAACCCAUAGCGCUUGAGGUGUGCAAGAACAUAGCUACAACCGAGGGAUCAUUGAUGACUUUGGACAUCAAGUAGAGGCUCGGCUCUACGUUGGUUGAAGAGAGAGUGAUUUUGGCAUAGGCAGAGUGAAGCAUGGUGGUCAGGUGAGGGAUGUUAAGCUUGGAAGCGGCGGAUUGAGCCCAUCGGUUUCCUUCUAGCGGUGUUAGUAGGAGCUUCUGUUUCAAGUUGGAAAGGUAGAACUUGAACUCCUUAGCUGUUUAGAUGGGGUUGGGCGGAGCUGCAGUGGCUCGAUAACGGAUUACCGCCAGAAACAAGAUCACAAACUGCAAAGCGAACAGAUAUUUUCCAAUAAGCAAACUAUCACACUAGUCCCUGUGGAUUGGAGACACAUACAUAUGCAUAAUAUGCAGACAACUAGUUUGUCAACGUUCGAUUUCAUUAAAACCAUCUAUCUCCUUCUGAUAAGCUUUAACUUUGUUUUACGAUGAAUUGAUACUUGUACAUCCCAAAAAACAACCUUUGGACACAAUAGAAAAUGCUCUCCAUGCUCUUCCCAAUUCAAUUUGUUCCUGUUCAAUGGCACCACGCGCGCACGGAAAUGUCAUGCCUCAGAUUCUUUUUUCCUAUCUCAAGCUAUUUCCCAGUCAAUCUUUCAUAAGUAAUCAAUCUCAUCGUUAGAAAUUCAUCGUUACCGCGAUCUUCCAGAUAUUGCAUUCCCAAAUUUAAACAGCAUCAUCAGGAAAUUUUCUGCAUUUGAAUUUGCAUCAUUGCACAAAUGGAAAACCUGCACCAUCGUACUUACGAGGAGACUCGAUGAUUGGGGGGGACAUAAAUACCUGUGUCAGGGAAAGCGAGCACGAUGAAAUCAUGCAGCUGCACGUGCGUCAAGUUGAACUCCCCAUAGGCGGACACCGCUCUCCCGUCGGAGAAAUCCAAUGCCGCCUUCUUCAACAGGUCCGUGAGCAUAAGUUCUACCAUCGCUAAUCACAGGGAACGAAUCAAUGGGAAUCGUCUUCACCCAAAGCCGAUCCCCAAUCAAGCUGAAGAAGGGCAACACAAUCGCUUGGCGAGAGGGAGAACGAAGGAUCGACGAGAACAGGAAUUCGUAUGAAGGAGAAUAGAGGAAACUGGAGCGUUCGACGAAGGAGGAGGAGGAGGAGGAGGAGGAGGGUGGAGGGUUGGGUAUGCAUAUGGGACGGAGACGAGACGAAAGGGAGGGAGGGAAGUUGGUACAAUCGAGGUGGCUCCGCAAAAUAUCUCUCCCGCGUCUUCUUCUCCAUCUUGCUCUCCGAACCCCAGUCGCUCUCCCCACUCCAUAACCCACCAACCACUCCACCAAGUCCCACCCUGCACCUAUCCUCCCCUCCACCGAGUCCACCACCAACGCCCAUCCUCCCUCCCAUUUACAGUCUCCGAACCUUCUUCUCUCUGCCUCAUCCCUACGUCCCAUCGCCACCUCCGAGAGGAGCGACGGUGGUCAUGCCAGGAGCGGCAGCGGGCUUGCGAGAGGAAGUCCCUCCUUGUCGAGAUCACCAAGCUGAAGCUUCGAGUUCAGGCCCUACGGCACGGAAUUCAGAUUCCGAAAGGCGAUCUGGGGGAGGUGGCGAACGUGGCUACACUGUUGCAGGUUUCGCGGGAGAGGAAUUUAAUCCCGGAGAGGGGGUUGAGUGCGAGUCUGAUGCUAUUGGAGGAGAGAGAGAAGAAAACUGCAGUGGAGGAGAAGAGCAAACGGUUAAUUUUUAUUUUUUUUCGAGCAAAAAAUGCAUGAAAUUUCGGUUCGAUUCGAUUCUACGUCUCUACCAUGAACAGACAGCACUGGCGCCCCCAUCAUUGAUAAAUGAUUUUGAAAACAUUUGCAAGAAAUAACUAGAAUUUAGCUUUCCAUAUAGGAACAAUGGGGAUUUCCAUCGGACCACUCAAGAACACAAGCUAGUAUUGCUGGAAGCCCAUAUGGAAAGAACAGUAUGGGAAUGAGUCUCUACAAGGGAACUGGCACGUCAAUUUGUACAACAGCAGAAUUCUUUAGGGUCAAAGUUACGUGCACGAUCUCAACCAUUGAAUGAAAGAAAAUUGAUGUCAACGAUUGAACUUGGCAUGACCAUUUUGUCCUACCAAACCCCACUAUCCCAUAACUCACGCCAAAAAUAAUAAGUUAUGCCAUAUCAAUAUUUCACUAAUCAGUGUGUAAGUUAUAGUUUUGAUUAUUUAGCUUUACACAUUUGACAAAAUUGCUUUAGGGAUAGAUAUCUCUUAGUCAUCAAGCGUAAAUUUUUACCAAGAAAAAGUGAAGAAAUCAUGGAACUUGCGGUUCCAGGAUUGAAUCGAAUUUACAUAUUGAUCUAGUUCGAGCAUUUCAUCAAACAAGUAAUAUGCAUUUUGAUCAAGGAGCUCAUCCGCAACCAGAUCGAAAAUCGUCCAAAUUGGACUGGACUGGCUGGUUUAGUCCAAUUCCUGAUUGUAUAAAAAUGAAACCGAUGAUUUUCAAUUUGGUUCCCAUUUUUUGGGACCGAGAACCAAAUUGGACAAUCCUAACCAAACAAGUUCCAGUCCGAUCCACUAAAACUGGCCACUUAGCAAAACUUUUUUGUUUAAAAAUAUUAGAGUUGGUAUGCCUAUAUAAUUUUUGUCCUUUUCUUCACUUCCUUCACUUUUGUCUUUAUUUCCUUGCCAAGCAUGAGCUCGAAGUCUCUCAUGAUAAUGCAAUCUUUCUUAUCUUAAAACAAAAAAUAUAUCACUCCAUAUAUAAUCCAUGCCAACCGACUAUGCCUUAACACACCUUCCUUUUAUUUUUCUAUCUUUAUUUUUCUAUAUAUUGCAUGAAUAUACGAAACAUCAAUCAUCAUAUCAUUUUUUAUUCCUUUUCAUUGGCCAAAUUUUCCUCAUUUGCUCUUGAACAAAUAUUGUAAGAAUAAUAUAAAUCUUUUUCUACAAUAUACUCAUCUUCUAACUUGUCAUUCCUCAUAAGUUAAUUUUUGGCAAUCAAAGAAUAAAGGGUUUGGGCCAAUUUCCUCUCUUCAUGGGCUUUGUCCAACUUGCCAAAUUAAAUCUUACAACUAUCAUUUCAAAUAUGUCUGUCAUCGGUCUAAUGUGAAUGCAAUAAUAAAAAUGUAAACUAAAUAAUAAAUGCUCCUAAAAUUACAUGCUAUGCAACUUAAUUAUAUUAUUUUUGUUUAAGGUUAAAAUUAAUCUCUAAUUUUCUAUGUAAUAAAUAAAUGGUUGAGUUGCCAAAAUUUAGGUGUUAGCGGGAUUAAAUUGGCACAAAUGAAACGUGUUUAGGACUUUUCUGACACUUUUUCCUAAUAAUACAAUGUAACAAAAUCGAAAAUUAUAGCAAAUAAGAAGAAUCUUUAUGAAAUCCCAAGUCAAGCUCCCAAGUCACGCUGAUUAUGAGAUAUUUUUAUCUAGUUAGUGUAAUUUUGCAUGCAUGUCUUUGAAAUUGAUACCAUGAAAAACCCCAAAUUGAUUCAUCUAUAAUAAAUUUAUCUUGAAUUAAUUUUUUGACUACAAAAAAUACUACAGUGAUGUAACUAUGACAAAUUUACCCUUAAUUAUUUUUCAUUAAAUUUUCCUAAAAUAACCAAAGUGUCCCUUUUAGAUAAAGUUACCCCUAAAAUCUAUGCCUAAUAUCUCUCCCCUCUCUCUGCCUGCCCCUCUUCCUCUGCCAGCAGAUCGCCCACCCCACUCCCACUUUCUCCUCUCCAUUGCCGCUCUUAAGCUCGGAUUUUGCCAUUCGAGUAAGCUAGAGAGAGAGAGAGAGAGAGAGAGAGAGAGAGAGAGAGAGAGAGAGAGAGAGAGAGAGGUGAUAAGGUAUUGACGGUCGUGAUAGGCGAUUGGGCUUGCUCGGAUGGAGGCUAGUGGCGGCCAUAGGGAUGAGGACGGCAGAGGAGGUCCAUAUCCAGUGGAAGAGAACUAUAAUGAGAAAGACGAAAAAUGGGGAGAAAAGCUUUUGAUUUGACUUCAAUAAUUAUUUCUAAAAUUUUGAUUCCAUCGUUAUUCACCACGCCUCACAUGAAUGAUUAUUCAGAAGCUAAAGAAUUGAAAUCUAGAAACAAGAAGGUAAAACAAUAAAUGUGAAUCCGCCAAACACUUCGACCGUUUAUGAAUCUAUGACCACGAGCAUAAGUUCGUCUUCGGCAACAGGAUCGAAGCUAACGCAUUGUCCCACUGGGACGUCGAGGCAAUGAGACGUGGAGAAGUGAAGGGGCCGCGGAGCCAACCCUUGGCUAUCACCUGAUACACCGCCUCGGUCGAGUGAAUUCCGUCCCAAUUCACGAGAGCCGAUGGAUCUGUACACAGAGUCGAGCCAUUGGAACCACACAUGGCCGAGAGGUCAAAAUGAUACGGUCCGCCACCUCCACACCAAGCUGCUUGUGUACCUCCAUUGAAUCCUGCAAACAAGAGGAGGAUUGAUCUCCAUAGUCACCCUUAUAACUUCACAAAAGUACCGCAAACUUUCGAAUAACUUCGAUGUGACUCAGUGAAUUAUCUUAUAUGCCUAAUUCACUGUCGAUUAUGAGACUAGAAUGAAAGAAAACACACCAUAAUGAUUUGGUGUGCAGAAGAAACGAAUGGCAGCUCCAUAGUAAUCGGCAUACAUAAUCCUUGCGUGGCGAUAUUUCUGUCUCAAAAUCUGCAGCUUUCGCUUGACAUAACUGUUGUGGUACUUGGAGAACUCAUUAUAAGCUUUGAGACAGCCAGUUCUUGGAUCAGAGUCCGAUUCAUUAGAGCUGUGAAACAAAGCCAAGUACACCGUCCAGCAACCGAUCGGGAAAUUCCCCGGCACCACUAAAUCCACUGCCCCUUCUUCGAUGACCAUCUAAAGCAAUCACAAGCUAUGAAAGUAAUUCAUUUGAGGUGACCACAUGGAAGAUUUUAUUGGAACGAAUGUUGAAUAAAUCGUAAGUAGUUGCGUUGGUUGAGAGUCUCACCUUCAUCGCCGAGGUCGAGAGUUUGAAACCCACAGUUGCUAGCGAUUUAAGUUGGGGCUCUGGCAGUGGGAUGCUGGGCUAAUCUUCCCCGAGUAUAGGCAUUGUAGGUCUCUCCAUCGCAGAGGACCGUGAGACCUCGAAUAGUGUAAGUGGAAGAGGGCCCCGGCAGAUUCUCGGUCACCAAAAAAAGAAAAAAAAAAGAAAAAAGAAAAGGCAUGCACUGGUGGCAUUAGUGAUGGCUCUAACAACAAGGGGCACCAUGAAAGGGAGCUACUCAACACUUGCACCUAAGGUGAAAAGAAAGUUGUAGUCGUUUCCACCAAUUUCCCCCACAAGAAACAAAGACUUCUUGAAAUAUGGAUCACAAUAUGCUCAAAAGAAAUAAUUAAAACAAAAAUUAAAUGGAUAAAAGAUGGGUUGGUAACCAUAUAAAAGAUCAUUGUGAUAAGAUAUAUUUAAAUAUUAAUCACCCUGUAAAAAUAUUUUUUUCUUUGUUUUUUUUUUUAAUGAUCCAAGAGCACGGACAAAAAGCCACAUCUAUAAGAAGGUUUGUAAAACAUCCUACAAGGGCCAUGAACUGAUUGAGUUCAUGCCUUUGGCCUGAACAAGUAGUCCUUAUCAUAGCAAGUUCAAUGUAGUUAAUAUCUAAAUAGACGAUCUUUGGUUGCUUAGCUCAUGCCAACUGUAAAGUCACCCUAUGAAAGAUUUAGGAGCUACAUAUGCAUGAUAUCAACCAAAUCACCUAGAUGAAUAAUCAUACCUUGUUUAGAUAAGAUCGAUGGUACAAAAUGGAAGUACACACAAACUAUCACUAUAAAAUAUCAGUCCUCAAUCGGAGCAUACAAAAAUGAGUUUAUGUUUUAACUAGUUGGGUAGUACAAAGAGAUGAUUUGAGUCCCUUGAACCAGCUGAGCUGGACGUUUAAGGUAUGAUUCGUCCAUAACAACGAUCCAAGGUCUUGUGCAUAAAAAAAUGUCAGAUCAAGUGCCGUGGCGCCGGCAACUGCAAAAUUCACUCCACUACGAACAUGAUGCAAGCCCUUGCCCAGCUCAAGAUAUGGCUUCAGAUCGGGUAACCAAAAUGCUUCCGCUGCAUUUUCAUAUGCGUAUUGCAUGCACACCAUUUAAACAUCUCAACUGAUAGUUAAAGAUUUCAACUGCACGCAGAGCAUGAUACGAACACCGCAGGUAUAAAUAGUUUUUCCUUGAGCAUUGUUUUCUACUGCCAGAGAUCCCAAUAUUUAUACCAAAAUUAGUGGCUGUUGGGAAUGACUGAUCCCCGAAAACUGGAUUCGACACUAAAUCGAACCCCUAAAUUCAAGCGGAAGCGAAGCCCGGGAAAAACAACACGUAUCACCGAUCCUAAAGCAAACCACGGAUUCGAGCGUACCUUUUAGCCACAGAUUAAACGCUGACGCCGAUAGAGGAAGAGAAACUUGGUCAUGUUCGAUCCGGUGAAGCAAAGUCGCCUUGUAGCCUCACUGUUUGCUUUUUGGAGAAAACGACAGAGAGGAGGAGAGGAUGAGAGAAACGUACGUCUUUUCCUUUUGAACAAAACGGUACCUUUUUCCUUUUUUUCCUCCCUUUUAUACCUCUUUCCUUCCACGGGCCUUAUUCCCGUGGGACGGGCUUUCUCAGCCCAACUUGGGCGGAUGGGCCAUAAGCCCAAAUCAAAUAAAGCCUUCAUCUCCCACUCGCACAUGGUGGGCCGAACAUAAUUCUCUUUACCUCUCUUCAACAUUCAUACCGGUGAAUAAUCCGUGCGACCAGCAUACUUUGAGAGCUCGUUGCCAUACAUCUGUUAGGAAUAUAUAGCAGCUCAUAAUGGGCAUCACACUCCGAGUAGAUUUAGUAUGCAGUACCCUAGAUCGAUCGAUCACAUUUAUAUCUCUCUUGAUCUCUUUCAAACAAUGAUAUAUAUAUAUAUAUAUAUAUAUAUAUAUAUAUAUAUAGUGUAUUCACAAUUAUGAUUAUCCCAAAGACAGUCAUAAUUGGUUAACCAGUGAAUACAAAACUAUAAUGUGAUUCUCCAAAAUCGGUCUUCCUCUUUCCUUCAAACUCUCAAUUUCAGUUCAGCUUGCUUUUCUAGAAAUGCCCCAUUAGAUCGAAUCAAAAGCAUGACCAUUGGCAACAUCCUAAGAUAGCAAACACUAAAUAGAAAUCUUGAGAAUAAGUAAGAGUCAUGAGGGGACAAAAAAAAAUUGAGGAACUCUUUUCCUCAAGAGUCUCACACGACAUUAAAAAGUUGAGAUCAAACUUUUGCUACUCUUAUUGGUCGUCUCAUGCAUACGUAGUAUGAAAUACGUAUUACGGUAUUAACUCAUUUCCCAUGGAGCGUAUGUCUACACUUUCAAUACCGUACAGAUGAUAGUUCAGACAUACCCAAUGUCUAACUUGAGUUCACGUAUCUACUCAUUCACAAAAUUCAUCAGAACUCACAUAUGGCAUCUUAGACAGAUAAAGUAAAACAUGUGGGGUAUUUUACUUUCGGACAUAAUAAGUAUUAUGUCCUCAUCUUAACACCUAGUUAAGGCAACAUACGUGUUUUAAGCUUGAGCUCUCGAUUAUCACCUAGAUAAUAAGCUUAAAAACAGUCUCAUCUCUAUUUAUCACAUAGUAAAUAGAGGCGAUUACCCGUGUGAGUGGGCUAAUCUUAUAUCUGUCCGACAUACUUCCUAACUUAAAGUAAUGCACUGAGCAUUAAGAUGCAUAAAGAUCAAACAAAUAUUCAUAGGCAUUAAUGAUGAAAACACAAAUUCAUCAAAUGUGAACUCUUAGGGAAAUUACAAUAUUCAGUACAUCAUCCUCUACGCAAUCCUAGAGAUUUCACAUGGCCACAAAACACAUCUUUAGGUAUUGGCUUUGUUAUAGGAUCUGCUACCAUUCUAUGCGUAGUAUGUGCUCUAAGUUCACAUCCUUUCGUGCAACCAUAUCCUUGACAAAGUUAUACUUGGUAUCUAUAUGUUUGGUCUUGCCAUGAUAUUUUGGAUCUUUGGUGUACACUUUUGCUGCUUGGCUAUCACAGUUAACCAACAAUGAAUCUGCAGCACUUCCAAUAACAUCUAAAUGAUCCAAAAAAUCUCUUAAGCCAAACACCUUCUUAUACUGAUGCUGAUAAUGCCACGAACUCUACUUACAUCGUAGAUAAGGUUAUACACUUUUGUUUUUUACUGCUCCAACAUAUGGUGCCAUUAUUCGGUAAGAAAACAAACCCAAAGAUAGAUUUUCUUUCAUCUAAAUCUCCUUCUCAAUCAGCAUCGUAAUAGCUUUAGAGUCGCAAAUCCUUUCCUCAAUGACUCAGCAUAUAAUCAGCAGUUCCCUUUAGAUACCUCAGUAUUCUCUUAACGGCUUAUCAAUGUGCUUGACCUGGAUUGGAUUGGUAACUACUCACCAUUCCAACUACAAAACAUAUGUCAGGUCUUGUACACAUCAUAGCAUACAUAAAGCUUCCAACAGCACUGGCAUAAGGAACAUGUUUCAUUUGUUCAUUCUCUUGUGGAGUCCUUGGACACAAUUUAUGGUUCAAUUCUUCACCUUUUGCAAUAGGAGUGUCUAUGGGUUUACAAUCCCAUAUCCUUCAAUUCAAAAUUGGAAGAGAACCAACUUUUGACAGUAUUGACAAACUCCAUAUUACUUAUGGCAAUUAGUAUAUCAUCAACAUAUAAUGAUAUGAUCACAAAUUGAUCUUUGGAUCUUUUGAUAUAUACACAAUGAUCCUUAUCAAUCAUUGUAAAGUGAUAUGCCAUUUUGGCAUUAUGAAAACGUAUAUACCAUUAUCUUGACGACUGCUUAAGGUCAUAUAUCGACCCCCAAAGUCGACAUACCUUUUCUUCUUGGCCUUUCACUAUGAAACCAACAGGUUGUUCCAUAUAUACUUCUUCCUCUAAUUCUCUAUUGAGGAAAACAGUAUUUACAUCCAUCUGAUGUAACUCAAGAUCCAUACUAACCAUUAUUGCCAGAAUAAUGCAAAUUAAGGUAAAUCUCACUACAGGAGAAAACGUAUCUUCAUAAUCAAUAUCUUCCUGUUGAUUAUACCCAUUCGCCAUAAGGUGAGCCUUAUGCCUUUCUAUCGAGCCAUCAGCCUUUCGCUUUAUUUUGAGAACCCACUUGUUCCCAAUAGCUCUGCGUCCCUUUUGGAAGAUCAACCAGUUCCCAGACUUGGUUUGACUUCAUUGACUCCAUCUCCUCUUUCAUUGCAUAAAUCCAUUUUUCCAUACUAGGGUAUUUAAGAGCCUCAUUAAUAUUUCUUUGCUCAUCCUCAUCUUGCGAGUAAUCAUAAAAGUUUCCCCUUCAAUGUCAAGACGUUGACGGGGAAUACUUUGGCAACUUUUUCGCCGUAUGGGAGAUUGUACACUUAGCACAUCAUUCCCAAUUAUGCUCCCACUUGGAUUAGGUAAUGAUGAUGUCGUCACAUCAAGUGGUUGUAAUUGAGAAUGAGUUGAAUUCAAUUCAUCACUUCUCAUAUUACUCCCACUUGGAUGAACUCCAUUAAUAUCAUUAUCUUGAUCCAAGGUUUCAAAUAGGAAGUAAUCUUCCCCUAUUUCGCCCUUCUUAGGAAAUUCAUCCACUAAGAAUGUGACAUCCCGUGAUUCAAAAUUCAGUUAUUCUCCCACUUUCCUGCUCACCUAUGAACACAUACCCUUUCGAGUGUUUGGAGUAUCUCAUUAAAAUACUCUACUUUUAUUUGGGACUCAAUUUCCCAAACUUGUGAGAGGACAUAUGAGUAUAGGCAGCAUAACCCCAUGGCUUAAGUAAACUUAAGUCCGGUUUCUACCUAUCCAUAAUUCAUAUGGAGUGGAACUAACUGAUUUGGAAGGCACCCGGUUAAGUAUUUAGGCAGCAGUUAACAACGCAUCACUCCAAAAAGUGAUAUGUAAGUUAGCAUACGCCAUCAUGGACCUAACCAUUUUCAGUACGGUUCUGUUUCUUCUCUCUGCAACACCAUUUUGUUGAGGAGUAUAUGGAAUAGACAACUAUAUUUCUAUUCCUUUUCAUCACAUUAUUUUCUGAACUCAUCAGAUAAAUAUUCUCAACCUCGAUCAGAUCUCAAUACUUUUAUUUUCUUGUCUAAUUGAUUUUCUACCAAGUUCAUAAACCCUUUGAAACAACUUAUGCUUCAGAUUUAUGAGAAAUCAAAUAGACACAUCCGAAUCGAGUAUAAUCAUCUAUUAAAAGUGAUGAAGUAAACAGUCACAUGCCUUCCUCUCACAUUCAUUGAACCACAAACGUCAUAAUGGAUUAAAUGCAGAGGAACGUCAGCUCUUUUACCUUUUCCAAAUGGUUUCCUUGUCGUUUUCCCUUCUAGGCAAUGCUUACAUAUGGACAAAUCGACUUAUUCAAUAUUGUCCAACAAGCCCUCUUUGGCUAGUCUAUUCAUAUGUUGUUGGCCAAUAUAACCAAGUCUAGCAUGCCACACAUUCACAUCAUUAUCACAUGAAGUAAAAGACGUGAAACAAGAGAAUAACAUAUUGACAUCACCACAGUCAACAUUUAGUACAAUAAAACCAUUCAGUAAGUGACCACAACCAUAGUAGUUUGUAUCUAAACACAAAUCUACACCUCUAUUAUGGAAGUUCAUAUAAAAACCAAGCUUGACCAACACCAAAACAGACACUUAAAUUUCGACGGAUCUCUAGAGCAUUUAGAACAUCAUGUAGGAACAAGUUGCGUCCAUCACACAUGUUCAGUUGGCAUGUGACAAUCCCUUUAACUUCAGCUCUGGAGUUGUUUCCAAUAUAGAUCCACUUAGUUCCAAUUGGUAUCGUCGGAAUUCCACGAAAGAUCCUUUAUCCUUCGCUACAUCGUCUGUUGCUCCUGAAUCUACAGUCCACAAAGGAUUGGAUUCAGCCAAUAAUUUAGAACUUGACACAUAAUCAAAGUUCUCAAACGUACAAGAGGUGUUUACAUUCUUUGGCUCACGACAGUCGCGAGCAUAGUGACCCUUCUUGUCACAGUUGUAACAUUUCACCCUUGACAUUUUCUUCACUUGAGGACGUUUUCCUCUCUUGUGUUGGUUAAUUCUUGAUCUCUUGCAAUAAGGACUUGAUCCUUUGCAUUCCCACAUAUUGAACAAAUCAAUACGCUUGCGCUUAGAGCUCAAAACCCUUUAUGAGCUAGAACCAGCAUUGCAAAUAUCUAUUCUCAGCUCACAUGCCGUUAAGCGGUCCUCUACCAGCUCAAGAUGGCGCACAGCACUCUCAAGAUCUUCCAUAACAUGGUCAAGAGCUUCUAGUGCUUCUUGCUUUUGCAUCACAUAUUGAAUCUUCAUAUUCAAUAUUUCACAAUUGUAGCUGUUCAUAUCAGCAAUUACAUUCUUAGUUGCUGAACCAUCGUUCUGAACACAUCAGACAUACAUGCACGAAUAAUUAAUGCCUAUCAUUUAUGUAUCCCUAUUUGCAUAGACCCAUCAUAUUAAUGAAUAAUUUCAAGUAAGGCUUCAUAAUCAAAAUGUCACUAUGUUUCUAAUCAUCCUCCAAAAAAUCCUAACUCAAAAUUAUUAUUAAUAUAAUUGUCUUAUGCAAAUGAAUUCUAUGAAGUUACAAAAAAUUCUAUUACUACCCACAUCUAAUUACCCACAGCAACCAGCAAUAGCAGAAAUCAAAUAAAAUCUUAACAUCCAAUAAAGUAACAAUGCUUUCACAUGAUACAACUAAUAUAUCGGUUGCUACAUCAAUAACAAUCAGGUAGUAAACAUUACAUAAUUAAUCAAAGAAAUAAAUAGGGAAUGUCCCUUCUAAUCUAUCAGCCAUAAUAUAUGAGAAAUUUGAAGGCACAUUUGCCAACCAUGGAAAAAUUUUUGGAGAGCUCUCAUGUCGCCACCAAGGCGCAUUCACUCUGCGUCAUGUGGCGCUCAAUCUAAGGGUUGAAGUUUUGGCCAACUCAAUCCUAUAGUAUUCUCUUACAAAAGCUUCCUCUAGCCCCCUGUAACCCGGGACCACGUUGACCUCCCAUAGCCGAUCUAACACUGCUUGCCAUUCAGGUGGAAGAGUGUUCAUCAAAGCCGGCACCUUCUCAAAAUCCGGCAUAAGAUAACCAUUCCAUAUGAUUUCCUGUAUCAUCUGAUUGACCUUGACCAUGUGUGAUACUAAAUCACCAUCAAACCACCGAUAAUCAGCUAACACUUUCAUCAACCUUUUCAGUCUAGCUCUUCCUUCGUCCGUUCUUGGGAUUGCAGGUAUCCUUGCAUAACGCAUCAUAGUUCCUGCAACAAAUGCAGAACUAAAAUGGAUCACUUAUAAUCCAUAAUAAACAAAAUGGAAAAUACAUAAAUUUCCAUGAUUCAUGCAACAAAUGCAGAAUAAAAAUGGAUUACCUACAACCCACACAGACAUAAUUGAAAAAAGAAACAAAUUCCUUUUUCUUUUUUUUUCGGUCAACGGUCAAAGUCAACAGUCAACGGUCGUCGGUCAACGGGUCAACGGUCGGUCAACGGUCAAUGGGUCAACGGCCAAGUCGUCGGACCGGUCGGACCGGUUGGGCCGGUUCGCGUGAACCACCCGUACGUGCCGCUCGCGUGCACGGGCUGACAUCACGCAGACGUCAGCCGGCACGUGCCGCACGCGUGCCGGGUCUCGCGUGGGUCGGGGGUCGGGUCUUCGGCCGGUGACCGUUCGGCGAAACGUCGUCGGCGAUGACGUCAUCGGUGACGUCAUCCAAGCGGUUACCGACCGUUGGAUGACGUCACGGCGACGUCAUCACGUGACGUCAGCACGCGUCGGUCCGUGGACCGGCGCGUGCCAUUUUGCCGGUCGCCGGCGCGCACGUGCCGGUUCGUCACCGGCGCGUGUGGCACACGUGCUGGCCUUAGCCAGCGCUUCGGGCGCGUGGUGCCCACACGCAGCUGCUUGUGGCCGCGCGUGUGGGCGCGUGUGGCGUCGUCCGGCGACGCACGACAUGUUGCCGAACUCGUCUCGACGUCGCCUUUCACCCAGUGCCUUCAGAAUUCAAUUUUAACUUACGAAAACUCAGAAAAAUGGCCGAACAGCGCUCGGGUGUCGGGAUUUUCGCCCCGAUCCGUACGGCCGAAGAUUUUUCGCGAUAAAUCAAUAAAAAAAAAACAUCAAAUUGAUCGGGAAAACGUGAACUAGAGCUCUGAUACCAAUGUUGGGAAUGACUAAUCCCCGAAAACUGGAUUCGACACUAAAUCGAACCCCUAAAUUCAAGCGGAAGCGAAGCCCGGGAAAAACAACACGUAUCACCGAUCCUAAAGCACACCAUGGAUUCGAGCGUACCUUUUAGCCACAGAUUAAACACUGACGCCGAUAGAGGAAGAGAAACUUGGUCCUGUUCGAUCCGGUGAAGCAAAGUCGCCUUGUAGCCUCACUGUUUGCUUUUUGGAGAAAACGACGGAGAGGAGGAGAGGAUGAGAGAAACGUAUGUCUUUUUCCUUUUGAACAAAACGGUACCUUUUUUCCUUUUUUUCCUCCCUUUUAUACCUCUUUCCUUCCACGGGCCUUAUUCCCGUGGGACGGGCUUUCUCGGCCCAACUUGGGCGGAUGGGCCAUAAGCCCAAAUCAAAUAAAGCCUUCAGUGGCCUUUUGCAUCAAAUCCCUGUUCUUUUCCCUAAAAGCAGAUAAAGAGUCUGAGAGGACUACAUACCUAUGAAAUCGAUCAUGAGACGUCCAUCUGAAAAACAACCGGUGGGAUGCCCAGAGAAGGUUUUGCCAUAAGGAAGCUUAGCCACAGCCAGAAAUGCGACCGCCCCAGUACUAAGGAAGUUCCCGGUGUCGCUUACAGAGUCGCCGAAAUUGAAAAUCGACUCGUACCUACGUGGGAGGGCCAUGUUGGUCUUCAAAGACAGACAACAAUGCAGAAGUAUCGAGAUUAUUAUAUUAUAUUUCACGGGAAUCUUGAGUAUUUUCGAGAGAAGAAGUCUUGGAGAUGCUAAGAGAGUUGGUAGACAAUUUAUGUGCUCUCUUGCUUGCUAAUAUCAAUUUUGUGAAAAUAUAGGGUUUGGAGGUGAGGUUGAAUUGCUGAAGGCGGUGUAAUCAGGAGUCACUGUGCCCUUUGCUUAUACAUUGGAGUGUCAGAUGGAAGCUCGACAUAUAAACAUGGUGACAUGAGAUUGUCGUCUUGUGGAUGUCUGGGUGUUCCUUGGCGACUCAUGUUGUUGAUUUUUGAUGAUCAUACAAUGAUGGCUUGAUGUCCCAAGACGACCACCCGUUGAAAACGUGUUAAAUGAUUAAGAGCCUCAUCUGUAUUUUUCCAUACCGCUACCGAGCUGAACGCGACAAUAUUUGAGUUAGCUCUUUCUACGAAAACGAUGAAGUCUCAGACAUUCUCUUACUUUCCAAACUAUUUUGUAUAGAGGAGGCGAUUUAGACUAUUUUUGUUGGUUUCUAAUCCAGUUAGGAUGUCACAUAGGUCAAAAUAAAUGGUUAAGACGAUAUGAUGUGAAAUAACAGGUCAGAUAGAAUAGAUUAAAAGGAUAUUCUAAGGCAUCAAGCAGUUCGAAAUGAAUAUAAUCCACACGAGCUAAUGGCAAUUAUUGUUAGCUGCUGAAAUAAUUGAUAAUAUUGAAGUACACUGUGCAAAAUGUCACAUGGUGUUGAACAGAUCGAUCUAACUAUGACUUGUUUUCUUGCGUAUUAUGCAUCGAUAAUCAAACGCAAAAUUAUUCUUUUUCUGGCUAUGGUCCAAACUGGUUUUGGUUCUUGGCUCCCACUUGGACAUUAAUUAUAUCCCUCGGCCUCAUUUUUAUCGUAAUUUGUGUGGCGCCACAAAAUUCCAAGACCCCCAUUCUUGGAAGUUUCUAAAAAUUAGCUUAGGUUUAAAUCCCACGGGCUUUACAUAUUCAAUUGGACUAAUACUCUAAUCCAAAACGAGUUAAGAGACAGAUGUAUAAAGUGACUACUCAAUGCCGUAUCAACUCUCCCAUGGACGUCUCUUAUCCCUAACGCUAAUAUGUGCACCUAAACAAAUUAGUAUCAUUAGAGAUAUAUGGUUAAUUAGAUACUUUGAAAACAUUUUGAUUAAUAAGUGCUAUCCAAAAUCGUUCAUAUUAAUAUGUCAACCCUUCAAAAACAUAAAUUCAAUAAGUAAAUUCAUCUCUUGAUUUGAGAGGAUCAGAUCAUAAAACCAGUUGUUGAGAAAAGUCGGAUAGUUAAUUAGUUGUGUGGCUCGCAAUAUCAACAAUAAUUUCAAGAUUUUGAUUCCAGCGGUAUUCAUGACUCAUCACAUGAAUGAUAAUCCAACAAGAAAAGUUUACAGGAUGGAAAUCUGAAACAAGAACACAUAGGUAGAACAACAAGAUGUCAAUCCACCGAACACAGUGACUCUUUAUGACUCGGUGACUAUGAGCAUACAUUCAUCUUUCACAUUAGAAUCGAUGCUCUAUUCAUCAUCCCCUUCGGACUUCUAGGCAACGAGACGUGGAGAAGUGAAGGGACCGUCGAGUAAGCCCUUGGCCAUGUGCCGAUACGCCGCCUCGGUCAAGUGAACUCCGUCCCAAAGUAUGGAGGCUGACGGAUCUUUACACACGCUUGACUUGGAACCACACAUCAUCCUGACGUUGAAAUUAAAUGGUCCACCAGCUCCACAGCAAGCUACAUGUGUUGAUUUAGAGAAACCUGAAAACGAGAGGACAUCGAUCUCACCACUUAACCUUAUAAGUUCAUUAAGACGCCGCAAGUAGGAUAAAUCUUCAAUCUAUAUACGUAGUUGAAGGUUCUAUAUGCCUAUUCACCAUUGAUCGUGAAAGUAAGAAGAAAGUAAACUCACCAUACUGUGUUGGUGAUUCAAAGAGACGCAUGAUAUCUUCAUAAUAAUCUGCAUAGAUAAUCCUUGCAUGGUUAUAUUUUUGUCUCAAAACCUGCAACUCUCGUUGGAGAUAAUCGUUGUGAUACUUGGCGAAUUCAUUAUAACGAUUGAGACAACCAGUUGUCGUAUUAGCGUUGUUCUUGAGAAAGGGUGGAGCUGUCGUUAUGUACAAUGUCAAGCAACCAAUUGGCAGAUUCCCUGGCACUACUAACUCCACCGCCCCGUGUUCGAUGAGCAUCUAAAACGAUCACAUGCCAUGAAAAAUUUAUCGGGGUGCUAAAAAAGGUUAACGACGCAAGAUCUUAUUGGAAAAAUAGUAUUGCGCUUUGUUCCUUGCAAGAAAAAGAAAAGGUCCAUACGCUGGUGGCAUUGGCGAUGGCUCCAACAACAUUUGGCACAAUGGGACGGAGCUGCUCAAAGGUUGCACCCAGGGCGAAAGCAAGAUUGUAGUCGUUUCCACCAAUUUCCCCCACUAGAAAUAAAGACUUCUUGAAAUAUGUAUCGCAAUCUACAAAAGAAAAGAACGAAAAUAAAAAUCAAAUCAUCAAAUGACUCUAGUAAUCGAUUUAAAAAUCCUAAUAAUGAUAUAUUCCAAUAUUGAAGUCACUCAACGAAAGACUUCUUUUAUUUUCCUUUGAUAUUGCAAGAGCACAAAAAUAGAAACCCGUCUAUCUAGAGACCUAUGAAAUGCCCUUCAAUCCCCAUAAAUUAAUAGACUAGGCCUAAGCAAUUGUGCCUCGGUUUCUAAGUUGCAAGUCUAAACAUCCCAAUCUAUUGCACCAAACCUGUAGUGGUCAUCCUACGAAAGAUUUAUGAGCUACAAAGACAUGAUAUCUACCAAAUCACCUCAGUAAAUAUCUUCAGUGUAUAUAAUCGAUCACAGAAAGGAGUAAUUGCUAUACAUGUUAGUCCUCAACCGGAGCCCACAAAAAUAGGGUUUAUAUUAUUUACCUUGCUGGGUUGUGCAAAGAGAAGAUUUAAGUUUCUUGAACCAGUCGAGCUGAACAUUUAAGGAAUGAUUCGUCAUUGUCAUCGCUGGAAUGCCUCGAGCUGCAAAGAAUGUCGGAUCAAGCGCUGUGGCACCAGCAACUGCAAAGUUAACUCCGCUACGAGCAUCAACUGAGCCGUUGACUACCUCAAGAUAUGGCUUCAAAUAGGGUAACCCAACUGCUUCCGCUGCAUUUUCAUAUAUGUAACGCAUAUACACCAGUUAAACAUCUAAAAUUAACUCCCCCAUUGAUGAUAAAGAUUGCUAAAGAUUGUCAUUAACUCUGCUUUAAAUAAGUUCUUUUUCUUGUCGUUUCGAAAGAAAAAUAUUAUUGUCGUCAGUGAAAUAUCAACACCAAACGUAGAAAAAUAGCCCUGUCUUUGAGCUUGGAUAUAUAAUACUGUAGAUCCAAAUAUUCUCAGCAAAAGCUGCGACCUUCUGAUUUAAAUGCCUGUUCUCUUCCCUAACACGAGCAUGCAUUUACAAAAAGCAAAGAAGUGUUAGGAGAACAUACCAAUGAAAUCAAUUAUAAGACGUCCAUCUGAAAAACGACCGGUCGGAUGCCCAAAGAAGGUCUUGCCAUAAGGAGACAUCGGCAGGAUUGCAUGAUCCCCCGCAGAUCGGAGGUAGUUCCCAGUGUCGCUUAGAGAGUCGCCAAAGUUGAAAAUCGACUCAUACUUAUGCAGGAUCGUCGAGUUGGCCUUCAAAGCAAGGCAACGUUGCAGAAGGAUCAAGAUUAUUGCUGUAUAUUUCAUGGCAAAUCUUGAGUAUUUUUGAGAGAUAAAGUCUUGAUGAUGCUAAGAGAGUUGGGCAACAAUUUUAUAUCCUCUCUUUGCUAAUUUUCAGUUGGUUAAAUUUGGGGUCUUCAAGGUGAGCUUAAAUAGCUGAAAUUGGUUCAAUCGGUUCAUUAAAUUCUUUGCUUAUAAUAGAAAGGGUGAGAUGGACGGGUAACCGACAGUAAGGGGGCAUGAGAACGUCAUUUUUUCGUCAUCGAGUCGUUUUGUCAUUACCUCUUACUCGUCAUUCUAUUGGGGCGACUAAGGUUGUUGAUUCUAGAACUUCUUUUCAGUCCCCCUUCGACUGGUGGGACGGCGUACGGAGCGACAUGGAAGAUAGAUGUAGUUAAUUCUAAGGUCGUGGAGAAUGUCUUUUUCCUCGUUUUGAACCUCCAACAAUUGAAACCUCCGAAAACAUAGGGACCGUUAGCAAGUGCCACAGCUUGCGGGCUUUAAGACUUAGCAAUGCCACGUCGAAGACUUCUCUCCUAUUUAGUCAGAUUUAUGAGAAAAGUCGAUAAUAAUUUUCCUUUUCACAAAUUUAACUUUGUAAAAGAUUAGCAAAAUGAUUAAUCAUAUUUGAAAUUUAAUGAACAUUUCUAAUGACACUGACAAUUUUCAUUUUAGUAAGAGAUUAUAUUUUUCUGCCUUCGUUUUCCUGUGUGCGUUAUUUAAUUUCCUCCAAAUUAUUUACUUUCGCAAAUUAUUUUUUCAGCUGCAUUGUUCCUGUACCCCUUAUGAGGAAUCUUCCAAAGAUGAGCCCAAGUUGGAACCCAUGAGGUUUAUAUUAUGCAGUCGAAUCCAUAUUGACGCAAUAACUUAAAUCAGAAUCAAGAGUCGAUUUUCUAUAUCUAGUAAACCUCCACCCAUAUUGCUACGUCGUAAAACCUGCCUUCAUUCAUAGUCUCUUCCACCAAAUCGUGAGGUGAUGAUAUUUUUUCCUAAGAAUCUGUAAUCAUGCGCGAAAUUUUCCAUAAUUCGAUCACAUUCAUUAAUCGGUGGCCACUAAUUGACCACAAGUGGUGAUUCUACUUGUUAGGAAAAUUCGUGAAAAGAGUCCAAAAAUUAUUCCAAUUUUGUUAGUUAUAAACCUUCUAAUUUUGCUAAUUAAGUACUAAACAUGUUUAUGUUUUGUCAAUUGAGUCUUUCCAAUCAAUUUGGCCAAAAUUCGUUGACAUAAACACCGACAAUUUUACAUGACAUAAUCGGCACUAACAUGAAAAAAAAAUUAAAAAUUAUUUCUUUUAUUUUAUUUUCUUUUUCCUUUAUUUCUUUCCUUCUCUUUUCCCUCUUUUCUUUUUAGGCCAACCUCACCAUGGCCCCGCGGCUGGUGAGGGCUUUGCUACCUCGUUUGUGGCUAGUGAGGCUGGCCUCGCUCAAACCAUUAUGACUACAAGGGAGGCCCCUUACCUAAAUCAAAUCAAGGCCAUGGCGAGGCUAGCCUCGCUUGCGGCCCACAAGGGGAUAGCGAGCUAGCCACUAUAAAAAAAUAAAAUAAAAGAAAAAAUAAAUCAAUGAAAUUUAAAAUAUUAUUAAAAAAUGUUCAUGUCAAAGCUAGCCAUGCCAUGAAGGAUGGCCGACAUUUGUGUUGGCAAUUUCUUACCAUAAAGACUCAAAUAGCAAAACGUGAAAAGUUUUGGAACUAAAUUGGCAAAUGUAAAAUAGGUUUAGAACUUUUUGGACAAUUUCCCCCCUUCCCCCCACACUAGGGCUCUGUCUCUCUCUCUAUCUCUCUAUGGAUCAAUGCUAUCAAGAAGAUCCUUCAGGUCUAUCAAAGGUUCAAUUUUGUGAGAAAUUUGAGUAUUUUGAAAUUCCAGUGAAUAGACUUUAUUAACAUCGAAAUUAGGAUUUGAAUGUAUAGCUUUCAAAAACUAUGAGGACUUGAUCACUAGAACAAAAUAUUUGACCUUCUAAUGUAAUUUUUCUUUUUAGAUUCACUUGAAUAACUUUAUUCGUUGGUAUUUCUGGUUUGUGAGAUAAGAUGAAGAAAUUCAAAAAAAAAAAAAAUUGUUGUCAACUAGUGGCUCCGAUAAGAGUAAGUUCUUGUCGAUUCCCACUUUGGUUGGAAUAACCAUUUAAAAAGUCCAAAAUCAAUUGCACUUUAGUCAAUUCAGUUUUAAAUAUUUCAAUUAUAUUAAUUGAUUCAUAAACAUUUUCACAUUUUGUCAAUUGAGUCAAUCUAGCCAAUUACGUAUGGAAAUCGCUAAGAUGGAUGUUGAUCGAUUUACAUGACAUAGCUAGUGCUGACAUGGACAUUUUUUGAAUAAUUUUUUGAUAAUUUUUUGGGUUUUUUUUCCUUUAUUUUGUUUACUUUUUUUUUUUUUUACAAAGGACCGAUGACCCUCACUCAACAUUAAGCAAUGGCAUCGAGGCCCUUGACAAAAAUAGGCAAGGGACCACCUCGCCUUGCCUAGGCUAGCCUUGCUAGUGGCCAACCAUCACAUGAGACUAGCCAUCAGCAAAAAGCAAAGAAAAAACAAAUUAAUGAAAAAGGGAAAAAAUUAAAAAUUAAAAAGUUGUCCACAUUAGCAUCAAUAUACCAUAUAGGGUAACUAGGGGUGUGCAUGGUCCGGGCGGGCAGUUCCCAACCUAGAACCGGGAACCGCCCGCUAAAGACCGGUUCUGAAAAAUUAGAACCGGGAUCCACCCGUUUGUUGCAUGGAUCCACCCGGAAACCGAACCGUCGGUCCGGUCCGGUUCCGGGUGGAUCCAUGGAACCGAUCUUGACAUGAAAUAAUUUUGAUUUUCAACAUAGAACGACUACGUGACAUCAAAGCAAGCCAAAAAAAAAGAAAAACUAAAUUUAAGUACGUGGAGAUGCGGAUGGCGAGAGAAGUAAACGCAGUGAAAUGGCAAUAGGAUUAGGAGCCGAAGACGAAGGGAGUGAGAUGAGAUUUAAGGUUUCUUUUAGUAAUUUUUUUUUUAAUAUUAAAAAGGUUCUGGUCCGGUGGCGGGCGGGUGGAUCCGCCCAUAGAACCGGGAACCAGACCGGUUCCCUCAAGAACCGCCGGUUCCAAGCGGUCCGGACGGUUCCCGGGUAUUUUGCACACCCCUAAGGGUAACUGACACUAACUAGAUUGCAUGUUAGCUUUUUUCCAAUCAAAAUCAAUUGGAUGGAUUUCAUUGGCAAAGAUGAAAAGGUGUGGGACAUAAUUGGUACAACUAAAAAGUUUAGAACUAAAUUAGUUAAAGUACAAUAAAUUUGAAAAAAUUUCGAUAAUUUUCUCCUCUUUUUUACAAUUGUGUUGUUCUACCUCUGAAUCCCUCAAAAAUCAAGAUAAGCUUUUUCUUAAUGCUACCGAUAUGGAAUGGUGAAUGAUCACUGACCUUAUCCAUGAAACCUCUUCUUUUGCCACUUCAUGUAUAUGGAACUCAUGGUCGUGUGAAUUGCAAAACGUUGAAAAUUCCAUUCGGUAAAUGAAAUGACAUGCCUUUUUCCAUCAGUCAUAUUAUAUGUAGCUCUAUCAAUGUUGACACUUGCUGAGCUGUAGUGGAUAUUUGGUCCCUAGUCUAGUCUCCUCCAUUCAUUCAUCCUUAUGUUAGGACUGACCACUCUGUUCUACUUGAAUCUGUACCCUUCAGCCUCCUUAUUUUCCAUAUAUUUUCAAACCCUUAUACAAUUUCCAGAUGAGAUUAAAAGCAAGGAAGCAAAAAAAUUCAAUUUAAUUGUCAAAAACGGAUUCCUAAUAAAAACGGAUACUUGAAUUAUCGAGUAACAUUAAAAUAUAAAUACAGAAACGUGCCUGAGAAUACUUGUAACUAUUGAUACCUAAAUUUUAACGACUUGUUUAAUCAUUUAUUAAUCGCAUAAAAAAUUAGAGAUUAAAUUUUAAACCUUAGCAAAAAUAAUUUCCAUUAAAUUGCAUGACAUAUUGACAUUAGGAGUAUUUGCAUUGGUAGUAAUAGAACCUUUUCAUUAAAAGAGAAAAAAAGAAAAUUAAUUAACAUAACCAUUACUUAAAAGAGGAAAAAAAAAAAAAGAGAGGAGAAAAUGAGACUAGGCUAGGGCCAAGCCGGCCCAACCUUCUUUCCUUUAUCCAAGCCGGCCCAACCUUCUUUCCUUUAUUCUUUCUUCUCCUCUUCUUCUCCCUGCUCCUUGCCUAGCUCUCUUCUUUUCUGGGCCCAACCCGCACGCCUCUUCUUCUUCCUCCCCUUAUGCCGCUCGCGCCUUCCGCAAAAAGGAGAGCAACGAAGGUACAAAGUCAGGGGAGUAGCAGGUCGCACCAUGAUCCCAGGGUCGAGGAUCAAGCCGACCGCUACAGGCUGGCGUUGGUAGAAGCCAUGGGCACUUUUCGCUGGCUAAGCUUAAAAGGAAGAAAGCAAAAGGUUUUCGGGGGUCUUCGGCGAGAGAGAGGAGGAGGGGUCCGGCCGCUUGGGAGAUCUUUGAGCAAGUGAGAGGGAGAGAACUAGAGAGUGAGGGAGCUCGAGAAGGUGGUCAACCAUCGUUGGAGUUCGUUCGUCGGCCACCUUUGUUGGCCGUUGUUAAGGGCCCAUGAGGGCCUACAAGCCCUCACUAGAUUAGGCGAGAAUCAGCCUCGCUUGGGGCCUACAAAGGUUCGAUGACCCUCGCUAGCUGCAGGCGAGGGCCAACUUCACAGAUGACUACGGGGGCAGUUUGUCCCAAGGUGAAGGUAGCUCAUCCAGACAAGAACGUCCCUUGCUAGCCACUAAGGAGGUCAACUUUGCCCAAAUCUAGCGAGGUGACCCUUGCAAGGGCUGGUCUCGUUUGCGACAACCUCCUUAGGGAAGCGGUCGCCUCACCAACAUUGAUGAGGGUGACUCUCUCCUAGCCCUUUUCGGCAUCGCCAACAGGUGGUCAGCCACCAAUGAAUAAGAAAGAAAAGCCAAAAAAAGAAAAACAAGGAAAAAAUUAAAAAAAUAUAAAUGAAUAAAAUGCCAUUGAUCAAUCAAAAAGUCAAGCCAUUUUUUGAAGUAGACAUACUUAGGUGUUCUUUUGAAAUAAGAUCCACUUCAAGCUUUCAUUUGAGAAAAUAAUAACACUUCAAGUCUUUAUUUGAAACAAAGUCUACUUCAUACAUUUGAAAUAAGUCUACUUUAGACUUUUAUUUGAGAAAAUGAAAACACUUCAAACCACUAUUUGAAAUUUUCCUCCAGUUCUAUAUAUAUGGUGUGUUUACUGAAAAUUGGCUUUUUGCUGCAAUUUUUGUCACAAUAUACCUUUAAUUUCAAAUAACUAUUUGACAAUAGAAAAAUUCCUCGAUCGAUAAGAAAUUUUAAAUACCAAAUAUCCUCCUUUCCAUUUUUUCAUAAAUUAACUGGGAGUGUAUGGAAAUAUCCUCGAUAAUUUCAAGUUUUAAGAUUAAUUAAAUCAUUGAGUUUGCGUCAUACCAUUCAUCUUCCAACAAAUACUUCCUAUUGGAAGUUCCACUUUUAUUUCUUGCAACUUAAAUUCUUUAAAAAUAUUUUUUUCUCAAUUUUCUGAGGCCUAUUAUUGGAAAAUUUGCCUAAUUUCAUUUUCAAUCAUUAAUAUAUCAUCAACAAAUAUCAUGAUAAAUGAAUUUCCUCUCCUUGAAGUAAAUAGGGAAUAAUUAUAAAAAAGAUCAACAGUUGUGAACAUCCAAGAAAUUAAAGGGGAGGAAGAAGAAGGAUAAGAAGAAGAAGAUCCGUUAGGUUUUCCAGUUCUUGCGUUUCGAGCAUUCAGUCACUCUCUGCUUCUUCUCUCUCUCUCUUUCUCUCUCCAACCCUCGAGCCAAGCUGCACUGCCGUAUUGCGGCCUCCGACCGCCACCGCCGCCAGGCCACCUUGGCGUUCAGUGACAGCACCGCCCCUCUCUCCGCCUCAUUCGAAACAUCCUCCCCGAAACCCUUAGGUCCCUCGCUUUGGUUCUCCGGGAUUGCUCGAAGAUGGAUGAGGAGCAGGAGACAGAGAGGUUCAAGAUGGACAAUGAUUACAACGACCGGCAGCGAAUCGACGGGGAAUUCUACUACCACCGGUGGAGGGAGAAGCUUGCCCAGACCAAGGACGACAUGCUCUACGGCGUCUUCGCGUCGGGGGACUCCGAUUUGGACUAUGAUGACUCCUCCAAGCUGAAGCGGAGGAAGAACAAGGACCUCCUAGGUAAGGCCAAUAUGUCGAAGCCCAUGAAUUUCGUGUCCACCGGCACGGUCACGCCGAACAGAGAGAUUGAUGAGAACUCGAAGACAGAGAAUGAGGAUGAAGAAUCCGCUGUCGUGGAUGAGGAUAGGCCGGGCUUGGGGGUCUUGAGAAGAACCAAUAAAGGAUUGUGACAUUCACUGAAGCAAAGUUGCGUCCUAGGGAUAUAGGUGUGGGUUUCAACGAUUUACGAGGAAACUCUUGCAAAGGCACUUGUUGCCUCGUUGGGGCCAGAGGAAAAGAAGCCAUCACCUGACGUGCCCGGUAAGGAGAAGAAGAUGCUGAAAAACAAAGCGAAGUAUAUUAUGGCAGAAGAACUGUUGACAAAGAAGUAGGAACAGGGCGUUGAAGUUGUGCAAAAGGUACUCAACAUGCGCGGACCUCAGGUUAGGGUGUUAGCAAACUUGGAGAAGCUAAAUGCGGAAGAGAAGGCGAGGGAGAGUGAUGUUCCUAUGCCUGAGCUCCAACACGAUACAAGGCUGAUUCUAGACUUGGCUAAGUUGGAUAUACAGAAGAUCGAUGGGGACCUGAGGAAUGAGAAGGAGACAGCUCUGAGCUUGCAAAAAAAAAAAAGGAGAAACUGCAAGCUGAGGCAGAACUCCAGAAGAAACAACUGAAUAACAUGAAGGAAAUAAUGAAUACGCUAGCCAAAUCUUUUGUUGACAUGCAAAGAAGGUUUCCUGGCGAUUAUACACAUUGUAACUUAUCUUGCAUUGCUUGCUCAUUUGCACUCCCUCUGUUUAUCACAGUAUUUCAGGGAUGGGAUCCUCUUUGCAAUCCCUCACACAGGUUGGAAGUUUUUGAUGGGAGAACAGUAACAAUUCGAACAAUAUCGAAUCAACGCAGCGGAAUAAAAUAAUCUCCCCUCUUGUGUAAACUUAAUAGGAAUCGAUAUAGUAGAGUAAAAUAAAUACAAAGCACGAGAACACAAGACAAUUUUUUACAUGGAAAACCUCCUCGAUGUGAGGAGAUAAAAAACCACGAGACCGGAGUCCACCCGAAAAUCUUCACUAUCAAUAAAAAAUUUCUUCUCUAGCAAAUACUAGAGGUACAUAGCAGCAAACACCUCAAGAACAUAAUUCUUGGCAAUAUGCAUGAACUUCACAAGAGAUCAAGGAUAAAUCUGACAAAAAACGCAGGUUUUAAUCAAUCCACAAAAAACCUUAUGUAUGGAGCUUCAAACGAAAAUCAAACCGUUCAAAUUCGAGAAAAUUGCGCCACGAACAUGUUGACAAAAUAUCAGCUCAAUCGGACCACGAAUUGACCUCCGAUGUCAGCUUGAUGUAAAUCAGAUAUUGCCAAAAACUACAGAUUUUCUGCUUUCUCUUUUUCUCUUGUUAAUGUUUCCUUUUUUGUGGCUACCUCUUUAUAUAGAUAGUGAGAAACCCUAUUUCCUCAUAUAACUUAUUAUAUUGGCUCAAACCCUUUUUGGGCUUACAAAUCAUUCGGCUUCCUCCACAUAUGAGUGAACCUAGCUAACAAAUCUCCCUCUCACGACAAUGUGGAGGGAUUCACCAUCCUUGUUAUCAAUUCGUAAUGUUCAAACUUUUCUCUUGGUAGAGUCUUCGUCAUCAUAUCAGAGCCAUUAUGAUACGUAUGAAUUUUCUCAAGUUCCAACAACUUUUCAUCUAAAACAUCCCUUAUCCAAUGAUAUCUAACAUCAAUAUGUUUCGAUCUAGAAUGAAAAGAUGAAUUCUUACCAAGAUGAAUUGUGCUUUGAUUAUCACAAAAUAGCAUAUACCUCUCUUGCUUGAACCCAAGUUCUUCUAAGAACUUCUUCAUCCAUAGCAUUUCUUUACUAGCUUCAGUCACUGCAAUAAAUUCAGCUUCGGUUGUAGAAAGUGCAAUACACUUCUACAAUCUUGACUUCCAUGACACAGCUCCACCAGCAAAAGAAAUCAAAUAACCAUAAGUAGAUUUACAAGUAUCUAUAUCUCCUGCCAAGUCGGAAUCUGUGUAUCCAACUAACUCAAGUUUCCCGGUCCCGAAACUGAGUGUCAAAUUUGAAGUUCCCCGAAGAUACCUCAUAAUCCACUUCACUGCAUUCUAGUGCUCUCUGCUUUGAUUUGACAAAUAGCGACUAACAACGCCAACUGCAUGCGCCAAGUCUGGGCGUGUACAUACCAUCGCAUACAUUAAGCUUCCUACAGCUGAAACAUAUGGAACACUUUCCAUAUCUUUCUUUUCUUUAUUAAUCAUAGAACUUUGCUUCAUAUUUAACUUAAAGUGAGCAGCAAGAAGAGUACUAACCACUUUAGCCUUGUCCAUGUAAAAUUUCUGAAGGAUCUUCUCGAUAUAUUUCUCUUGCGACAAAAAUAACUUCUUAGCAUCCCUAUCUUGGGUAAUUCUAAUGCCAAGAAUCUGCUUUGCAGAGCCCAAAUCUUUCAUAGCAAAAGACUUGUUCAACUGCUUCUUCAAUAACUCAAUUCUUGAAGCAUUUUUGCCAACAAUCAGCAUAUCAUCAACAUAAAGCAAGAGAAUAAUAAAGUCAUAAUCAGAAAUUUUUUGGACAAACACACAGUUAUCCGAAGAAGUCUUCUUAUAGCCCUGUUCUGUCAUAACUGACGCAAAUUUCUUAUAUCACUGCCUCGGUGCUUGUUUUAGGCCAUAGAGACUUUUCUUCAAUUUGCACACAUAAUCCUCUUUCCCUUUCACUUUGAAACCCUCAGGUUGUUCCAUGUAUAUCUCUUCCUUCAAGUCACCAUGUAGAAAGGCUAUUUUAACAUCCAUUUGCUCAAUUUCCAAAUCUAGGUUGGCUACCAAGCCUAGUACCACACGGAUAGAAGACAUUUUCACUACCGGAGAAAAUAUAUCAUCAAAAUCAAUACAUUUCUUUGACCGAAUCCCUUAACAACUAAUCUAGCUUUGUACCGUGGUUGUAAAGUAUGUUCAUCUUGCUUCAACCUAUAUACCCACUUGUUCUUCAAAGCUCUUUUACCUUUAGGUAACUUUACCAACUCAAAAAUAUGAUUAUCAUAAAGUGAUUGCAUCUCAUCUCACAUAGCAUCGAACCAAUUACUUUUGUACUCAUCUUUUAGUGCUUCUACAUAGCACUCUAGUUCACCUACAACAGUCAAUAAUACAUACUCAUCUUCAGAAUACCUAGUGGAAGGUCGUCAGUCUCUAAUGGAUCUCCGGACUGGAACAUCUAGUGGAACAUCUAAUUGAGUCUCUGGUUUAGGAAUAGUAUUAUCUAUUUCAACAUGUUCAGGAACAUGUGCGUUAUUUGGAACAUUGACUUCUUGCUGCUCUUCAUCAACCUGUGUAGGAAUAUUUGUAAGAGGAACUGGAUCUAAAUCAACCAAAUUAUCACUAACCUGUGGUGCUGAAAUUAUCUUUGCUUUCUCAAUAUCCUCUAUCGUUUGAUCUUCCAUAAACACAACGUCUCUGCUUCUUACAAUUUUCUCUUCAACCGGAUCAUAAAAUUUGUAGCCAAGCAUAUACUAUCCAUAACCAAUAAAUAUGCACUGUCGUGUUAUCACAUCAAGUUUAGACUUCCCAUAUUUGGGAAUAUGCACAAAUGUUUUGCACCCAAAGACACACAAAUAAUCAUAAGAAACAUCUUUGCAUAUCCAAACUUUGUUAGGAACAUCAAACUCUAGAGGAACGCAUGGAGUAAGAUUUAACACAUGCACAACUGUACUUAAAGCCUCACCCCAAAAGGAUCCAGGUAGCUUUGACUAUGAAAAUAAGCAUCUUACCCUUUCAACCAGUGUUCUGUUCAUUCUCUCAGCUAAGCCAUUUAAUUGAGGCGUCUUGGGAGGUGUCUUUUGAUGUCGAAUACCUUGUUGUCUGCAAUAUUCAUCAAAAGGUCCAAUAUACUCUCCCCCGUUAUCAGUUCUAAUGCAUUUCAAUUUCUUUCCAGUUUGUCUCUCAAUUGAAGCCUGAAAUUGCUUAAAAGCAUCUAACACUUAAUUUUUAGUUUUCAAGUAAUAAAUCCAAAUUUUCCUUGAAAAAUCAUCUAUGAAGGUAACAAAAUAAAGAGAGCCACCAAGUGAUUUUGUUUUCAUAGGACUGCAAACAUCAUAAUGCACUAAAUCUAGUAUACCUGACUUUCUUGAAGGAGGGGAGCUUUUAAAUGCAACUCUGUUUUGUUUUCCUGCUAAACAGUGAGCACACUUCUUUAGCGCUGAACUUUUCAAUCGUAAAGGAGCUUCUUCUUGGCCAAUAUUGACAAACCCUUCUCACUGAUGUGACUGAGCCUCUUAUGCAAUAAUUCAGCUGCAUCUUCGCUAUCUACUGCCUUAAUUUUGUCUAUGGACAACUUUGCCUGCAUAAUGUACAACGAAAAAUAUUUUUCACCUUUAGCCACAACAAGAGAACCUUUGGUGAAUUUCCAUUGACCAUUUCUGAAUGUGCUGCAAUACCCCUCAUCAUCCAACUUGCCUGUAGAAAUCAAAUUCAAGCGAAUAUUAGGUAUAUGUUUUACAUUAUUUAAUACUAACCUUGUGUCAUUGCUAGUUUCUAGGCACACAUCACCAAUGCCUAUAGCUUGAGCUAAUCCAUUGUUUCCCAUCUUCACAAAUCCAAAGUCACAUGACCUGUAUGAUGUAAAGAAAUCCCUACGAGACGUAGCAUGAACGGAUGUGCCACUAUCAAUUAUCCAACUGGUCUCAUGAGAUACAAAAUUCACCAUAUCACCAUAAAAAAUAGUAAGAAAGUCUUCUUUAAGUGCAGCGACACGAUUGUCAUCAUUGUCAUUAUCACUUUUCUUCUCUUUACCUUUCUCCUUUUGUUUUGCCCUUUUUAACUGGCGACAAAACCUCUGAAUAUGUCCCUUCUAAUGACAAUAAUGGCACUCAACAUUAGCAAAUUUAUUAUACUUACCUCUGCUUUUAUCUCGACUUUUAUCUCUAUUUCUCGGAUCUCGAGACUCACUUCUUCCCCUUUUCUCAACAACCAAGACAUCAUAAUGUGAAGGUGACGAUCCUUGUGUCUUUCUUCUCAUCUCUUCAUUCAAAAUACUACUCUUGGCCAAAUCCAUGGUAAUCGUACCAUCUAGGGUAGAAUUAGACAAAGAUGUUCAGAAUGACUCCCAGGAGUCCGGCAAAGUACCAAGCAACCAUAGUGCUUGUAUCUCAUCAUCAAACUUGAUUCCCAUCAUAGCCAACUGAUUUAUAAUUCCUUGAAAAGAAUUUAAAUGAUCGGUCAAACGAAUACCAUCAUGAUAUCUCAGAGUCAUUAUCUGUUUUUAUAAAAAAUAACUUAUUAUUCCAAAUCUUUCGAGUAUAUAACUGUUCGAGCUUAUCCCUAAACUGCGUGCAUGUGUUUCCUCAAUAAUAUGGUUCAAAACAUUAUCAUCUACCACCACCCGCGAGGGUGGCUCCAUUGGUAGGCUCCAGGACCUCCAAGCUGGAGGCCGGAGUUCGAAGCCCCUGCAAUGCAAGUUGCAGGGAGACAGGUGGAGACACUUGGCGACUUACCCGGGGUGUGUGGGUGGUGGUUUCCUACGUGCCUCCCUAGGGGUUUACUCCCUGCUGUCAAUUGUGCGGGGUUCCCCUGGGUCACAAAAAAAAAAAAAACAUUAUCAUCUACCCAUUGCCUGAUAUAACCACGAUGAAAUAUAGACCAUUAAACAUAAGUUUUAUUCUUUGAUUUAUCAUCGGCAAAUACCAACAAAUAAAAAUCUUUCACAUAUAACAGAUUUUCCAUCUUCCCUUUCCAAAUAUGAUAAUUCGAACCAUUCAGUGUAACAAUUCUACUCGUAUUAGUUUCCAUGGUUUAACACAAGGCAUAAAAAUCAAGCAAUAACCUGAUGCUCCGAUACCACUAUGAUGGGAGAACGGUAACAAUUCGAACAAUAUCGAAUCAAUGCAGCGGAAGAAAAUAAUCUCCCAUCUUUUGUAAACCUAAUAGGAAUCGAUAUAGUAGAGUAAAAUAAAUACCAAGUAUGCGAACACAAGACGAUUUUUUACGUGGAAAACCUCCUCGAUGUGAGGAGAUAAAAAACCACGGGAUCGGAGUCCACCUGAAAAUCUUCACUAUCAACGGAGUCCACCCGAAAAUCUUCACUAUCAAUAAAAUUAUUCUUCUUUAGCAAAUACUAGAGGUACAUAGCAGCAAACACCUCAAGAACAUAAUUAUUGGCAAUACACAUGAACUUCACAGGUUUUGAUCAAUCCACGAAAAACUUGAUGUAGGGAGCUUCAAACAAUAAUCAAACCGUUCAGAUUCGAGAAAAUUGUGUGACGAACAUCCUGACAAAAUUUCAGCUCAAUCGGACCACGAAUUGACGUUCGAUGCCAGUUUACUGUAAAUCAGAUAUUGUCCAAAACCCCAGAUUUUCUGCUUUCUCUUUUUCUCUUGUUAUUGUUUCCUUUUUUGCGCCUACCUUUUUAUAUAGAUAGUGAUAAACCAUAUUUCCUCAUAUAACUUAUCAUAUGAGCUCAAGUCUUUUUUGGGCUUGCAAAUCAUUGGACUUCCUCCACAUAUGAGUGAACCCAGCUAACAGUUUUGAGGUGAAAAUCUCUAUUGCAAGGAUAGGAAUGUCUUGAUAUAUGGGAUUUGGGAUCCCCUUGUACCCAAUUGGUUUCAGAAGUUGUCUCGCCUGUUGUGAGAAUAUCAAGCAUUGACACUUUACUAGCCCACUGCUACACCCCACCUCAAAAGUGAAUUAAUACAAUCUCAAGCAAAAGUUAUUAAUGGUCCAAUGUAGAAAUAGUAAAUUGACCCAACUCAUUUUUUCUAAGAUCAUAAUAUACAGUAUUUUGUCAAGUCAUUAUGUUGCCCAUACCUUUGCAAAUACAAAAAUUUUCCUUAAAUAAAAAAGUUAAAAACUUGUAAACAAUCUAAGUUAUUAAUUUUUUUUUCCUGGUUCGCCAUCUAAUUUUGAUGAUGCUUCGAACUUUAUUAAUUAGAAAACAUCUUUGUGGCUUGUAAGAAAUCAUAUCUACCCAAAAUGUGAGUGCCAAGAACCUAACAGCCGCUGGGAGGGCCAUGACGGCUCCGGUAGAUAAAGAGCUCAAUAAUCCGGCAACUAAGCUGUGCACAUGGAACAAAGAAAGCACAAUCACGGUAGUCUAACUUUGUUAGGUUGUACACCCACUUGAUGUUCUGAACCGAUGAUGCCAAAUUGCAUUGAGUUAGCAGCAUGCAAUUGGGGCGACCCGUAGCGUCAGAGGUGUGCAUGAACAGAGCUACAUCCGAGGGAUCAUUGACAACUUUUGACGUUGAGCCGAGGCUCGGCUCUACGUCGGACAAAGAGAGAGAUUUUCGAAUCGGUGGAGUGAAGCUUGGCAGUUAGGUGGUGAAUGUUAAGCUUGGAAGCAGCAGAUUGAGCCCAUCGGUUUCCUUCUUGUGGUGUCAAUAAAAGCUUCGGUUCCGAGUCGAAAAGGUAGAACUCAAAACUCCUUAGCUGUGUAGAUGGCGUUGGGUGGAGCUGCAGUGGCUGCGCAACGGAUUACCGCCAGAAACAGGAUCACAAACUGCAAAACGAACACAUUUUCCAAUCAGCAAACCAUCACACUAGUCCCUGCGGAUUGGAGACACAUACAUAUGCAGAAUAUGCAGACAACUAGUCUGUCAACGUUCGAUUUCAUCAAAACCAUCCAUCUCCUUCUGAUAAGCUUUGACUUCGUUUUACGAUGAAUCGAUACUUGUACAUCCCGAAAAACGACCUUUGGACGCUACAGAAAACGCUCUACAUGCCCUUCCCAAGUCAAUUUGUUCCUAUUCAAUGGCACCAUGCGUGCACAGAAAUUUCUUGCCUCAAGAUUCUUUUUUCCUAUCUCGAGCUAUUUCCCAGUCGAUCUUUCAUAAGCAAUCGAUCUCAUCAUUAGAAAUUCAUCGUUACCGCUAUCUUCCAGAUAUUGCACUCUCGAAUUUAAACAGCAUCAUCAGGAAAUUUUCUACAUUUGAAUUCGCAUCAUUGCAAAAAUGGAAAACCUGCACCAUCGUACUUACGAGAAGACUCGAUGAUUGGGGCGACAUACAUUACCUGUGUUGGGGAAAGCGAGUGCAAUGACGUCGUGCAGCCGCACGUGCGUCAGGUUGAACUCCCCAUAGGCGGACACGGCUCUCCCGUCGGAGAAAUCCAACGCCGCCUUCUUCAACAGGUUCGUGAGCAUAAGUUCCCCCAUCGCUAAUCACGAAUUGAUGGGAAUCGUCUCCACCCGAAACCGAUCCCCAAUCGAACUGAAGAGGGGCACCACAACCGCUUGGCGAGAGGGAGAGCGAAGGAUCGACGAGAACAGGAAUUUGCACAAAUGAGAAUGGGGGAAACUGGAGCGUUCGACGACGGAGGAGGAGGAGGAGGUGGGUGGAGGGUUGCGUAUGCAUAUGGGAUGGAGACGAGACGAGAGGGAGGGAGCGAAGUUGGUACAAUCGAGGUGGCUCCGCAAAAAUAUCUCUCCCUCGUCUUCUUCUCCAUCUUGCUCUCCGAACCCCUGUCUCUCUCCCCACUCCAUAACCCACCUACCACUCCACCAAGUCCCACCCUGCACCUAUCCUCCCCUCCACCGAGUCCACCACCAACGCCCAUCCUCCCUCCCAUUCACAGUCUCCAAACCUUCUUCUCUCUGCCUCUUCCCUAAGUCCCAUCGCCACCUCCGAGAGGAGCAACGGUGGUCACGCGAGGAGCAGCAGCAGGCUUGCGAGAGGAAGUCCCUCCUUGUCGAGAUCGCCAGGCUGAAGCUUCGGAUUCAGGCCCUACGGCAUGGGAUUCAGAUUCCGGAAGGCGAUCUGGGGGAGGUGGCGAACGUGGUUGCACUGUUGCAGGUUUCGCAGGAAAGGAAUUUAAUCCCGGAGAGAGGGUUGAGCGCGAGUCUGAUGCUAUUGGAGGAGAGAGAGAAGGAAACUGCAGAGAAGAGAGAACCGUUAUUUUUAUUUUUCAAACCGAAAAUGCAUUAAAUUUCAUUUCAAUUCGGUUCUCACACCUCUACUAUAAACAGGUCCCCCAUCAUUGGUAAAUGAUUUUGAAAACAUUUGCAAGAAAGAACUAGAAUUUAGCUUUCCAUGUAGGAACAAUGGGGAUUGCCAUUGGACCACUCAAGAACACAAGCUAGUAUUGCUGGAAGCCCACAUGGGAAAGAACAGUAUGGGAAUGAGUCUCUACAAGGGAACCGGCAUGUCAAUUUGUACAACAGCUGAACUCUUUAGGGUCAAAGUUACGUGCACGAUCUCAGCCAUCGAAUAAAAGAAAAUUGAUGUCAACGAUUGGAUUUGGCAUGAUCAUUUUGUUCUGCCAAACCCCACUAUCCCAUAACUCACGCCAAAAAUAAUAAGUUAUGCCAUAUCAAUAUUUCACUAAUAGUGUGUAAGCUAUAGUUUUUCUACUAGGAAAAAGUGAAGAAAUCAGGGAACUUGAAAGUCGAGACAAUAGCAUACCUUGUUAGACUAGAAGAACAUGAAUCAAAUGAAAUUCAAAUUAAACUAUUCUUAAAAUAUAACCACCGUUGCAUUCUUCCACCAUUUUUAUUUAUUUAUUUAUUUUUAUUUAUUUUUAUUUUUUUGUUAGUGAAAACAAAAUUGAAGAAUUUAUCCAGAAACAAAUGCCUCCUAGUUUGAGAUAAUAACGAAAACCACAGCAUCAGAAAGGAUCAUCACCAAAGGAUUAAAAGCCAGUCCAAAGUUCGGGGCAAUGACGAUUCUUUCACAGAUUGUAUAAAUGCAAGGAUCAAUGGAGAUUCUGCCGCUCCAUUCUUUGCAUACACACAUGCAGAUCUCGCGUUCCUUCACAACAGAAUACACAUUCAAGACUCGAUUCUAUUCAUAUAGAACACUAUAACUUGAACCAGAGAGAUCAGCAAGCCAUGAGACAGCAAUUUUCAAGUCAUACGUCAACGAGCAUACAAGACGAGAAUCAUAACACCAUUUGACAUAUAAGCAUCCUAUUCCGACAAAGUCAGCCAUAACAAGGGUUCGAUAAGUUGAGAACAAAUCGAAUUUAUGUAAUAUAAUUUUGCAGUUCCAAGAUUAAAUUGAAUAUACAUACUGAUCUAGUUCGAGCAUUUCAUCAAAAAAGUAAUAUGCAUUUUGAUCAAGGAGCUCACACGCAAAUGUACAGCAACGGUUGACUUUCAGAUCAUCACGAAAAUAACUGUACAAGUUCGAGUUGCUAAUAGAGCUUCAAUCUCAACUGAUUUACUCACAGACAUUAGCUAAAUCUAACAGGCUCUGUUUCGUUCAUAAGCGGCAGAAACAGUGCUUGGAAUUUACCUUGAUGACAUUUAAGUUUUUUACCUCGGACGGUGAUCAAAUCAUUGACAAAGCUCCUGGUGGUGUCGAUGCCGAUGAUCGGGGCCGGCGAAAGCGGAACGACCAAGGUUCGUGAACUUGCGAGCGUCCUGACCAAAGAACAGAGCAGAACGAGAGUUGGCCUUGCUACAACAAAACCAGCAAUGGCGGAGCGGCUACAAGGGUGGCUAAUGGUGUCUGAAGGACGACGGAGAAGGAAAGCCGAUCAAGAAGCCUCAAGAAUCCCCGAGAAAGAGAGUUUCUUCGUCAGGUUCAGCGUAUGCGUUCUGUUGUGAUAUCGCUGUUGGUGACUGGAGAUGGCGGACGGUGCAUUUCUGGUGUUGAUUAGUGAGCGAAAUUGUAUGGGCCGAGGCUUACUCUGUUGGGAUUGGUGUGAUCUGGGCUGCGCUUGUGAAUCAGGCCCAACAGACCGACUAGGCCCUUUCAAUUCUAAGUCGGAGCUCUUUUUUUAUUUAUCUUUACAAAAAGCAUAUUCAACUUGCUGGCAAAGGAAUAACUACACAACGAACUUCGUAUCUGUGGCAUUGUUCCGAUAUUUGGACGCAUGAUAGUUCCUUCCUUCACCCCCGAACCAUAUAAUUUCAUCCAUAGACUCAUCGAGAUUGAGUUGAAUAUCCUCGUGUGCCUUGACUUUCUUCGUUUUCGUGACUCGCACAUGAUCUUUUUUCUACCCUUACCCCUGAAUUGAGAUGAACAUUGAAAGCAUCGCUUUAUGCCGCAUAUUAGUUCAAACCAAUAUACGGCAUGUCAUUUUGUCUUUGUUCUCUUUUAAGAGCUAGUUGCAAUCUUAUCAUUUUUAGAUUUUCAGUAAACCUAACAAGUUGUUGUGAUGUUGUGAGUUGUUGUGAUCGCUCGUGACUUUGCCAUUGAAGAAUGCAAUUAUACUUUUGAAAGUUCGAGAUCGUGAAUCCAUCCUCCAAACAUAUGUCAAGCCAAGCCUGUGAUUGAUGGCCAUGAAACUCAGGUGCAAGCCCAUUCUUGAUGAUGAUCUCGAAUAAUUGCUCCUGUUGCGGCAAGAUCAUCAAUCGCAAUUUAUGUUAAAACAUAACCGUAUACCUAAGGUUACUUGUCUUACCUCAGCCAAUUGGGUGAUUGCGAUAGUCAUCACUUUUAGAAUACAAACCAACGAUUCACUUUCAGAUCAUCAUGACAACAAUAGUACAAGUCCGAGUUGUUAAUCGAGCUUCAAUAGAAACUGAUUUAGUAACAAACAUUAGUAGUUGAAGCUCACAGGCUGUGUUUCACUCAUAAGCAGUAGAAAUAGUGUGUGGAAUUUACCUUGAUUAGAGUGAAUUUUUUAUCUCGGUCAAUGAUCAGAUCAAAGAAAAAGUUCCCGAAGGCAAUGAUGUCGAUGACCGGGGUCAAUGAAGGGGGAGCAACCAAGGGUCCGUGCACUUUCGGGCGUCCUAACCGGAAAACAGAGUAGAACUAGAGGAGGCCUUGCUGCAGUGAACUCGGCGAUGAUAGAGCUACGGUGGCGGCUAACAAUAUGGAUGACGAUGGAGAAGGGAAAAUCGAUGAAGAAGCAUCUAGAAUGCCUAUAUGUGAUGUGUGCAGAGAUGAAAUUGAUUCUGUCGAGAGAGGGGGGGAUUCCGUCGAUAUUUAGAGAUGAAUUCAUCGCAAACCUCCAUUCCCCUCUUUCUUUAUGAGCUCGUGUAAAGAUAUUGGUUGUAUUUUACGUUUGGCUAAAUGGAUCACAUCACACCAUUGUUAAGAUUAGCAUUUUCAUCACGUCAUGCCUCAUUUCAUCUUGAGUCUAGGUCCUCUUUUCUGGAUAUUCAUUCUAUCUAGACUGACCUCUUUGUAAAGUUCGAUACAUUAGUGCUGCAUUUAUUUCAAUUGAUCUCUCGGUUGCGCUAAAGAUUAAUUCGCCCAUUUUGCUCAUCUCUCUCCCGUCAAAGAUUGAUACAUGAUCUUAAACCCCCUAAAACUCUCUCACAAAGUUAAUUUCACCAACGUGCUUGCAAUUUGUUAAAGACAUAUCGAAAAAUGGAGACAAAAAAAUUAGAGGUCCCCACUUCAUAUCUACCUUACAAAUGUUCCCAGAAGGAUACAAAACGAGAUAGAUUUAUUCCGUUACUGAACAUAAUUGCAAUUUAUGCAAUUAUGUCCUUUGAUUUGUUGGAUUCGUAUAAUCCAAUUAUGUCCUUUAAUUUGUUGGAUUUGUGCAAUUCAUAAUCAUUUUCCUGUUUGCAUCUCUUCCUUAUGUAGCACAUUCACAGAUGAUUCAAUUAUUGGCUCGAAAAUCUCCACAUAUUCCAACAAAUCAAUUAUCAUAUUCACAUGAUUCUAGGUUCUCAUCAUAUUGAAAAACAACAAUGCAACAAAAAAGACAGUGAAUCAAAAAAGACAGUGAAUACUUUGCAUCUCGUCUAUUUUCUUUUUGUCCUUUCUGUUGGCCUCUGAAUGCGUAUUGUACUACGUAUUGCAUAAUUUCACUGUGGUUGUGUCCUACAUACAUAUAAAUAUGCCUUUCAUGAAAAAAGUGCGCUGGUCGGGUCCUUUCAUUGAGGCUUCUAAUUUUCAAUUGACAGCAAAGUGAAAAUGGCAACGGCAAGGACCUAAUAAUUGUGUAUGGGCUUGUGCUUGAUGUGGUCUGGCGCGAAUGGGUUGACCGGCCACGGCUUACUCCGAUAGGCUUCGAAUGGUCUGGGCUGCGCUUGUGGAUCAGGCCCAACAGACGGGACCUGGCUCUUUCGAUUAUGACUCAAUUGGAGCUUUUUUCAUUACUUUCUUCUUUUUUCCCUCUUUUUAGUUCUCUUUUUUAUUUGGGUUUUUAUUAUUUUUUACCAUUUUUAUAUUAUAUUUUUCAUUUUCUUUUUACCAUAACGAGUGUUUGACUUGCCGGCGAAAAUUCAAGUGUCAAUAGGGGCAAUAUUCCAUCAUCUCGUCAAUGAAUUACUUCACACCAAACUCUAUUACAAUAUUUUAUUUACACAAUACUGUGACGUCAUUAAGUGAAAUAAUAGUCCUCGUACCUAACUCUACAAUCCUGAGUUGAAUUUGAGCGCCAAUAACAUCCCUACAUUUGUGCUAAAGUUGAUUUCUAGCAAUGCAUAGCCUGGGUGUUGAAGCAUACCAUUGCAUGCUCUAUUGGCGCAAAACGCUGCAGUGAAUUCAAUAUACACGCUAUAGCAAGUGUAUUCAUGACUCGCCAUCUUAGCACUCAAGGAAUUUAGGACAAUAUUCACUAUAGUUGCAUAUGGACCUAAAGGGAAAUGCUAUUGCCCACUACGAAUUAUCUUCAACAUGGUCAUGUAGUGUUUGCCGCACAACUUAUUGUGGUGCGUAAGAGGAAAGAGCUAGUGAUACAUAUAAUUCCUUGAAACGCCAUCAUGAUAUUCAUAUAGGUGGUUUAACUGCUACUUUUUUACAAGUAUCAAGAUACAUGAUGCAGUGGCUCCUUUUUUACAAGUAUCAAGAUACAUGAUGCAGUGGCUCCUCAAAGAAGGUGUCCUAGCACUUCUUGGUGUUCUCAUUUUUACAUUUGUCAAGCUAAAGUAGAAUGUCAUGAAUGGAGAUUUGCUAGCGUACCUGCAGUUUUCUUUUUCUUGCUAUAUCAUUUUAAAAUCCUUCAUUUUCUAUUGUUUUCAGUGAUUAUGUUUGUCUCCCUAUUUCUGAUCAAUAUCUCUCUAAAUGUUACUUGAACCGCCAUGGACGGACUCUUUUUGUUUUCUCUUCUUCCUAUUUGGCUGGAUCAAAACGCUGUCUUCUACCGUGUUGAUACAACCACAGUGUUGGAUGCUUCAAAAUUUUUGGACUUAUUGAACGGGAGCUCUUCAAUAUUUAGCGUCCCUUCACUUCUUGAAUUAUAUCAAAUUAAGUGCUUAGUUGGUGGGUAUCUACUAUUCAUACCUAUCAUUUUAGUAAAUGUAAUUUUGUUGCAACAUGCAGACUAUAUGUGCGUGUACUUCAAUCUCUCUUUCUUUAGUUCUCGUAUGUGUGGAUGGCUGCUGGUAUUGGUGAUUUUAUCUUUGCAUAAACAAAAGUGAUACACACUUACUUUGACUAGGUCCCACCUGAAGUAUCCUUCUCCCGCCGCACCCCCACCCGCUUCUUUGCUUUUCUUCCUAUUUAUAUCAGUUUCUCCGUUGAGAGUAAUUGAAACUAAGCAAGAACAGAUCUUAGAGCAUGAAGAAAUGAUAGCCCUUGGGGUGGCCACUCUUGUUGGUGAUAUUUGCCUAAUCCACUUCAUACGUACAUUGUUAGUACACUCGGUACUUCCUCUUGCAGCAGUCAAAAAACUGCAUAUAAAAGAGACGUACUUAAAAUAUAGAACAAAGCAGAAGGAAGAGAACUAUAAAAGGCAUAUCUAGGAAAUGCUGCAAUAUUCAAUGAGGUAAAACCAACAUAGCUAAGAAGCUCACCCAGAUUGCAAGCCUAGAACAUCUGACAAGCCAUGGAUGAUCUGUAACCAAGCCUCCAUAAUAUGAAGCUUUCAGUAGGAAAGUAAUGUCUAGAAAUGAGAGACUUUGGUCCAAACAUUGGAAGCACAUAGAAAACUACUUUUUCAAACACGCCUCGGAUGGCCAGCAAAGCUGAACGAUCAGCUUUGCUUAGCAGAACAUGCUUCUAUGAUUUGAUUCUGAUCAAAGUGAUCAAAACACAUUUAUAACUUCCACAAUGCAAUGUUAGAAGGGUAGAGAACUUGUGCAUGUACAGGUGUUAGAUCUCCAAUGCAUGCACUUAAAAGUUUAGUGGACCAGUGAACCUCCCUGUUUGUCAUAAUUCUGAUCUGACUACAUCAGCAGUCGAACACACAUCAACAUAUUAGUAACCAGCAUUAUAUGACACAACCUCUUGGUUGAAGUGAUUCAUGGAGAACCAAAACAUACCCUCCAAGUUCUCGGUUUGUUCCUGUUUGUAAUGCCUAGCAUGUCAAUCAUGAAUAUGGCGACUACAUUCCCACCAAACACCAAAACUGAGGACACUGUUAAGAAGAAGCCAAUCCAAGAAAAUUGAAACUGCCAUACUAUUCCAUUUGAACCAGAAGACAAGGUACUGAAUUUUGAAGGAUAUAUAAAGAACUUGGACAAUCUAUUUCCAUCCUACAGUUGAAAAGCCACAAACAGAGAUGUUGAAUCAAAAUCCACCAAAACAAUAGAUGCUCCAUUAACUAAAUGACAAACAAAUGAAACUACUUAAACAUUAAUCAUCAAAUUAUUAACUUCCACAAAAAUGGACCAAAAUGGGGCAUAGGGACGAGAGAGAAGUGUGUAGUGAAAGGUUGUUUAAGUGGGUCCUUUGGUCAUUAUCUUCCUCUACAGUUGUAGUGAAACUUAGCACUUUUGGAGAUAUAUUAAGACCAGUCAGUGCAAAAGCCAACUCAGUGAUUGCCAAGUCGAACUAGAAAGGGCUUAGCCAUAAAUUUGAAAGGCAAAAGCAUCACAUGAUUGGUCCUAAAGCUAGCUCCAAAAGUGAUUGCAUCACUUAACAUUUCUAAAUAUACAGAGUUUACAUAUCAAGAAAUGAUGAUGAAAAUAUGUAGCUAGAAGCCCAGAUCAAGACAAUGAGACACAAGCUGGUUAAAAGCUAGAAAGUGAAAAUCCUACGAGAUUUCAUUUCCACUAUGGAUACAAUAUGUUCCUCGGUGGGUAGCAGAAUAAUUCAAGAGUUACAGAUUCUGCAUCAAAUUUAAUAAGAUAAUCCAGCCCUAUUCGUAAGAUCGGGAACCACUAUGGUUCACAUGUGAAGACACUGGAAUGAGCUACAAAAUGAUCCUCAUUCACCUGAUCUGAUUUGAUACUUUGGUUCUGCAGCAACCCGGAUGUCAAAUCCCGUAGCAACAUCAUCACCAUUUAAAAGAAGAGAAGGAAAAAAAUGAUAAAUGCAUAGAAUCAAACAUCGAUCGAAAGUAAAUUGACAUGUCAAAUUCCAAGACCUCAAUUUCGCAUCAGAAGCAGCUUAAGAAAACUCACAGUACUUCAUUCUCUCUUUCCUUUGCAUGACUAUUGGUGCUUUUUCCUUUGCAUGAACAAAAGUGAUGCAGGCUCACUUAUUUCGAUUAUCUCCCACCCAAUGUAUCCUUCUCCCCCUGCACUCCCACCCCAUUCUUUGCUUUCCUUCCUAUUUAUAUCAGUUUGUCAAUUGAGAGUGUUUGAAACUGAGCAAGAAUAGACCUGUGAGCACGAGGAAAAUGAUAGCCCUUGCGGUGGUCACUCUUGCUGGUGAUAUUUGUAUAAUCCACAUCAUACCUACAUUGUUAGUACACUCAGUACUUCCUCAAGAAGCAAUCAAAAAACUACAUAUGAAAGAGACAUCCUUAAAAUAUACAAGGAACCACAAGGGCACUUCAAGGCCAGUGUUGUUUUGCCUAUAAAGCAGAAGGAGGAGAACUAUAGAAGACAUAUCUAGGAAAUGCAGCAUUAUUGAAUGAGGUAAAACCAACAUAGCUAAGGAGCUCACUCAGAUUGCAAACUGAGAAAAUCUGAAAAGCCAUGAAGGAUACAUAAUCAAGCCUCCAUAAUAUGUAGCGUUCAGCAGGAAAGCUAUGUCUAGAAAUGAAAGACUUUGCUCUGACGAUUGGAAGCACAUAGAAAACUGCUUUCCCGAACAUUCCUCGAAUGGACAGCAAACUGAAUGAUUAGCUUAGCUUAGCUGAGCAGAACAUGCCUCGCCUCUAUGAUUUGGUUCCUAUCAAACUAGUCAAAACACAUUAAUAACUUCCACAAUGCCAUAUUAAAAGGGUAAAGAACCUAUGCAUGCACAUGAGCUAUAUGCCUAACGCAUAUAGUUAAAACAUUUGGUGGACCAGUGAACCUCCCAGUUUGUCAUGAUUCUGAUCUGACAACAUCAGCAAUUGAACCCCACAACAGCAUAUACGUAAACAACAUUACAUGGCACAACCUCCUGGUUGAAGAGAUUCAUGGAGAACAAAAAUAUACCCCACAAGUUCUCAUUCUGUUCCUGUUUGUAAUGCCUAGCACGACAAUCAUGAAAAUGGUAACUACAUUCCCACCAAAUACCACAACUGUGGACACCGUUGAGGGGAAGCCAAUCCAAGAAAAGUGAAACUGCCACACUAUUCCAUUCGAACCAGAAAAGACAAGGUAUCAAAUUUAAAGGAUAUACAUUACUAAAGCAGUCAAACAAUCUAUUUCCAUCCUACACUUGAUAAGCCACAAACAGAGAUGUUCAAUCAAAAUCUGCUAAAACAACAGAUGCUCCAUUAACUAGUGAACAAACGAAUGAAACUACGUAAACAUUAAUCAUCAAAUUACUUACUACCACAGAGAAUGGGCCAAAAAUGGGGCAUAAAGUCAAGAGAGAAGUGAGUAGUGAAAGCUCGUUUAAGUGGAGUCCUUUGAUCAUUAUUUUUCUCUACAGUUGUUGUGGAACUUAGCACUUGAGUAUUAUAUAUAUAUUAAAACCAGUCAGUGAGGAAGACAACUCAAUGAUUGCCAAGUCGAACUGGAAAGGGCUUAACCAGGAAUUUGAAAGGCUGAAAUAUCACGUGAUUCGUUCUAAAGCUAGCUCCAAAAAUAAUUGCAUCUCUUUAACAUUUCUAAAUAUACAUAAUUUACAUAUCGAGAAAUGAUGAUGAAAAAGUGUAGCUAGAAGCCCAGAUCAAGACAAUGAGACACAAGCUGGUUAAAGCUAAAAAGUGAAAAUCCUACGAGAUUUCAUUUCCACUAUGGAUACGUUCCUUAGUGGGUGGCAGAAUAAUUCAAGUGUUACAGAUUCCGCAGAAAAUUGGAUAAAAUAAUCCAGCCCUAGACAUAAGAUCAGGAAUCACCAUGGUUUGCGUGUGAAGCCACUGGAAUGAGCUACAAAACAAUUCUCAUACAACUGAUCUGAUUUGAUACUUGGGUUUCACAGCAACCCUGAUGGCGAAUCCUGCGGCAACGACAUCACCGUUUAAAAGAAGAGAAGGAAAAAAAAUGAUAAAUGCAUUGAAUCUAGCAUUGAUCGAAAGUGAAUCAACAAAUGUCAAAUUCCAAGACCCCAAUUUCACAUCAAAAGCAGCUUAAAAAUCCACAAAGAUAUUUCCUUGGAUCUCCAUUAUCUGUAUUUCCAGAGAGUCUUUAAGUUAAUCUGACGUCACUAGAAACAUGUAUACAAGAGAAACAAAUGCCCUAAAUGGCCUAUCAUCAAUGACGAUGUUGCCUAGGAGGGAGUUUAAGGAGUUCACCAAUUUCCUACACCGCAUUAUUACAAAAUGAAGCAACACAUAAUAUUGAUACUAAUAACUGUGAAGCAAAGCAGACCCAAAUAAAAAUUCAUUCAACCCUAGAAUACCAGAGCAUGUAAUAAACAAAUCGAAUUUGGCAUGACUGAAUCAUGGACUAAUGUAAAGAAUAGCGGUUCAACAAUAGGUCACCGAUCAAAGUUCAUGAGGGAAAGAGUGUCAUUCAAUAGCAAAAGCAAUUACUACUUCGGAACAAGACAAGCAUGCCCAGAAUUUGUGAAUGAUUGCUUACCCAUUCGAACAAAAGAAGGCAGGAAAAGGACGAAGGAGACGUGAAGCUUUCUGAGUCUAAUACCAAACAUCACAAGCUGAGUUAAUCAGUGUAAUAACAAUGCGCCUACAUUAUUAUAUUGAGCAUAUGGGCCAUUUCAGUACCCUCAUAUUAUCAACUGAAAAGGAGACUUGAGUAAACGCCAAUUAGAUUUGCAACCACGCAGCCUAUCCACUCCUCGAUGACAAGGCCUUCAAAUAAUGCAACUAACACACUGCAUUAAGAAAUUGGUGAAUGCAAAUCUGGAAAAAGCAGAGGAUGAGGAAGAACUUCGGUUGAAGGGACAUGCUGGAGAUGUUACACCGUUCAUGAGCAACUCUCAUUUAGCACGCCACAGACAAUUCUUGUGUUCCAUAGACCCUGAGGGUGACAAAGUGAUCUAACAAGGCUGAAUUCAGUAAAGCUACCUCCGGGUGGGAUGGCGACGUCUUCAUAGGGCUUGGGAAUGUAAGGCAUCAACUCUUGCUGCAGCUCCUCUUGAAACUAUAGGGACUGAUAUAUCGCUGGUCAACAUGCAAUUCAUCUUUGCAACAGAAUUUAUAACGUGUUCAAUCACCUGCAUAGCAAAAUUGAAUGUCAUAAAAUCCACGACAGGCCUGAGACCAUAGAAAGCAGCGCUGACUUCAACUCCAGCGAAACCAGCCUCUGUGAUAGCAGCAUCAACAACCCUCUCAGGUCCAUACUUCUGCCAAAGAAAAGAACCUUUAGACACAUUGAAAGACUCUAGGAUCUGCAGACAUUUCCUCAUCAAACGUAGCAUUCAUAGCCUCUCUCACAGUCAUCUAUUUGCCCACAGUAGCAUUACUACGUAACGACAUUUCUGCGGCACAACUCUUCCACAGCCUUUCUCUCAACAACACAGCAUCCAAGCCUCUGACUGUGGCUUUUCGUGUUAGAAUUGACAACAUCAUGCCCUCUCAAACUCGAACUUGCUCUCACUGCUUGAUAAAGCUCGCUAAUUCUCUCUCUCUCGAAUGGGUAUCCUUGGAAACAGAGUCCAGCUUCGUCAUUCCAUCAAACACCUUCCUUGCAGACUCGACGGAUUUUUCUCCGACCAAUUUUUUUUUUUUUUUUCGCAUCUCUCUCUGGCUCUGGAUUCCCUUGAUUCAUCUCCAGCAAUUCAGAUCAUCCCCACAGUAAACCACACCAUUAGAUUCCACAUUUGAGUCGCGGCCACUCUGAUUCAAGUCCUCGCUUUUUUGUCCUUGCCCAUGUCUGGACCAGAUUUAUCCGUCGCCGGGCCAUCUCGGGCUUACGCUGCCAUUGCCGCUGAACCAUCAUCAGGACCAUUCCAUGUCUGAUUGAACUUCCGAGUCAAAUUCCAAUUCACUCCAGAAUAUGUCCCGUCGACUCUUUGCUUCGUUCUGCUCGCUCCCACUUCAUCGCCGCCUUUCGUAAUUCCAUUAUUCCGCCCAUCUAUGCCGCGCCCAAAGGGGGACGCGGGGUGGUGUUCACCGUUUACAAGAGCCUUUUAUCCGAUUGCCAAGGCUGAGGUUGGAUGGAUGAUCAUCAUCAUCAUCAUCAUCAUCUGGAUACGAUCUGCCGAUUCGAAGGAUGAGAUUCUUUGGGUUUCGCUCUCGGCACCUCCACCGGUCCGGCGUCGCUCCUUCAACCGCAGCAGCCGAGGCCAGUCUGAGUCGUCAUCAUCCGAGACGAUAUGCCGAGCGUGAAGACUGGCAGCGGCGAGCAUGAAGAGAAAAACGACAGAGAACUAAAAAAAAUAAAGGCGGGAAGCGAAGGGAGGGGGUGGAUGGAGAUGAUUCGGAUUUUGUGUUGGAAAACGGGGCAAACAGGUGAAGCCAGUGGCUGUUCUUUGGAUGAAAAAGGAAUUGAAUUUGAAAAAAGAGAAUAAAAAGGAAAAAUGAACCCACCGUCAGUUCCGGAAAAAGCCGGCAAAAAAACUCCAAAUUAUAUUUAUUUUUGUCGCAUUGAUUUUUCUUUCUGUGACGCAAAAGCUCAAAAUUAGGUAUAUGGCAUAUUUACUCUAGUUCUUAUGACGUCAAAAAUACUAAAUUUAUACAAAUAUGAUAUAUUUACUUUAUGUUAAGAUUUUCUCUUAUAGAUUUUACAUUUUUAUUUUUUUGGUCGAAGUUGUUCUUAUUUUAUUUGACGUCAACACCGUUUACAUUUCGUCGUGCAUAUAGGUAGUUUUUCUUUUUUAACGAUACUCAUUAACAGAGGGUAAAUCUAUCACAUAAAUAUAGUUUAGGGUCUUUGAUGACAUAAAAAAAAAAAAAAAACUUAGGGUGGAUAUGUCGCAGUGGACAUAUCUUAAGAUUUUUGGUGGUUUUCCUCUUCUUCUUCUUUUUUUUUUCUCAACUUCAUCAAUAAUCAAUCACAACUCAAAACCGAGAAUGCAUCGAUCUCUCUCUGCUUGUCAUCUAUUAGCCAUUGCCAAGCUUCCGUCACCCCGUCCCUCCUAGAUGUCUUUGGUGGUGAUUAUGUCGGUUGUUCUUGUUCCCUUUAUUGUUAGGAAGGCACUUUCGAUUUGCUUGUAUAAUGAAUUUGCGGCUUAAAAUUCGCUUUCAUAAAUUGUAAGAGUAUGUUGUCCGUGACUUGUUCUAACUUGAAUGAACAAUGUUUUGAUAUCACUUGUGAGAGAAAAAUUUCACUUUUCUUUCUCGCAACUUCAAUUGUGAAGAAAUAUAUUUAAUUCCCACCGGUCUACCCGCUUGAGAUUUCUAUUUAAAUUUCCUAUUAAUGGAAAAUUGACCGAAUGUCAUUCCUGUUAAUGGCGUACGAUGACUAAUGGCGUCGGAAAUGAUGGGAUUCUGAUUUUAAGAGAUGAACGGCUGGGAAUGGGUUGGGCGUUAUUAGCAAAUAGCGUCCCCCGGGGGGGGGGGGGGGGGGGGGGGGGUUCGUUUUGGGAACUGUAUCCAACCACGCUUAACGCACUUACGAUGAAAUUUCAUCUAGGGAGAGCUAAGUGAGUUGGGCCACAAACCAGAAGAGCCCCCCUUUUUUUAAUACCCAUCAUUUUCUAAGAGUUCUUUUAAAAAAAAAAAAUUAGUUUAUCAUUUAUUUAUUUGUUUAUCCAUUCUUUUUCACUGCUUUUUGUUAUUUUUGCUAUUUUCUAUUUUUGUAAUUUUACAAGGACUGACGCUUGAAUUGUUGAUAAAAAUUCAGGUGUAGACAAUAUACGUAAUAACAUUACAGUUAGUGCCAUGGAAAACUCGGUACUAAUGUAAAAGUUGUUUGACAAGUGUAUUAUGUAUUGACUAACACAUUCCUUGUAAAUAUUUCCACAAAACCAAAAAUAAUAAUAAGGAUAAAAAGAAAAUGCCCCUCCCCUCCUGAAAUUAGUCAAAUUUAAUAGUAUAGGAAUCAAAAUUACAUUCUAUAUCGGCAUUACCGAAAAGUUUUUGUUAAAUUGUUACUCCCCCAUCUUCUUGCAAACUCAUCUUUAGCUCUGCUACCAUGAAGCAGAUUGAAACUAAACAGUAACUAACGUAUGAAACUCCUUAAACAGUAAUGGUUAGAUUACUUACUUCCACAAAAACCAGGACAAAAAUUGGGCAUGGGGAUGAGAGAGAGUGCGUAGUGAAAGUUUGUUUAAGUGGAGUCUGAUCAUUAUUUUCCUCUAUAGUUGCAGUGAAACUUAGCACUCGUGGACAUAUAUUAAGAUUAGUCAAUGCAAAAGCCAACUCAAUGAUCGCCAAGUUAAACUAGAAAGGGCUUAACAAAAAAUUUGAAAGGCAAAAGCAUCACAUGAUUCAUUCUAAAGCAAGCUCCAAAAGUGAUUGCAUCUCUUAAUAUUUCUAUAUAUAGAAAAUUUACAUAUUGAGAAAUGAUGAUGAAAAUGUUGUAGCUAGAAGCCCAAAUCAAGGUAAUGAGAUACAAGUUGGUCAAAAGCCAUAACUGUAAAUCCUAGGCAGAAGAACGGCACAAGUGCCAUAACUUGGCACGCCGGGACACUUAAGUGCCAUAACUUCCAAACGGUACACUUAAGUGCCACUUUUUUUUUCGAGUGGGACACUUAAGUGCCACCUCCGGCGACCCUUGCCGGAAAUCCUACGUGGCAAUAUUUUAUUAUUAUUUUUUGCCUACGUGGCUCGCCGGAGCUCCAAAUCAACAUAAAAAUUAACAAAAAAAUUUUUAAAAAAAGAAAAUUUUAAAAAUUUUAAUUUUAAAAAAUUUAAAAAAAAUAAGAAAAUUUUAAAAAUUUUAAAAUUUAAGAAUUUAAAAAAAAAAAAAAAAAAGUGGGGGGAGGUCGAACUGGCGGCUGAGGGCUGAGCCCUCGCCGCCGCCGCCUCCCCGCCGUCGCCGGGAAGGGCCGGCGACGGAGUGGGGAGGGUCGGCGAGGGCCCGCGAGCCCUCGCCCAGAUCUAGGGCGAGGGUCACGGCCCUCGCCGCGAUUCGGCGAGGGCUGCGAGCCCUCGCCGUCGGUCGGCCGGGGGCCGGCGACCCCGGCCAACCCUCCCCCCUCCGUCGCCAGCCCUUCUCGGCGACGGCGGGGAGGCGGCGACGGCGGGGAGGCGGCGGCGGCGAGGGCUCAGCCCUCAGCCGCCCGUUCGACCUCCCCCACCCUUUUUUUUUUUAAAUUUUUCAUUUUCUUAAUUUUUUAAAAUUUUUAAAUUUUUCUUAAUUUUUUAAAUUUUUUGAAUACUUUAUAAUUUAAUUAAUUUUUAUAUUAUUAUUUACACGUAGGCAUGAAACGGCGUCGUUUUUGCGUUUUCUCUGCCACGUCAGCGUGCAAAACGACGCCGUUUUGGACUAAACUCGCCGGAAAAUUGCCACGUCAGCCAUUUGGCCGGAUUUUCGCCGGAGUGGCACUUAAGUGUCCCAUUUUACUCCGAUGAUGGCACUUAAGUGUACCAUUUUAAAGUUAUGGCACUUAAGUGUCCCGGCGUGCCAAGUUAUGGCACUCCAGGUGUCCUCACCUCGUAAAUCCUACUAGAUUUCAUUUCCACUAUGGAUACAAUAUGUUCCUUGGUGGGUAGCAUAAUAAUUCAAGAGUGACAGAUUCUGCAUCGAAUCGAAUAAAAUAAUCCAACCCUAGACAUAAGACCAGGAACCACUAUGGUUCACUUGUGAAGCCACCCGAACGAGCUACAAAACAAUUCUCAUCCAACUGAUCCGAUCUAAUACUUCGGUUUUGCAGCAAUCCUGAUGUUGAAUCCUGCGGUAACAUCAUCACCAUUGAAUCUAGCAUCAAUUGAAAGUGAAUCGACAAAUGUCAAAUUCUAAGACCUCAAUGCCGCAUCAAAAGCGACUUAAGAAAAUUGAUGGGAAGAGAAGGAGGGGGGAGGAGCCAUGUGGUGAAAAGAGGAGGAACGCCCUACUGUUGGGACUACGGUGGCAUUGUCGAAGUGGCCCCCAAUCCUCGGAUACGUUGGAGAUCGGACUUAUCAACAGCAGUGACAGUCGUGUCGAGGGCAGUAGCAAUGACCUUGGCGUGGGAGGGAGGAGAGGAAGAAAUGGAGGCGUUUCUAAGUAGUGUGACUGGAGGGACCAGAAAAUGUGAAAUCAGAAGGGAAAACCAAAUCCCAAUUGAUUUGAGAAUUUCAGUUGCACCUAUGUAUUGUCUUACCUUCUAGUCUAAUACAUGAAUACUACCAAAUUAUAAAUUUUGGACACAAUUACCCUUAUUUAAGUCGUCGGAAAACGUCAGUUGGUGGCUAGCACAUAAGCUUAGACCCUAAUUCGAGGCCAGUUUAUGCCCUAACUUAUAGAGCAAGAUUGACACUUUUCUUUUUCUCCAUAAAGGAAGCUUGCUAGAUGAAAAUGGAGAAGCUGGACUUGAAAGAUUUGCAGGAAGACUUCUCGGCAACUUUGACUUAGUAAAACUUUUGGACUAUGAUCACAAGAAAAUUUAUCGGAUGAUGAUUAUUGUAUCUUUUGUUAUUUCAAUUUGAAGAGCUUGAAUGCUUUAGGAUCUUAUUUCUCUUGAAUUCUUCUUCUUUACAAGCACAAUUGUCUGCAAAGAGCAUUCAUACGACACGCAUGGCAAAGAAACAUCUAUUCAUGGUUAGUCAAUUAAAACAAUUUUUUACCCCAACAUCUACUAAGCUUCGUCCAUUUCGUAAAAUAUACGUUUUUGGAAUAUUUUAUAGGAAUCAUUUUCUAAGAAAAUGAUAAUAUUUUCCAAUGUUUGCUUGAAACUUAAAAAUGAAUUAAAAAAUAUUUUCCACCAUUCGGUUUGGAAAAUUCAAUUUGAUUUCCCUUUGUGUACUAAUUUUAACAAAAUUUUUAUCUUUAAAAAAAUCAAAUUUUCAAUUUUUAUUUUCAUUUAUUUUCAAUUUUUUUUCUUACAUCUUAUUUUAUUUUUUCCUUGUAUUUUUUUUUCUUUUCCUCCUCCUUCUUCUUUAGAUGAUCAUCACGACCACAGUGACAGCCGAAAAGCUUGAGGCCUUGAGCCUCACCAGAUCAACAAGUCGAUGAGCCAAAGGCUCACACUCACUAACUUGGAGAGGCUUGAGCUCAAGGCCUUGGGCCUCGCUAGAUCGGCGAGCGAACUUGCUACUCAGCAAAGGCUUGCUUGAUUGGUGAGUGAUGAGCAUAGCUUGCCAAUCUGGCGAGCCCUAAGCUCACCUAUGGUUGGUUGCCGACAGCCAGCCUAGACACAAGGAAAAAAUAAAAUAAAAUAAAAUAAAAAUUCAAUUUAAAAAAAUAAAAAAUAAAAAGAAAGAAAGGAAGGAUUUUUUUUUUUUUUUUUUUUUUUUGGUCAGUCCUACUCUAUUCCUAUUCUACACUCACUUGCAGACUUGUGCCCUGCCUCUUGCAGGGCGUGAGAGUCGCAACCCACGCUCGAAACUUACGCAUCCCUACCCCCAUCCCCCCUGAGAAGGUGGGGAUUUGAACCCCUCACCUCCCCCUUCCAUGUUGGAAGAGUGGCCACUGGGGCGAACGAGUGAGGAAAAUAUUUUACCAAACUUAAAAAGUGAAAAAUAUUUUCCUCUAUAUUAAAAUACCUUUUUUCAUUGAUAAAAAUAUUUUCACCGUCUAGUUUAUUCUUAUGAAACCAAUGCUAAAAAAUCUGGAAAAUAUUUUCCUGAAAGUUAUUUUUCGCGAAAUAAACUAAGCUUAAAUUUCCACCAUGGAAAUUGGAUUUCUAGUCACCGCCGUUGCCCUCGACCAUGCUGCCAAAUGAUAUGAUAUCACAAGAAAGUCCCCCGACGUGGAAGGAGUAGCUUUACUAUUUCUAUUAUUAUAGAAAUGGGAAGUAGUCCUAUGCAGAUUGAGCCACUUUGAGCAGGUUUUUCAUGGUCUUUCACUUCCAAGACCUCUCAUUACUUUUUCAAAAUGGUGAUACCGCAUCUUAUAUGAAUUGUCUGGUAAGAUCUUGAGCUUCAAUUAGCACCGAUAUACCUAGAGCUCAAUUAUUGUUGCUAGCACUUACAAUACCAUGACCGCUUUAGUGUUCGAUGUGCACUUGUUGGAGAUUUUUUUUCAUAUAUAUUGUGUUCAUAUAUAAUCCAAUAGAAUACUACAGUGAUACUCAUUAAUAAAUGUAUUAGAAAAUGAUGUUAGCUAUUAAUUUCUUUCAUCCUCAAGCACUUUAUAACAGAUAAAUUUAUGCUUGGAUUUCUUCAACUUCAAAUCAUUACUGUCUUGCAAUUUGCCCUCCAAUUUUAUCUUUGGAUUUCUCAUUUCACUUAUAUAAUUUCAUAGCUCGAUCAUUCAAACAUGUAAAUGUGUAGAGUAUUCCGGAUGGAUUCAUUAAGCAACAUAUUCAAGAGAAGCAAAAAGUAACUAUGUGCUUAUCACUACUUGUAACUCGGUGCCUCCAUGUAACUAUGUCCUUUUUCUUCUCCACAUUUAGUGUUGAAAAUCCACAAAGACACUACCUUAGAUCUCCAUGAUUUGUAUUUCUAGAGUCCCUAUGCUAAUCUGCCAUCAUAAGAUACAUGUAAACAACAACAAAUGCAGCAAAUGGCCUAUGAUCUAUGAAGAAGUUGCCUAGGAGUGAGCUUUUGGAGCUCACCAAUUUCCUACCCCGCGUUAGAACAGAAUGAACAGCACAUAAUAUUGAUAUUAAUAACCAUGAAGUAAAGGAGACCCAAGAUAAUUAAUUCAACCCCUAGAACAAUAGAGCACAUGAUUAACAAAUCAAAUUUGACAAGAUGAAUCAUUGACUAAUUACACUCGUUACCAAAUGGGACAAUUUAGAGAAUAACGUUUAAGCUAUGCAAUGAUAGGUCACCCAUCAAAGUUUAUGAGGGCAAAGAGUCAUUAAAUAGCAAAGCUAUUACUACAUCGGAACAAGAGAGGCUUGUCCAAAAUUUGCGAAUGAUUGCUUACCCUUUCAAACAAAAGAAGGCAGGAAAAGGACGGAGGAGACGUGAAGCUUUCUGAGGCUAAUACCAAAUAUUACAAGCCAAUGAAAUUAGUGUAAUAACAAUCGUCCCAUCCUGCACCAACGUUACUAUAUUGAGCAUGUGUCAUUGAAUUAUCUCAUUUGUCUGUGCUCAUAUUGAUACCAUCAUAAGAUCAAACUGAAAAGAAGUUUGAAUGCAUUAUCAUCAUGGAGUGGAUAGUUUGCGUGGAAAUUUACUCAAAGCAACGUAACUAACACACUGCAUCAAGAAAUUAGUGACUGCCAAUCUGAAAAAAGUAGAGGAUGAGAAAGCACUUUGGUUGGAGGAACUUACCAGUAAUGUUAUACAAUUCAUUUCGCCAACUCUCAUUUUGCCAACUCUCAUUUCCCAUGCCACGAACGAUUCUCGUGUCUGAUAGAUCCUGAGGGCAAUGAGUGAUCUAACGAGGCCAGAUUCUGUAAAGAUUCCCCCAGGUUGGAUGGCGACAUCUUCACUCAGCCUAGGAGUGAUGGGUGGCAACUCCUCUUGUAGCUCCUCUUGAAACUAUAGGGAUGACAUAUCGCCCGCUGACAUGAGUCCAUCUUUGUAGGAGAAUUUGUAAAGUAGUCAAACAACUGCACAAUGAAGUACACUCCACGACAGGCAUGAGACCAUAGAAAGCAACGUUAAUUUCAACUCCACAAUAGGCCUAAGACUAUAGAAUCGAGGACUUGAUUACACUAAUUAAUCAGAUAGUGCCCUUUCGGUGUCUAAUGUUGUUCAUUUUACAAAAAGAUAUUUAUCAAGCAGUUUGAAUUGAUUUUAGAUCUAUCCCUAAUAUGUGAUUAUGCGGGUGCGCAAUUAUUAUAAUAGCAACUAGCAACCAAGGACAUCGAAUAAAUUGCAUGGCAAAAUGAUUAUUGAACGCUAAUAGAUAAGAAAGAUAUCAUUCCUAACUAGUCUAGGGGUAAAUGACAAUAUAUAUAUAUAUAUAUAUAUAUAUAUAUAUAUAUAUAUAUUAAAAAAUGCGUAAUCAAGUGAUAAUUCUUGUCAAAAAAGAAAACAUUGAAAUGCUAUGGCAAAGCCCAAAGAGUUUGUUUAAAUAUUGAGCAUGAUUUUUUUAUCAAUGAUUUUCCACAAUUUUAAGAGAAGACUUCCCAAAAGACUAUUUUAAAGCUUUUUCCAAGGAACUCUAUUUUUCAAAAGCUUUUUCUAAUUUUUCAGAAAAAUUUAAAAUUUUUAAUUCUUCUAAUUUUUAAUUCUUUUUUUAUAUUUUCGAAUCUUUAAUAAAAAUAUUUUUUUUUAUUUUGAAAUGGGGACUCUGGCUGGGCCCCCAAGGCUCGGUCAAAAGUAGGCUGCCGUCUGAUACCUCGUGGGUUUGGCGAACCAGGCUUUCAACAAGCUCAAUUUCAAACUGAUCUAAGCCCACCUUUUGAAAUAAUUAUACUAAGCCCAAGCUCAACUAAAUACCAAAACCAGCCCACAUUUGCCAAGCUUCAACUUGAGUCCAACGCCCACUAAUCCCAUCGCCUAAUAGGUCAGCCCAAAAUCUCUGAUUUCACUUCCUCAUUCAUUCUGCCCUCUACGCCCCUCUCCAUUGUUCCCCUCUUUUACGUUGUUCAUGGCCUCAUCUUCCGGCUCGAAGACGGCAACGAGAGGGCAAGCUCAUGACAAAUCGGGCUAUAUGGUAUGCCGCCUUGGUACCUUCAAGCCAGGAUCCUCAGACAAGGGAGGAUUGAACUGAAAAAGAAACUCACCGGCGACAUAGAGAUUUGGAAGCGAAAGAUGGUGUGCUUGAGCGCGUCGGCCAGAGGUCGUCGGAGAGGGUUCGAGCGCAGCAGAACUGUUGGAGAGCUCCUUCUCGUUGUCGAGUUUCACUCUCCUCCUCAACUCUCACUUGGAUCUCCCUUUGUUCUCCGAACCUUCCUCGUUCGAUUCUUGCGACCGUGCAAGAGAGGAGCGCACUUGACCAGCCCCACCUCUGGUCCUUUAUCGCCGCGACAUCACCUCCUCCACCACCGAAACGCUACCACCACCAAAGAUGUCGAGAACGCAGUCGGUUCUCUCUCUCUCUCUCUCUUUCUUUCUCCAAGAACUAGCCUCCCUCUGGCUCACCCUCUCUCGAGCUUGCUCUUUCUCUCCGUGUGGCUCCCACAAGCAACUCUCACUGUCUCCUUCUUGAGCAGCGCUCGUCGGCUCUAGUUUUCAGCCGAACCCCUCGAGAAGUAGCCCUUGCCCUUUCUCUCCAUCUGUUUUCAGCCGAUCAAGAAGCCCUCUUAAGCUCACUCCCUCUUUCUCUCCCGAUCUCACUCACUGGAUCUCUCUCUCUCUCUCUUCUCUCCUCUCCCCCGCUUCUCUCCAAAGCUCAAGGAAAUAUCCAGUGGUUUGCUCUCACCACGUCAUUAGCUGACGUGUCGAGCAUUGUUUUGCUUCCAUCCUAUUACAGCUUGGCCCAUAUUUGUUGAUAUGGAAUUUGAAAUUGCUAGUAGAACACCUAGGGAAGGUGAAUAGGUGUGAAAACAAAUUUUUGCGAAAUGCAGUAAAAAUGCUAUACUUUUAAAUUGAAUCUGAUUGACUACAGACUUUGCAUAAAGGUUUUGAUUUUAACAACUAUUUUAAAAUAUAGAAGUAUAUCACAAUAAAUAAAGUAAAGGAGUUCGGGGAAGAGAAAAAUAAAUACAAGAUUUAUAUUGGUUCGACUUAGAUCAAGCCUACGUCCACUCUCCCACUCUGAUAACCUUCUGGCUAGUUUCCACUAUGAAUCGAAAGAGAAUGUUACAGCCCUGUGAUCUUGACUUUUUAGUGAAGUGAUUCUACUACUCUCAUAAAAUCACUCUCUAGAGUUUCUCUCUUUCGAAUACAAUUUUAAGCACUAAAUAAUGAAGGACAAGUGAUUUGGAAGCUUCAGACUUUGGAAUUCUUGUUUCACGCUCUCCUCGAAUGACUUGAAAAACCUCUUUAAAUACUCCUCAAUGCCUUCUCGACCGUUGGCACUUUCUAGUGAAAUUCUUUCAAUCAACAUGUUGGAUAGAAUCAAUCAAGGAGAUCUCGAGCCAUUUGAAGAUUGAGAUGAAAGCUCGUCAAUCCUAUUCGCCCAUAUAAUCAGGAUCUUGAUUUCCAUAAGUAGAUUCUUUCCAAAUAAGUUUGCCUUCCAAAAUGAUAUGCUUCUUUGAAAUUGAUUCCCAUUAAGAUAACCAAUAUGGUAAGUGAUAUUUUCAACUAGAAAGCCUGAUAUGUCCUGUACGUGCUGAAGCCUUGAAGGAAGAAAAAUAAUCUUGAGUCUAAAUAAGUCUUCAUUCUUCACUUGCAUUCAGUUUGGAAUUUGUCUGAGUGGGCAGACUUCUGAUGAAAGAUAGACUUUGACAUAGAAGUUUGGCAAUCUUUAUAAUAGAACUUAGAUAAGUUUUGUCAGCCUCAAAACAUCAUAGAAGUUUUCUCCAACAAAAUUAAAUGAAAAAAGAGAGUAGAAAUUCUCUCAUUCCACCACUUUCUCUCUCUUCCUCCUUUGUUCCUCCUUUGACCACACCACCAGCUUGACCUUUGCACCUCCCGCCAUCAUCGGCGUCAACACCGUCUCCAGGCCAACUACACAUCCAAACUGAGUCACCCUCUCCAUCAUCUUCCUCAAUUCGUCUUCGGCUUCGUCUUUCUCCCAGUGUCUAUUCGUCUUCAUAUUCAAGUUGCUAGCUAGAUCUGGUUGCUUCGUCUUCCUGUUGUCACCAUGGUAGCUUGGGGAGAAAAUAUUACUUUUUAGUUUUUAGUUUUCUCCCCGACCACCUCAUUGCUCAGGGAGAAAGUAUUCACUGGCCUUGUCUUCCUCCCAGCAUCUGUUCGUCUUUGUCUUCCACCAUGGCCAGAUUUGGUCGCUUCAUCUUCCUCCCAGCGUCUGUUUGUCUUCAUUUCCAUGCGAUCGAGAUGCUUAGAAAAUCGUUGGGCGAGGUAUUGGUCAAGUUCUAUCCAUUUGUAGGGAGACUCGUCGUGGGGAGUGGCGGGACAAUGGUGAUGAGAUGUAGGAGAGAAGGUAACCUGUUCGUCGAAGGGAUGUCAGAGAACGACGUUGGAAUGCUGGGUGACAUCAGCGUCAUUGAUUUGCCAACGCUGCGAAAACUCAUGAACAAUAGUGAUGGAGCCCAAACCAUAUUGGAAAAAACCUUUGCCGACAGUGCCGAUAAUGUUUUUAUGAAUAAGACUUGAGAUUAUAUUUUGUACCAAAUGUAUAGUAUGAGAGCACAAAUUUUGACAGGUUAACAUGGAUGACUUUAGAAUGAUGCACCCUAAGGGUGCAGAUUAUAAGUCCUAAAUUUAGCAAAUACUUUCAAAUUUCAUUAUAUGUGCUUAUAUUAUGGUCUUUCAUAUGUCUUUCAUAUUCAUACAUUGCUUGUGCAAAUAUGAUUGCGAGAAGACAAUUCUCUUUGCAAUUUUGCAUGGAUACAUUGAGGGAAUAAUUGAAUAAAAUUCUUUGGUGUUCAGACAGAUUGUGCAUCGUGAAGCCAAGUAUCCAUUACAUCUUGUUAAAAAGAUGAUAACUAAAUUACAUUUAACUUAUUCUCUGUCAAGUUUGAGAUGCAAUCACAAGAGUUUAGUGGUGCCACUUGUAAUUUUAUAAGCCAUUUUUUUUUGGUUGCAUCCGAUCUUUCGAUUGGUGUUGAAUUGAAGGACAUCUUUACGAGUAGUAGACACUUAAAAAUAUGAGUUCCUAUUAAUCGAUAAGUAUCACAUGGCGAAUGAUUUGAUUUGAUGACAACAUUCAAUACUCUUAGUUUAUACUUUCAUUUUCUAUAACAUCCUUAUUAAAGUUAUUAAUUUUUGAGAAAGUAGCCAUGCAUUAUUACCCCAAAUGCCAUGAUUAAACCAUUUGUGCAAAAAUGGAUCCAUAUGUAUUCGUUUGUUGGUCAUUGGAAAAAAGCUAUGCAUGUGGCUCAUGUUUAGGAGAUCCAAUAAUUUGACUGAAAUUAGAUAUUGGGGUGUCCUCACUCCCAGUCGAGUCCACAUUUGAUAAUGAUGAGGCUUGAGCUAUUACUACCUCAUCCAUUGAUAAUUCGGGGCUUUAGCUGCCCGGCCAAACAAUGAUAACGUUUAUCUAAGAUUAAAUAGCGUCGUUUCAUGUAAUUUUAGUUCAUAUCACACCAUCACCCUUACAUAUAAGAUAAUCGGUCAUGAUUAGAUUGACAUGUGAAACAAAUGAGACAAAACUUGACCGAGAGAACUUGAUUACACUAUUCCUCAAAGAGUUAAGAUUAAAUUGGUUCAAUUGAAAUGUUUAAAACUCGAUUACAUUCCGUAUAAUAUGUUUAAUACCGCUUGUGCAAUUUUCUCAUCAUACCAAAACACUAGUACCUCAAAUUUGAUGAAAAUAGAAGAUUCUUGUGUAUUCUUCAUAUUGAUCAUGACACAAUCUUAACCUCGUAGAUUUCAUAAUAUCUCAAAUAAAUUGAUAAUUUGCUCUUGUCAAUUUUGAUCGUCUAAUUUGAUGUCCUCCCUUGAUUGUGAAACUCUAUUUCCACACAUGAAAAACUCUAUGCUAUUAAAGUAAUUAGAUAAAGUGAUGUUUCGAAGAUAUUUGGGUUUCAACAUUUAUCAUAUGGAUCUCAAGUGAAGAUCACAUAAUAGAAAGUGUGAGAUUGUGGCAUCCCAAAAUUCAUGGCAACCUCUAGUUACAUUAAAGUCUAUGAAUAGGUGAUGGAAGUACCAUUAAGUUAUUUUAUAGCCAUUUAAUCCAUAAUUUACAAUAAGAUUUAUGGCCAAGCUUUUAAUGGAUAAUUAUUUGAUAGGAAAGAAAAUCCUAUCAUUGGCCAUGUGUUUUAUAAAUUGGAAUUUAUGGAUUUAUGAUUUCAAGUUUUAUGGCCAUAUGAAAUCGUAAUUUAGUAUUUAUAUAAGUGGGGAUUUAAGGUAAAUUAUUAAAAGUAAAAUGGACUUAUUUAAGAAAAUUUUGGGCCAUUAAAGCUUGGACUUUAGGCCCAAGUGAGAUGGGCCUAAAGUGGGCCAUAAGCCCAGCCCAUGUCAACGCAUGGAGGGGGAGGAGGAGGAGCCGCAUGGCCUCCAAGUGUCUUCAACAAAGGAGACACUUGUCUCCUUCUCAGGGACAAGUGUCCCCCAUGCAAAAUAAGAAUGCAUGCAAUAUAUAUACAACCAAAAAGGAAGAGAGAGAGGGAGUGGCUGAUGGUGGGGGCUGUCGUCCAAGAGAGUUGCGAGAGAGAGAGAGAGAAAGGGUCGCUGAGAGGGAGAGAGGAACCAAGGAAGAAGGAGCCGUCGACGCCCAUUCACCGUCCGUGAGCCGUCCCUUUUGCUGUCAUCCGCUUGGUCCUAGAGGCAAGUUGGGAUUGAUUUCCACUCUUGCAUGUGUGUCUUGUAUGUAUGAUUUGUUGGUGGUAGAUUUCGGAUGCUAGGGUAGGCAAAACCGAAGCAAGAAUGUGACUUGAUCUUGAAUAUGCUUGCUGAUUUCGUGUGAACCGCCCGACCCAGAAUCUUGUGGAGGCUUGCAUGCAUGUUUCUAGUUGUAUUUUGACUUUUAUUCCUUCAUGAAAGUUGUAGCCAACAUCUUAAACUACAACAUAAUAAAAUUGGGGACAAAAUGGUGGAGAUUUAAGGGGUCAAACUCUCUUCCUACGAAGACACUAGAUCUGGAACUAUUUUGCUGACCUUUUGGUAGUUUUGUGGGCUGCAUGUCGAUUUUUACCAAGAAUAUCUCUUCGACUUCUUCAUGAAACUUGUAGAGAACAUUCUAAAGACUAACAUACUCAAAUUUGAAGUAAAAUUAGCAAGUGUAGCCUAGUUAAUCAACUUACUCUUGAAGGCGGUAAAUCUGGAAACACGGUACUGGACACCCGAGACUUCUUGGACUCAUAUGGUGACUAUUCUUUGGAAAUUUGACUUAGAUCCCUUAACAAAAGUUGUAGGGAAUCUCGUGAUGUAAAACAUAUCCAAAUUUCAGAGACAACGAAGAAGAAUAAGUGGGUGAAAACUCGAAAUUUCGGAGAUGGCUAUACUGAACGUUUCGGUGCUAGAAUCAGAAGCUUCGGAUGACUAUAGAAAAUUAUCUAGAACGAAUAUGGCCUAGAUUUCUUCAUGAAAAUUUUUUUUUAGUAUCUUAAAUAUAACCUGGUAAAAUUGCAUAAUUUUCGGAGGUCAUUCAGGUAUUUUAAUUGAAUUAUUUCAAAAACUGCGCAGUCUGUUUCUAUCCGAAAUUGCAUGCUGUAUUUGUGGGGAUUAUAUCUUGUUGUGUGAAACUCUUUAGGGCAUGUGUUCUUCACGAAAUUGUUAUCUUAUUGUCUUGUCUAUCUCAUGUCCUGAUUUCAUGAUUUUUGAGAAUCAUAUGGAUAUUUAAUUUAAAUAUUUUCUAGAAUGGUACAAGCUGGAAUUUAGUAAACUUCAAAAAGGCAUGAAAAAUGGACUAUUCUAAAUUGCAUGGACUCCAUGAAUUGUAUGAUUAUGAGUGAUUGUGUCUUGCUGCAUGUACGAUGAUGAUUGGAGAUGCAUGUAUGAAUCAAAGGAUGAAAAUGAUCUUGAUUGCCAUCACAUCACAUGCUAUGUUAAAAUUGAACUAUAAUUGAAGAUGUGAAUUGAGAUAAGUGAGAAGGCCGUCGGAGGUGUGAGCUGACGAUUCUCCGGGAGUGUCGAGAUGCCCGGUGGUAUACAGUACGUAAUUCCAGAGGAGGCCUGGUGGUAUGUCGAUACGUAAUUUCGGAGGGCAGGGGAAACCAUUUUCAUGGCAAGCCUCGGAGAUUCCCCGGGAGUGUCGGGAUGCCCGGUGGUAUACGAUACGUAAUUCCAGGGGAGGCUUGGUGGUAUGCCGGUACAUAAUUUCGGAAGCUCGGCAGGUAUUGUGCUGAGGGAUACCUCGCGAUGCUAGAUGGGAUGCGAGAUGCCUGACUAGAAGGGUACAGCCGGUUGCCCGGCAGGUAUUGUGCCGGAGGGUCCUCAUGAUGCCAGUUGGGGUACAAGAUGCCCGGAGCGUGGGGGUGUCGAAUGCCCGGCGGGAAUUGUGCCGGAGGGUUCUCACAAUGCCAGGAUUGGGCACGAGUGAUGAAUAUGGGAUGCAAACAUUGGUCCCGGGAAAGAGAAAUGUGGUGGUCCAAUAUGAAAAGAUGAAAUUGAGAAAUUGAAAUUGAAAUAUGCAUGAUGAUAUAAGCAUGACAUGAUGAUAAGUGCAUGGAUGCAUGGUAACAAUGAUGGCACAUGUGAAAUGAUGAUGAUAUGUGCAUGGAUGCAUGGUAAUGAUGAUGGCACAUGUGAAAUGAUGAUGAUAUGUGCAUGGAUGCAUGGUAAUGAUGAUGGCACAUGUGAAAUGAUGAUGAUAUCUGCAUCUAUGCAUGGUAAUGAUGAUGGCACAUGUGAUAUGAUGAUGAUAUGUGCAUGGAUGCAUGGUAAUGAUGAUGGCACAUGUAAUAUGAUGAUGAUAUGUGCAUGGAUGCAUGGUAAUGAUGAUGGCACAUGUGAUAUGAUGAUGAUAUAUGCAUGGAUGCAUGGUAAUGAUGAUGGCACAUGUGAUAUAAUGAUGAUGAGUGCAUGGAUGCAUGGUAAUGAUGAUGGUACAUGUGACAUGAUGAUGGUAAGUAUAUGACAUGAUGGUACUGACUAUAUGAUGAUGUAUGUACACGAGGUAUGAUGACAUGUGCAUGAUAUCAAGGUAAAUUGUGCAUGGAUGCUUUAAUGACAUGUAAUGCUAUGAUUGUGAUGAUUGUGUGACAUGAUGCAUUGAGUGGAUUAUUGGUCCUUUACCUACUGAGUGGCUAUACUCACUCCUUCGAGGACCAACAUUUUAGAUUAGUAGAUGGAUUGAGCGAUUGGAUAUGACCACGAGGAGAAGGAUAGCAAAUGAGGGAACUUUUGGACGCCGACACUGGUUAAUGGACCUUAAGUAUACAAUUGUGGGAGGAGAUGUCGGUCAUCUUUUGACAUAUAGCCGAGUAUAGAAGACUGCGGCAUUUUGAUGUACCGAUGAAUGAUGUCCAUAUGGUUUAAGUAAAUAAAAGUGUUCGGCUUUAAUUUUUAUAAGAUGUUUAGUUGGUGUGCAUUGUUUUCUGAAUAUAGGGAAGGGAGUUGUUGGAUGUGCUUCCGUAUAUAAAUUGCGCAAGAGACCGAUCUAAAAGAUGUCAACCCCCAGAUUGUAUGGAUCCGCUGCGAUUGAAAUUGUAUCAGAGUGACAUGUUAUUAGGAAAAGUGAAUGGUAAGCGAACUGUGGUGACCCUAAUCGGAUCGGGGGCCGUCAAGUGGUGCCACAGAGAUCAUUUGGGCUUAGGAGGAUAGGGUUCAUGCAAUUAAAAAGCCAUUUUGUUUCUGCAAAAUUUGGCUCCGAUGGCAAUAAGGAACAUCCUUCACUCAUCUGCCAAGCUCAAUAUGAUCUUUUCUAUUUUCUUAUUUUUACAAUUGUUUAAGUUGAAAUAGCUCAUCUUUUUUCAUAUUAUCUAAUUUUUCUCAUUGUCUGUGUUUAUAUUUUGAUUUUUUGUAUUUAUACAUUGCUUUUUCAAAUAUGCAUGUGGGCAGAUAAUUCUCUUUGCAUUAUUCAAGGAAUCUAUUAAGAAAAAUAAUCAAAUUGCAACUCUUAGGCAUUUAAACAAAUCGUGGAUGAUGGAGCCGAAGAUCCAUCACAUCUUGUCAAAAAGUUGAGGAUUGAAUUAUAUUUACCUUAUUCUCUACCAAGUCUGAACUAUAAUCAUGAGAGUUUGGUAGUGUCUCUUGUACUUUUAUAAGCCAUGUUUUUUUUUUCCUUGUAUUGCUAUCUUUUGACUAGUUUUUAGUUAAAUCGCAUCUUUUACAAAUGGCAGGUACUUAAAAAUAUGAGACCCUAUCAACGAUGAGCAUUUUAUGUCACAUGAUUUGAUGAUGGCAUUUAGUUCUCUUGCUCUAUACUUUCGUUUUCUAUGGCAUCAUUGUUAAAGUUAUUAUUUCCAAGAAGGCUACAAUGCAUAAUUUCCCCAGUCCAAGAUUGAACCAUGUAUGCAAAAGUGGGGUCCAUAUGUACUAUUUUGUCUUAUAGAGCUCUAUCGUUGGAGAAUAUCUUUGCAUGUUGCUUAGGCCCAGAAGAAGCAACUAUUUAACUUGACAUUAAAAGUCAAGAUAAUACAUGAAAAGUCAAUACUUAUUUUCAACAUAUGGUAUUAAUAAGAAGAACAUUAUUCAAAAUUGCUAUUAAUAUAUAAUCUCUACAUUGGCAUGUCGUUGAGAUCACUGAUCUCUUUAAUUCUUAAUGGGACAUCACAAGGUUUAUUUUCUUCUAUCAUCCUAAUGGUGCAGUAGAGACACGACGUAGGAGGAUUCUGCAGUAGAUGAUUUGCAUCUCAUGUAUUAAAAAGGGAUUGAAAGAAGUAAAAUAUAUAUACACACACAUACACAAUGUACAGGCACAAUUGACCAAGAAAAAAGAGUUCAAAGACUUACUGACAAUUUUCGCAAAAAAAUCAAUUACUACUAUGCCUAAAUUUCUUAUUAAUUAUCAAAUCCUGCUCCAAAUCUAGUUUGAGCCAUCAUCUAUUUUUUUGGAAAAUGCAAUGAAUGAAAACCGUUUCUUUUAUUUCACAUGUUGCCCUAUUAAUUCGUGCAUGAUGCGUUGAGUCUACAAACUACCUCUACUUUGUGGGCCAAUGCCAACACAUGUCCCUUCGAGCUCCAUUGAUGUACCAUCAAGUUCCUAUUAGUCUUCACCGAAGAAGAUGUGUUUGUUCGAUACUCCUCAAAAGGUGCGACCAUCCAAGGGCAUCGAGUCCAUUCAAAAGAUCAAUAAUAUGAUUCUAGUGGAUGCAUUAGGACAGACUAUUGAAGUGCGUGAAAUGGAACAGCUCGUCUAUCAAUUUGAAAGAGGAAAUGACGAAAGUUUUGAUAGCUCAAUGAAUACUUCAAGUGAAUAGAAACACCUCACUACCUCACUGUGGGUGCUGUGUAAGGCAUCUUGUCUUGCACAAUGCCUCAUAGGCGUGCAUUAUUGAGUCCACUUUGCAUUAUUGNNNNNNNNNNNNNNNNNNNNNNNNNNNNNNNNNNNNNNNNNNNNNNNNNNNNNNNNNNNNNNNNNNNNNNNNNNNNNNNNNNNNNNNNNNNNNNNNNNNNUGAAUCUAGCCUUCGAAAAUAAUAGAUAUAAAUACAUUAAAAUCAUAUCAAUAAGUAAUUUUUGAAAGAGCAAGAAUAGAGAGGUAUUAAAAAUAUGGCAAUUUUAUGAUAAUUAUUUCACAUUCUUAUUUAAUAAUUAUGAUGGAAAUUAGAUAACUUCAAAUUUAUUUUGUGAAUUGAGGUUUUUUUUUUUUUUUUUUUUUUUCACUUAAAGGGAUGCCUAGAGGGGCUUACUUUCAACAAAUCUGCAAAGAUAAUACAUGAAAAGUCAAGACUUACUAAUGGUUAAUAUUAGUUAGACAUAAGGAUCUAAGUUAGCCAAAGUCUAAUGUGUCAAUAAGGAGAACAUUAUCAAAAACUGCUAAUCGAUAUAUAAUCUCUAUAAUGGAAAAUCAUCAAGAUCACUCAUCUUUUGAACUCUAAAAGGUACAUUACAUACCUCAUGCAACAAGGGUUAACUGAAGUGAAGAGAGAAGUUUGUUCAUUUGGGCCUCAUCAAGAGAGUUGUCAGUUUUAGCUUAAUAAUUGGCAACUCUUUUGCUUAAUGAAUCAUUGCCUCAAGAGGGGUGAAGUAGGGAAGUAAUGUUUGUUGAUUGUAAAAGGAAAGAGGCCAGACAAGUGAGGGCACCUGGUCAAUUCGUGCAUUUACGAAUACCUAGAUGUUUGUCCAAUAGCGAUGGACCAAAGGACGUAGAGGUAGACAUCGGCAAUGGGGACUAGUUGAGGAAAGGAAUAGCAAAAUGCAGAAAUCCAUCUCAGCUUUUACAACCACCCUCUAUUACUCUCUCUCCCUCUCCCUCUCCCACAACUUACCCUAAUUAAAGCAAUCUUUCAUAUAUUUGGAUGGUUGUCCACGAGCAGUGGAAGAAAGGAGGUGGAGACUUGGACAUUAGUGAUGGGAAUUGAUCAAGGAACAGUAAAAUGUAAAAUAAAAUAAAAAAUCAUCCAUUAUGUAUAUAUACUUACAUUUUAUGAGUCAUCUAUAUCUAUCACUGGGUUGUUUAUAAGACAUAUAUUGUUCGUCUUGAUGGAGGCAACCGACAUAUAGAGGCCCUUUUGUAUUGAUUUUUUUUCUUUUGGCCAGUGAUGACAUGCGGGCAAUCUACUUACCACUCAACUUCCCAAGUGGAUCUCCAUCCAUACCCUAUCUCCUCUUUCUUCCUUGGGUUUUUGAGUCAUUCUUGAAUUUCUAAAUCGUCGGAUAGCUAGUAUUAGAACUCAGCCGUUUAUUGCAAAAUGUUGUUGUUUUUCAACACUCCCAUCCUUCAAAAAAAUUAAAAGUGAAAGAAAAAGUAAGGUUAUAAAUUAUCAAAAGCCACAUAACUUCAUUUAUCAAUAAGUGUAUAUUUUUGUAAAAUUUUAAAAUCGAUUUGUGAUAAUUGCAAUACUUGAAAAAUAAAUCUUAAAAAUAAAAUACCCAAAAUAAAUCCAAGCAUUUGAAAGAAAAGGGGAAAACUCCAAUCGAAAUGACAGAGCACAAAACAAUGUAAGUGGUGACUCGAAUUGUUUCCCAUAUUAAUGUUGUCCCAUAAAAAGUAGCAUUAUUCAAAAAAAUAAACUGGUUUAGAAUGUUUAUUUAGAAGUUUUGAUCUAAAAUGUUAUUGGCGACUUCAAUUGUUUCCCACAUUAAUUGUGUCCUGUAAAGAGUAGUAUUAUUCCAAAAAGUAAACCAGUUUAAAAUGUUUAAUUUACUUAGAAUUUUUGCUCUAACAGUUCUAUAUGAAGUUACGUCUAAUAUAACAAUUACAAUUGACAUUCUAAUAUAACAAUUUGCUUAGUUAUAAUGUUACUUCUAUGACAAAAAAAAAAAAAAACCCAAACUGAUAUACUUAUGAUAAAUUUACCCCAAAUGAAAAACUCCAAACUAAUACACAUGUGAUAAAUUUACCCUCAAUUAAUUUAAGUUAAAUUUUACCCUCAAAUUAUUAAAUGAUAUAUGAUAGUUGACAUGUGUACCAAUUUAGAUUUUUACCUUAUGUCUAUCACAUUUGUACUAGUUUUGUUUUUAGCCUCUUUUUAUCACAUGUGUACCAGUUUGUCACUUUUUGUGAUAUUAAUCCAAUUUCACGGAAACUAUGGGAGAAUAAUUUGGUCACAAAUGUACCAAUUUAGAGUUUUUGAGGUUCAAAAAGUUAGUUUUUGAUAAAUUUAUCACAAAUCUAUCAAUUUAGGGUCGUUGAUGGUCAAAAGAAAUAUUAUCAAUUUUGGGUUUUUCUUGAUAUUAACCUUUUUUAAUAUGAUUUCCUUGACUUGUGCAAGGAGCGGAUUUAGGAUUAGUACCUUAUUGGUGUUUGUCCAUUGAUAGUGAAGGAAAGGAUGAAAGGAUGGAUCAAAACUACCACAUUAGCGGUGGGAAAGGAGGAAAGAAUGGAUAACUCAUCAAUGUUUGUCCAUUAGUGGUGGAGGAAAGAAAGGAGACAAGGACAUCGGUGACGGUGAGGGUGAGAGUGCAUUUAGUAACCAUUAUAUUCCUCAACACAAUUUAUGCUUAAAAAAAAAAUAUAUAUAUAUAUAUAUAUAUAUAUAUAUAUUUUCAAUUCUAUUCCCUUGACAAAUUUCUAAGCAUUCAAAUGUAUUUAGUAACUGUAUAAAAUUUCUAUUCCCGAAGUAGAAAUACGUUUAGUACAAUCCUUAAUUUGUUUUCUUUUUCUUAGAAUUUUUUUAAAUUUUUAAUAAUUUUUUUCCUUUUCUUGUUUAUUCUUUCUCUAGCUUGUUGCCAGCUACAGGAAUAAGAAGAAAAAGACAAAAAAAUAAUUACUCGAUUCUUGAGUCAUUCUUAGGAACAAAUAAAUAACUUUUUGCUACUUCUUGAUUUUGUUCUAGAUCUACUUUAUGAAAUAAUUCUAUUAUCAGUAACAAAAACAUUACCAAACAGGACCUAAAGGAACAACGAUGUAGAAAAUCAUACAUUUCUAUGCUCAAAGGAUUGACCAGUGUUUAGUUAAGGCCUAACUAUAGCUAGGUUAACGAGCUCCAUGGUCUGUGCCCAUCUCCUCUUUUUUCCUCGUGGUUUGAGUCUUUGCUACAAAAUCAUUCAUUUAUAUGUCCAUUAAUUGGUGUUUACGUUUUAAAAUGUUCAUUCAAUAGUCAUGACUUUUAAUCAAUCACUUAAGUAUCAUAAAUUUUUUAGAAAUUUUAAUUUAAAUGUAAAAAAUCUGACGUGACAUAAUAUUUUGAAUGAACGCUUUGAAAUAUUUGUGACAUUUAAAUUAGUACCGCACAAUUAUUAUAACAUGUGCUAUCCUUUUCUCGAGAUCUUUAGUAGCAAAAUAUGCAAGGAAUCAUGAGAGAUUUAUUGAUAGGUCUAGCAAGCCCUCUGUAGCAUGCAACCACUAAGACUAAUUAUCAGCUUUUCCAGCAAUAAGUUGCUACGUUUUAAUGCUACCCUUCAUCCUUCUUUGCACCCAAAUCUCUUCGCCUUCUUCUUCUUUCAACGUUCUUGGUCUGUUUCAAUCUUUCUUUCUCUAAAGAACAAUUAGAGAAAAUUCCGAUCGAUGUUGUUGUUGAGAAUAACUUGAAAAAUUAUAUUGAAUUCAUAUCAAGAAGUAGUUUUUAAAAGAGCAAGAACAAGGAGAAAUUAACAAAAUGCCUACCAUAUCAUCAUAUGACAAUUUUAUGAUAAUUAUUUAACUUUAGGAUUGGCGCAAUUUAUGAUUCUAUAAUGACACCGAAUGCCAAAUACAAUUACUCUCUUUAACAUCAAUCCCUCAUCCAUCUUUACACUGGCCUGCAAUCUGUAGUGACCUCCAAUUCGGUCGCCACCCUUACCUCACAGCUGACGUCAAGGUUGAGGCCCACCAUAUUAUCAAAAUAUACUUAUUCCUUAUAAUAAAAAAUUGCGCUUGCUUAACACUAGGAUUAGUGCAGUUGGGCGAGGCGUUGUGGGAUUUCUAGCUCAGGGAUUUGAGGUCGUUUGAAUCUACCUGCAAACUGUUCAGGAUUGAGCUACCUAUACAAGCCAAAAACAUGAACUUAAACUGUUCAUGAAUCUUGCAAGAUAACUUAUGGGCUUUUAGAUAAACUGGCUAUCAUGUCCGUGCCCUUAUAAAAGAAUUGCUUUAAUAUAGGAUGAUUCUAACUUUACAUGAUAAAUUUUUAUAUGCACCUUGUUAUUAUGCAAAUUAUCCUUAAGAACUUAAUUACAAGGAAAACGUUCCUUAUGACUUUAAUUCGUCAUAAAAAAAUUUUCUUUAGAAAUUUGUCAUGACAUUUUCAAAUAGUCAUAAUAGAAUACUGAUUUAGGAGCAAUUUCACAGUCUAAUAUAAUAAUUAUGGUUGGCAUAGAAAUUAAAUAACCUGAGCUUUUUUUUUUUCACUUGAAGGGACGCUUUGAGUGGCUUUCUCUCAACCGAUACGGGAAAGAUAGUACAUGACAGGUUAAGAUUUAUUUUCAAUUUAUGAUAAAUAUUAAUUAGAUAUAAGGGUCUAAGUCAACCCAAAUCUAAUUCGUCAAUAAGAGAACAUUAUCAAAAAUUGUUAGUCAACAUAUUAUAUUUGGAUUGGCAAAUCAUGGAGACCAUUCCCCUUAAACCCUUGAUAGGACAUCUCAUAUCCUAGCACAACAAGGGUAAUUUGAGGUGAAGCAAAGCUUGUUCAUUUGGGCCUCAUCAAUGGAGCUCUCAGUUUUAGCUUAAUAAGUGACAACUCUUUUGCUUAAUUGAUCAUUUCCUCGGGAGGGAUGAAGUGGGAAAACAAGGUUUCUCAGAGGUAAAAGGAAAGAAGGAAGACAAGUGAGGGCACCGGUCAGUUGCCAUACAUUUACGUACACUUCGAUCUUUGUCCAGUAGUGGUGGAAGAAAUGACGUGGAGAUAGGCAUAAGUGAUGGUGACCGGUCCAGCAAAGGAAUAGUAAAAUGCAGAAAAUCCAUCCACUUCUAGAAGAGGGACCUGUCAUGUUGAAGUCUGUAACUUUCCUUGUCAAUAAUUGUGUAAUUUUGAAAAUUUGCAAUAUUUGGAAAAUAAAUGUUUGAAGAAAAAGACUCAAAACAGACCCAAGUAUAAAGAGAAGAGUUAAUAACUUGAAAAACCUCAAAUUGGUAUACCUGUGAUAAAUUUACUUCAAACUAUUUUUUUUUAUCAUCAAAAACCCAAAAUUGGUAUACUUUUGACAAAUUUACCACAAACUAAUAUACUUGUAACAAAUUUACCUUAUGUUAAUUUUCGUUAAAUUUUACUAUCAAAUUAUUAAGUUAAAUAACACGUGAUAAUAUAUCAAAUUGGGAUUUUAUGCUUUGUUUGUCACAGUUUACAAUUUUUUGUGAUUUUUUAUUGUAUUAAUCCAAUUUAACGGAUGAUAUAUUUAUCACAAAUUUACCAGCUUGGGGUUUUUUGUGGUCGAAUAAAUUAGUUUGAGGUACAUUUGUCAUAAAUGUACCAGUUUAUGAUUUUUUUAUGGUCAGUCGAGGUAAAUUUAUCACAGGUAUACUGGUUUGGGGUUUUUUAUAGUCAAAAAAAUAAUUUUGGGGUAAAUUUGUCACAAAUGUACCAGUUUAGGGUUUUUUAGGGUAUUAAUACUAAAGAGAAUGUGGAAACUCCAAUUGGAAUAAGAGACCACGUAACAAUAUUUGUAGUGACUUGAAAUGUUUCCCAUAUUGUUUUCCUGUAAAGAGUAGCAGUAAUCAACAAAAUAAUCUUAAUAAAGAAUGACAAAAGUAUAAUUUACUUACAAGUUUUGAUCUAACAAUUUUAAUUGAAGUUACGUCCAAUGUAACAAUUGCAAUUGACAUUCUAAUCUAACAACUUGCUUAAUUAUAAUGUUACUCCUAUAUUUUAGAUAUGAUUUCAUUGACCUGCGCAAGGAGCGGGUUUAGGACUAAUACCAAUAAGUGUCUGUCCAAUUAAUGAUGGAAGAGCAUUAGAACAAAUACGUUAGUGUUGGAAAAGGAUGAAAGGACCAUUUGCGGUGGCAAAGGAUGAAAGGAUGGACGACUCAUCAAUGUCUACCAUCAGUGGUAGGGGAAAGGAUAGGAGUGGUGAUGGUAAUUGGUCCACCAAAGGAACGUAGAAAAUUAGCCAUUUCUAUGCCCAAUGAAUUGACUGGUGUUUAGUUAAGGCCUAAACUAAGGUUAGGUUAACGAGCUUCAUAGUUUAUAUCCAUCUUCUCUUUUUUCCUUGAGGUUUAGGUCUUUGCUAUAAAAUUCAUCCAUUUCUAUGUCCAUCUAUUGGUGUUUACAUUUAAUUAAUCACUAUCCGUCAUAAAAUUUCAAGUAGUCAUAAUAAAUAAAAGGAUUUAUGAGUAACUUGACAUUAUAAUCCAACAAUUAUGGUUGGCAAAAAAAGAUUAAACAACUUCAAUUUUUCCUUAUGAAUCGAGUUUUUUUUUUUUUGGCUCUUUCACUUGAAGGGAUGGCGAUGAGGUGCUUUCUAUUAGCAAUUUAGUGAAAAUUUGAAGGACAAUACACCAAAAGUCAAGACUUUUUUUUUUAUAACUGAUGGUCCAUAUUAAUUGGACAGAAGGGUCUAAGUUGGGCCAAGUCAAAUAUGUCAAUAAGUAGGAUAUUAUCAAUAACUGCUAUUUAAUAUGUAAAUCAAUAACACAUCCAUUUUACAUUUUAGAGAUAUUUCGAUUUAUGUACAACUUUGAAAACUAAAUUCAAUUUUUUACCAUUUACUUAGCUUAAUUAUAAUAUCAACUUCUAUAUUUUUUAUAUGCUUUCACAACCCACAUAAGGAAUGGGUUUUGAGGACUAGUACCUAAUUCUUUUUUGCACCCAAAACCCUUCCCCUUCUUCGUCUCUUGUCAUUCUUGCUCUGUUGUGCUCCUUCAUCAUUCUCUUUACGUCUCUCUGUUUUGUCCCUUUCUUUCUCGAAAAGAGAAUUAAAAAAAAAAAUGUUAGAUCAAUAGUGCUGCCUUUCUUUCUCGAAAAGAGAAUUAAAAAAAAAUGUUAGAUCAAUACUGUUGUUAAGAAAAAUUGGAAAAAUCAUAUUAAACUCGUAUCAAUAAGUAAAUCGUUGAUGCAAAGAUCUAAGUUAUGAUUCAAGAACAGAGAGCCAUUAGAAAAAUUCCAACUAUAUCAUCAUAUGUCAAUUUUUAUAAUCUUCUACUUGGGAUAUGAGUAUAUAUACCUCAAAUAAUCCACCUCUCUGGGAACUCCAUCAAUUUUACUUUUAACUCCUUUUCUUUAAAGUGGAAGUCAUGAUGGCUUUUUCUUGGAUUGCGAUAAACUUUAAUGUUAAAUAUUUUGGAUGCUGACAAAUAAUCAAUGAUGAUAUUGACAUGCUUUUCUAAUCUUUCAUUGAUGCAUAAUCAACAUUAUCAGUAAAUACCUAUUUAAAGUGAAAGUCAUGAUAGGGUUUUCUUGCACUGAGGGAUGAAAUUCACCAAGACUUAAAAAAAGAAAAAAGAAAAAAAGAAGAGGAUUCCUCUAGUGGGCCUUCCAUUCCACCAAAACCUUCGAAAAAUGGUUAGGAAGAUCUUCUAAAGUUGCUGUGAUGAUUGAUGUACAAACAUGCAUGUUGGGUGGGGGCUAUUUACGCGCUCAAUUUAGCUUAAAUUACAUCCUUCUAAGUAAACUCAAUCGUUAAUAGAACGGACUUUUAUUUCAAAAGAGAAUAAUAAAUCUGCCCUUUUCAUUUUCUCUCUCAUCUAUUGUCUCGUUUAUUUUCUUAUUUACUAUAGACAUUUGAUAAGAGAUUUUGGUUUGAAUCUUAUCACCUACUCUUUUGAUUCCACAAAUUCGUUUAUGUAAGAAUUUAUCUGAAAAACGUCUUCAGCCUUUGAAUCAUAGGAAAAAAAGAGGCUGAUUUGUUUAAAAGAAGAUUGAACCAUAAGCAUGUUCUGAAAUAUUAAAUUACAUUUAUGCUUUCAUCAAGCUUUAGCUAUAAUUUAUUCAAAAUAUCAUGAUCAAACGUCCAAUUUUUUUUUUUUUUCUAGAAGAGAUCGUUUCAACAAGUUAAUUUGGUAGUAAAGUUUAUUUAGCUGAGUCCAUAUGUCAGUGAACUAAGAAAUGAUUCUCUUUAUACUGAUAUUGUUUUUGACACAUUAUAAGUUAUUUUUUUUGUAGCUAAUUCGUUAUCCUGCACUAAUAAUGCUAGAAAGUUUGGGAGAUCACUGGGUAAGAGUUUCAUUUUGUGCAUAUUAAUUCCUUUUGUUUCGCUGCAUCUCUAUAGUUAUAUUAAGAGUAAUAGUAGUUGCUAAACAGAAGAAAGAAAUACGGAAGCCCGUCCGUAAAUUCAACUUGUUGACUAUCCAGAAUCUUUUGGCAUUAUGAAGCGCAUAAAAAAUUGGUUUGAUUUUCACCAAAAAAAAUAAUAAUUUGACGGCCAACUGUGUGAAGUUACAAGUCACGUGUUCUCUCUUUGUCAAACAGUACAGCGUGGUAAGCGUUAGAACUCCAUGUCACGUGGGUACUGACACACCCUGUAAACUACAUAUCCCGAGGGUCGAAUCUCCUGUUCCCUACUUUAACAGGUGAUAAUCAUCUCUCCUUUCUCCAUUCAUCACCCUUUUUCUGUGCUCAAAUCUCUUGGCUCUGUUCGUCUCUUGCUCUGUUUCGCUCUUUCUUCUCCUCGGCUAAACCAUUCUUCUUCCUCCUCCUCUUUAGUUUCUGCUGCUCCUUUUUAUUACUCUCCCUCUCCGUCUCACUUUUUUGUCGCUCUUUCUUUCUCGGAAAAAAAAAUCAAAGAAAAACGUCGGCAGAUUCUGUCGUUGGUAUUGGAUGGGAUGUCUUGAAGCGCUAUGUAAUUGUUCCCAUCGAACGUGGAUUCGGAUACGUGAUCUCCUCCAAGAGAUUCGCCAACCGUCUUCGGGGAGAAGUCCAGAAUCUGAAGAACGAGGUUCAGAGGGUCGAGGUUCUUACGGAACAGGCUAGAAGCAAUUUUCGGAAAUUCAACCAUGUCUUCACGGCGUGGGAGGCAAAUGCUGGCAAGGCCUUGGAGGAGGCGCGAGAGCUGUUGGACGAGUUCGAAAAGGCGACCAAGACUUGCUGCUACGGGACUCUUCCUGACCCGAGAUCUCGCUACCAGUUCAGCAGGAAGGCUGAGGGCAAUAUCGAGGUCAUUAAUCAACUCACUAAAAAAUGCAACAGAUUCAACGGACUGGACGACAUCUCCUUCAUCGAUCCUGCUUUGGGGAAUGUCGCUGCCUCGAAUCCGGCCAGGAGAGAAGGCAAAGAUGUUGUUCAGUCGACCACUGCAACAGGUUCUGCUUCUUUUGUGUCAACGUCGAUGAAUCUUAGGGACGGUGGCGUCUUUGAAUCCAGAGCUUGAUGAUACAGAACAUCAUGGACGCUCUUGCUGAUAACGGCAAUAGCGUGGUCGGGAUUUACGGGAUGGGUGGGGUCGUCAAGUCCACCCUUUUGGCUGAUACCGAAAAAAUAAUAAGGGAAGAGAAGUCCUUCGAUCUGGUUGCUCACGCCAACGUGUCCGAACAUCAAGACAUCAAGAGGAUUCAAGAAGAGAUUGCACACAAGUUGGGCCUAAGUGACCUAAAGAAUGAAGAGUAUGUCAGCGUGCGAGCGGAGCUUCUUCACGGGAGGUUGAAAGUCGAGGAGAGGAACAAAAAGACGGUCCUCAUAAUACUAGACAACCUUUGGAAGGGGCUCGACUUGAAAUCAGUCGGCAUUCCUCGUGGAUCUGACAACAAAGUCACGGGAUGCAAGUUGUUGACGUCGAGAGAUUGCGAUGUUUUACGAAGGGAUAUGGACUGUGACAAGGACUUCCACCUUGGUGGGUUGAAGGAGGAAGAGGCAAAAAGAUUGUUUGAGAGGAUAGUUGGAGACAAAGCUCAUGAUGAUAAGUUCAAACCUUGGGUGGAAGUAGCACUCGACAAAUGUGCAGGUGUGGCUUUCUUAAUCAUUGCAAUGGCAAAGCGUUUUAAAGAUGUCGGUUUAUCUGAAUGGAAGGACACUUUGAAAAAAGUCGAGAAGUUUAAAGAUAACAAAAUCAAUGACUUGACAAAACAGAUGUUGAAAUGGAGUUAUGAUAGAUUAGAAGAGGAUGAGAAGUCAUUAUUACAACUUUGUGUUGUUUAUGGUAUCUCCACGCCUUCUCUUGAAAAUUUGGUGAGGUAUGGCGUCGGUUUGGGAUUAUUUGAAGAAGUUAGCAGCAUGGAAGACGCUAGAGAUAGGUUGAGCUCAGAGAUUCGAACUCUUCAAGCCUUCUCCCUCUUGUUAGAUAGUGAAGAUGUGGAUGGUUUCAAGAUACAUGACUUGGUUUGUGAGUUUGUUGCCUUUGUUGCAUCAAAAGAUCACCCUCUUCUCGUGUUGAAAGAUAAAGAUAAGUCGAUAACAAAGUUGCUGAAGGACAAGCUUAAAAGUUGUAGAGCGGUAUGAUUUCUGCACAUUGACAUGAAGGAGUUUCCUAAAGAAUUAGAUUGCCCCGAAUUACGCAUCUUUUUGCUUUUCACCAAUGAUGAAUCUUUUGAGGUUCCAGAUUCAUAUUUCAACUCUAUGGAGAAACUCAUGGUCUUAACUCUUACUAGCAUAUGUCUCGUUCAUUUGCCAAAGCCAUUUAAGUUCUUAGAGAACUUACAUACUCUAUGUCUUAAGUACUGUUCACUAGAGGAUGUGGCCAUUCUUGGCAAGCUAAAAGGAUUACAAAUUCUUAGCAUUGUGGACUCUGAAAUUCAACGAUUGCCGAAAGAAAUUGGGCAACUAACACAGUUGAGGUUGUUGGACUUGAACUAUUGUUCACAUCUUGAGAUGAUUGAACUGGGUGUGCUUGGAAGAUUGAUCAAAUUGGAGGAGUUGUAUAUGAAGAAUAGUUUUAAUCAAUGGAAUCCCGUGGAGCAAACUCAACCAACUAAUGCCAGUCUGAUUGAGUUGAAUCACUUGAAGAAUCUUUACACUCUACAUGUCUCCAUUCCUAAUCCAAGUGCGCUCCUAGAGGACCUAAAUGUCGAGAAAUUUUCCAAGUUCAAUAUUAAUAUAGGUAACGUGCAGCGCUGGCCAAGUGAAAAAGGAUCGAGCACAUUAAACCUCAAGUUGGAUCCAUUAAGCGAUGUUCUUCGGAAAAGAUGCAUACAAAGUAUCUUAGACAAAAGUGAUGAUUUGUUUUUGGACGGGUUGAGCAAAAUUGAGCAAAGUAUUUGUGCGUUAUCUCAAAAGGAUUUUCUAGAAUUAAAGCAUUUACAGGUAAAAAAUAGUCCCUCCGUCCAUGACAUCCUCCAAUUGCCAUCCCACACAAAGUUCAAGAUGUUGGAGUCGUUAAUUCUUAAGAAUCUCAUCAACUUAGAGAAGAUAUCCAAAAACAAUAUCACCUCGAAGUUCUUUAGUGCAUUAAAAGUACUACGAGUUGAAAAUUGCGACAAGAUGGAAGUUCUAUUUCCUCUUUCAGUGGUGAGAGAACUUUCAAAGAUAGAAAUGAUUGAAGUUGUCAGUUGCAAAUUAAUGCGCAGGAUUAUAGAAACUGAUGAUUAUGGCAAAGUAGAGUUGUGUAAUUUGCAUGUAUUGCAGUUUCAUAACUUGCCAAAUAUCAAUAACUUUUUUGCCUUUGGAAGUAGUACAUCAGGCGACCAGGUUAGCACUGAAAUUGCAUUCUUCAAUGGGCAGCGGGUAACUUUCUAUCAAAAGAGCUAGUGUGUUUGCAUACAACUUAUCUUUUUCCCAUGUUUUGAGCUUCCAUGAACAAAGCUCGCUUUCAAAGAUAAUGAAGCCAGAUCAGGGAAAUUUUGCCAAAAGCUUUUCUGACUUUGCCUUUUUUUUUUUUUUUUAACAUCAUAAUCUUGUGUAUUAGAUCAUUUUUGCAUCCUUUACACCAAGUUUAAAGAAGAUGACAAAUUUUCAAGUUCAAAAAGGGGAACAAUUACAAAAUUGAUAAAUUAUAUUGUCACAGCAACAAUUAGUGGCAUUCAAUUGAAAGUGAGGGUGAUUAUUUGUAAUAUAUUAAAUUCUAGACUAGUAAGUGGAAAUGUAAUCAACACUUUAGCUAGCUUUAGUGAUAACAUUUUAUAGGAGAUCCUUUUGGCAUAAUAUCUACUCCUAGUUUGAAGAAGAUGACAAAUCAUGCAAGCUCAAAAAUAGAAGCAAUUAUAGGUGAAAAAUCCUUUGUUAUUUAUUUUUAUCAAUGAAAAUGAUAUUAGGCCGCUGUAGAUAUAUUUUAUGGUCCUAUCUACACUUCUAUGGAUAGUAAUUUACUAACAUGAAAGAAAACUAGUAAACCAAGGAUAAACAAUGUCCUCAAUCAAGGAAGCUCAAGGCUAUAUUUUAUAUGGGGGGAAAUCGUUGCAGGUAAAGGGUUUUAUUUGACUAGAUAAGAUUGCUCUUUCUUGGGCCCAUGCCAUACGUUAGUUCCCCUGUUGGGAGAUAUAAGUGGCGGUCCCACAAGAUUGUGAUGUCAGAGUGACUUUUCUUCAGCCCAUGCUUUGAGCUUCCAUGGAGAGAGCUUGCCUUGAAAAAAGUAGUGAACUAGAUCGGGAAAUUUUGUGAAGAGCCUUUGUGGCUUUGCCUUUUUUUUCGUAGUGUUUGCGGCUUUUAACUUUCUAGGAUUCCAAAUUUUCAUUAAAGAGUUAAUGUUGCUUUAGUACCUUUUAUUAUUAUUAUUAUUAUUUUUGUGUAAAAUCUAGAGAUGCAAAGAUCCAUGGGUUUAUAAUCAAAUGUUUCUUCAAAUUGUAAUAAAUCUCCAGUAGUCUAAAUUGGCUUGUUGGAGAUGACAAUAGAAUAAUGAACAAAAUGCAAAAAAGUUAAACUUGUUGUAUAGGUGGGAGCAAUGUUAUGGCAAGAUAGAUGGGAGAUUGAGAGUAACUUGGCAGAUGAAAGCUUUCCUAGAGUUGUAGCAAUGAACUUUUAGAAAAAACUAGUUACUCUUUACAAAAAAAAAAAAAAAAAAAGUAAAUAAAGCUUUCCACCGUCAUGGGGACUAAGGGUCUCUUCACUUUUUAGACAUGUUGUUUAAGGAAAUUAUGAAAACAAAGAAGAUUAAUUGGGAUAGGCUACAUACACAUCCAACUUGAAAGGAAUACUUGAGGUGAUUAAAAAAGGACAAGGAAAAAGAAAUCCAAAUAAUCUCAAGUUAUUUACUAUUUUUCAAGGAUAGUUUGGAUCUCAACCAUUGGUGAUGACUAGUGGCUCAAUUAUUAUGAUGUCCCGUGUCUACUCAAUUAUUAUGAUAUCCCAAUUGCUGACAUGUCUAAAUUUAUGUUGUUUUGCGGGUAAAUUAGUCCCUUUUGCCUGACCUAAAUGGAUGAGGAAUGAUGUCACGUUCAACUAUCAACUCCCUAUGUCCAUAAGUCAUAUUGAUAUACCAUUGUUCGCCCAAGGUUUAAUUUUUGAGUUGGACUCAUAACUAGAUGAUAUAUAUGGGAGGCCCAAUCUUGCCUUAGACUAAUGCAACAUAAGCUAUGUGUAUCUCCAUAUAAUCGAUAUAAUUUGACAAUUAGAAAAAUAUUUCAUGCAUAAAUUAAUUGUCAUUAGUAACCAAAAUGAGUAUGAAUUCUUAAAUAUUGCAAUUCCUAAUAUUGUUAGUAAAAUGCAAACAAAAUCCAAUCGUAAUAGCAUCCCUUGUUAUAUCGUAAUACAGGGGCUAUUCGGUACCGAACCAUUGAUGGAACAAAAGCAUAAGUGUUCAGAGUUGCUGACAUGUAUGAGUUGCAUCUUCUCACUUUUAAUUUCUCUAGAAAUAGUUUCCAUAAAGAUGGUUGAACAUCUCUUAUAGCACUUGCGCAAAGCAUGAAUGGGUAAUACAAUUGUCGAAUAGGAUCUCUAAAAGCCUUCUGAUAUUCACAAGAAACUUAAAACUCUCAACAACCUCACACGUAUGGCUUAGAUAUUGCACGCAUGUACAUUGAAAGCAAUUGAAAAACAAUCGAGAGGAAAGUGAGCUAUAAGGUUCAAGAAGCUGGAGAUGAAGGGCCUUUAAGACACUCACUUGACUUCAUUUGCACUUACACGAUAUCAUGUUUUUUUUUUUUUUUACUAGUCAAAGGAAGCUUUACUCUCUCUUAAGUGCACCAGCAAAGGGAAUCAAAGCCUUCUCUGUCGCCUAACUGAGCAAGACCUCUCGGGUCUUGGGCUUCAAAUAUCACCUCUAUUAGUUCUUACAUGAAUUACAAGACCAUUCUCAUGGAACUUUUAUCAAAGAAAUAAAAUACAUUUCGCAAAUCAGCCAUUUCAGUUGAGUCAUUUGAAUUGUCGAGCGCAUAGUGGAAGGAUGUUUUCGUUGAAAUGAAAUAUAGCAAUGUACGAGCAGGUUGACUUUGACUAAACUAAAAGCAAUAUAGGCCGUUCACCUAAAAUGUUGUUUAUGUAGCCAAGAUAGGCUGUACAAAUGGGCCCUCCCACGGGAUUAAUACGUCGACCUUCUUAGAUAUUUUUAAUCAUUAUAAUGAGAUAUUUAACACUGUUUCUAUAAUUUGACUCGAGUAUAUGUAUAUGAUUUGUUGUUCGCAUAUAACUGACCUUCCAGCAUUAACAGAAAAACAAUUUUAAAAGGAAAUUUCAAUCGAUUAAGUAUAUAUAGUGGUUUGAAGUGGGGAAUGAUGUGAGUAGGAUUUAUUCAUUUGACCCAAGCAAUUCAUUUUUCAAUCACUUUCUCUUAGCCUAACUAUAUAAUUGCUUUAGAGUGACCUAAUGUUGAUAUGAAGCAUUCGGUAUUAGAUAAAAUCAUAUCUCUUACUAUAGUGCACCAUUUGAUGGCUGAUCUAUUGCCUUUUUAAUCUCAAUCUCUCCAUCAUUUUCUUUCUAAUGGCUAAUAUUCUUCCUGAAGCGAUCCCUUAGUUGCAUUCUCUAAUGGUGAUUACCCGUUUGACUUGCCUUUUUUUUCUUUAAAUAAAUUCUUCCUCAUUAUUAAUGAAUUUACGAAAUGGUGCAAUUUCACUGAAGAAGUUCAUUUGUAUUGGAACUUAAAUGACCUUCUCUAAGUGAUUUAACAAUUGCUAGUAUAGUAGAUAUUUCAUUCUCGGGUUAGCCAAAAAGGUACAGAGGGAGAAAUUUUAUUUUAGUUUGGGAUCUAUGAAACGCUAAUGUCAUUAGCUGAUCGUACAUGAGUGUAUCCAAAUUACCAUUUUGCCUAUGCUUAACACAUUCUGCUUAGAAUCUUACUUAGCACUUUUUAUUUUGUCUCCAGUAUAUUCCAAUAGCCUUUCCGUUCUGGAGUCAUCCACAUUAGUAUGGAGAUUUUUUUUUUGUGCGACUUAAGAUAGAAUUACCAAUUCCAUAAAUUCGUAAUUUACGUCGUGGCACUCUUCUUUAUUUACAUCUUGGAAGUUCAUGGAUUCGUAAUUGAACUAAAUCACCAAUUCUGUGAGUAUUGCAGGUUGCAUUUCCUAACUUGGAGAAUUUAUAUAUCAAGGGCAUUGAUAACAUCAAGAUGAUAUGGCACGAACCAAUUCAAGCAGAUUCCUUCUCUAAGCUAAAAUUGAUUUCAGUUAGUGAAUGCAAAAAGCUUGUGAAUGUUGUACCUUCUUUCAUUCUAGGAUGGCUCUUGAGCCUGGAAACUUUGAAGGCAAAAGGAUGUGAUUCCCUUGAAGUUGUUUUUAAACUCCAGCCAUUAAAUCCUCUAGAUGGAAAGAGUGUUGCUUGUUCUCAAUUAAAAGAGCUGAAGUUAGAUGACUUACCAAUGCUAAAUUGUGUAUGGGAUAAGGAACUCUAUCGUCAUAUUAAAUUCAAGUGUCUACGUUCAGUUACCGUUCGGAGAUGCGCUAGGCUUACCUCUUUGUAAUCGACCUCAAUAGCCAGAGAUCUAAUCCAACUUGAGGAGUUGGAGAUCAAUCAAUGUAGCAUUGUGGAACUCAUCGAGAAGGAAGGACUAAGUGAGCUAUGCAUCAAUGUGGAAGCCAUAGAAGGCCCAAGUCAUGAGCGAAAAGUAGCAUCAUCCUUUCCAAGUUAUUUUCAGCAUAUGAAAACUCUAGAUGUGUCACAUUGUGAUGCGUUAUCAAAUAUGUUCACAUCGACAUUAGCUGAAAAUUUGGUGGGACUCACAAAAUUGAGGAUUAGAAAAUGUGAAAUAUUGAUAGAAGUCAUUAGUGAUGAGGGGGGAAAGGAGGGGCAUGUAGUGACUUUCAAUCAAUUGAAGUAUAUGGAACUUGAUGGGUUGGCUAGGUUGAGGUGUUUUAGCUCAAAUGGAUACACUUUGAUGUUCCCUUGGAAGAUAUCAUUGUGAAUAGAUGUCCCCAGAUGAAGUUCUUUCACAAGGGACAAAUAGAGGUGCCAAAGCUAAAGGGAGUAAAAGUAGGUUUGAAUGAAGGGUAUGAAGCGACAAAGUGCCAGUAUUUUUGGAAGGGAAACCUCAACACGACCAUCCAAAAUAUGUUGGAAGAAAUGGCACGCUUCAGUUGCUAAAUUCUAUGCAAUUUGAUUUUGUCUUAUCACCAAUAAAGUAAUUUUUUUUUUUUUGCUAACUAGAAUUUUAUGUUUAAUGAUGCAUUUACUAAUAGGCUACAUUUGCUGGGACUAAGUAUAUGCGGUUGUUUGAGUUCCCAGAGCUAAUUGGAAAAUGGCAUGGAAAACUUAAUCCCAUCACGUCAUCUUGGCAAUUAGAAUCAUUAGUGGUGGAUAAAUGUCCAUCAUUUAUUAAUGCUAUUCCAUCCAGUUUGAUGCUUGUUUUAAAAAGAAUGACAAACUUGCAAGUGUGCAAUUGCAAGCCUUUGAAAGAAAUAUUCAAUCUUGAAGGGCUUGAGGCUAUGGAUUGCACUCAGGUGUUGCCUUUGCUACAAUAUCCACUUGGUCAAUCUACCAAAGUUGAGGCAACUAUGGAAUAGAGAUCUCCAAGGAAUAAUGUGCUUCAAUUCUCUACAACAUCUUAGCCUUUAUAAAUGUGGUAACUUGAGACAUGCUUUUAUUCCAUCAAUGGCUCGUGCCUUCCCAAUCUAUGGCAGAUCAAAAUAAAGGAGUGUGAUCAAAUGGAAGGAGUGAUUGUAGAUGAAGAAGGGCAGGGAAGCGCAGGGGAGGAGAUUACAUUCCCAUAUCUUAAGUGGAUAACUUUGGAAUGCUUGCCCAAUUUGACUAGUUUCCUCUCGUGGAAGAAUCAUAUGCUAAUGCCCUGUUUUAUUAAAGUUGAGCAUUGCCCAUUGCCCCAAUAUGAGAAGUCUAACUUGGCAAUCUUUGAUGGAGAUUAACAAUGGCACCCCUUCACUUUUCACUCCACAGGUCAGUCUCUCAAACAAAUGCAUUUUGGGCAUUUCAUUUGAACAUAUUCGUUCGCAUAUAAUUGGACAAUGCAUGGUAUGUAGACAAAAGUGCUAGAUAUAAUUGUUUGUAAUAUCAAUUGUCAAUGCUUUGCUCAAAUUUGAUCGGGACUUUGUGUUUCUUACCUAAACAAAGAUGACCAGAAUAUAUUCUUUCCCACAAUAAUCCAUGAUCACAUCCGUAAACUAUUAAUGCAAAACAAUUUAGACAUUGAUAACCACGUGUGUUUUAAAAAUAAUUUAAUUAUACAGAUCCAUGUACGUAAUCUAUUAAUAUUUACUUAAAAGAUUAAACGUUUUCUAAUCCUCAGCAAAUAUAAGUAUUAAUUAUCCAUCUCUCAUAUAUUUUUAGAAGUAUUAUUUCUGUGAGCUCAGAAAAUCAUAUUGUGUGCGGUAUCUCAAAAUUGAUUAUAGAGGGAUUUUAAACAAGUUAUGACAAUAACCAUAUGAAAACAUUUACUUUUGGAAAUUUCAACUAUAAAGAACAAAACAGGUAAACAUAUAAUAUCAUUUAAAAAUGGCAAAAAAAUGAAGUAUCACCCACUUCAUAUUUUCUUGCACAAAAGCAAACUAGCGUUGUUCUGUUAAACAUGAAGAAAAUGGGAAAAUAAAACUUCAUAAUUAUAAAAGCCUAGUUCACAAAUUGCUUAGCUAUUAUAGCUCUUUGUACCAUAAUCAUCUUCCCAAUAAAUGAAAUUUGAGGAAUUAGAGAGAAUUGCUCUUUUCAUUGGAGUGCUCUAAAAUUCGAUAAUGAUCAGUGCAAUCAACUUUUGUUUAUCUUAAUAAUCACCAAUGCUUGAGCUGGCUCUUGAUAACAAAAUAAACAAAAAUAAAAAGGCCAAUAUGCAUGAAGUUGUCUAUCAUCUUUGUUGAUUUAUUGCUAUACUUCAACAACCUAUCAAAUUAUGUACCUGCAUUAUACAAUAAAUAUUAACUCUAAAUUUGAGUGAUAAUUAGUGUGAUACUGCAGAUGAUCUAUGCUUGGCAAGAGAAAUGAAGAUUGCUUUUUUUUCAAAAAAGAAUUGGAGAAAAAAAGGGAAAAAAAUAAAAGAGAGAAUAGGACAGUUGGACAAUAAAUAGUAGCAAUUCCGUGGAUGGUCGCCAGCAUUGCGAGUCUUAUUUCAUAACUAGAUGACAAUAUUUAGUCAAUGUCCUAGCUAAAAUAAAAAUUUUAAAAAAUCGGAAUAAAUUAUUGAAUCAACAACACUACUGAAGAGAAAAUAUUAGGUGCAUUAAGUACACCACGUAGGAUCCAUAUAGAAUCAUCUGCAAAUCAACAUGUGGUAAAGCUGGGCCCACCAAUCUAUUGAAUGAUCAAAAUAUUUGCUCCCGCUCCCUUCAAUAACGCCCCAUUACUGGAAAGCUCUCUUUCCUCUUUCUGGUGUGGCUUUGCUUCCUCCCUCUCUCUCUCUCUCUCUCUAUCUUUCCUUCCUCGGUGGCCUUGGCCUCUGUCUGUUGCAGUGCUGUUGCGGUGCGCUCACUAGACAAAGGAAAAAAAGAAAACAUAAAAAGGAAGAAAGUAGACAAAGUCUAUUUGAUAAUUUCUCCCCCUGUAAGAAAUUUUCGCUCUAAGUCAUUUCGUUUCACCUUGAUUACAUGAACUGGAGCUUGUUGGUUAUGGUGGAUCGAAGUGAAUCUCCGAUGCAGGAGCGAUUUCAGCGUCGAUUCGGUCGGGGCGUCGAUUCUGGCGAAGAAAAAAUUAAAAGAUCUUAUCUUCAGCCCUCUCUUCCUCGUCCUUCAUCCACAGCCGCCCAACCUCCGCCCCUCCUCCGCUGUCGCCAACGGCAGAGUCACCGGCACCUUGAUUAGGCUGACCCCCUAUGUCCAAGCCAAGCAUGGCCGACUUCCUCUGUUUGGUCCGUCUCAUCAUUCUACAGAUCUCGAAAUCUAGCCAUCCAUAGCAACGGAGUUGUAGAUCUAGAAGUCGACCACUAUCGCUCGCAGCCAUGGACGAGCCACUGUCACUGGAGCCAUGGCUGCAGAUUUGGAAGUCCCGUCGCAAGCAACGACGACUUAUUAAACAUUUGUUUACUUUUUUUUUUUAUUGUAAGAGUUAUUGCUAAUUAUUUAUUUACUUCUGAUGUCAUUUGCAUGUAUAAGUUGUCAUGUAAUAAUAGCUAUUCUCACAUUUUGAGGAUAUUUCAAAAAGUCAUUAUAACAUUGAAGCAAGAAUACUAAUAAAUUUGGGGAAGCAUAAAAAUAUUCAUAUGAUUUUUUGGUAGUGACAAGUUGUGAUAGCGUUAAUUUCAUUUUUAUGUCAAAUAUGAGCUGUCUGUAAUAAUAGGUUUCUCCCACAUUGUUAGAUAAUUGCAAAUACUCAUCAAAAUCUUCAAUUAAGAGUAUUAAUAGAUUAAGGGAAGUGUGGAAAGUCAUUUUGUUUCUUUUUUUUUUUGCUAUGACAAGUCAUAGUUGCAUUAAUUUUAUUGUAACCAAAUGAAAAAUACCACUCGCUUUUUUUUGUCAUUGACAAGCGCUCAAAUUCUCAUGAUUUGUGAGAGUGAGGGAAGUUUAGAAAUUCUUUCUUUGAGGUCAUAACUCAAUGUAAUUACAUUCAUUACCUCAUUUUUCUCAAUAUGCCAAGUACAAUGUCCCCAGCUUAAGUGGAUGGUUCUCUCCCAAUGGACAAUUUAAGCAAAAUAUGGAGUGGCGGUCCUCAAGAAACUCUCACUUUUGACAAUUUAUGGAAAGUGCAUAUUCUAAAUUGUGGGAGCCUUGACAAAGUGUUUUUGCAUUGGGUGGCUACAAGUCUAACCCAACUUAAGGAACUUCAAGUGGAGUCUUGUGGGAUUGAGGAAAUAGUUGCUAGUGGGAAUGAGACUCCACAUUCCAAUACUACUCAAGAUCUUUUUCCAAAACUAACCUCUCUAGUGUUACAUGAUAUGCAAAACCUCAAGAACUUCUGCACCAACUUGCCCACUUUGAAUUGGCCAUUCUUGAAGGACUUGCGAGUAAGUCAUUGUGAUAAAGCAAACAUGCUGUCUUUUGUAGCAUCUAUGAGCAAUUGGGCUCAAAAAGAUUAUCACUAGGGCCUUUCUAAUCAAGAAGCACACUCUUUAUUUGAGAGGGUAUGAUUUGAGCUGCUCUCCCUUAGUUUCUAUUUUGUUCUUUAAAGCACUCACCGAUCUCAUAUCCACUACAUAAUCAAGCCAUGUUAUAUUGCUAUAGAAAACAUGAUCGGCCUUACUUAUUAGUUUGUUGACAACAUUAAAAAAGUUCUUAUAUCUUAAGUAUACUUUUCAUUUGUGGACACCCAUAAGAUAUUUCAUUACCUAUAAUUACAAAAAUAACUACAGAUUUUUGUUGAAAGUGCAAUAUAUUCCUAAUCUAGUCUAGUGGUGCUCGUUGGGGGAAAUCAUUGAAAAUUUGACAUGAGGUCCACUUCAUUGUUGACAUGUGUUGUUCAUUUGAAUUUUUCUUCUCUCUCUCUCUUUUUGUUUUUUGUUUUUUUGUUUUUUUUGGGAUAGGAGGAACUAGCUUGCAGCUGACAGCCGUGCCGUAAACCCCCUGGUGACGCUAGCGCAUGACCCACCACCACAGCGUCACGCUUAAGACCACUAGCGACCACACUGGGAUUUGAAUUCAUCCCCUUCGUGAGGGGGAUGGAAGCCCAAGCCAACACGGCCACCACAUGGGGUGGUAUUUUUCUUCUCUCUUUCAUCUUCUAAAAACUUUAAAAAAUCAAUAAAAACAAUUUUAACAAAAAUAACAUUAGUACCUUAAUGCAAUAUUUUAUAUUGUAUUCCUUAAUUGAUCUCGUCUUAUACAUAGUCAUCCUAUUGUAUUACUAUAGAUAACCUAAAACUCCUUACCUAUGAGUUUGAAGACAACAUAAGAUAUUUUAGUAUAUCUUAAGCACACUUUUAAGUUUGUGAACCCAUACGUUUUAGUAAUAUCAUCCGUGCAUCCCAUUACAUAAGUUUCCGAAGAUGACCAAUUUUAGUUGACAAGAUAAGAUAUUUCUAAUAAAAGAUGAAUUUGGUGAGCUUGGAGGGAUCUUGACAAAUUCACUCUACAAACUUAACCAUACCAACCUCUAUUCGAGACUUUUAAAAGCUUGAGACUUGAAUGUAGGGCUCUUGAGAUAUAAUGAACUUUAAGAAGAUGGCCACCUUCCAUGUGAAUCAUCUUAAUAGGUUUACUUUUUACAGAACAUGAUUUAUUGUUGAAACUUUGUUGAAUUUACUUCUCUUGUUGUAUUGGCAAUUUGACAGGACUUUCCCAACUUGGAGAGACUUUUAUUAGUCGAUAACAAUAUUCAGAUAAUACAAGACUGAGAUUUUCUAGAGGGCAUCUUUGGCAAGCUAAAAGCACUAACAUUGGCAUGCUUUCAUGAUGAAAAGGCCGUUUUUCCUCUCAAAUUCCUCCUAGAGAGAUUUCAGAAUCUACAAAGCCUUGGGGUCUUCUAUAGCUCCUUUGAAGAUAUAUUCCUGGAUGAAGGACUUGUUGACAAUGGUAAACAUCCGGUGCUUGAAAGUUUAAGAGAACUUAAGUUAAACAAGCUACACAACCUAAAGAGUGUAUGGAGAGAAGGCUCUUUGGUGUUGAAAAUUCUUUAAAGCAUCAAGACAUUUGAGGUUUGGGAUUGUCCUUGUUUGACAACAAUAUUUCCGACCGUGACAUCCUUCAAGAAUCUAACGGCAUUAGUGGUGAAGAAUUCUUCUGGAUUGGUACAUCUAGUAACCACUUCAAUGGUCACAAAUUUGGUGAAUCUCGAUUGCAUGACUAUAAUAGGAUGUGAAAGAAUGAAAGAAAUAGUGGCAAACGAUGGAGACGAAGAAGGAAAAGUGAUUUGGGAUCUUGAUGAGAUGACACUCCAAAAUCUACCAAAUCUAGAAUGCUUCUCUUCCAUCCCGAGUUGCAUUUUCAAGUUUCCAUUCUUAAGGAGUAUUGAAGUAGAAGAGUGCCUGAAGAUGAAGACAUUUUCUAAGGGUACGCUAAUCACACCAGAACUAGAAGAUUUGUCACUAUUUAGAUACAAGUGGGAUGGGAAUUGGGGGGAGGGUGAUGAUCUCAAUACAAUUAUACAAAAGUUAUCAGCAUGAAACAAAUGCGCAUAGAAUUGGUAAAGAUUCAAUUGCUGUCCUUUUCUCAUUCAUUCUUUUUUCUUUUCCUUUUUUUCAGUAGCACCGUAAAUUUUUAAAACUUUUCUCUUUUUUUUUUGUAACUUUUCUAGUACUGAUUACGUCCGAUCAGCGCAUCAUCAAGUCUAUUGAUCGAUCUCGCCUCCUCCUUCGCUGAACAGCAGGAAGCAAAGCAGGGCUCUCCUUCUCCUUCUUGACACCAUAGGCGUCAAACGAAGCGUCUGGAAUGCCAGGACUGAGAGAAGCGAAGUUGCUGCACUUAGUGGAGCAGAGCCAAGUAGGAGAGAGAGAGGGAGAUCCAACCAGAUGGAGUGUUAUUGUGGUCGUCGUUGCUGGAGAGAAGAUCGUGCUCUCUCUCUCCUCCGCCCUUGAACCCAGCAAACUCGUAAAUCGAGAAAUCACUAUGCACAUUUUAAACAUAACUCAAAUACAUAAUCAUAACUCAAAUACCGAAGAUACCAAUGGUCCAGUCCAUUAGUCAAUCUCAUAAAACAUGCAUCAAUGGUCUAUUCCAUUGACCAUUGAUUAAUUUCAUCAAAUCACAUUGAUGGUUUAUUCCAUCGACCAAACUCAAAUCACACGUCAAUGGUCCACUCCAUUGACCAAUUUAUGCUCAAAUGUCUAACCAUGGUCACGUGUAUCACUUGUGACAAGACGAUCAAGAUUCCUCCCUUGGCAAGGUCUCCAUCUAUAGUUAGCCGGUGGCUCGGCCCACAAGGAUAUCUUAGAUUAGUAUGCGCAUACCCACACACCCCUCAGGGUCCACAACAACAUUGAGCACCAAUCACCAAUCACAAUAUCCAAUAAUCCAACAUCAGAAAGGAAGUCAUAUCACAACUCAAAAUUUGAUAUAUAAAUAUCAAAGCAUUCUCCAAAACAUUUCAAGAUUCUUUCACAAAGAAUUUCACAAAUCCUUUUUCAAACAACCAUUCAAAUCGAAGUCAGAGUAUAACUCCCUUCAAACAACCAAAAUGGCAGUAAUAGCUCGAUCCUAUUUUAUGCAAUAAAAUAUGCUUUUUACCAACUCAUGGAAUAUAUAAUCCACCACGCUUCUCAAAACAUGACUUUAAAAUACAAAUAAGAAAUAGUGUCACUCACCUAGGAAAAGCCAAAAAUCAACUACGACGCUUACUCGAAUCAACGCAUUCGGAUUCCUAACAAUUAACGGAAAAAAAAUAUCAAAAGGCCGAGUAAAAAGGAUAUUCGCAUAACAACUCGUCUAUACUAGGCCUAUUUGUCGAUAAAACGACACCUAUGAGUCACAAAAGCUCUCAUUUAUCGAAAACCCAUCAUUUUCUGCUAGGUGCGGCCCAUACGCCAACUUUGUCACGCCAUAACUUCCUCCACAAAAAUCCGUUUCAAGCCGUCUUAUAGUCUUUAGAAAGCUCUCUUAACAUACAACAACAACCCCAACUCAGCCGCCCCAAAAUAAUGCUGAAAAUAACAAAAAAGAGUUUCGAAGCUACUGAUCGCUACAGUACCAGAAUGCGCCUCCAACUUCAAAAUUCCGUUCAGGACAAACCGCAAGCUCAAAUCAUGAUCCGAAAGAUGCUAUAGCUUCAAAACAUCCCAAAAUACCAUUUCUAUAAAAAUAUACAGCUCAACAACUCAAAAAUUGGGCUCCGCCACACAAAUAUCCAAGAAAUCCGAAUUUCGAGCCCUAAUUGUGGCUAUUGCUUCAAGUAAGUGAUUAAAGGCUUCGAUUUCUUACCGGCUUUGCAAAACACAAUUGAGUCGGCUUGAUGAGGCGUCGGGAUCACGAGUGUGCCAAUUUUUAUUUUUUUUCCUUUUUCCCUUUUUCCUUUCUCUUCUUUCUCUCUUUUCCCUUGUUUCUUUCGAAACCCUGCUUCUGCCCAUGCUCUUCUCUCUCUCUCUCUCUCUCUCUCUCUCUCUCUCUCUCUCUCUCUCUCUCUCUCUCUCUCUCUCUCUCUCUCUCUCUUUAAAGCAUAGCCGAAGGUUCCACCAAUAUCCUUUGGCUUCCUUUUUUGACUUUUGAAACUCUUUCUUUUCCUUUUAUUUUAUUUUCUUUUAAAGCACAUAUUACAGUAUGUGUUAGGACUAAAUGUGCCGAUGAUUGCCAUGAUGUUUUGGUUGAGCUUGAAGUCUUAAGGGAUGAAUUGCAUUCAGUCAAGUGUCCUCAGCUUUGUAUGGCAAUGGAAUUUGAUCAGGUUUGCAAAGUUCAUGGCAGUUCCCAUGCACAUUCGUUAGUAAAAAGUUUGGAGAGGGACAGAAGUUCAAACUGCUCAUCACGAGAUUUUCCAGGUGUGAAUCUUAAUAUAUUAGCAGAUUCUCCCCAUGAAUGUGUUGUUCUUGUAUUUGAUUCGAAUUCCAUGAAGGAACUUUCCACAUUGUUAGGCUAAGAGAAACUAUGUUAGAGCUAAUUCACUCUUGUAGUGUUUCUCUGUCUAUCGUUCUCCUAUGUGUGAAUAUGCUUGUGUUGGAGGAUCCCAUAAAUAAUGGAAACAAGCCGAGUUGGUCAUAUGAAAUUUGAUUGUGCUGAGAAUUGUAUUGGUGUGCAUAUAGGCCUUAGGAAGCUAGACCAUUAGUAAGACUCAAAUUGAUUGAUUUAGGGUUGCUAUGUCGGCAGAUAUGAGUUUUACAUAACAAUAAUAGAAUACAGCUAAAAUGCAAAACCUUUCUUCUUCUUCUGUUUGCGCCUGCUAUAGGUAAGCUAAAAAAGCAGGGCUUGCGCAGAGCUCUCGAACCGGCCAGCAAAUUUGUACUUGAUUAUCCUUUCUCUAAAAUUGCGGUGAAGUUAAUACAUCUGAAGAAAAUCAAUGUGGUAAGAUUCUCGUGAUAAUGACAACUCUUGGAUUUAAAUCACAUAAAGCAUCCUCAUAUUGUCUUCCGCAGAAAUCAUUGGUUGUUUUCGAGAUGACAAAAUUGUGAAUGUCUACUUGAGUGGAGAGUUCCUGGUUCAUUCCCAAAGACACGUUAAUAAAAGCCCGUAGACUGUGGCUCUCAUAUUUCAAAGCCAAACCAUGGCCGUUGAAGCUCAUCAGCCACGAACAUUAUGGAAAGUCAUAUGCCUAUUGGGCUGCAUCGGCGACAGAAACUUCUUCGAAGGUGGAAGAUGCGUGUGUUUGAGCUUUAUUGAAAGGGACGAUAUUGUGUUUAGAGUAUCCAUCUUCAGAACCACUGAUAAGACUGGGGUGUAUAAUAAUAUAUGCAAUACGAUACAGCAGAGGAAGCAUUGCCUUAGCUCACUUUUGGUGAGAACACAACUUACAUAAUUGCUAGGUUGAAUUCUGCUUUUGGUUCAGUAAAAUGGAUAAAAGCAUGAGUUUUGUUCCAUGGAUGUAAUGGUCCUGAAUGUGCACAAUACCUCUCCUUGAUCCUAGAAUUAACAAUCAAUCGAUCACCAUGUGGGCAGGAGUCAUGAGUUGGAGGAAGGUUUCCGGUGGCUCAACCUGACCUUUAGAACCGUAAAGUGCAGUUAUGUUGAAUAUGUGUCCCUUAAGCCAAAUAUCAAUUGUGAUUUUACGGUCUAAGUCCUCUAAGGUUUGCAACCAAAUCCCCAGUGGAGUUGCCAAACUGCCGCGACCUCUCUUUUGCCGUCCGUGGAAAAAGAAAGAAGGUUUAGGGGUAUUUGCCUAAAGAGGCGGACUAACGGCUCUAAAUUAGGCGCAGGCUUUCCCAAGCCCAUACCUCGCGCGACAUUGGAUUUUGAAUUUUAAUUCUUAACAACUUAUGUCUUUUUUGAUAUAGCUAGUAAAAGCACCUAGAGGGGGGUGAAUAGGUGUAAAAACAAAUUUUUUUUUUCGAGAUACGAAAGCAACACUAGGCGGAUAAUAGAAAGGAAGAUCUCAUUUUGCUAACACAGCGAAUUAAGAUCAAAGUAAAGCAGAGAGUAGGGAAGAGAAAAUUAAACACAAGAUUUAUAGUGGUUCGGCUUAUUCCAAGCCUACGUCCACUCUUCUGCACUGAUAGCCCACUGGCUGGAUUUCAAUAUGAACAAAAGAGAUGUUACAGUAAUGCUUUCCCUUGAUUCCACAGCAUAGAUACUCUACCACACUUCCUCAGGGUAUCUCAAAAUAUGAACUCUCUUUUGUGUACAAGAUUUUGCUCAGUAAAUGAUUUGACUAAGAACAAGGAGCUUCAGACUUUGAAAUUCUUCUAUCGUACACCUUAUCGAACAACUGGAACGUCUUCCUUUUAUACUCCUUUAUGUCAUCAUACCCGUUGGCAUUUACCAAAGGAAUUCCUCCAAUCUACCCAUUGGACGGAAUCAAUUAGGAAGAUCAUUCAAGCUAUUAAAGGAACAUAUCGAUAGCCCAUCAAUCCUGCUCGCCUAUACAAUCAGGAUCUUGGUUUCCAUAAGUAGAACUUUCCAAGUAUACUUCGCCAAUCAUCGGAUCCUUAAUCAAUCUUGAUUCGAAUAAAGGAUUCCGUUGUCAUAUCCAGCCAAGAGAUCUUCUCCAGUUGAUAAGGCUAAAUCCUAAAUGAAAUAUCCAGUUAUGGAUAAUCUUUCUUCAACGGAUUAGAAACUGUCAAUGAGAAUAGACUUUGAGUCUUAAGUCUGGCAGUUCGGAGGUCUUCAGACUUUAAAUAGUAGAGUCUGCAAAUCUUCAGACUAGACUGAUAGAAACGUUUUGUCAGCUUCAAAACAUUUAGAAGGAUUUCUCCAACAAUCUCCCCCUUUUUGAUGGUGACAAAACUUUCCUGCAGAUUUGAAUAUCUUUGACCUGCAAAACAUUACUCAAGCAAAUAUGGAUAUCUUAUAAAGAUUAAUGGCUUAUUGAUAACACUAGAAUCUGCAACCACAGAAAGUAGGUUAGACUUGCAUGAGAAUAAAGCCAUUCAUAAGAUAUCAAUAAUACUUAAUAUAAGAAGCAGUCAAAUCCAAACCAAAGUUCAGUCGUCAUCCAAACACAAAUCAAGUCAAAGUUCAAGACAAACCAUAGUUCAAAACAAACCACAAAACAAACCAAAGUUCAAGAGAUAAGUUCAAAGAUUUUAAAUCUCGCAUCUCUCCCCCUUUUUGUCAUCAUAAAAAAGGUUGAGAUGGAGUCAAGAUUGCUUGGGAACGCGAACAAGCUGGAAGUCUCCCAUUGACUGUACGAUGCUUUCCAGCUUUUUCAAAUCUUCCUUCAGAUGAGCCACUUCUUCACUCUUAGCAUUUGCUUGAAUCUGAAGAGUAAGGGCUUGGAUCUGAUCAGACACGGAAACGGAAGAAGCCUGUCCUGCAUUUUUCAAGUUCUGAACUUCGCAUUCCAAAGCAUAUAUCUGACCCUUCAUUUCCAAGAGAAUAUCAAGGAUUCUGCGGAAAUCUACUGAAUUAUUAGUCUGCGUACUAGCUUCGGCUCGAUCUGAUGGAGUAAAAGCAGACGAUGGUAUAUUAGCAUGGUCACGCUGAUUUGGCGAGGAAGCAUCAUGUCCCUCCUCAAGGAAUUGAGAGUCAUGAAUGUCCUCUGGAUCUGCUGGAGAGCGGCUGACUCCUUCACUGGUAACAUGAUAUGAGGACAUUCCUCUUUUCUCACCAUCUCCCCCUGUUUCCAUGGCUUCAGGUGGAGAAGAGUGUUCCUCAUGCUCUCCUUCCUCUUGAUUUCCUCUUUCUUCUUCAUCUUCUUCUUCAAACCUUUCCUCCUCUGCUUCUCUUUCUUCAGCUUCUCUUUUCUCUUCUUCUUUUUCCUCUGCUUCUUUCUCUUCUCCUUCUUUUUCUUGUCCUUCUCUUUCCUCUGCCUCUUUCUCCUGUCGUUCCAUUGAUUCUGGAGUAGAACGACUCAGCUUCUUCAAUGCCAUAGCAAAGAUGGUGAGGUCAUCCUCAUCAUCUUCAUCCUUAAUGAUGAGAGCUCUUCUCUUUUUGGAUGGAGCAACCAUGGGCUAAUUUCCUUUUCUUUUCGCUUCAGAAGAGGCUUGAUGAGGCUUGACAGGAGUUGUCUCCUUGAAUUUCUCCAAUCCCUUGUCGAGUUCUUUCGGACGCAUUUUGGACACCAUUUUCAGUCCUACCACCAAUUUGUCACACGGUCGAACACAGAAAAUUUGUGGAGGCUGAAUAUUCAAAUGUUUGAAUAUCUUUGACACAAGACCUGGAUAAGGAAGUUGACCCCUGUCUUUCACCAUUGCUCUAUACAUGUGGAACAGAAUAGUGUGAGGAAGAGAAAACUUUUUCCCUGCAUUGAUGGCGUACAUAAGUUUUGCCUCUGAAUUGGAAACAUCAGUUUUUGAUGUAGACUUUGGCCUGAGGCAAUUAAUCACUAUCUUGUGAAGUAGGAUGUUGAACGCAUUCAUCCUUGAGUAGGAAAUCCUUCCCUCUAUCCUUCUGUCUUUAACAAGUUCCAAUGUGGCACGAGUAACAGACACACUGAUAGGUUGAUAUCUCCCUCUCUCAAUCCCAAUUACAUCCGCCAGCAUAUCCACAUCAACCACAAAGUCCUUAUCUCGAACACUAAAAGAGAUUCUAUUCCCAUCCAAGAAGCUAAGAUUUGAAUAGAAAUAUGCAGUUAGUUGAGCAUAGGCAUCUAUGGUGUCAGAACAGAACUGUUCAAGUUGAAGAAAACUGAACUUUUCCCUCAAAUUUACAUUCACAGCAUCAAGGAAUUCAAAAUCCACACUCCUAGGGUUUAUCACCCCACGCUUCAACAGUUUGGAGUAUAGAUCUUUCUGUUCCUUCGAUCUAAACAACUCUGUUCUUCUUCCUCGAAUUUUCGCCGCAACACCCAUUCUCGGUUGAAACUGGCUGUACAAUUUAUCAUCAUCAUUCCCAUCGAUUGGAUUCAGUCCUCCAACACGUGGAUCACUAGGGAUAUUUGCAAGGGUUUCUUCUGCCAACCCCUUAGGAGCAAUUCCCAAAUCCUCCAUUUUCCCCAAAAAGAUAUAUUCAUUUCCAUAUCCUUUGUCUUUAAGAAACCCAUCAAUGUAGUUCAAUGGAGUAGCAAUCCUCUUUAAGGCACGGUAAAGCUUAUAAAUAAAAGAGGGUCUUUAAUUUCUUACAGGAUCUGCUUCUUUAACGAUUUCUUCCUCUUGUUGAUGAUUAAGACCCUGUGGACUAGAUGGUGGAGAAUGACGCUGCUGAGAAUGUUGUGGGCUCUGCUGCUGACUUGGUGACUCUUCUUCUUCAGUGAGAUCAAAGUGAGUAGGCCCCUCACUCAUUCGUCGUGGUCCCCUGCUUGCGAUUCUCGAGGACCUUCUUGACGAUGACAUCUUUCACAGUCUUCAGAAGACUCCAAACUUAUUUUUCCCAAGAAAGUUAACAACUUUUUGAAGAUUAAAUAAGGGAAGAAAACAUGAAUGGAAGAUCGGUGCUUUCUAGGGUUUUUGUGAGUGAAUCGAAGAAGAGUGGACAUAAUAUAAGGCAUUGAAGAGAGGCAUAUGGAACGUCGUAAAAAAUAAAGUAUAAAGAUGCCUUUUCAAAAAAAAAAAAUUGCCUUUUUCGAGAAAAUAGUCAUUUCAAAAAUAACUUCUUCUUCGAAAAGGAAACGUUGCAAUAAUCACGUCAAUUAAAGAUAGCAAUAAUCAGACACGGUUGAUAAUCGUACCUUUUCAAGAUGAGAUUCGAGAGAGAGAGAGAGAGAAUAACUUACAGUCAAGGUCUGAGUCUGAGUCUGAGAGUUUCUAGACUUUAACUUCUUCAAGCCUCAAAAUGUUGAGUCUGGAACGGAUGAUUUCAAAUUGAUUUUUCUCCAAAGGCUUUGUAAAUAUGUCCGCCAGUUGGUUCUUUGAAUCAACAAACUGAAUCUAAAUUUCUCCAUUUUGAACAUGAUCUCUAAUGAAGUGAUGUCGAAUCUCUAUAUGCUUUGCUCUUGAGUGAAGAAUUGGAUUCUUAGUUAGAUUGAUUGCGCUGGUGUUGUCACAGUUAAUCUCCGUGCAUGAAUAUUUAAUUCCAAAGUCUCUUAACUGUUGUUUUAUCCACAGAAUUUGUGAACAACAACUUCCAAGAGCUACAUACUCUACUUCUGCUGUAGAAAGAGCUACUGUAUUUUCCUUCCUUGAAAACCAAGACACUGUCCUGCUUCCAAGUAGCUAACAGAUACCCGAGGUGCUCUUUCUAUCAACUCUACAUCCGGCUAGAUCUGUGUCUGAGUAUCCAUGAAGAAUAAAUUCUCCCAUUUUAGGAUACCAGAGACCGAGACUUGAAGUUGAAGCAAUGUAUUUGAUAAUACGCUUUGCAGCACUUAGAUGUGAUUCUUUAGGGUCUGCCUGAAAUCUAGCACAAAUGCAAACACUAAACAAAAUGUCAGGUCUAGAAGCUGUAGGAUAAAGAAGUGAACCAAUGAUACUCAUGUAUAGCUUCUGGUCAACUUUCUUUCCUCCUUCAUCUUUGUCUAUCUUCAGGGAACUCGACAUUGGUAUGUCAAUCUUUUUGCAAUUUUCUAGUCCAAACUUUUUGAUAAGAUCAUUAGCAUAUUUUUCUUGAUGAAUAAAAGUCCAUUCCUUCAAUUGUUUCACUUGAAGCCCAAGAAAGAAGGUUAACUCACCCAUCAUGCUCAUCUCAAAUUCAUCCUGCAUCGUCUUCGAGAAUUUCUUGCACAAAUAUUCAUUAGAUGAUCCAAAAAUAAUAUCAUCUACAUAUAUUUGAACAAGUAUAAAAAUUUUGUUUUCCUUUUUGAUAAACAGAGUAGUGUCUACUUUACCUUUGUCAAAGCCAUUUUGUAUUAAAAACUUACUCAGCCUGUCGUACCAAGCUCGGGGUGCUUGCUUUAAACCAUACAAGACUUUUUUCAGUCUGAAAACUGAGUCUGGCUUCCUUGGGUCUUCAAACCCGGGUGGUUGUUCCACAUAGACUUCCUCAUGGAUAAAUCCAUUCAGGAAAGCACUUUUGACGUCCAUUUGGAAUAACUUGAAAUUCUUAUAACAAGCAAAAGCAAGUAAUAAACGGAUUGCUUCUAACCUUGCUACUGGUGCGUAAGUCUCAUCAUAGUAUAUCCCUUCUUCUUGCGUAUAUCCCUUGGCCAUGAGUCUUGCUUUGUUUCUUACGACCUUUCCAAUUUCGUCCAUCUUGUUCCUGAAAACCCAUUUGGCUCCAAUAACAGACUUACCUUUCGGUUUAGGAGUCAAUUCCCAGACAUCAUUAAUACUGAAUUGUCUGAGCUCUUCUUGCAUAGCUUCAAUCCAGCUUUCAUCUGACAAAGCUUAUUCUAUACUUUUGGGUUCUAUUUCAGAGACAAGAGCCAUAUCACUAGAUUCUUCGCGCCUUUUGGAUCUUGUGCGAAUUCCUUCAUUAAUGUCCGCUAUAAUGAGAUCUUUGUGAUGACUGGACUUAUGCUUCCGGUUACUGGUUGGUUUGUCAGGUUGAUGAUCAUUUCCUUCAUUUGAAUCUUCAACAAUUAUUUGAUGCUGGCCUUUAGAAGACUGAGCUGCUUCUUGAAAUUUAGACUUUGUAGAAUCUGGAGCAGGUUCAGAAUCUUCAAGAUGAGUCUGAAUAGAUUCAUUUUGCAUAGAAUCUUGAAAUCUGACAUUCAUUGAUUCCUUCACAGAUUGAGUCUUAUUGUUGUAGACUCUAUAGGCUUUGCUUGAGGUUGAAUAUUCAAGCAAGAUGCCUUCAUUUGACUUUUCUUCAAACUUGCCAACUCGAUCAUUCGCAUUUUUCAAUAUAAAGCAUUUACACCCAAACACAUGAAAAUAUGAAACAAUAGGCUUCUUUUCUUUGAAUAAUUCAUAGGGGGUCUUUUCCAGAAUAGGCCUUAGAAAGACUCUGUUGAUAAUAUAACAUGCUGUAGAAACUGCUUCAGCCCAAAAACGUGAAGAUAUAUUACUUUCAAUUAAAAGAGUUCUAGCCAUUUCUUGAAGCGAUCUAUUCUUUCUGUCCACAACUCCAUUUUGCUCUGGAGUAUAUGGAGAGGAGAACACAUGCUGAAAACCAGAUUCAUCACAGAAUUUUGUAAAAUCUUGAUUUUCAAAUUCACCUCGAUGGUCUGUUCUUAUACUAGAAAUAACAUACCAUUUUUCAUUUUGAACCUUUUUAGCAAACUUUUCAAAGUAAGAGAAGGUUUCCGACUUACUUGCUAGGAAAUAUACCCAAGUAAAUCGUGAGUAGUCAUCCACAAUUACUAGGCAACAUUUCUUACCUCCAAUGCUCUGAGUUCUGGUUGGUCCAAAGAGAUCCAUAUGCAGAAACUGCAGUACACGAUUAGUGGAAACUUGAUUUAUUGGUUUAAAUGAAUUUCUUACCCGUUUUCCCAAUAUGCAAGGUGUGCAUAGAUCAGACUUUUGGUAUGACAGAUUAGGUAAACCACGAACAAGCUUCUUUGUUGAAAUUUUGGCUAUCUGCUUCAUAUUAACGUGCCAAAGCUUUCUGUGCCAUAGGUUUGCCUCGUCUUGAAUUGAGAUCAGACAUUGCGAUUCAUUUGGUUUCACAUCCAAGAGGUAGAUAUUUUCAUGUAUUCGGCCCAUGAAUGACUGAGUAGAAUCUUUACUGAUUCCUGAACAUAUUCCUUCUUGAAAGUUGAUUUUGAAACCAGUAUCACACAGCUGACUGAUACUGAGCAGAUUGUAGUUAAGUCCUUCCACUAACGAAACAUCGCUAAUUGUGAGGUUUCCAAUCUUUACAGUUCCAAAUCCCACAAUUCUUCCUUUGCUAUUUCCUCCAAAUGAGACUUUUUCACCUUUUACUUGAACAAGUUUUAUGAAGUAAUUUGAAUCUCCUGUCAUAUGUCUUGAGCAUCCACUAUCCAGAUACCAUUUUACCUUCUUCUUGAUAGUGACCUGCAUUUGAAAAAGAGACUCAAGCUUUUUUUGGUACCCAUAUUUUCUUGGGUCCAAUUGUGUUAGUAUGAUAUAUGGUUUUAGCCCAUAUUUACUUAACGGGAUUCCAAACCAUAGGACAUUCUUUCUCAAAAUGAUCUGCACUUUUGCACUUUGAACAUCUGAGAGCAUUUCGUCCUACUAGUUUUACAAAGACCUUUUUGAAAUGAUCCUUGUAAGCAAUUCUUGUGGAUCUUUGCUUAAUUCUUUCCUUUAUUUUAGGAAAAUCAAUUAAAGGAAUGGUUUCUGCUGUUAUUCCCAAAUCAGAUUUAUUAAAAUAAGGUCUUUGUAUUGAAAGAAUUUUCUCAAGUUUCUCAGAUCCUAUUGAAAAUCUUUUUGAAAUAUUUGAAAUGUCAUUUUUUAGAAAUGCAUUUUCUUUCAAGAGAUUAUUUCGCUUUCUUUAAAAGAAGAAACAUUUAUGUCUAAACAUUUCACCUUUUCUUUCAAAACACUUUUAUGUUGUUUUAGAGCAUAAUUCUCCUUUUUGAGUUCGGAAAUCCUUUUAUGAGAAGUCUUAAGACUAAAACAUAACUCAUCAAAUGUAUUUAGAAACUUUAACAGGGAUUUUAAAGUUACUUACCUCAAAUUCACUGUGUGAAUCUGAGUUUGAUUCAGAGUCUGAAUCUGAAUCCGAUUGUGCCAUCAGACAUAUGUUGGCAUAAUCAUCAUCACUUUCUUCACACUCUGUAUCACUCCAGGUUUCUGCUUUAAGAGCCUUUCGAUACUUUUUAGCUUUUCCCUUCUUUUUCCUCAGAAGCGGACAGUUGGGUCUGAUGUGUCCCUUUUUCUUACAUUCAAAGCAGACUACAUCUUUGUUUGAUUCAUCAUCCUCAACAGACUUAGUCUGUUGCUUUUGAAAACUCUAUCUCUUUGGAUUGAAUCUUCUUCCUUUUCUGUUAAGCUUUCUGAAUCUUUUUAUCAUGAGAGCAAGCUCUUCAUCGUCCAUAUCAUCUUCAGAAUCUGUAACAUUAGAAUCAUCAUUGGAUUUUAAUGCAAUGGAUUUCUUACCUUUAGGAUCUUCAUCUUCAUUUAUUCGCUCCACUUCAUAAGACUGAAGAGUCCCAACCAACUCAUCGACAGAUAGUGGCAUGAUUCUUUGUGUCUCUCUUAUUGAGGUCUUUAUGUGAUUCCAAUUCUUGGAGAGUCCUCGCAGUAGCUUGUUUACCUUCAUGGGAUCAGAAAUUGGUUGACCUUGAUUUUCAAGACCAUUCAUGAUAUCUAUAAAACGACUAAACAUGUCAAUUAUAGAUUCUCCUGAUUUCAUUUUGAAGGCUUCGUAUUGAUCGAGGAGAAUGUUGAUUCUUGUCUUUUUCACUCGAUCUGUUCCUUCAUAAGUAAUGUGUAAUCUAUCCUAGACUUCUUUUGCUGUAACACAAGAAGAUAUUUGUUAUAUUCAGUAGGUGACAAAGCACAAUAUAAAGAAUAAAUUACUUUUGCAUCAAGAGCUUGUCUCUUGAUUAUCUCUUCCUGAGUCAUUUCACUAGACUCAACAGCUUCUUUUCCUCUCUCUGAGACAGAUGCAGCUUUAGGAGUGAUUCCUCUUUCUACGACAUCCCAUUCCAGAGGAUCCAUUGAUCUUAGGAACGCUUUCAUCUUAUUCUUCCAUAUGUUGUAAUCCUUUCCAUCAAAGUAAGGUGGUUUGGUAUUGCUUUGCCUUUCCACCAGCCCUGGAGCUAGCAUACUAGCCAUGGAUCUUUUACUCUGAAGUAAAACACUUCAAACAAAGUGAGUACACGAGCUCUGAUACCAAUUGAUAUAUGUAGUAUAAGCACCUAGAGGGGGGUGAAUAAGUGUAAAAAUAAUUUUUUUUCGAGAUACGAAAGCAAUACUAGGCGGACAAUAGAAAGGAAGAUCUCAUUUUGCUAACAUAGCAAAUUAAGAUCAAAGUAAAGCGGAGAGUAGGGAAGAGAAAAUUAAACACAAGGUUUAUAGUGGUUCGGCUUAUUCCAAGCCUACGUCCAUUCUUCUGCACUGACAGCCCACUGGUUGGAUUUCACUAUGAACAAAAGAGAUGUUACAGCAAUACUUUCCCUUGAUUCCACAGUGUAGAUACUCUACCACACUUCCUCAAGGUAUCUCAAAAUAUGAACUCUCUUUUGUGUAUAAGAUUUUGCUCAGUAAAUGAUUUGACUAAGAACAAGGAGCUUCAGACUUUGAAAUUUUUCUAUCGUACACCUUCUCGAACAACUUGAACGUCUUCCUUUUAUACUCCUUUAUGCCAUCAUACCCGUUGACACUUACCAAAGGAAUUCCUCCAAUCUACCCGUUGGACGGAAUCAAUUAGGAAGAUCAUUCAAGCUAUUAAAGGAACAUAUCAAUAGCCCAUCAAUCCUGCUCGCCCAUACAAUCAGGAUCUUGGUUUCCAUAAGUAUAACUUUCCAAGUAUACUUCGCUAAUCAUCGAAUCCUUAAUCAAUCUUGAUUCGAAUAAAGGAUUCCGUUGUCAUAUCCAACCAAGAGAUCUUCUCCAGUUGAUAAGACUAAAUCCUUAAUGAAACAUCCAGUUCUGGAUAACCUUUCUUCAACGGAUUAGAAACUGUCAAUGAGAACAGACUUUGAGUCUUGAGUCUGGCAGUCUGGAGCUCUUCAGACUUUAAAUAGUAGAGUCUGCAAAUCUUCAGACUAGACUGAUGGAAACGUUUUGUCAGCUUCAAAACUUUCAGAAGGAUUUCUCCAACAUUUUUAGGAGUCGCCACUAGCUUAUUAGGGUCGGCUAGAAACCAAUCAAGACGCAAGAGUGUUGUCACGAUUCCUACGCAACCAGAGAUUUCUAUGACGGGGGACUUGUUUACGCCAAUGUUUCUAUUAGCGCCCUUGCGGUACCACUAACUUGGAAGGUUGUUUAUCUAAAUGGCCGCACAAUCUUAAUUACCAAUUAUAAUCCUUAUAAAACCGUUAAGCAUCCAUGCAAAUGUUUUUGUAGGUUUGUUUUCCUUAAUGUCUAGACUAAUCCUAACAUAAUUUAGAAGAGAAAUUUACACACAAAUUAAUGAAAAGCGGUGUGUAAAUAAACAUCCAAGAAAUUGAAAUGACUUGAAAAUAAAUGCGGAAAAGGAAAACCCGAUACAAGUCGGGCAAAUAAUAUUACAUGGUCUUGUUAUCACGCCCCAGGACAGGACCCCCAUGAGCGAAAUGAGAAUUCAAAUAUGCAUGAAAUUACUUUAAAUAAUUUUAAUCUACGCAAAAUGGAUUAUUUACAAAAAUGGUUAUAAAAUACAAAAAUAGCAUUAAAUUAGGAAAAUGACCUUUUAAAAUUAGGAAAAUUUCAUAUAUGUCAUUUCUAUCCUAAUUUGAUGCUAUCUAACAUUUUUUGUUGUUGAUAUUUUUGAAAUUAUCAGAUUUUUCUCUUUUUAUAUAAUUAUUUUUUUUAAAAUAAUAAUAAUAAUUCAUUAAAUCGAUCUAUGCUAACAUGAAAUAACACAGCACAUGAAUAUCACAAUAAUCAAGCUCAAAUCGACCGUUUCAAGAUUGAAGCUUAGUUUAGGCAUUUUGUCAAACACUUGGUGUGCAUUAAACUAGCCCCAAUAGCUUCCUCGAGCCAUGUUUGCAGCCUUCAAUUGUCACUCAUAAACAAUCUCAUGUGGAACUAAAAUAUCAAGGUUAUACUACCACAUGCAAAAAACAAUAUUAGAUAGAAAUCAUACGUUAAAACACAUUAGAACCAAGCUAAAAUCAUCCUCAAAUAUGUGGGUUUGAGCUGAUUUCGAAAAUCUGGGUUUGAACCCAAGUCAAGCAAACAGGUUACAUGCCCAUAUUGAAGCCCCGACACUCAUCACAUGCAAGAUCUAAGGGAAACAUUACUUAAUCCGAGUGAAAGUAGGUAACAUGGGAUUUCAAAUGCAACAAACAUCAUUGAGAAUGACCAACCGAACAAAUCAAAACAACCUCUCCAAGAAGUACACAUGCAAAGUUCACACUAACUAGCCAUGAAUUAAUGUUGAUAGGCUAGGUUUUUGGCCAAAGUUUUAGAUGAUCUCAUAGCUCACAUGGGAAUUUAAAGACCAAACCAAUGUGACCUAUGCAUCAUUUGUACUCCCACAUGACAUUCAUCAAGCUCAUGAAGAUAGAAAACGCAUGCAAAAGGGAGUAGCAAGUCAAACAUUUAUGGCUCUUGAAGAGGCUUCAAACACCUAGAAAAAUUUUAGCCUCAGAAAUCAGAUUUCAGGGCUGGUCUUCCUCUUUAUUUUUCAUGGUUGAAACAUGCUCAAACUCAAUCAUAAAUAUAUCUAGGAUGCUUACCUUGCUUCCUAGUUUCUUUUGCAAGUGACUCUUGGCCAAGGAAACCGAGAAAUUGUCCUCUGGAAGCACAUGGAAGUUGGUUUCUUCAAACUGGAAAAUGAGAUCCGCAGAGAAAAACUGAUAACGAAGGUUUUUGUUGACCUCUAAAAUUAGACUUCAGGACCUCUUUUGUUGGAAAAAUUAAUACCAACAAACUAUAUGUAUUCUAGUUUGGGGUGAAAGUGAAGCUUUUCCUCAUUUAUCUCUCAAUUUUCUCAAAAACACUCACCUUCCCUCACCCACCGAUCGGGCUCAACACCUAGAAAAACUUUCGGACUUUCUUGGCCCGCCAAGAGGGUACUGUUUCGGGGGGCUUUAGGAGACCUUACCAAACUCCAUUUUGGACAUAUGACCUAUGGAUGGAAAGAUCUUUGACUGAAGUUUCACUCUCUAGUUGAAGGUUUUGGCUAAUUUUGACUGAAGUUUCACUCUCUCUGGAGGUUGAUUUGGAAUAUCUGGGUUUGCUUUUCUGGAGUUGCUUCUGAAGCCCUCUUUGGGGGACGACUGUGAGCUCCCUCCUCUCCCUCUCGUCUCCUCUCUCUCAUCCCCCGAAAGACCUUGCUUCAGUGAUUUUAUCCCUUGAAUUAAGGGGUUUUUUGUUGGUCUUUUGUCCACCUACCAAGCCUAUCAAGAGGGCUACUUCAACAACUGUUUGACUUAAGCUAGAUUUUCAAUUUCUACAGAUGUUGAGUGUCCAAAUUUGGUGCGAUUUUCCCGGGCCUUCGGCAGCUUAUCUCUAACCAAUUUUUGUCCACUUGCAGUACCAAUAAUGGCCUUCCAUCAUGUGCAGAGAUCGGGCUGGUUAGGCAGCUGAGCAGGAUAUGUUGGGGCCACCAAGUUGUUUACUCAGCAACUCCAAAUUGAGACCAACCCGUGGACUAAGUUUUGGUUGCUGAUUUGAGUGCUCUAAUUCAUCAAUUUUGCUGCGAUUUUUGAUCAAUUAGCGAGUAUAUGUAUAGUAGUUUAAGAUCUCGAUCAGAUUUCACAAUUGUGCCAACCCAAUUUUGCAAGAAAGUCCCUUAAAGUUGGCCAUUGUCUUAUUUGAAAAUACCCCAUUCAAUACAAAUUUAGUCCUUUUGGCCCAAUUUGAUUGAUUCGAUUUGACCCAAAUUCAAUUUCUACUUAAUUGGUGACCAAGAUGAUGAUUUAGGGGCUUGGGCACAAAUUUUGCAAAAUUUUUGAAUUGGUCCCUCAACUUUUAAAAAUUGCAUUUUGGCCCCAACUUGCAAUUUGAAUUCCAAUCUGACCUCCUGGGCUUGGCUAGUCACAUUUAGAUCAUUGGCCCCAACUUUCUCUUUUUUUUUUAAUUAAUUAAUUUUUUUUAAGGAAAAACAUCUUCCAUUUAAAACACUAUAUUAAACACCUAGAUAAUCUAUAUGCAAGAAUUUGACACGAAAUAUCUUUGGGCAAAAAUUUAGGUGUCAACAAUAGUACUAGACCUACAAAGAGAAGACUUAUCCAGAUGUGAGUAUAUCUUUAAGGAUUUGGUUCGUACGGUUAAAGAAGAUCUCACGGUUGGAGAUAGCAUAUCGUGAUUAAUUAUUCUUAUUGAAAUCAAUAUGGGUGAUGAUAUCUGUUGAUUGGAAAACUAUACUUGGAAGAUUUUACUUAUGGAAACUUAGAUUUUGAUUGUAUGGGCGAGCAUGAUUGGUGGGCUAUCAUCACAUUCUUUAAAUAACUCGAGAUCUCCCUAAUUAUUUCUGUCCAACAGUUAGAUUGGAAGAACUCCUUUAGAAGGUGCCAACGAUUAUAAAGGCAUGGAGGAGUAUAUAAGGAAGAUGCUCAAAUUAUUCGAGUGUGUGCAUGAAAGAAAAAUUCCAAAAUUUGAAGCUCUUAAUUCUUUGCUAUUUCAAUCGCUAAGCUUAAAUUGUAUUCAAAAGAGAGAUAGAAUACUUGUGAAAUCUCGAGGAAGUGUAGUAGAGUUUCUACACGUGGAAUCAAGGACGUGAGACUGUAAAAUCUCUUUUGGUUCUUAGUAAAAUCCAGCUAGUGGGCUGUUAGCGCGGAAGAGUGGACGUAAGUUUAGUCUAAGCCAAACCACUAUAAACCUUGUGUUUCAAUUUUCUUUCCCUAAACUCUUUACUUUAAUUCGUAACUUUAUAUAACUGCUUAUAGUAUUUUACAUCUUUGAUCUAUUAUCCUCAAAAGACGAAUUAAUUAGUUAAGUCUUGUAAAACUUGUUUUAACACAUAUUCACUCCCUCUAGGUGCUAUUACACGCCUUACCAAGUUUCACAUAAUUUUUCUACGGUUUUGGAGUGAUGACUCAAAAUUCACCUAAAAUGUAUUUUAUCCUUUGAUUGACUAGCUCUACUAUUUGCUAGACUUCUCAAUUGCUAAAUGCAUUCAUUGUGAAGACUUCUAAUAUUAUUUUAUUUGUUGCUUUUCUUUGAGAAUUCGAUGCUCUAAGUCUUCAUCUUGCUCUACUAUUCCAAACACUCACUUUCAAUAUCAUUUCCAAAGAUGCGCUACAAAUUUAUGUAGAAUGACAAAGAGGACAAUUUUGCCAGAGAGUAUUUGCAGCUAUGGGAGUGAACCUCGUAGCCGCAGUCUCCGCAAUGAAAACCUGCUAAAUGGCGUUAUGCGAUCUUAUGAGGCCAUUUUGGCUCAGUCUUUGAAGGUUGAGCUGAAAACCUUCAGAAAUAAAUGUAAGAGUUUUCUUGAUGUGGACUAUAUUAAUUGAUAUUGUAAUUUACUAUUAUUACGGUUACUGUAAAACAAGGUUGGUCUAAGGUGAGAUAGAAGGUUUCUUAAUUAGUCUAAUAUGGGACUGGCUAGUGUGGGCCUAGUUGGAAACUCUAUAAAUAGUACUCAAGUCUCUCCUCUAACCCUAAUUCUCACAUGUAUCCUCACCUAAGAGGCGUUUAUCUAACGCUAAAUGUGAGACGGCCGCCUUAUUGAGCCAGUGAUAUGAAGGGUAAUAGAGGAGAAUGACUUGCGCGUGGAACAUUGUGUUUCCGCUUCCGCUUCAAGAACGAUUGAUCCUAAAAUAGGUGCGUUAAUCUUUCUACUCAAUAAUGCAUAUUAUUGUUCUAGUUAUGGAGAUCUAAGGGUUACGCAAUUUGCGUUCAACAUGUGGUAUUAGAUCAACCAUAACCUUAGAACUCGAACACAUAGAAUUUUUGCCUUAAUUUGUGAUUUACGUAAUUUUUUGUUCAAUAAAAAUAAAAUUAAAUCAUAAAUUCGGAUUGGGCUCGACGAGACGAGCAAAAUGGUCGGUGGCGCGUUGUCGGGGGAGGUCUCACACGCCCCCACGCGCGGCCACGCAUCGCCUGGGCAUCGAACAUGCGCCGUGCAUGAGCUCCACGCGCCCCGCACUCAGGUGGCACGUGUGGGCGCAUGGAGCCUCCGUUAGGCGCGUGGGUGGCAGCGUUGGAUUCGUAUGGCCAUCUCCUAUGUUGUGGUGUAUUUAUUUUAUAUGUUUGAUGAUUUUAUUGAUGUGAAAAUACAUACAAAUCCCUAAAUACAUGUAUUUUUAGUGUAUUUUUGUGUAUUUUUCUUGUAUUUUCUGUGAUUUUGGAAAUACAUGUGAUUGGAUGUUAUCACAUAAACAUUAUGAAUGUGUGAUUCAUUAAUAAAAUUAAACUUUAUUAUAAAUUGAAACUGGCUUAAUGAGAUACAAUCAAUAUGUGAUAGUAUUUGAGCUAUGUAUUGAGGUGAUGAGAAACGGUAAAAGUUAUGAAAUUUUUGUUACUCAAGCAUACUCCUUGACACGCUGGUAAUCUUUGAAUGAUGAACAUCUUAAGAACUCAUAAUCGAACUGAUUGUAUUGAUUAACACAUCUGCUGAAUAUGGGUAAUGCAUGUUAGUUAAGUUAUUGCAUAUUGUAUGUAAACUCAUUUGGUCAUCGGUUAAUGUUUAUCAAGUUAAAUAUUUUUUAUGGUUAAGAAGUAUGACAGCAUUUACACAGAGUAAUUAUAUCUACUGUUAUAGUUUACAAUAGGUGAUGAAUUCAUGAAGAUUAGAAUAUAUUCUCAUAACCGCUAUCAUGUGGGGAGUAUACAACUGCAUGUCAUGUAUUUUGCCCAAAGGUAAUUAUAUGAUUAUGCGUGCAACUUUCUGGAUGUGUACUUGUACAUCAAGUUACACGGUGCUCACAUGAUGCUAAUUACAUAUAUUGCUUGUUUUUCAGUCACAUUUUCUAUAAUUAAUAAUUUCAUUAUUAUUGAGAUUUUUACUCCUUCAAAUUUUAAGUAGUUGACAUAUGAUUUGCUGCUUGAGAAAAGAGCAAUAGAAUUUGCUUACUGUCUAUGAAGUGUUUCAUUCAAGAACACUUGAAAAGUGGCUUGUCUACUGACUGCACUACUAAAAGAUGAUGAAAGCUUUAAUGGCUUAAAGUUAUGUUUUAUCUAAUACUGAAAUUAAGACACAUCUAUAAAGAUGAUGUUUAAGUUCUAAUGGCAUAUACAUCUCGUAUAUGGUUGAAGAGGUUGUUUCCAAAAUUUUCUAUUUAAGAAAUAAUCUCACACAUAUCUAAAGGAAGAGUAGAAAAGUUGACAAUGUUGAUAUUAUGUCUACUUUUAACGGUUAUCUAAAGACUUUUAUAGAUUAUUGUGGAAGUAAAAUGACUGAGAUAAAGAUUAAAAUAAUUAUAAUUAGUCUUAAAAUGUUGUCAGGCUUAAUAGUGUCCGUGAGUAUUUUGGCAAGUAUGACAAUGCAAAAUAGCUUAAAAGGUCAUUUGCCAAAUACUUGAUAGAUUCCAGGGUGGUAACUUAAUUACUAUGCCUGAAAAUCCUGACAAAAAGAUUUGGCUAAAAGGCAUAUUGCAUCAUAAUAAACAUGGUGAUGAGUAUGAUUAGUAAGACUAAUUUAUCCGAUCUUCUGUGGGCUGAUAUUUUGAAAGCAACAUUUUCACAUACAAAAGGUAUUUCUUAUCAAAGUUAUUUCAUAAACUUCUUUUGUGUUAUAGACUGGACAUAAAUUACUUGAAUCAUAUUAAAUUUGGAGGUGUCAUGCAGAAGUGAGGUUAUUUAAUUCAAUAUUAAGUGUGUUGGAAUUUAGAUUCACUUGGAAUUAUUUUGUAUCUUACUCAGAUUGUUCAAAGGGGUAUCAUUUUUAUGACCCUAAAGAAGGUACAAGUAUUAUGGAAUCACACACUGUAAAGUUUCUAUAGUUCAAUGUAAUUGUAGAGGAUAGCUACUCUCAGACUAUUAAGGAUAAUAAUACGUUGAAAAAUUACUGUGUCUUUGUCUUUGCCUAUACUAAAAAAAUUUAGUACAGACAAUUAUUGAAUCUCCUAUACCAUAAACUAAACUUAUUGAGGUUUAAGGUAUUAUUCUUGAUAUAGUUUAUGAUAAAAAAAUUUCAAACCUCUCAAGUAUAGAAUGAAGUAGUGAUAACUUUACUCGAGAGAUUUGUUAGGGAAAGACGAUAAGUUAUUCCAUUAAAUUUUAUAGUCUAUUUAUGAGAGCAUGACUGCAAAAUCCACUAUAUGAUUGAUGUAGUGGCAUAUUUAUAAAUGUCAUUUCUUGUUCUCAAUCAAGUAUGUGAUUAGAUGCCAUAAAAGGCAAUAUACAAUCUAUGAAACAUCAUAGUGUUUGGAAACUAACUUACUUGCCUAAAGAUCACAAGUUCAUUAGUUGCAAAUUGGCGUACAGAAUUAAAAGGAUUUUAAAGGAAAAUUGUGAAGUUUAAAACUAAACUUGUAGCUAAAAUUUUCACUCUGAAAGAGAGGUGUAUAGUUUAUAGUGAAGAAAUAAUUAUUUCUUUAUACUAUUUUUAAAGAUUCUUUUAGAGUGAACAUGUCAUUAAUAAUUUAUUUUGAUAUGGAGUUACAUUAAAUAGAUACAAAAUCUAUAUAGUGCAAUUAGAUGAUUUUGCAGCAAAUUCAAGUAAACUUGUGUGUAGAUUGAAAAGUUCUAAUUCAUGGUCUUAAGCAAGUUUCCAGACAAUAUUGUUAAAGUUUCAUAGUGUUGUUAUCUUGUUCAAUUGGGAACAAAGUAAUUCAAUAUACUGCAAGGUUAGUGGGAGGAAUUUUUUUUUUUUUCAUACUCUAUGUACAUGAUAUUUUGCUUACAAGUUGUGAUCUUGAGACAUCUUAUAUCCUUUGUACUGAGAUCUGUAAGGAUUAUUUUUGCCAUAUUAUAUUAGAUUUUCUCGGAGGACAUUUGCUGAUUGUAUAUUGAAAAUAUUCAAUAUACAUCAUUGCAAGCCAGGAAUUGCUCAUGUUGUUAAGGGUGAUGGACUAAAUCUAUCACAUUGUCCUUAUUUAGAUAUUGAGAAAAUCUAAUUAAAGUGUGUACCUUGUGUCAGUGCACUUAAACGUAUAAUAUAUGCUCGAAUUUGCACUAGACUAAAUAUUGUCUUUGUGACGGGACUUUAGGUAGAUAUCAGUCAAAUCCAGGACGUGAUCACUUGGUUGUUGUCAAGAAGGUUUUAAGGUACUUAAAGAGGACAUGAGAUUAUAUGCUAAUUUACAGACAUGUUCAAUUAUUGCAGUUAGUAGGGUAUUUAGAUGUAAAUUUUGUUGGCUGUUCUGAUGACAUGCAAUCAAUAAUGGAAUACAUAUUUAUAUUAGCAGGAAGUACAGUAAAUAAAGUUCUAUGUUAUCUUCUACUAUGUAAGUAGUGUUGGUAACAUUCUUUUAGGUUGUUACUUGGGCUUUUAGUCUCUAGAACCUCAUGAAGGAGUUAAUCAUUUUAACUUUAUGGAUAGACCCAUAUGGUUGUAUUGAGAUAACAAAUUUGUAGUAUUAUUUAUUUACUACAAAGGUCUCAAUGGGUCUAAAUAUAUGAUGGUCAAAAUUUUUUACCAAAAGGAAACGGUAUAAAAAUGUGACGUAAUAAUAUAACAUAUUUUCACAGAUGAUAUGGUUGCAAAUCCAUUGAUUAAAGGCCUACGCCCAUGUGUAUUUGAGCGAUAUGUCAUUAGCAUGGGCUUAGGAACAUCAUGAGAUGCUAUUGUUUAGUGGGAGCUGUUUUGGCUUUACUCUGAUAAAUGUUUUAUUUGUGUUCGUUACACUUUGUAAUAGUUUGAUAUGUAUCAACUUUUGCAUUCAAUAAAAUAUUUUGAAUAUGUUGCUAUUAUGUUGAAUACAUAUUGAUAAAGUCUCAAGGUACUGUAUAAACCUUGAGUAAAGGCUAAGGGCAUCCGGUUAUUAGCAUUGUCCAUAUGUCUUGUUAUAUAUAAAGAAAGGUUAACCGUAAUGACAAGACAUAUGUGGAUUCAUUGGAACCAUAAAGCAUUCUCUAGUAGAACAAGUUUUUGUGACGCCUAAGGUAAGAGAAUGGUGACUAACAAAUGGAAUAUCUCUAUGAGAGAUGUUAUUCAUUUGACACACUACUUUAUUGAAUUUAUAUCAAUAAAGUUGAGAGCACUCGUGACCAUGGAAAGCUCUGUAUACAUGCAGUUACCGCCAUGAUUCGGUGUUUAAGACUUUAUGGGAUAGGAUUCACUAUUAAGAAUUUGGACUAAAUGUGCGCACAUACAGUACAAUUUUCAAUUAAUAUAGUCCAAGUGAGAGAAUGUAAGAGUUUUCCUAAUGUGGACUACAUUAAUUGAUAUUGUAAUUUACUGUUUUUACGGUUACCGUAAAACAUGGUUAGUUUAAGGUGAGAUAGAAGGUUUUUUAAUUAGUCUAAUAUAGGACUGGCUAGUGUGGGUCGAGUUGAGCCUGGCCCGUAAUGAGGGGGCAUGGCUGGAAACUCUAUAAAUAAUGCUCAAGUCUCUUCUCUAACCCUAAUUCUCACAUGUAUCCGCACCUAAGGAUCGUUUACCUAACGCUAAACGUGAGGGGGCCGCCUCAUUGAGCUAGUGAUACGGAGGGCAAUAGAGGAGAAUGACUUGCGCGUGGAACAUUGUGUUUCCGCUUCCGCUUCAAGAACGAUGGAUCAUAAAACAAGUGCGUUAAUCUUUCUACUUAAUUAUGCAUGUUCUUGUUCUAGUUAUGGAGAUCUUGGGGUUACGCAAUUUGUGUUCAACAAUAAAUAUCUGAAAUCAUUUGAUAUAGGACUACGCGGUUUGCUUCUACUUUGGAAUCAUAGGUGACUAUUAGUUUUUGAAUUUGUUCGUCGGAGAGAUGAGCUACUCAUGUAUCCAUCUUUAACUAUUGUAGUUUCUGCUACAGGUGAAGGGUAAAGACUAGAUUAUUAUUAUUAUUGAUGUUGUUGUUGUUGCUGUUGCUGCUGCUGUUACUGUUGUUGUUGUUAACGGUCUGCUUCUACUUUGGAAUCGUAGGUAACUAUUAGUUUUUGAAUUUGUUCGUCAGAGAGAUGAGCUACUCAUGUAUCCAUCUUUAACUAUUGUAGUUUCUGCUAUAGGCGAAGGGUAGAGACUAAAUUACUGUUGUUGUUGCUCUUGUUGCUAUUGUUGUUGUUGUUGCUGUUGUUGUUGUUGUUGGUGUUGCUGUUGUUGACAGUUUGCUUCUACUUUGGAAUCGUAGGUAACUAUUAGUUUUUGAAUUUGUUCGCCGGAGAGAUGAGCUACUCAUGUAUCCAUCUUUAACUAUUGUAAUUUCUGCUAUAGGCGAAGGGUAGAGACUAGAUUAUUGUUGUUGUUGUUGUGUUUGUUGUUGUCGUUGUGGUUGUUGUUGUCCUCGCUGUUGUCAUCAUCGUCGUUGUCGUUGUCGUUGUCGUCGUUGUUGUGGUUGUUGUGGUUGUGGUUGUGGUUCUUGUGGUUGUGGUUGUUGUUGUCGUUGUUGUUGUCGUCGUCGUUGUUGUCGUUGCUGUUGUUGUNNNNNNNNNNNNNNNNNNNNNNNNNNNNNNNNNNNNNNNNNNNNNNNNNNNNNNNNNNNNNNNNNNNNNNNNNNNNNNNNNNNNNNNNNNNNNNNNNNNNCAUUAAUGAUAAUCUAUAGAUAUAGAUUGUUACUAAUAAUAAGAAUAUUUAUGUUGGUUAAUCGGUUAAUUUUCUUAAUGUUUCAUAGUUGUUAUCCACAGGAUGGGUACCGCAAUUCUCAAAGGGAUGUUUAAGUCAUUUGAGAAUGAAAGCAAGAACGGUACGUAGCAUGCGCAUUUUGAAUUUAAUAUGCAUUUAUUCAAAUAUAUAAUAAUAUAUUUACAUUUAAUUGACAAGAUCAUGUAAUUUUUCAUGCAACCAAUAUAAACAAAUAUUGCUGGUCAAUUUUGUAUAUGACUGAUCAGUGUAAGAGUUUUCCUAAUAUGGACUAUAUUAAUUAAUAUUGUAAUUUACCGUUUUAUUACGGUCAGGGUAAAUCAACACUAUUAAAAGAAAAAAUUUCUUAAAAUGAUCACUUGUAUCACUUAGCAUAACGAAUGUGAUGAAAAUAUUUUCAUCAUUAAUGAUAAUCUAAUAGAUAUAGAUUGUUACUAAUAAUAAGAAUAUUUUAUGUUGGGUUAAUCCGGUUAAUUUUCUUAAUGUUUCAUAGUUGUUAUCCACAGGAUGGGUACCGCAAUUCUCUGAGGGAUGUUUAAGUCAUUGAGAAUGAAAGCCAAGCACGGUACGUAGCAUGCCCCAUUUUGAAUUUAAUACGCAUUCAUUCAAAUAUAUAAUAAUAUAUUUACAUUUAAUUGACAAGAUCAUGUAAUUUUUCAUGCAACCAAUAUAAACAAAUAUUGCUGGUCAAUUUUGUAUAUGACUGAUCAGUGUAAGAGUUUUCCUAAUAUGGACUAUAUUAAUUAAUAUUGUAAUUUACCGUUUUAUUACGGUCAGGGUUAUCAACACUAUUAAAAGAAAAAAUUUCUUAAAAUGAUCAAUUGUAUCACUUAGCAUAACCAAUGUGAUGAAAAUAUUUUCAUCAUUAAUGAUAAUCUAUAGAUAUAGAUUGUUACUAAUAAUAAGAAUAUUUUAUGUUGGUUAAUCGGUUAAUUUUCUUAAUGUUUCAUAAUUGUUAUCCACAGGAUGGGUACCACAAUUCUUAGAGGGACGUUUCAGUCAUUUGAGAAUGAAAGCAAGAAUGGUACGUAGCAUGCGCAUUUUCAUUAUUAAUGAUAAUCUAUAGAUAUAGAUUGUUACUAAUAAUAAGAAUAUUUUAUGUUGGUUAAUCGGUUAAUUUUCUUAAUGUUUCAUAAUUGUUAUCCACAGGAUGGGUACCACAAUUCUUAGAGGGACGUUUGAGUCAUUUGAGAAUGAAAGCAAGAAUGGUACCUAGCAUGCGCAUUUUGAAUUUAAUAUGCAUUUAUUCAAAUAUAUAAUAAUAUAUUUAUAUUUAAUUGACAAGAUCAUGUAAUUUUUCAUGCAACCAAUAUAAACAAAUAUGGCUGGUCAAUUUCGUAUAUGACUGAUAAAUGUAAGAGUUUUCCUAAUAUGGACUAUAUUAAUUGAUAUUAUAAUUUAUCGUUUUAUUACGUUCAGGGUUAUCAACAAUUUAAAAGAAAAAAUUUCUUAAAAUGAUCGCUUGUAUCACUUAGCAUAAUGAAUGUGAUGAAAAUGUUUUCAUCAUUAAUGAUAAUCUAUAGAUAUAGAUUGUUACUAAUAAUAAGAAUAUUUUAUGUUGGUUAAUCAAUUAAUUUUCUUAAGGUUUCAUUAUUGUUAUCCACAGGAUGGGUACCGCAAUUUUCAAAGGGACGUUUGAGUCAUUUGAGGAUGAAAGCAAGAACGGUACGUAGCAUGCGCAUUUUGAAUUUAAUAUGCAUUUAUUCAAAUAUAUAAUAAUAUAUUUAUAUUUAAUUGACAAGAUCAUGUAAUUUUUCAUGCAACCAAUAUAAACAAAUAUGGCUGGUCAAUUUCAUAUAUGACUGAUCAGUGUAAGAGUUUUCCUAAUGUGGAAUAUAUUAAUUGAUAUUGUAAUUUAUCAUUUUAUUAUGGUCAGGGUUAUCAACACUUUUAAAAGAAAAAAUUUCUUAAAAUGAUCGCUUGUAUCACUUAGCAUAAUGAAUGUGAUGAAAAUAUUUUCAUCAUUAAUGAUAAUCUAUAGAUUUAGAUUGUUACUAUUGAUAAGAAUAUUUUAUGUUGGUUAAUUAGUUAAUUUUCUUAAUGUUUCAUAAUUGUUAUCCAUAGGUACCGCAAUUCUCAAAGGGACGUUUGAGUCAUUUGAGGAUGAAAGCAAGAACGGUACGUAUCAUGUGCAUUUUGAAUUUAAUAUGCAUUUAUUCAAAUAUAUAAUAAUAUAUUUAUAUUUAAUUGACAAGAUCAUGUAAUAUUUCAUGCAACCAAUAUAAAAAAGUAUGGCUGGUCAAUUUCAUAUAUGACUGAUCAAUGUAAGAGUUUUCUUAAAUUGGACUAUAUUAAUUGAUAUUAUAAUUUAUCGUUUUAUUACGUUCGGGGUUAUCAACAAUUUAAAAGAAAAAAUUUCUUAAAAUGAUCGCUUGUAUCACUUAGCAUAAUGAAUGUGAUGAAAAUAUUUUCAUCAUUAAUGAUAAUCUAUAGAUAUAGAUUGUUAAUAAUAAUAUUUUAUGUUGGUUAAUCGGUUAAUUUUCUUAGUGUUUCGUAAUUGUUAUCCACAGGAUGGGUAUCGCAAUUCUCAGGGGGACGUUUGAGUCAUUUGAGGAUGAAAGCAAGAAUGGUACGUAGCAUGCACAUUUUGAAUUUAAUAUGCAUUUAUUCAGAUAUAUAAUAAUAUAUUUAUAUUUAAUUGACAAGAUCAUGUAAUUUUUCAUGCAACCAAUAUAAACAAAUAUGGCUGGUCAAUUUCAUAUAUGACUGAUCAGUGUAAGAGUUUUCCUAAUGUAGACUAUAUUAAUUAAUAUUGUAAUUUACCGUUUUAUUACGGUCAGGGUUUUUUUGUAGCAAUUAGCAAGUCGUACAUUUACCAUGGUAUCGCCCAAAGCCUGCGGAUAUAUAAAUAUAGCUUCGAUUAUUCUGUGCAAAGAAGCAGGAAAUGAGAAGCCGAGAAACACUGGAGCUAUGCGAAAGCUUGAUGUGAAGAUCGCGAACGCAGUUCAUGUUUCUCCGGCAAGGGAAACGUUUGGCGGGCUCUACGCUCUCUCAAACCUCGACCAGACCUUACCGUUAGAGGUUGGGAUCGUGUUCGCCUUCAAUGGAGAAGGGAGAGGAAGGUGUUCUGCCUCGAUUGAGACAAUCAGAGAGUCACUGGCCAAGGCAUUGGUCCAGUUCUAUCCAUUCGCGGGCAGACUUGUCAUGGGGAUCGACGGGAGGAUGGCAGUGAGAUGCACUGGAGAAGGUGUCCCAUUCGUCGAAGCGACGUCGGAGGAUGACAUCGCAGCGCUGGGCGAUAUUAGCACCAUCAAUCCCACCAUGCUGCGAAAACUCGUGAAGGACAGCGAUGGAGCCCCGACCAUAUUAGAAGUACCUUUGCUUUCGGUGCAGGUAAAUACUCUAGAACAUGUUGGUCGUGCUGAUUCUGGCGUUCCCCUGCAUUAGUUCAUCGAUGAAUCAUAUAUUGAGAGAUUGUACGAGAAUUAUGGCUACUUUGUGCGAGAUUUUUCUUUCGGGACAAGAUAGAAGGAGCAACAUAGUGCUUUUGAACAAUUUAUCUAACAAAAAGAGAUCGUUUCUGCACUGCUUUUUCUUUUUAUCAUUCAACCGCUUGCGGAGCAGCAUGUUCUUCUGGACUCGUGCAAGGGGAUUUAGACUUUCCAAGACUGACAUACACAUGAGUAGUUAUCCACUUACAGUUUAUCAUGAAAUCCAGGUGACGACGUUCAAGUGUGGAGGGAUCGUCAUCGGCAUCGUUAUGAAUCACGUCCUCGUCGACGGGAAAGCCCUCGCGGACUUCAUAGCUUGGUGGAGCGACCUGGCUCAAGCCAAGCCACCAUCAGUUCUUCCCUUUCUUGAUCGAUCGGUGUUGCGCCCAAGGCAACCUCCGCGCAUCGAUCUCCCUCACCAUGAGUAUGCUCUGAGAGACCGGCAGCCCGGACUCAUGGUCGACCCCAAAACCAAGCCCCUCGUUUACAGAUCGUUCUGCUUCAAGCCACACGCUCUCAUUCAGCUCAAGAAAGCGGCAAAAAUUUCAACCCAAAAUGGCUCUUCCGUAGUCCCGACGACCUUCGAAAUCAUAUCGGCGCUUGUGUGGAUCUCGCGAACCAAAGCUCUCGGAAUUGGUCCUCACGAGACGACGAAGCUUCUCACUGCAGUUGACAGCCGCCCCAAGUUUGACCCCCCGCUGCCGAGUGGCUACUUCGGGAACGGCAU